UCUUGAAGAUGUCGUUUUCAUUUCCUACGUUACCACCAGUUACCACCAACUGUUCAUCAUUAACUUUCCAAACAGUUUCGUCAACACACAACUUUGUUGUUUUAACAAAGAACUUGAUAUAAACAGCAGUCAUUAGACGCACCACAUCACCAUCAUCCGACUCCGACUUACGAACGAACAUGACGGGCGUGCCUUUUCCCAAAAAUUGGGGAAUCGACAUGUGCUGUAACACGGCGUUUGGGCAUUGAAGGUUUCCAAUAUUGUUCAAGUAUACGGCUCCGGCCCCGAGGAGAGGAUUCUUAAUAAUGUACCUCUCACCAAUCCUCAGCGGAUUGCCAUCUUGGUCAUAAACUUCAGGGAGUACAAGAUUAUCAUGACAAGUUGUGGGGAGGACAAUUGGAUUCUCAGAAGUGAAAGAUCGAGCAAAGGCAACCAAAGAGAGGGUACUUGAAAGCAAAAGGAAACUCAAAAUAUUAAUCGACUUCAUCUUUCUUUGUGUGUUUUGCUUGCUAUGAGUUUAUGUCCAAUUUAUAGAGCUGCUAAGGGCAUUUUUGGCAAACAAAAAAUAAUACCUACUACCGCCUUAGACACCUCAAAUAAGUUUUAUUCAUUUUAAAUACCUAAUAUCAAGCUUCAAUAUUAAGUCACUCUUUACACUUUUUUUUUUUUUUUUAACGAUCAACAAAAAUAUAUACAUAAUAUGUGUUACACUGAAUAACAUGCAGGUAAAGUAUCAAAUUCGGGUAAGGAAUUCUAUUGACCGAGGGAAAGGUAUUAGGCAUCCCUCGAGUUCCGUGGUUCUAGCACGGUCGCUUUUAUUGACUUAUACUUGACUUUUAUUAUUAUUAUUAUUAUUAUUAUUAUUAUUAUUAUUAUUAUUAUUAUUAUUAUUAUUAUUAUUAUUAUUAUUAUUAUUAUUAUUAUUAUUAUUAUUAUUAUUAUUAUUAUUAUUAUUAUUAUUAUUAUUAUUAUUAUUAUUAUUAUUGUUUGGAUAAAUUGUGUUUUAGGCCAUGGUUUACUUAUAUUUUUUAUUGUGCAUUUUUAUUUGGUCUCGACCUAUAUACGUAACCGCAUUCUUGAUCUUGGCGUUUAGAGACAUAACUGUCUUCUUUGCAUCGCACCUAAUGAUUGUCUAUAUGUCUUACUUUGAAUUAAUAAAAGUUAUCUAUAUUUUUUACCAAGGUGUGUCACCGCAUUCCUUGAGUUUCUUUUACAGCCUCAAAAAGAUGUGUAACCACAUUCUUAAUUGAAACAAAUAUUUUUAACAGUCCUAAAAUUCAUAUAGUCAUUAAAAAAUUAAUAUUUUGUCCCUUAUAAAUAAAACCAAAUAAAAUAAAAUAAAUCUAAAUGUUGAGAAUAGAAUAUAUAAUUCUGACAUCAUUUCUAUAUCCUUUUAUUUUAUGCUAUUAAUAAUAAUUUCUUUAAAUUUUUUAUCCUAACUAUAUCUACUUUAUCAUUAUUAUCUAAAUCAAGACAAGAACAAUGUCAUGAUCCGUUCAUUUUUAAGAGGUCACAACUAGCGAAUAGAAAUAAAUAAAAUAAAAAGUAAUCAUUGUUAAAGCUACCUUCAUUCAUUAAACAGAAAUAUAAUAGCUAACAAAUUGUUCAUUUCAAUCAAAUUACGAAUAAAUUAAAAAAAAUAGGAAAACAUGUCAUAAAACUACAUCAAAUUCCAUAAAUAGAUUAAAGAAAUAAGGAGAAGUUGAAUACCGCAAAAUCUUGACCGAACCUUGAUUAGAACACCCACAAAUUUUUGUAGGUAGUUUGUGAUGGUAUAUAUGUUGUGUUUAAAUAAAAAUAGUAAUGAAAAGGGAAGAAAAGAUGUGAAUGUGUUGGUAAAUUUUUUAUGAUCACCCCCUUUGGUGUGCAGCGUGUGCGUGUGCGUGUGUGUUGUGUAUUUUGUUUUUGUAGUCUUUUUCUUCUUUUCGUUUUUCUGUACGUUUUUUGGUAUGUAGGAAAGAUUGUGUAGUGUCUGUAUAGGUAUGUGUGGGUAUUGUAGUAUGUAUAUAGGUGUAAGGGAGGGGCCGUACGUGUGUGGAGAGGGAAAAUGGUGGGGUGGUGAGUGUAGUGGGGUGUAGUAUAGGGAUAGUGGGGUUGUGGUGGGUAGGGGUGUUCAUGGUUUGGUUUGGGUCGGUUAUUGGUCAAAACCAAAAUCAAACCAACUUAAUCGGUUUUAAAAUUAUCAAAACCAAACCAAACCAAAUAUAAUAUACAUUUAUCGGUUUGGUUGUUUUCGGUUUUGGUUUGGUUUGGUUCGGUUAUUCGGUUAUUAACCAUACAUAAAAAUAAAAUAAACAAUUCAUUCAAAACAUGAAAAAAGUGACAACAAUCCAUUCAAACAAAAAAAUAGUUAGAAUGACUGGCAUUACAGAACUUUCGAUUAUAGAAUUUACUGAAUAAAACUUCAAAAUUCACUAUUUUGGCAUUGAAGGAAGAGACAUGACAUUUUUAGUCCCACAAAGAAUGUUCAUAGACACUCAUAUAUAUGAAACCAAUAAGAACCAAACCAAAACCCAAAUUAAAUCGGUUCAUUUAAUCGGUUUGGUUUGAUUUUUUCGAUUUGGAUCGGUUUUUAUCCAAACCAUGAACACCCCUAGUGGUGGGUAUUGUGCAGGUUACUUAGAUUAUUAUUUUUUAUUUUUUAAAAGAAAGGAAUAAUAAUUAACUAUAUAUAUAAAUAAUAUAUUAUAAUAAAAUAUCAAUUAAUUAUUUUAAAUUAAUAUAAAUCUAAAAAAAAGUCAAAUAGCUAGUAAAAAAAUAUAAUUAAAAAAUACUAGCUUAUUUAUAAAAACUUAAUUUUAAAAUAAUAUAUAUUUUUUGUAAUCUUUCAUUUAUUUUUUAAAAAUUGAAAAUAAAACCUACCUUAAAGUGUGACUCUAUUUUUUUGUAGUUUUCAAAUCUUUUAAAAUAAACUUAAUAAAAUAAGGUAAAAUUCAAAAUAUUUAAUUUAGAUUUUUAUAAAAUAUUUGAGCUCUAAAAAUGGUGUUAAACUUAAGUUCAGUCAAAAAUUACGUGUCUAUAACUAUUUUAACAAAUAAUUAAAGGGAAAUUUAGCAAUCUAGUCAACAUACCUAACAUAAUUAGUCAAAAUGACUACAGUUUAAAAUAUUUAUUUGAAGGUUUGACCAAAAUAAUAUAAAUAUAAAACAAAUGAACAAAAGUAAUACAUAUUCUUAAAAAGUAACCAAAAUAGUAUAAACUCUACCAUGAGUAACGUUUUAUCUAUUAUUUUAUUCAUAAAAAUUAACGGAUAGAAAACAGAGAAACCAACUACCAUUAACAUAAAUCGUUACUGUUGAUAACGUAAUUUGGGAAACUACAUUUUUGAAAAAGAGAUUGCAGUUGUACUUGUAAUAUUUAAUUCACAAUAUGUUUUAAAUAGUAUUAAUUGAAUAUUUUAAAUUUUUUAUUUAAAAUUAUUUAUAUAUAUAUUUGUGUGGUAAUAAAUCAUUUGAAUAAUUGUAAAAAUGAAUAUUUGAUAAAUGUUUUAUCAAUAUUGAUAAAUUUUAAGUGGUGUUGAUUAAAUAAUUUAUUUAUUUAUUAUCCAAAAUAUCUCUAUAUUUAUGAAUUAAGAUAAAGGUGAAAACAAACAACUAACUAUACCUUGAUUUUUUUUUUUUAAAUGACAACUAUUUUGAACCAAUUAUUUUUCACAAAGACAACAAGUAAAGUGAAUGGAAUAAAAUACAGUGUAAUUUUUAUUAUUUUAAACAAGCAAGUCAGUGUAAUCAAAAUCUUGGUAAUUAGGUCAAAUCUAAAACUACAAAAUUUACCUUGAAUUAAUUUUUUAUUUACACCAUUUUAAACAUAGAGAAACUGAUAAUAUUUUCACAAUUCUAACAUAUGCCAACAAGCAUAAACAUCGAAGAAAUGACAUUAUUCAUAUCCAUGCUAAAAGUAAACGAAUAAAGAAAAAGGAUAAAUUUAAUUAAAAGAAAAAUUAGAAUGCAAGCAACUGACAUAAGUUGAAAGCAAAUUCGCUACUGCUACUAAUGUUUUAUGUUAACGUCCGUUCUUUUUUCACUUUCUGUUCAUCAAUUUUUUAUGAAUAAAAUAAUAGGUAAAACGUUAUUGGUGAUAGCGUUUAUACUAUUUUGGUUAUUUUUUUUAAAUGUGUAUUACUUUUGUUCAUUUAUUUUAUAUUUGUAUUACUUUGAUCAAAACUUCUAUUUAUUUAAAAUGUCAAAAUGUCAAUACUUUACAAAAUAAUUGUAUUCAAAUAUUAGUAUUUAUUUUACCCUUUUUCCCCAAAACAGUCCAUCAUUGGACAAAUUCUAAACCAAUAACAGAUAAAAAAGGGAAAAAAAAAACUACCGAUUAAUCUUUUUCCCAUCAUUCACGUUUCUUUUCCCCCAUCAUUCAAGUUUUAUAUUUUCUCUUUCUUCAAAUUUCUUUGCAGGUCAAGAAAUACAAAUUAUGAAUGGUUCUUCUAAUUAAUAUCUCAAUUGUUAGAGGUAAUUUUGAUUAUUUAGUGAUAUUUAUGUUGAUUUUGUUUUUAAAAUUACCGAUUAUCUUGUAUUUCGGAUUUUAUAUAUUACGGAUUUUUUGUCAAUUUUUUUGAUUUUUAUGUGAGUUUGGUUAGAUAAGCAGGGCCCAUUCGGGGGUGGCGCUCCCAACGGGAUUUUCUCCAUAUCCAGGGCUCGAACCCGAGACCUCUAGUUAAGGGUGAAUCACUCCCACCAAUGCACCACAACUCAUGUUGGUCCUAAAGUUAUUAUUAUUAAGUAGGUAUGUACGUUCAAAAUAAUUCUUUAAAAAGUGAUCAUAUCCGAUCUUAAUCAAAUACAACUCUAACUCCAACUUAAAAUUUUAAAAUAAUACUCCCUCCUUGCCCUUUUAGUUGUUAUGCUGCACUUUUCAAAAAUUAUUUUGAAUUAUUUUCCAAUUUAAAUUAGAUUACAUUAAAGAUAUUUUAAAUUAAAAAGUUAGAUAUAUAUUUGAAAGGUAUACAUAAAGUACUAUAAAUUGCAAUUUUUGAAUAUCAGUAUGAUGAAAAAAUAUAUCGUAAAAUGUUACUCAAAGUUCUUAUUAUUUAAUUCUAAAAAAAGAAUCAUACAACUAAAAAAGGAUGAAGUGAAUAUAAAUAUAUUUAAUUUUCAUGAUCAAAUGCAUACUAAAAUAUAGUAUUAGUCAAGUUGCCAAUCGCCAUAAUGAUGAAAAGGAAACAGGUGAAUGCAGCUCAUAUCACUGAAAAUAUAGCGCUUUAUACUUCAUCUUUUCAGCACUACCAGCGUAUAAAAAAAUGAAAAUGUGUAAUUUUCAAGUUUAAUACUAAGAGCCGUAGAGAGUUUGUUUUCGAUAAACUUGAGGGAGGAAAGCAAAACUAAGGCAUUUACAAAUGAAUAAAGAUGAACUUAUAUGCUUUGGUUAUAAAAGUAGUCUGACAUUAUUUGUUUGUAAAAUUUGGAUGCAGUUAAACAUGGCUAUUAAAGAAUCACUUCGACUGUAUCCACCAGAUCCUAUCAUUGAACGAAUGCCUUGUGAAGAUAUGAUUUGUUAAACAUUUUAAUUUUUUAAUAAAAUAUGUUUUUUUUUCAAAAUAAGUAUUUUUGAUCUCAUAACAAUUAUGCGGCUUUUAACCAUGGUUAUAGUUAUACGGAUUGGGUUAUCUAUAGAAAAGUUAAAUAUAUGGAACAAAUCAAAUUCAAAUCAAACCUAUUAAUUAGCUAGCGAUUGAGACGUAAUAAUUUUUUAUAUGUACAUUGUGAAUCUCACGUACUCAAUGGUCCCGUAAAUCUUAAUCAUAUUUUGGAUAAAAGCCACCUAGCUGCUUAGAGAUUUAAUAAUUUUGGAUGUAUUUGAUAUUUUCCCUCCGAACACCUUAUCUUCAGUCUCACUUCUCGCAGUGUCUAUUUUCCUCACCCCCACACUUUUUAUUUUAUUAUUGUGUGUUUUAAUAUAUUUAUCUAGAUUAUAUAUAAAUAUUUUUAAAAUAAUAUUUUUUAUUUAUCUACUAAACAAAUAAGAAUUUUAUUUUCUUGAGGAACAUCUUUCAAAAAGAAUAUUUUCUUUCGUAACGAAUAUAUCCUGAACAACCACAAAGGUUAAUAUCAACAUUUUGAUUUUAAUUGAGUUGAAAUGUUUAGAAAGAAAAACAAAGCAGAAAUAAUUAAUUCUCUCCUAAUUUUAUAAAUUGACAAAUAAUUUAAGAAAAAUAUUUUUAAAAUAUGAACGACUAAUAUUGAAUGAACACUAAUCAUCAAAGAAAUAAAAGAAUAAUUAAGUAGCCAAAUUUUCCGUUCUUACCAUCAACUCUACUUGGAGUUGCACUGUUGCAGGCCAAUAAUGGAUAUAUAUAUUAUAUACUAAUGUGCCGAUGGGACCAUUAUUAGACCAUAGUUAAAACAUGAUAAUGAAGUACGAUGGUUAAUUAGUUUCUUUUCCCAGUUGCAGUAGGCCUAAUUAAUAUAUUGUAAAGUGAUUCUAUUACAAUAGUGAAGUAGAGAGGUGAUUUUAAAGCUAUCAAUAGUUCGAAAACGAAAUUAAUAAUUCAUAUCAAAUUCAGAAGUAUUUUCAAUAUUUUUGUCUAUAUAUCAUCUAUUCUCAACUUUUAAAUUUGAGAGUUCAUAAACAAUAUAUGUCCUCUCAGUUUUUAAAUUCGUUCAACUUCACCAUUAUUAACAUUGUGAAAUUAAUUCAAUGUCAAUUGUCCGUAUUAUGGACAAACCCUAAAUUACAUAAAUUAAAACAAAAGAUUAUACAAUAAAAUUAAUUUAGUACUAAAAAUAGCGUAAAAAUUGAGGGCUGAGACUAACGAACAUGGUUAAUUAAAAUUGAGGAACAUCGUAUCUUUUUGGCCUAAAAGAUAUUUGAAUACUAGACUAAUAUAUAUUCACCAUUGAAGAUAAAUACCAACGGGCUAACAACCAAGUUAUUUUCAUUUUUGUCAUGUAAUCUUAGUUUGUUAAAGCCAAAAAUGAAUAUUAAUGUCUUGACGGGACCGCAUGUGUUACUAUCCCAUUAUUAAAAUGGAGUCCGAAAUUAAAAGGGCAAUAAAAUUUUUCGAAAAUUUCAAAAGGACAACUAAAUUAUUUAUGAAAUCAAAAUGGCAAUAAUUUUUAACGGCGUCUAAAUCAGAAUUUUCACCGCAAGACACAAAUCCAUAAACCUUACACGGUGCAUCAGCUUUUAGCCUUGUAAGACUCAUCCCCGCGAGCCUUACAAGGCGCAAGGCAGGCUAUUUUUUUCAAAAAAAAAGUUUUUAUUGUGUUCGGUCCUUAAGGCUACACGUUGCAAACUCGACCGCUCAUUUUUUUUGUUAGAUAAUUAAAAAAAUCUGACUAUUUAGUUGAGAUGUUAAAUCAUCCAACUUUAAAUUUAUCGAAAAUGCAGUACCUUUUUUUUUUUACAAAAAUACAAUCUAUUUUAGUCGGUUAUUUUUUUAAAAAAAAUUUAUGCCUUUUGAGUAGGGGUGUACAUGAUCGGAUUGGUUCGUGUUUUUCAAAUAUUAAAUCAAAUUAUUUGUGUCGAAUUUUUAAAUCUAUAAACCAAACCAAUAAAACUCGGGUUUUUUCAGAUUUUUCGGGUUUUUUUCGGUAAAGUAUUCAUACAAACAUAUAAUUUACUUGUACUUUAAAUAUAUAUUUCUUUUAGUCCUAACAAAAUACAACUAUCUAAGGUGUUUCUUAAGAAAAUAACACAAAAUACGAUAUGAGUAAUGACACUAAAAUGUCCAAUUAAAAAAUAAUAAUAAUGAAAUCACGUAAAACAAAUAUUACAAAUUAACAAGUCAUAAUGAAGAUGAUCAUAAUUUAAAAGUACUAAAUCAUGCUAAAAUAAGUUUAAUAAGUAUUAGUUACAUGACUAAAUAUUAAAGAAAAAUUAAAAUUAGAUUAUGUAUUUGAAUUGUCUAAACCAAUGUAAAACCAAAGAACAAAAUAUUACAAUAUUAUUGUCAUUCUUAGUGUUGAAUUGAUUUUCUUUUUGCAUUAGUAUUAAUUUCAUUUUUGAUUUAAGCUUUAUUAUAAUUACCAACAUUUGUGGACUAUAAUCUUUAUUGAACCAUUCAGAAUUAUAAGUUUCAAACUUGAAAUAAUAUACUAAAAGAUAAAAACUAUGAAAAAGUAUAAGAAAUAUUUAAAAAUUAUAUCAAAGUAAAUAUUUUUAUGUAAAAGUAAAUUUAAAAUUAUAUAUAUAAUGUCGGGUUGGUUUGGUCUCGGGUUGAUUUUUUUUAGUUAAAAUCAAACCAAUCCAAAUAUAGUCGAGCUUUUUAUUCAAUACCAAACCAAGUCAAACCAACCAUUAAUCGUGUUUUUUUUCUCAAUUUGACUCGAUUUAUAAUUUAAUUCGAUUUUUGAUUCGAUUUUAUACCCCUACUUUGAGUUAUCAAAAUAGGAUUUCUAUUGACCGUAAGUUUAAUUUGAUAAUGCAAAAAAAUUUAAAAUAAAUAAAUUGUAUAUUGUAAGUAAUGCACAUUUCAACACACGUAUGACGUAUGCAUAUUAGGGGUGAAGCUAUAUAGUUCUUAUGACACUUGUUUAAGCUUGGUUUUCUAAAAGAAUGACACUUGUUUAAGUUUGGUUUUCUAAAAGAAUGUUUGGAUGUGUCGUUUGUUUAAAUAUAAUGUUUAUUUUGAUGAUUAGUUAAAUUUAAUUUAUAUUAUUAAAUUUAUUGUUAGGUAAUAACGUGAUUUUUCAUUUUAUGUAAUGGCUGAUUUAGUAUGAAUGUAUGGUCAUAAUUUAUUUUUUUUGUUUUACUUACUAUUUAAUAAUUGUAUUUUAUUAUUUACUUUUUUUUUUAUAAUAAAUCUACUCCGCACUCUAUUUUUCUGGUGUGUUCAUCUUUUUGAUUUUUUGACAUUAUGUAAUUAUCGAAAAAAAUACAACUUAAUAUCGUACGAUACAAUUUAAUAUAACAUAAUAUAAUAUAUAUUAUAAAAUGACAUGUAACAACCAUCCAAACAAAGUAUAAAUAUAUAGUUUCAUCAAAAGUUAUAGUGAUAAAGUGGUAAAUUUCGUAGUGAGGUUUAGAUUCGAAUUAUAACAACGAAGUGAUCACUUUUUAAUAAAUAAUAUUUUAUACCUUUAACAUGAGUUUUUUAAAGAAAAUUGAACUCAAAUUAGCGGAAUCUCAGUACGAAUAUUGAGCCUAAAAAGUACUCUAUAAAAGAAGCUCAUAAAUAAAUAGUCCAUUUAAUGGCAAAUUUUAUCCUUUUGUCAAUACAAAAAAGUCCAUGAAUAAUCUUUUCCGAUAUUUGGUAUUGCAUUUUAGUUCUAAAUUAAACACCUUUUACCUGAUUUGAUUACAAAUAUAUAAUAAAUUAGGAAAUUAAGUCGCGCUACGUGCAGUAUAAAAAAUAUUAAAUUAUAAAAUACUUUUAAUAUUGUUUUGUUUUCUUAAAUAAAAUUAUAAUAUUAUUAAUGUUUUUAAUGAUUUUUUCGAUCUUCAAAUCCAAAUAAAUUAUAUUACAAAUUCAAAUACUUAUAUUUGUAAUUUUGAGUUAAAUUCACGGGAUAUUGAUUUUAUCAACAAAAAAAACAAAAGAAUCCUUUGGCACCAUCUAAUAUACCUAUUCUUUUAUGUUAGAGUUAUUAUAAUUGAAAAAAAUUAUGAAUUUAGUAUCCAUUUGAAUGUGUUCUUUUAUAGAGUUAUGACAUGAUAAUAAAAAUUAAAAUAAUAGAUUUAACAGAAAAAAAGAAAAAAAAUGAAGGAAUAUAUACAUUUUAUAGUAGAUAAAUAAAACAACGGUUUACUCAUUGGUGCAAGGAUGAGCUUAAAGUUUGCUUUCACUAAAAUUAUGUUAUUCUCUAAGAUAAAUGCAUAAAAUGUAGAACUAACAUGCAAUUAGCAUAAAAUAUAAUAGAUCUAUGAAUGAAAAAGGGGAUAAUUUCAUACACUUUUCUUUGAAUUUGACUUUUUAAAAUGGUUCGAAUUUGACUUAUAACACUCGCCUCUUAAAAUUUAUGAUAUUAUACUUCUCUUAUUUUAGUUUUAUUGUUAUACUUCUUUUAACCUAUUAAAUAUCUCAAUUAUAUGUUUGGACUUAUCUGUCUGUCACUCCCCGAGCCUACACCCUGGGCGGAACUGGCACUCGAAGACCAUUGCUGGCCUCAAGUGAACUCUUGGCCUGGCUACUUAACUCAGCGGAAGACUUAACUCAACACAAUAUAAGUUCAUAAAACAACCUAAAUGAUAAAAUCUGGCCAAAAUGGCAACUUAUGUCUCAAAAUAGAAUAUCUGUAAAUACAUAGAUGAGAGACUCAUAACUACUGUCUAACUGUCUAUGAAGCCUCUAUAAUACUGAGAUGGAUGUUGGGACAGCCCCACAACAUCCUAAUAAAGAAAAACUAGAAAAGCGAAUAAAAGAGUCCUCCGGAAUGCAAGGAGGCUCACCACUGACUCUAGAGUGCUCGACUAGAUCAACGGCACACUGGAUGCUGAUCCUGGUUACCUGCGUCUGCAUCAUAAUAAGAUGCAAGCCAACUGGCAUCAGAACAUUGAAUGUACGAGUAUGCGAGUUGGAAUGCUAAACAACAACUUAAGCUUGAAAGGAGUAAGAAGGAACACUUACNNNNNNNNNNNNNNNNNNNNNNNNNNNNNNNNNNNNNNNNNNNNNNNNNNNNNNNNNNNNNNNNNNNNNNNNNNNNNNNNNNNNNNNNNNNNNNNNNNNNNNNNNNNNNNNNNNNNNNNNNNNNNNNNNNNNNNNNNNNNNNNNNNNNNNNNNNNNNNNNNNNNNNNNNNNNNNNNNNNNNNNNNNNNNNNNNNNNNNNNNNNNNNNNNNNNNNNNNNNNNNNNNNNNNNNNNNNNNNNNNNNNNNNNNNNNNNNNNNNNNNNNNNNNNNNNNNNNNNNNNNNNNNNNNNNNNNNNNNNNNNNNNNNNNNNNNNNNNNNNNNNNNNNNNNNNNNNNNNNNNNNNNNNNNNNNNNNNNNNNNNNNNNNNNNNNNNNNNNNNNNNNNNNNNNNNNNNNNNNNNNNNNNNNNNNNNNNNNNNNNNNNNNNNNNNNNNNNNNNNNNNNNNNNNNNNNNNNNNNNNNNNNNNNNNNNNNNNNNNNNNNNNNNNNNNNNNNNNNNNNNNNNNNNNNNNNNNNNNNNNNNNNNNNNNNNNNNNNNNNNNNNNNNNNNNNNNNNNNNNNNNNNNNNNNNNNNNNNNNNNNNNNNNNNNNNNNNNNNNNNNNNNNNNNNNNNNNNNNNNNNNNNNNNNNNNNNNNNNNNNNNNNNNNNNNNNNNNNNNNNNNNNNNNNNNNNNNNNNNNNNNNNNNNNNNNNNNNNNNNNNNNNNNNNNNNNNNNNNNNNNNNNNNNNNNNNNNNNNNNNNNNNNNNNNNNNNNNNNNNNNNNNNNNNNNNNNNNNNNNNNNNNNNNNNNNNNNNNNNNNNNNNNNNNNNNNNNNNNNNNNNNNNNNNNNNNNNNNNNNNNNNNNNNNNNNNNNNNNNNNNNNNNNNNNNNNNNNNNNNNNNNNNNNNNNNNNNNNNNNNNNNNNNNNNNNNNNNNNNNNNNNNNNNNNNNNNNNNNNNNNNNGGGGCGCCAGCCCUCAAACUUCAGAGGACCAGCUGGGGCGCGCUGGCUGGCGCUUCGCCCCAAGGGGUGCACUUUACAGCCCCUUUUGGGGCACGCUGGCUGGCGCGACGCCCCACCCCUUUCCCCAGGUCUUUGGCAAUUUUCUUCUCCGUUUUUCAUCUCUAAACCCUCCUAACUUCCAUGGUUCUUUCCCCAAACAUUUAGGAUCAAAAGUACUCUCAACUUACAACAGAUCUAACUCGAAAAUCCACCCGGAAACAUGAAUCAAAUCAACAAGAAACUUCAACAACACAACCAAUCAAGAACUUAACGACGUCCUUCAAGAACUUCACUUUUUAACAUGUAAACAACCUAAAUUCGCUGAAUUGAAACAAGUUGGUAUGUGGGUGAGCUAACCCAUCACUAAAAGAUCUCACAUACCUUAAUACGGAUCACCCCCGACGAAUUUCACUCCAAAAGCUUGACGUUCUUGGCGAAAUCUUGGCUUUUCUCCCUUUCUUUCUUCUUCUCUCUUCUCCAAGCCCUAAGCGUAUUUCUCAAUUCUCCAAACUGACUAAGUAAUAUUUUUACCCCAAUAGAUCCCUAAAAAAGAAUUAGGAAAUUAAUUAGAGAAAAGACGACUUUGCCCUUCCCUAAAUCCGGAUUGGAACUUUUCUCAAUCCAACAUCCCAACUUACGAAAGACCUAUCUCACUCAUACGAUGUCAAAAUCGUGCAAACUCAACGUCGUUGGAAAGAUCUCUCCAAGGGAUUUCCAACCAUAUCAAGAGCUGCUCCUAACUCAUCCUGAGCUAGGAGUUAUGGCCGUUUGAAAAUGGCCAAAACUCACUUUCUUAACUUAGACAAUUUCCAGAUUUCCUUAUUCUUUCCAAAAAUCAAUAUUUUCAUAUUUUAAACUCUUUAUAGUCGUUUCUAGGUGCGAGAUGUUACAUUGUCCCUUAAAGAAACUCAAUAAUCUCGUUCAAAGAAUCUUCUAAGUAGCAUUACACAUAUGGAUGAAAUUUUCAUCUAAUUUCUUAAAUAUUAAAUGAAAUGUUUGAUAAAGUGAAUAGACAAAAAAUCAUUCAUCUCCCUAAAGAGAGUACUAUUAAAACCCUUUCAUGAAUUGGUUUCAAUCUAUUUCAUUAGCUGCAAUUGAUCAACAACAUAAAGAUGAAAAAGAUAAUAAACUAAACUACAAUUUCUUAUCUUUGUAAACAAACAUAUAUGUAAGGAUGAAAAAAUGGAAUACAAAUUGACGGAAUAGUUACAAGAGUGGUAUUAAAAUUAAUGGCAGUACAAUAAUAAAAUUGAAAAUUCAAUAAUCGUUCCCUUAUUAUAUAACUUAUAACUACUGCUAAAUUAAGAUUACAACGAACUCUUCAAGAACCCAAAUUAAGUGAAAAUAGUGAGUAAGAAAGUAAAGAUAUAUGCACUAAUAAGAACAUAGUUAGGAAUACUUAUCGACACACUUUUUCAUUUGAAGCAAAAACACAUGAAAUUUAUUAAUUUGUUUGAUAAUUAAAAUAAAUUAUAAUAUUUAUUAUAUCUCAUAAAUUACAAAAACCUCCAUCUAUUCAUAUUUUCUACUUAAAUGACAUAUCUCCUCAACUCCUUUCUAUGAUUCUCUUCAUUACCUAUACAUUUAGUUUUUCCAAAAUAUAAUGACUUUAAAUUUUAGUUCAAAUUUAUAAUAUAGAAAGUUCAUUAUAAAAAAAAUGUAGUGCCUUUAUAAAAAAAAAAGAACUUUCAAAACUCGAACUCUAUAUAUAUUUGUUAAAGAUAGAUAAAUUUUUAUUCACAUUUUGAGAAGUACCUAAAACUCAUUGAAUAGAAGGGCACCUUUUUAAUUAUUUCUUUGUAGGCUUUAGAUAUUGUGCAUCACAUUAAGUGCAAGUGCUAUUCUAAUCCAUAUUAUGAAAGGACAUUUUAUCUAUAGCUUUAUCUUCCAAAAAAUUUAUUCUCUUAUGUGUGUCAUUUGCCUUUUCAAGAAAACGUUUGGCAUUUAUUUUGGUUAGGUACUUUUGCAGUUGAAGAGGCAUGAUAGUAGUAAUAAAAAGGGAUAAGGGUCUGGAAAAUAUCCUAACUUUGGUCGAAUUUGUUGUUGCGAUACUAAACUUUCAUGAGGACCUAUUACCUCCCUAGACUAUUUAAUANNNNNNNNNNNNNNNNNNNNNNNNNNNNNNNNNNNNNNNNNNNNNNNNNNNNNNNNNNNNNNNNNNNNNNNNNNNNNNNNNNNNNNNNNNNNNNNNNNNNNNNNNNNNNNNNNNNNNNNNNNNNNNNNNNNNNNNNNNNNNNNNNNNNNNNNNNNNNNNNNNNNNNNNNNNNNNNNNNNNNNNNNNNNNNNNNUAUUAAAUAGUCUAGGGAGGUAAUAGGUCCUCAUGAAAAUUUAGUAUCGCAACAGCAAAUUCGACUAAAGUUGGGAUAUUUUUCAGACCCUUAUCCCUAAUAAAAAUGAUUUAGUAAGUCUUGCAAUAUGAUUUUAGUUAAAAGGCUUUUAUUGAAAUAAAAUUUGAAGACAAAAGUUAUUGAAACAAAAGCCAAAAAUCUCACAAUUAAAUAAAGAUAUAUAAUAUAAUAAAAAAAAACCUACGCUAGCAUCUUCUCACACCAGGCGACUCCUAUGGAGUUUUAGGCCUCUAUGGCCGAAACAGUCUCUCCCCAGCCUCGAGCUGUGGACGAAACGCCAGAAAAACCUAGUUAUGCAUCUAUUUCUAAUCCAUCGACUUACACUCAAAAAUCUGAUGGAAAACUUCCACUAAAAUUAAAACCUGUGAUCUAUGUUCAUGGGGAACCUACUAUGAGUUUCAACUUUUUGGAUUUGGAAUCGUAUAUCCAAGAAGAAAACUUGCAAUAUGCUCUUGUUGCUAAGUUUUCUUAUGGGAGACCCGAUAAGAUUGAUCUUAGAAAGAGUUUUACACGACACUUUGCAAUCAAAGGAGAUUGCAAUUUAGGUUUACUAGAUCAUCGUCAUGUUCUGGUAAGAUUAUCAAAUCAGGAAGACUUUAGGGAGGUGUACUCUAGGGCAGUAUCAUUCAUCACAAUAAAAGAAAAGGGCGUGAAUAAUCAAUACCAAUGUCGGAUUCAACGCUAGACACCAUUGUUUAAUCCAAAAGAUGAGACAUCAAUUGCUUUAGCUUGGAUUUCUUUUCCGAGUUUGUCAACACAGAUGUUUGCUCGUGAAGCCUUGUUUUCACUUGCAUCAGCCGUUGGGACACCCCUACAAGUUGAUAAGGCAACAACGGGUAAGUUAAGGCCUAGUGUAGCUAGGGUAAAAAUGGAGGUUAAUCUAUUAUCAUUGCUUCCGAAUAGAGUUAGAAUGUUUUUUAAAGAUGAAAAAAAUGGUGUCGUUAAAGAGGUGUUGCAAAAAAUUGUCUAUGACAAAUUGCCUUUGUACUGCACAAUAUGUAAACAUCAGGGUCACAAGGAGGAAGAAUGCAGACUGACUAUGGAGGUAGAAGGUGGACUAAUUGAUGAAACAAAAAUUAAUGGGGCAAAGUUCAAAGGAGAUUUGCGAUCAAUUUUGGAUGAGAAAAAGAAAGUUCUUUCUCUUCAACAAACUGGAAAAGAGCAACAUCUGGAAACAAAGAAGAUACAGAAACUAUGUUACCUGGGACAUUGACUUCGAAGAUUAGUGAGCAACUUGGUACGACCACAACGAGUUCGUCCACUCCUAUCCAUAUUGAUGUUGAGGCACAAAAUAAUGUAGAUAAUAACUCAAGGCAGUUGAUCGUUACAUCACAAGUCGCUAUAGAGUAGUUAUCGUCUAGAUUUGUGAAAGAUAGAGAGUUGGAUUCACCUAAUGCAGUCGUGAUUACUAAAUCAAGGCAAGAUGAAGCCAAAAAAAGGUAACACUACCGCAGAAAAAUCCAGUAAUCAAUGGACUUUGGUCUCACAUAAAAAAAUGGUUGGCCCUACGUCAUCAAAUAAUCACAUUUUGCACCAAAACAAUUCUACACAUGUUGAGUUUGAUAUGAGUAAUAGUGUCGUUGAAUGUACUCAAUUUGAUGUGUUGCGAGAUGAGAAGUUUGGACAAUAUGAAGGGCUACAUGUUACAGAUGAAUUAUCUGCUGAAUCUGGGAAUACUUUAGACUUGGACAAGCAGAUUGAGCAAAUAGGACAGUUGAAACAAUGUUGUCACGAUGAGCAUACUAAUCAACAAGCUCUUGUGACACAUGAAAAGGAGUUCAUUGCUACAGAGAAGAUAGAUGGCAAGGAAAUCAAUCUAAAUACACCUACCAUGUUUAUUUUAGAUCAAGAGGUGGCUACAAACAAUUUGAAUGAAUAUAAAGAAAAAUGAGGGGUGGGGAGUGCUUCAAGAUGGGCAGAUUUAGUUGAGGAAGAGAAUCAUACUCCUUCACCUAGUAGGAGUAAGUUAAGCCCUCAAGCACUUGAAUUUGUGCUUACAAGUAAAACAAUCCAUCGAUGGCAGUCAUAGGUACAUCAUCUAACUUGAGUGCUACAAAAGUAAACGUGGCAGAUAGAGAUAAUCUUUAUGACUUGGACAAUGACAUGUCUGAUGGAGACGAUGAAGAUCAUGAAGAUGAUGAAGAAGAAAUGUUGGAUAUAUGCUUUGAUAAGGUGGCUAAGGAGGGGGACCUUUCGCCUAGACAACAAAGAAGUGGAAGCACCAAAUGCAAAAAGAAGACACAUGGAAGACAACAUAGUUGGGAUGGUAAGGUGAGUGGGGAUUUUGUCCCAAGGCGCCUACCGAUGCGACUAGCAAAGCAAAAUCAUAUGACAGUGUCAACAACUUUAUCAAGAUCCAACAAAUUCAAAAAGUGAUGAACUAUCAAUUAUUUUUUAACAGAUUUGAAGAAGAAGACAAGAUGCAAAUACUUCAGAUUACUUUAGACUGGCAAACUAUUUGUUUUAGUUCAUACAUAUAUCAAAUGAACUUUGAGGUGGCUAACUCAUCUUUAUUCUUUGAUUUUAUAUUCUUGCAUUACUUAAGCAUCUUCAUUUGUAAUAUCAUCAUAAAGAGUAUUAUAAACUUUAUGAUAAUCAUAGAAUACCUAGUUUUCUCUAGUUCUUUUUUCUUCAUGCUUGUUAAUUAGUAGAGAUUUGUUGUCUCAUUAGGAUUAGUAAGGUAAGGCCUAGCCCCCCUUACUUGUACUUAUCUCUAUUUAUAUCUUUUAAUUUAAAAAUAAAUAAAUAAAAAUAAAUAGAAAUGUUAGCCAUAGAGAAGUAUCAAAAUGUUAAGACUUUGAGAGAGAUUAGACAAUAUAAAACAACCAAAAUAAAAAAAUACUCACGCACAAAAGUAAGCAUACUGUUUGAAGCCAUGUUAUCAUUCUAUGUAUCAGAAGUAUAGAAUUACAAUGUUAAAAAAGAUCAAUAUUAUUCCUACUUAAUAUUGAUACUUAGCAACCAAAAAUGAAAGUGUAACAAAUUUUGUUAUAGUAAAAGAGAUUGGCGAAAAGUUGUAUGUUAAAACAUAAGGCAAAUCAUAGAAAAAAAAGAACUAAUAUAUAAAUUACUUGAAAAUUGCAAAUUUUUCACCCUCACAGAUUCGCACUUGGCCGACAUCAACAUGUACUUAGCCGAUAGCUAGAUACUCUUCUGCUUCUUUUUUUUUCCACCAAUAAUGUGUAUCCUGCCUUAACAUAAAACAAAACAAAUUAAAAUCAACUAUCUAAAGAAAAAGGAAAAUGAAUUAAAAAUUUUGGUACUAUAAAGAUUAUAUAAAAAUAAAAAUGCAAAGAAAGUGUUAAAAACUGUACCUGAUUUUUUUUUUCACAAUUAAGCAAAAAAAGUAGUAAUAUAAUUUGUAUAACAUUGAAGUACCCAAAUGGUUAAAAAGCAGUAAUAUAACCUGUAGUGGAUGAUAUGCCAUGACUGGCAUCUCUACUAUUAUUUAUGCUAUAAUAGGGCAUAAAUGAAAUUUAAUUAAUAGGAUGUCGUUUGGAAUAUUUCGUGCGAGGGUGAAGGGCUGCAUUAAUUAACUGUAAUUUUUUUCUUUAAUGACGUAUAAGCUGUUAAAUAUUAAAUUAAAUUAAAUUAGAUAAAUAGAAAAAUGAGAGGAAAAAAGUAAAAAAAAUCCAAAAAAAAAAAGAUAAAUGUGAUUCCUGACCUAUAAAGGGUGCCACAUUAGCGGGCUUAUGUUCCUGCUUUAUAUUAAUAUAUAGAUUACUUAAAUCAUCAAAGAAGAAUUUGCACAUUAAUUAAUCAGAACCGACAGACUUAGGAAAGAUAUUAUUAGUCAUAGACUCAUAGGACUUGGAUCUUGUUCCAUAAUUACUAGUUAUAAUAACUACGGUAACAUUUAUAUAUUUAAUUAAGCCAAAUAAAUAUAAUUUUUUCCGAUUUUUUUUUUUUAAAAAUAACCUUGCGCCUUGUAAGACUCAUGGUGGCUGAGCCUUACAAGGCUAAAAGCUGCGACGCCUUGUAAGGCUCAUGGGUUUCUGUGCCUUGCGGCGGAAACCCUGAUUUAGACGCCGUUACAAAUUAUUGCCCUUUUGAUUUCAUAAAUAAUUCAGUUGCUCUUUUGGAAUUUUCAAAAUAUUUUGUUGUCCUUUUGAUUCCGGACUCGUGUUUGAAUAGCUCCUAGAUUGGACAACUAACCUGAAUAAUAGUUAAUCCUGUGAGCACCUUGUACCAAACAUAAAUUGUAUCCUUUUCAUACGGAAUAUUGUAUUUAUGGCUUCUUUUUCAUUGGCCUAAAGGGUAUUGAGUUUAACUAAUAUUCAUUGUCGGUGGAAAUUUUAUUUUUUACGAAUAGUGAAUAGUACAUUAUUGUUUUUAAAAAUCAUUUCCUUAAUUAUUACUCCUUUUUCUUUUCACUCUUUUAAUCUUCAGACUUAUAUAUAUAUAUAUAUAUUAUAGUAUUUUUCAAAUGUGUAAACUUAUUUCGAAAAAAAUUAAAAAUUUAAUGUCAAAACUAAAAAGUUUAAAGAUCAUGGAGUGAAAAGUAUCAUAUAAAUUGAGAUAUUAAAAAUACUAUGUCAUAGAAGGGUGACGGUGAUUACUUGGAUUUGUUUUGCAGAAUGCUGCAAAGGUUGAUACUGUAAUUUAUUUAACUUUGAUGGUGAUAAACAUCAAUAAAGUAGAAAUUGACAUCAAUGAAAAGCAAUACAAUAAAUUUUUAAAAAUUGUACAUUAUUUUACUUAGUUUUGAUUUGUUAAGAAAACCCGAAGAAACACCAGUACCAUUCGUAAAAAAAUUUAACCAAAAUAUAUAACAAAAUUUUUUCAAAAUAUAUAUAAAAAAAUUACUAUUAAUUUAAUCAUUCCUAAGACUAUUUUUAAUUAAUUAAAUCUAAAUUACUCAUUCUAGGAAAGUGAAAUUUUUUAUUAUGAAAUAGAGAGUAGUUGAAUUCAAAAGCAAUAACUUAAAUUCCUGCUUGAUCAUAAUUUUGAACUUGAAAUAUAAACAUUUAAAUUUGAAAGUAAUUUUUAAAAUUUGAAGUUGUAUUUGAAUAAACUUUUUUAAAGUUUUGUGAAUGAAAGUUUCAAAAAUUCGAAAACUUAUCCAAAUUAACUUUUAAAACCUAGUAUUUUUGUGAAGAUCGAUUUUUAAAAUUUAAUUCAAAAUUUAUGACUAAUCUCUAGCUAAAUAAUUGAUUAAACGGAAAAGACAAGUCCUUUACUUGUCAUUGAUCAAUCAACUCCGCCUUGCAAUAAUGAUGUGUAUUUUUUGUUUUAUUUUAAGGUGGGUCCAAUAAUGAUGAAAUUUAAAUUUAGAUAAAAUAGUUCAAAUCACCUUCAUCCCAAACUCAAAACACAAUUUUUCUUAUGUGUAUUUUUGAAAAUCCCUAAAACUACUCGCUCAAAAUUAUAAUCCCUCCGUCCCAUUUUAUGUGAGGUAGUUUGACUCGACACAAAAUUUAAGAAAAAAAGGAAGACUUUUAUAACUUGUGGUCCAAAAUGAAUCCUAGAAAUUUGUAUGGCUGUAAAUCAUUUCAUUAAGGGUAAAAUAAAUAUUUUAUAGUUAAAUUGUUACUUAUUCUAGAAAUGUGUCAUUUUUUUGGGACUGACUAAAAAGGAAAGUAAGUCACAUUAAUUGGGACAGAGGGAGUAGCAUUAAUUUUCAAAUUAAAGAAAAUGUUAGAUUUUUUAAAUUACAUUAUGUCCAACACAUUAAGAAGUAAAAUUCAUAGUGACUAAUGUUAGUGAAAAAUUACAAUAUAAUAAAAUUGCAAGAUUACAAUUGAAAAUAAAAUGAAGAAAAUAAAUCAAGCUGAAGCGCGAAUUUCUCGCUCUUUUUUAAGGAGAUUCAAGUCCACUGCAACAAAUAUUUUUCACCGGUGCAGCAAUAGUCCUUCUUGACUUGAUACAACAGCCUUACACAAAGUAUAACUCAACAACUCUGACAAAGAGUUGAGUCCAAAGCUCCACAAAAAGAAUACCUCCCUUCAAUUAAUAAGAACUUUCUUUUUCGACUAACUCUUUCACUCUAUAUUUUUUUUGUGUAUUGUGUGUUCUAAACCAAAUGAAGACCACCACUAUUUAUAAUUGGGGAUGUCUUCCUAGCAAUGAAUAAGAAGAUAAUGGGGUAGUAAAUGGUAAAAAUAAAUGACUUUAGGAGUUACAUAGGUUACAAGGUAUAAUAGAGAAAGAAUAAUGAAGAAUGAAUGGCAAAGGCCACCAACGGCUAAGAGUGCUAACAAGUAAUGUUGUAACAUAACAAACAAUAACUCCAAAUGGAGUAAUGCAACAAAUAAGUGCCACAAACGGUCAAUGUCAGAAACGUCAAGUAAUGGGCAAUUAAGCCUCAAAACAUUGAUUCCAAAAUACAAUCAAAGUGGCCACUAACAUUCUGAUAGGAAUAGCUGCAAGAUGAAUGGGAAAUAUGCACCUUAACCAUUAUUUACGAAUAUUAAAAUGCUCCCAAACCAAUAAUCCCCCACUCAUUAUAAUAUUAAUCAAGAGAGUCUAUCAGCUGAAGGAAGACUAAUAUACAUAAUGAAGGUGUGCUCUGCAUUGAACCUCCACUUAGUGAAAUAAUAACUUUUUACUCCAGAGUCGUAGUGGUCUCAGACUUGAACUAUGACUGCUUAGGGAAAAUAAAAUAUAAUUGUCCACACAUAAUAAUCAAGGUGUUGACAUGAGCUUUAACAGCCAGCACAUUAUGGCCUUGUGCUAUCCCAGUUUCAUGAGUGCUUUUGAGAAUAAGCCAAAUUCUCAUAAAAAGCGACCUACCUCCAUAUAUCACAUAGGUGAAAUCUGUCGAGAGUGCUCAUGUAAACUUAACACUCCACCCAUACGAGCUAUAGAUAUUCAUUAAGAGUUUUAUCAACUCAACCUUCACAAACUACAGGAAACAAUGCACUCACAUCAUAGGGAGGGAAUAAAAAGAUAGUGCAUUUUUCACAACAAGUCAUCAUAUGAUUAGUUUUUCCCCUUGAACCUGGUAAUAGGAUCUAUUGUCCCCAAGUUGGGUUUCCUCAUAUAUGACUCAAGGAUUUAUAGGCUUCAAUUCCAUCCCCCUCAAUGUGCUCCAGACCUUUUCUCUCGUUAAGGCCUUAGGAAAAGGAUGUGCAAGAUUAUCACAAGAUUUGACAUAAUCAACAUUAAUAGUACCAUUUGUCAAAUAUGAUCUUACAUUAUUGUGUUUCCUCUUUAUAGGUCUGGAUUUACCGUUGUAAUAACGGUUUUGAACUCUAACAAUCGCAACAAUGAUAUCACAAUGAAUUAAAAUAGGAGGAAUUGGUUUUUCAAAAUAAGGAAUUUGAAACAAUAAAUAUCUUAAUCAAUUCGCUUCCUCACUAGCUGAAGCUAAAGCAAUUAGUUCAGCCUCCAUGGUAGAGUUAACAAUUAUAGUUUACUUUUUUAAUCUCCAACAAAUAGCACCACCACCCAAAGUAAAGACAUAAUCAGUGGUAGAACAAGAAUCACCUGAUAAAGUGUUCCAAUCUGCACCACAAAAGCCUUCAAGUACAACAUGAUAUUUUUUAUAAAACAAACCACAAUUUUUCAUUUCAAUUAAAUAUCUCAUAACUCUUGUUAUAACAUGCUAAUGUUCAUUACCUGGUUAGUACUCCUACUGCAUAUGCAAUAUCAGGCCUAGUGCAAUCAGUCACAUAUCUCAAACUUCCGAUUAUGUUAGCAUAUUCCUUUUGAUUUAUUACAUCAUUUUCACUUUACAACAGGAAAUAAGUGAACACUUGAAUCAAAAAGGAGUAGCAACAUGCUUGCAAUCAAGAAAGUUAUAUUUUUCAAAAUUUUCUCAACAUAAUGUGACUGGUCAAGGAAAAUUCUAUCACAUGUUCUUGCUAUUUUUAUUCCAAGAAUAAAAUUUGGUUCACCAAGAUCUUUCAUAUCAAAAUGGCUUAUAAGAAUAUUCUUAGCUUCAUCAAUAACAUUCAUGUUAGAGCCAAAGACCAACAAAUCAUCAACAUAUAGGCAAAUAAUCACAUGUGAAUUAUUUCAAGACUUGUGAUAUAUGCACUUAUCACACUCAUUUGUUGUAAAACCAUUUCCAAUCAUGUUGGAAUCAAACUUUUCAUGCCAUUAUUUUGGUGCCUGUUUCAAGCCAUAUAUGGAUUUAAUAAGUUUACAUACUUUGCUUUCUUGGCCUGCUUCAACAAAAGACUCGGGUUGUUCCAUAUAAAUUUUCUCAUUUAGGUCUCCAUUUAAAAAGAAAGUUUUUACAUCCAUUUGAUGAUUUUGCUAAGCAAAAAUUGCAGUCAUAGCAAUUAAAAGGCUUGUGGAUGUAAUUCUUGUUAUAGGUGAAAAAAUAUCAAAAUAUUCUAGGCCUUCUAGUGUUUAAAACCUUUUGCAACUAGUCUAGCCUUAUAUUUAUCAAUAGAUCCAUCCGGUUUCAACUUUUUUCUAAAAAUCCAUUUGCAACCAAUAGUUUUACAACCCAGUGGUAAAUCAACUAACUUCCAAGUUUUAUUAGAAAUUAGUGAUUCCAUUUCAUCAUUUAAUUUACAGCCUCUUUCCAAAUAAUGGAAUCAUGUGAAGAUGAAGCUUCUUUUAAAGAAAGAAGGUCAUCUCCAACAUUAAACACAUAAAAAUCAGGACCAAAAUCUUUUUCUACUCUAGCUCUUUUACUUCUUCUUAACUCAAAAUCAUCAACUUUUUUAUUUUUCAAAGUGAGAGUAAAAGAAUUAGGUAGUGACAAAAUAUUUUGUUCAAUUCUUUGACCCCCACUAUUUUUAGAAUCAAAAGGAAAUUUAUUCUCAUGAAAAAUAGCAUCACCCGAUUCUAUCACAAUAUUAUCUUCAAGAUUAAAAUAUCUAUAGGCUGUACUAUUUGAAUCAUAACCAAGAAAAACACAAGUAGUAACUUUCUUACCCAAUUUUGUGAUCUUGGGAUCCAUUAGCCUCACAAAGGCUAGACAACCCCAAACUCUUAGAUAUCCCAAACUUGGCUUGUAACCUUUUCCACAAUUCAAAAGGUGUCAAUUUAGACUUUUUAUGAGGCACACGAUUUAACACAUAACAAGCAGUCAAAAUAGCUUAACCCAAAAAUUUAAAGGUGCAUGUGACUCAAUAAACAUGACAUUAAUUAGUCAAUUCAACCAAAGUUCUAUUUUUUUCUUUCCGCUACACCAUUAGAUGAGGGAGAAUAAGGAGGAGUAGUUUCAUGAAUUAUUCCCAAUGAUCUAACAAAAGAAUUAAACUCAUUUGACUCAUAUUCACGGCCUCUAUCACUUCUAAUUCUUUUAUUUUCUUUCAAAUUGAUUUUCAACCUCAUGGAGAUAAGUUUUGAAAUUUUCAAAAGCAUCACUUUAUUUUUCAUCAAGUAAACAUAUGUAAACUUAGAAAAAUCAUCAAUGAAAAGUGAUAAAAUAUCUAUUACCUCCACGAGUUAAAAUUCCACCAAGUUCACAAAUAUCAAUAUGAACUAAUUCUAACAAAUCAGUUUUUCUUUCAACUUGAAAAUGAGACAUUUUAGUGAUUUUGUCUUUACUACAAGCCUCACACUAUUCAAAAUUCUUUUUAAUCAUUGGAAUUAAUCCUAAACUACUCAUGAUUCCACCAUAACGAUCAUUAAUAUGACACAAACGAGCAUGCCAAAAAUUAGUAGAAGAAAACAUAUAAACAGAAGUAGAAGCUUUAUUCACUUCUACAUUCAAUUUGACCAUCCCAUUACAAACAUAUCCCUUUUCCACAACAAUAUCCUUCUUCACAAUUACAUAUCGAUCAGAUUCAAUAAUCUGUUUAAAACCUGCUUUAUUAAGAAGAAAACUAGACAUCAAAUUUUUUCUCAUGGAAGGAAUAUAGAGUACAUCUUUCAAAGUUAAUACUCUUACAGAAGUAAAACACAAUUCGACAUCUCCCGUUCCAAGCAUUUGAGUUUUGUGAGAAUCACCAAGCAUGAUGGUUUUGGGCUCCUCAAAAUGAGUAUAUUUUUUAGGACAAAUUACAGAAAUCGCAUACUUUUAAGGCAAAAUUACAAUACAUCACUUAAAAGUUUAUAAUUACAGAAAUCCCUCAAACGGAUAUAAUAAGAUAAGCGCUGAUACAUUAAUUUGAUACGCGAGAUACAAUAAUAUAAGUGAUGAUACAUGCGCGAGAUACAAUAAUAUAAGCGCUAAUACAUUAAUCCUAUGCGCGAGAUACACUAAUAUAAGCACUGAUACACUAAUCUGAUGCACGAAAAUGAGGAAUUUUGGAGAUUUGUAAAACUUAUAGGGGAUAAUGGUAAUAAGUAAACUAAAAGGUGGGAUUUCUGUAAUUUUUCCUAUUUUUUAAACCAGUCUUUGUCAUUACAGACUUGACGGUUUGCACCAGAAUCAACCCACCAUCCAUCAACAAUCUCAACCAUGUUUAUGUCGAUAAUCACCCCCCAAAAGGUUCUUCGGUAACGUUUGCCUGAGGGUUAGGACCACGUUUUCAGAAUCUGCAAAAUCGAGCAAUAUGCCCACUCUUGCCACAAACAAAGCACGGUCCCUUAUCUUGAACUUGUUGAUUUUGUGCUUGGUUAUUUUCACCAUUAUUUUUCUUAGGAGGUCUACUAUUAUUUUUCUUAAAUUUUUUCUUCUUAGUUCAAAGAAGUAUUUUUGUGAGUUUCAAGAGUAGCAUUAUUUGAAGUAAUUAAAUUUACCUUCGUUGUGAUGUUGCUCUCUUCUUUUUGUAAAAGUGCAUCUUGGCCCCUUGCCUCUACACCAUCGUGCUUUUCCACUUUCCCAUGAUGAGAAAUAAGUUCAUCAUCAUCUAUGGAGGUAUCAUCAACUUUAUUAGGAUUCUUUUCAGUUAACACAUAAGAAACACUGAGAAGAUUUAAGUAGAAAAGUACUUUACCCUUCCAUCUUUUGAAAUGGUUACCAUUGAACCGAUAUGGCUUGUUCAGGUCUACCAUCUUGACAUCUGCGGUUUUUUCAAUUAUAGCCAUUAUUGAAUCUCUUUAAAAUUGUUAGUGAAAAAUUACAAUAUAAUAAAAUUGCAAGAUUACAAUUGAAAAUAAAAUAAAGAAAAUAAAUCUCUUCAGGUUGAGGCGCGAAUUUCUCGCUAUCUUUAGGGAGAUUCGAGUCCACCGCAACAAAUAUUUUUCAUAGGUCCAGUAGUAGUCCUUCUUGACUUGUUCCCGAUACAACAACCUUACACAAAGUAUAACUCAACAGUACAACUCUGGACAAGAGUUGAGUCCAAAGCACCACAAAAAGAACACCUCCCUUCAACUAAUAAGAACUCUCUUUUUUUACUAACUCUUUCACUCUAUAUUUUUCUUGUGUAUUGUGUGUUCCAAACCAAAUGAAGGCCACCACUAUUUAUAGUUGGGAUGUCUUCCUAGCAAUGAAUAGGAGGAUAAUGGGGUAGUAAAUAGUGAAGAUAAAUGACCUUAAGAGUUACAUAUAUUACAAGGUAUAAUGGAGAAAGAAUGAUGAAGAAUGAAUGGCAAAGGUCACCAACGGCUAAGUGUGCUAACAAGAAAUGUAGUAACAUAACAAACAAUAACUCCAAAUGGAGUAAUGCAGCAAAUAAGUGCCACCAACGGUCAAUGUCAGAAACGUCAAGUAAUGGGCAAUUAAGCUUCAAAACAUUGAUUCCAAAAUACAAUCAAAGUGGCCACUAACAUUCUGAUAGGAAUAGCUGCAAGAGGAAUCACUACAAAAGGAACUCCAAUUACCAAUAAAAAAAAUCGCUGGUAAAUUGAGUUAUCAACCAAAUGCCAACUUAUAUUAAUCCGCUGCUAAAAGGCUCAUCGGUAAAUAUUACCAACUGAUUUUAAUUUAUUGAUAAACUUAUCAACCAAAAAUCAAUUGGCAAACACCCAAAGAUGUUGUUACAGAACUUUGAAACAUGGUCCUGAAAUUUCUGAUAGGAAACUUUUCCAGAUACAUUGGUAAUUGGUUGGCAAUUUUAAUAAUAUAAAAUUUAUGUUGGUAAUUUACCAAUAAAUUUGUAAUACUUUUUUUUUUGGUUUCCCAUCCGGUGUUCGGUAUCCACAUUGGAGCCCGACUGAAUCCGGAUUCACGCCGGGAAGUCCCACAUUGGGUAGUAAAGCGCUCUCUAACAAAGGCGACUCCAUACCUAAGGGGAAUCGAACCUGAGACCUCUUGGUUAAUGAUGAAGGAGUACUUAUCACUCCACCACAACCCUUGUUGGUAAUAAAUUUUAAAUAGCGUUAGUAUUAUUAUUUGUUUUUCUAAUAAAUUUACUAAGUGAUUGUUAGUUUGUUGGUAAUACAUCAUUCAAGGCGACUCUGUAUCCAAGGGGAAUCGAACCUAAGAUCUCUUGGUUAAGGAUGCAGGAGUACUUACCACUCCACCACAACCCUUGUUGGUAAUAAAUUUUAAAUACGUUAAUAUGAUUAUUUGUUUUUCGAAUAAAUCUACUAAUUGAUUGUUAGUUUGUUGGUAAUAUAUCAUUCAAGUUCAAUGUUAGGUUAGUAAUUGAUUGACAAUAUGCUCAAAAUAUUAUUAAAUGAAUGAUUAUCCAAUAGUAAAAUAUUUAUUAAUUUAUUGCAUUUAGAAAUCUAAGAGCACGAAUAUAAAUCCAAAAAUAUUAAUAUCAAUUUUAUAAAUCAUAUUUGAAUGAAACAAUGUAAAAUCUAUGAUAACAAGUUAAAUUAAUCUCAAUAUGUCACAUAUCAUUAUAUCAAAUUUUUUAAUUUGAGCAUGUUUACCAAAAAUAUUGACCAAAUCUAAAUUUUGGCCAAAACUUAAAAGAUAAAACACCUAACAACACAAACUAAAAAUGGAACCCUCAAAACCUGAACCAACCAUCAUAUUAGAUAUAAAAAUGACCUUUCGAAGCUAAUCACACUGACAGAAUUCUCAUCAGAGCACGUUUACAAAAAAUGUUACGCAAAGUCAAAUCUUGGCCAAAAGUUAAAAUUUAAAACGCCUAACGGUACAAACGAAAUAUGAAAACCUCAAAAUCCAAACCAACCAUCCUAUAAGACGAAAAAUGACCUUCUAGAUCUAACCGCGUUGACAAAAUUCAAAUUUGAGCAUAUUUCCCAAAAAAAAUUGACCUAAUUCAAAUUUUAGCCAAAAGUUAAAACGCUUAACGACACAAACUGAAAAUAAAAGUCUCAAAACCCAAACCAACCAUCCUAUGAGACCAAAAUUGAACUUAUAUGGCUAACUGCAGUGACAAAAUUUCAAUUCGAGCACGAUUACUAAAAAUAUUGACUAAAGUAAAAUUUUGGCCAAAACUUAAAAGUUAAAAUGCCUAACGGCACAAACUAAAAAUGGAAGCCUCAAAACCCGAACCCUCUAUCUUAUUACAUCAAAAAUGACCUUCCGCAUCUAACUGCACUGACGAAAUUCUCAUCUGAGCACGUUUAUCAAAUAUAUUGACCGAAGUUAAAUUUUGGCCAAAAUUUAUCAGUUAAAACACCUAAGGCACACACUAAAAAUGAAAGCCUCAAAACCCGAACCAACCAUCUUAUUAGAUAAAAAAUGACCUUUGGAGUUAAUUACGCUGACGGAAUUCUCAUCUGAGCACGUUCACAAAAAUAUUGACCAAAGUCAAAUUUUGGCCAAAACACAAGAUUUAAAACACCUAACGGCACAAACAAAAAACGGAAGAGUCAAAACUUGAACCAACCUUCCUGUUAGAUAAAAAAUGACCUUUCGAGGCUAAUGACACCGAUAAAGUUCUAAUAUGAGCACGUUUACCAAAAAUAUCGACCAAAGUAAUCAAGUUUUGGCUAAAAUUUAAAAGUUAAAACGCCUAACAACACAAACUGAAAAUGGAAGCCUCAAAACCUGAACCAACCAUCCUAUUAGAUAUAAAAAUGACCUUCCAAAGCUAAUCGCGCUGACGAAAUUCUCAUCAGAGCACGUUUACAAAAAAUGUAAAGCAAAGUCAAAUUUUGGCCAAAAGUUAAAAGUUAAAACGCCUAACGGUAUAAACUGAAUAUGAAAACCUCAAAAUCCAAACCAACCAUCCUANNNNNNNNNNNNNNNNNNNNNNNNNNNNNNNNNNNNNNNNNNNNNNNNNNNNNNNNNNNNNNNNNNNNNNNNNNNNNNNNNNNNNNNNNNNNNNNNNNNNNNNNNNNNNNNNNNNNNNNNNNNNNNNNNNNNNNNNNNNNNNNNNNNNNNNNNNNNNNNNNNNNNNNNNNNNNNNNNNNNNNNNNNNNNNNNNNNNNNNNNNNNNNNNNNNNNNNNNNNNNNNNNNNNNNNNNNNNNNNNNNNNNNNNNNNNNNNNNNNNNNNNNNNNNNNNNNNNNNNNNNNNNNNNNNNNNNNNNNNNNNNNNNNNNNNNUGGUUGGUAAUCUGUUAGAAUUUCGUUGUUAAGUUUUAAAAUAUAAUUUAGUCAGAAUAUGUUGGUAAUUUGUUAGUAGAAUACUAACCAACUUAAGUUGUUAGUAAAAUCUGUUGACAAUUUGGGUUUUUUUUUGUAGUGAAUGGGAAAUAUGCACCUUAACCAUUAUUACUAAUAUUAAAAUGCUCCCAAACCAACAACUAAUGCUAAGAAAAGUCUUAUUCAUAUCAUUGAUCAAUCAAUUUUUAUUUUUUAUGUAUUAUUAUAUAAACAUUUUGUCUUAAUUGGAGAAGGAGUUUACUGAUUGGAAUCUAAAAUUGUUAAGAUUGUUUUUAACAAGGCUAAAAAUAGAAGGUGUCCUUCUAAGGAAAUUGGGAGAGGUACUAUCAAUAUAGCAUAGGCCAUAGCAGCUUAUUUUGGAAAAUGACUAUUCAAACUUUAUUUUAGAAUGUGAUUUCCUGAUUAUAAUUAAUAUGAUCAAGGAUAUAUCUCAAAUGGCCUGAAAAUUGCUGCAAAAGAAAGAAUAUAUUCUGAGUAACUAGCUAUGAUUUGUCUUUCUUUAGUUUUUGUUGGACCUGUUUUCAAGGUAGUAUAUUAAUGCUUAUUAACGGAAGUUUACGCUAUCGUCCCUCUCUACUUAUUCUCUGUAUAAAUUUUGGAUUAAAUAAAAGGAUUACACAGCUAAAGACAUAAAAUUUUACAUUAAAAAAAUGCAAAUUCAUGAAGUUUGGGGGGUGGGGGUGGGGGUUAAUGUUUCAUUUAUUAAUUAAUUCUAUUUUUAAUUCACUCAAUUUACUCCAUGUAAGAGAGUUGCACUAAUUCAAGCUAAAUAGGUAGUCGAUCUAGAUUGACUCACGACUUGGCCGACUCUUACUUUAAAAAAAUCAAGGCAUAUGCCUUAGGCUCUUAAUUUUGGAGGGAUUAAUUUUUUUACUAAGAAUAAAUGAUGUGUUAAUUUUUUUAUUUAUAGAAAAAUGAUAGUUAUUUUAUUCUCGGGUUUGAGCCCUGGAUAUGGAGAAAAUCCGGUUGGGAGCGCCACACCCGAAUGAGCCCUGCAGAGCGCGAUCCAAAUUUAGUCGGAGCUCUAAUGUGGAUUCCAAACAUCGAGUGAGAAAAAAAAACAUUUAGACUUAGUAAGAGUUGGAUGGGCAGCUCGUUUCAUGGCCCAUAAUUUAGCUAUCUUAAACCCAAUUCAUUUCCUUAGGUCCAAGUAAUAUUUAGAUUGGAUCAUAAACUUAUUCAUUUAGCAUCUCAUUAUAAUUCAAUCCGUCCCAUAUCUGACACCCUUCUUAAGCAUGAAAGUAUGUAUGGAUCACACAUUCAAACACAAAUUAAAUGUAUCGGAUAUGCAUGACAAUUAAAGGACAUGCAUAUUCGAACAUAGCUAGCUAGCUAGCUUGUUUUAUUCAUAACUCAUAAGCAUACAUUAAUUAAAAUUACAUAGAGCCUGGAGACGCAUCCACUUUAAUUUAUUCCUUAACGAAGACAAUGGGAAGAUGGUUUUCACCGGAAGCCACGAGAGGAUAUAAUCCGUAAUCAAAAGUCAAGUUCACACAAUUAAGUUGAGGGGAAUCCGUACAAUACAUUAAGUUGUAUGCAUUUUCCAAUUCUUGUUCCUCCGUCGUCUCAUAUUUCAAAAUCUUGAACAAGUUGCUUUCAGUUCCUAUGGUACCACCAGUCACCACGAACUGAUCUUUAUCAUCACUAACUUUCCAAAUAGUUUCGUUAAAACUGGGACUAGAUAUAUCAAGUGUUGAGAACAUGAUAUCAAUGCCAUCCGUUUCACGCACCACAUCAUCAUCAUUAUCAACCUUAAGAACGAAUUUCACGGGGGUGCCUUUUCCUAUCAAACCGGGAAUCGGUACGUGCUGCAACACGGUGUUUGGGCAUUCAAGGUGUCCAAUAUUGGCCAAGUAUACGGAUUCCGCCUCCAAUGAGAGGAUUAUGAAUAAUGUACUUUUCACCAAUGUACGUAGUGUGGUAGGCGGUCCAUGUCCAACACUUGAGGGGCUACAUCAUCAUCAUCAUCAUUAUUAUUAUUAUUAUUAUGAGUAGUUGUGGGAAGGACAAUGGGAUUGUUGGAAGUGAAAGAUCGACAAAAGGCAACAAAGGGAAACAAAGAGAGUAAGAGGAAACUCAAAAUAUUAAUCAACUUCAUCUUUAAUUUGAGUGUGUUGUGUGUAUAUUUUGCUUACUCUAUCUCCAAUUUAUAGACCACCACAUGUAUGUAACAACAUUUUUGAGAAACAAAAAAUGCCUACCUUUUAGGUUAGGUUAGUGACAUGAUUUAUUAACUAGAUCUAAUUAUAAGUAGUAUAAAGACUUUCUAUUUUAACAAUGAAUUAAAAAUAUUUAUAUAUAUAUAUAUAUAUAUUGUUAGAAAACAUAAGCAAUGUGGAGAAAUUUUCUGUGUAUUUCUUCAUGAAAAAACUCACUGUACAGCCUUCUAGUAUAUAUACAAAUUCUAUUCUAUCCUAAAUUGUGUGAACUAUGAAAUUAAUGCAAUAUGUAUUUACACUUGUCAUUUCAUUAUUGGUCUUCUUCUAACAAACUCCAAACGGCUGUCAUGUGCCAUAUGUGUGCUAUGGUUGAGAAAUAUCUAGAAUUGUACAACUGUAGCAUACAGCUGGAUGGCUCUGAUUAAUUUGAUUCAAUAAGAGAUCUUUGCCCCUGAUGUUGCCACGCAUCCUUUGGACCUUUUGUAUGCCUAUGUUGUUUUUGUUUGAAACUAGGAGAACUUUGAACAUUGUUUCCUUUCAUCUCCUUCUUUUCUUUUUCUGUAAAAUCACCAUGGCCAUAAUCAUGAUGUUCUUGAUUCUCAACACCCCCCUUCAAGGUGGAGGGGAGAGAAACGACACCCAACUUGGAAAGAAUCGAGAAGUGUGAAGGACCGGAGAGGGCCUUUGUGAACAGAUCAGCCAACUGAGCAGAGGAUGGAACAAAAGAUAGAGAGAUCAACCCGGAAAGGAACUGUUGUCUCACGAAGUGGCAAUCAAGCUCAACAUGCUUGGUUCGUUCGUGAAACACUGGAUUCUUCGCAAUAUGAAUAGCAGCUUGGCUAUCAGAGUGAAGAGGCACAAACAAUGAUGGAGAAAUGGACAGAUCUAGAAGAAGUCGGGUUAACUAGGUAAGUUCCGCAGUAACUCUCCUCAUAGACCUGUAUUCUGAUUCAGCGGAAGAUAGUGAAAUAAAGGCUUGUUUCUUGGACUUCCAAGAAAUUGGUGAGCCACCAAUGCUAAUAAAGAAACCACUAAUAGAUCUCUGACUAUCUCGACAAGAUGCCCAAUCAGCAUCACAUAGCAAUCAGGGAAGAUGAUGAUGUAGGAUUGAAGAAUUGACCUUGGUUUGGAUUGAGUCGUAGAUAUCUCAACACUCGAAGUGCAGCAUCAAAAUGGCCCUGACACGGCUGUUGCAUAAAUUGACUAAGAGUGAGGACUAAGAAUGAAAGGCCUGGCCGUGUAUGUGUGAGAUAGUUCAAUUUACCUACUAAUCUCCUGUAAAUGGAAGGAUCUGCAAGUAAAGGACCUGAUGAACUAGUGAGCUUAGAACAAGUGUCAAGUGGAGAGGAGACUGUAAAUAGAGAUGUGCAAUCAAAUUCUUGUAACAAAUCUAGUGUGAAUUUUCGUUGACUGAUAAUACAACCAUGUUCUCCCCUUAAAAUUUCCAUGCCAAGAAAAUAAUGAAGCUCCCCUAAGUCCUUGAUUUGGAAUUCAGAGUUGAGAAAAUCCUUCAUAGUGACAGUUUCAAUAAGAUCAUCCCCGGUAAUCAAAAUAUCAUCAACGUAGACAGCAAUAAUUGAAAUCAGAUCCCCUGUUUUCUUGAAAAACAAAUAAUAGUCAUUAAGAGAUGUUGUAUAUCCUUUAAAAGUUAGGGCUCCUGCAAGCUUGGCAUACCAUUGCCUUGAAGCUUGUUUGAGCCCAUAUAGUGACUUUUGAAGCCAGCAAACAUGAUUGGGACUGAGUGAUGCCAUUCCUGAAGGAAACUUCAUGUAGACUUCCUCUUGAAGGUCUCCAUGAAGAAAAACAUUAUUAACAUCAAAUUGUGAAAUGGACCAACCUUUCUUGACUACAAUGGCAAUGAGACACCUAAUGGUUGUCAUUUUGACAACUGGGGAAAAAGUCUCAGUGUAGUCUAUGCCUUCCCUUUGUAUGUCAUCUCUUAUCACAAGUCGUGCCUUAUAUCAUUCAAUUGAUCCAUCAAAAUGUUGUUUAAUUUUGUAUACCCAUUUGCAAGGUAAAGCCUUCUUGCCAGUAGGUAACAACAUGACCUUUCAUGUAUUGUUUUCUUCCAAAGAUGUAAUCUCUUUUUGCAUUGCAAGCUGCCAAUUAGGAUCCAAACUAGCUUGUUUGAAACUAGUAGGUUCUGAGUGAGCACUAAUAGAACCAAGGAGAUGUUGAUUCUGUAAGGAUAAAGCUCCAAAAGAAAAAGUAGAUGAGUGUGCAGGUUGUGCUAAACAAGUGUCUGAAAUGUUAGUGAGAAACAUAUGAUUAUAGACAAAAUCAUUUAGCUAUGCAGGCCUCUUACUUUCCCUGUUAGAUUUUCGGAUAACAGGUGUGGAAGGAGGAGGAGAUACAAGGAGAAAAGAAGGGGAAAACGAAGGAUAGGAUUGAGAAGAUGAGCUAGAGGAGGAUGAAAGAAUAUGUAGGGUUGAAGAGUCAAUAGAGGAGUCAGGAGUGAGGGAAGAAAUAGGAAAAAUUGGCUCAGAAUCUGAUUGAAGAUUUGAGAAAGGGAAAAUGUGCUCACAAAAUUGAAUAUCUCUAGAUAUAAAGAUCUUUUUAGAUGAUAUGUCAAGAAGCUUGUAUCCUUUUUGGCCCUGUGGGUAGCCCAAAAAUAAACAAGCAAUGGCCCUGGGAUCAAACUUGUUUCGAUUACUGUGCAAAGUAGAGGCAUAACAUAGACAAUCGAAAGCUCGCAAAACUUAUAAUCAGGACAUUUCUGAAAAAGAAUCUCAUAAGGGGUUUUCCCAUGAAGUACUCUGGAAGGAAUUCGAUUAAUAAGAAAAGUAGCAGUCAAUAAACAAUCCCCCCAGUAGCAUUAAGGAAGUUUGGAUUGAAAAAGUAAAGCCCUUGCAAUUUCUAAUAAAUGUCUAUGUUUCCUCUCAACAGCCCCAUUUUGUUGAGGUGUAGCAACACAAGAUGUUUGAUGAAUAAUCCCUUUUGACCUCAAAAAUUCUGCUUCAUGUACCCCUUUCCCCAACUCUAGAGCGUUAUCAGAUCGAAGCGUUUUCACCUUAAGGUCAAAUUGUCUCUCAACCAUGAAUAAAAAAUGUUUCAAAACAGAUAAAACAUUACUCUUAGUAGUUAAUGUGUAUGUCCAAGUACCCCUACUAAAAUCAUCAACAAGAGUAAGAAAAUACUUAUAUCCAUGGUAAGUAGGAACUUUGAAAGGUCCCCAAGUGUCCAUAUGAACCAGUUCAAACACCCUUUUAGAAGUAACAUGAUUAAUGGAGAAGGGUAAUCUGGUUUGUCUAGAAAGGGGACAUAUGUCACACACAAGAAUAAUUAGAAGGAAAAGAAAUGAAACUGAAUUUUUUCAUAGCUGAAUAAAGCAAAUGGCCUAGUUUGGCAUGCCAAAGAGCUACAUCAGAAACAACACUAGCAAAAAAAGGAGAACAAACAGGAACAGUUUUGGAAUCACUUCCUUUUGGUAAAGAAACUACAUUACAUGGAGAUUAAAUACUAGCACUAGAAAUGACAGAUUCUAAAAAUAAAGACCCUCUUCAGCUUCACCAAAAUCUUGUUUCCUCAUCAUUGAACGGUUCUGCAUGACACACUUUUAAGGAUUAAAUAAGAGAAAACAACCAAACUGGCUACAUAACCUAUGAACAGACAACAAAUUAUAUCUGAAAGAAGGAACAAAAAGAACAUUCUAUAGAAUAAGAGUAGGAAAAAUGGCUAUGCUAUCAGUGUGUGUGACCUUAAUCCUGUAAGAAUUAGGUAAAUUUAUAGUGACAGGUGCUGGAAGAGAGACAAGAUUGAGAAAGGAAGUAUGCUUAUAACACAUGUGUUCAGAAGCCCCUGAGUCUAUGAUCCAAGUAUGAGAGUUAAAAACAGAGAAACAUGAACUAGAAUAUUGAGUAAUAGUACCAGCCACAUCAUUUGCAUUAAUCUCUGAGCUAGUACCAGCUCCAGGAGUGGUCUGUCCUUGUUUGAACAUCUGUUUCAUAUGUGAAAUUUGACUCUUACUCAGAAUCUUCAUAUACAAUGGGUGAAUGUCCAUAAUUGUCCUCAAUAAGUGCUUCAUUCCCCUUGAUAAGUGUUUGAAAUCCUUUAGUGAACUAAAAAUCUUCUGGGUACCCAAUCAAUCUAUAACAGUCAUCUUCUACAUGCCCAGUCUUUAGACAAUGAGUACAACUCACAUUAGGAUUGUAUUUCUUCCUUCUUACUUUUCUUGGAUUCUGGGGUGUAAAAUUCCUUUGAGGAUUUGCUGAAGGCCUUUGUCCCUGAGGUUGCCCACCAGAAUGUUGAAAUUGUCCUCCAGACCUCUGUGAAGACUGACCUGGAUGACCAGGCUUCUGCAUUUGGUUUCCAAGUUUCAUUUGGGAAUUGUGGAUUAAUAUAAACUUUUCUCUGAUUCUCAUCCUGAAACAAGAGAGAGUAAGCAUGGUUGAUUCCUGGCAAAGGAUUCAACAUGAGAAUAUUACCCCUUGCCUGAGCAUAAAGAUCAUUCAAUCCCAUAAGAAAUUGAAUUAGCCGAUAAUCUUCAACAAAUUUAGUCAUCUUUUGCUUCCCUGUACACACACAAGGACAUGUACAACCAACAUGAGAGUUGAGAAAAUCCAACUCAUCCCACAACCUUUUUAAUUUAGUGAAAUACCCUGCUAUAUCAUUGGAUCCUUUUACUAACCCAGUCAUUUAUUUUUGCAGGUGGUAUAAUUUAGCACCAUUCAACUAGCCAAAUCUCUGUUCUAGAUCUGUCCAGAGGUCCUUGGCAGUCCUGGAGUAGAUGGCAGAGUGAGCUAUAUCCAUGGACAACGAGUUAAGUAGCCAAAAAGUUACCAUGUCAUUGCAUUUAUGCCAAGAAGAAAAAGUGGGUGUUGUGUUCAAAGGCUCUACACAACUACUAUCAAUAAAACCCAGCUUGUUCUUAGCCGACAAAGCAAUUAGGACAAAUCUCAUCCAUCCCUGGUAAUCCCUCACAUCGAAGGUGCUAUUAACAAGAUUCAUACCUGGUGCAUCUGAAGCAUGAAGAAAAAGAGUAUUACUAAAAUAAAAAAUACUGCCCAUUGCAGUUUGACCUACAACAAUAGGAGCUAUAGCAGUAGGAAUGACCUCUUCUGUAUCCAUGAUUCAAAAAGGGAGGAUGAACACAUAAAUUUGUAGAAGAGCAAAAAAAUGUGGAUUUUAAUGCUCUGAUACCAUGUUAGAAAACAUAAGCAAUGUGGAGAAAUUUUCUGUGUAUUUCUUCAUGAAAAAAAUUACUGUACAGUCUUCUAGUAUAUAUACAUAUUCUAUUCUAUCCUAAAUUGUGUGAACUAUGAAAUUAAUGCAAUAUGUAUUUACACUUGUCAUUUUAUCAUUGGUCUUCUUCUAACAAACUCCAAACGGCUGUCAUAUGCCAUACAUGUGCUAUGGUUGAGAAAUAUCUAGAAUUGUACAACUGUAGCAUACAUAUGGAUGGCUCUGAAUAAUUUGAUUCAAUAAAAGAUCUUUGCCCCUGAUGUUGCCACGCGUCCUUUGGACCUUUUGUAUGCCUAUGUUGUUUUUGUCCGAAACUAGGAGAACUUUGAACAUUGUUUCCUUUCAUCUCAUUCUUUUGUUUUUCUGUAAAAUCACCAUGUCACGACCCAAAAUGAGUCGUGAGUGGCACCCACACUUAACCUCCUAAGUGGGCGAACCAAGGAAUCUAAAACCUAACAUAUAUCAAUAAUUCAACUAUGAAUAACAAUAAGGUACGGAAGCUCAAAACUUGUUAAAGUAACCAAUCAAAUAAAUUUCAAAGGUCUAUUACAUAUUAUCCCCAAAAACUGAAAGUCAUCACAUCAAGGACAUCUAAUCUUCAAAUACUAAGUCUAAGAGUAUUGAGGACACAAAAAUAAAUGAAUAAAAUAGUUUAUGUCCGAAAACUUAGGACAUCAUGCCAUGACCAAGAGAAUCUAACACGAGUCGGAAUGAAUAGCUCACACUAGAACCUAAUGUGCUGGAGACUGGAUAGAGCUGAGGGCGAAUCAAAGUCACUGAUACACUCGCUGCACUCCACAAAAGAAAAUAAAGAAAAAAUACAAGUAGGGUCAGUAUAGGGCAACAUGUACUGAGUAAAUAUUAUCGGUCAACCCAAAAUAGAAACUAACAUGUAAUGAAUAAUAGUAUAAAAUCAACUAUGACACUUAGAAGGUGGCAAGCAACAAACACAUGAACCAGUGUCAACCACACUAAAGUAAGUACGUAAUCAAUCAACAAUAUCAAUAUCACACAUGAGGACUCAUGCCUCCAAACCAAACUAAUUUGGGAAUUGAGUUCUUUGAAAUUGAGUACAUUAAGUUAAUUCAAUAUAUUUUUCCUUUAAUGUUACCGUGUCGGAACGUGACACUCCGAUCAAAUUAUACUGUGUCGAAACGUGACACUCCGAUCCAAUUAUGCCGUGUCGGAAUANNNNNNNNNNNNNNNNNNNNNNNNNNNNNNNNNNNNNNNNNNNNNNNNNNNNNNNNNNNNNNNNNNNNNNNNNNNNNNNNNNNNNNNNNNNNNNNNNNNNNNNNNNNNNNNNNNNNNNNNNNNNNNNNNNNNNNNNNNNNNNNNNNNNNNNNNNNNNNNNNNNNNNNNNNNNNNNNNNNAUCCAAUUAUAUCAUUAAUUUAUUUCAUCAAGCCUUCUUUAUUCAAGGCAUCACUUCGAUAGAGAGAGUUUCAGAUUAUAAAUUUCAUGGUCUCAGGAUUUUAGACCAAUCACAAACCAUACAACCCAACCACACAAAACCACACAAUCCACUACAUAGAGAACUUCACAAUAUCACUCAAUACAUAUUAGUCACUAUUAAGAGUCUAACUAUCGAAAUAGAAUAAACCAUAACCUACCUCCACCGAAGAACUGACGUCAGACAAGCUACUUCUCCAAUGACUUUCCUUUCCGCAAUGCCUCUGAACCUUUCCAAUCUAUCAAGUAUAUAUGCAUAAUUUGUAAGUUAACAGGCCUAUAAACACUCAUAUUAGUCUAUGUCCAGCCUAUACCCAAAAACUCCCCUAAUUCUAUAAUCAACUUCCUAAAGUUCAAACCUAAGAGUAAGUCUUAAUUCCUCCCAUUAGCAUAACUUUAAUGUAAUUCAUAUAAUAUACUACACCUUGUAUUUUAUUACCUCUAUCUCAAUAUAUCAAAUUUUAGUUUAUAAUAUGGUAAAACUGAAGCCACUAGUCACGAUAUCAGUGGCAGCCAACACAUGAAACCACAAAAUAAACUAACCAAAGAAAACAAAUGUAACACGGAGACCUAGGAAACCCAUCCAAAAUAUGGACAUAACAAUGACAAUUCAAUUCUAUAAACUUUCACCUGCAAUCCACUCUUUAACUCAAUAAACAAUAAUUUACCACUUAUUGUUUUAGUACUUCAUAAUAAUUUAAUCAAACCAAUUAACCAGCAACUAACCAUUGGCACCAAUUACUUUAGUUCCUGAUUAUUUUCUCCAUUAGUCAUAUCAAUAUGCACACACUUAUAAAUUGCAGACUAUCUCACUUAUGACAAUACACUAUACACCUCAUUCCUAACUCAAUUAAAUAAUCUCACUGGAAAUCAGCCAAUCCGUGGGAGACAAAUUUGUCUCCAACAAUCCCACCCUAACGCCAUUAAUCACCAAAAUUCAACCUAGCACUACUACUAAAAAUUUGUUCUUUUCAAUUUCCCGUCUAAUAACAAUAAUAUAAUAAUAAUCAUAAAGCCUUUGCUCAUAUUCACAAAAUACAUAUUGGAUUUUACCUGAAGCACUCGUCGGCCUAUCUUCAAAUUGUAUCACCGUAGUUGAAGUUCUCUUGAGUUAGAAUGGGAACUUGAUAAAAAGGAAACAUACUUACCUCUUCUAAAACUUACUCAACUCAAGGAAUAUUCAAAUUAAAACUACUCAACUUACUCAACUAAGAAGUAUGCAAGGAUAAGAUACUCAACUCAAAGAUAUGAUAUUUUUGGGAGUGGUAGAAGUGACCCACUAUUAAUUCUAAUUCUAUUUUUCUUAACCACCAACUAAAUAAAUUAUUAAAACUACCCUAUAAAUUUUAUAAUUGUAGUUACGAAUAGUCGAAAACACUCAUUUAAAAUCUAGCGAAAGAGUAUUUUAUACAAUAAAAGCUCUAAUACUCAAAACGAUCAAAUGGGCCGUUACAUUAGAUAUCAAUUUAGCCAUCGUUCGUCCUCGAAUGAUCAAAAGAAGGCGAGGGUAAUGAAGGGUAUCUGAAUCGAUAAAAAGGUGUGGAUAUCUUUCAUGCAUAUCAGCCUCACUCUCCCAACUGGACUCUUCAAAUGGAUGAUUCUUCCACUGAACCUUGACACAACCAUCAAGACAAAUAUUUUCUAACAUAACCAUGAUACAAUCCUGAAUCAUUAUUGGCUACAACCAUGAGUGAACCAGAACCAGCCACCACACACUCAUAAUGUGAAAAGGAUUCAUCUAAAAAGUAUUACCCUUUUCUACCCAUAAUGGCUACAUGGUUUUCAUGGAGACUUGAGUUAAUAAUCUUAUCAAGAUUACAUCCUCACAACAAAAUAUUUCCUUGAGCUUAAGCUAUAAAAAUAUGAAUCUUUAGACAGCAAGUAAUCAUCUAGGAGAAUCGAACUCAUCUGAUCCAAAGAUGGAAAUGAUCAAGUAACCUCCAUCGAGUGAUACGCCCAAGCAUACAAAACCUCUAACAACACUGUCGAAAUGCUAGAUUAGUAGCUAUUAUAGACAAACCUUAAGAAUGACAAAACUAGACACAAUGGUCCCUACAUUCAUUCACACAUAGCCAAAACAUGAUACCGAUGAUGAGAUAAAUCUUAAGUCUAUCAAAAAAUUGUAAAUUUUCAUGGUAGCUCUCUUAUAAAUUCUCAUAAGCAAAGUUGUGCAUGUAGAAUCACUAGUAUACUUUAACUAUCCCAAACAACACCAAAUCUUCCAGAACUGGGAUGAACAAGUCUAACCGAGGAUGCCACCCUACCAGGAGGACAAUCACGAAAUCGGUACACACAAUCCACUACUAGGGACUCACCCAUAGAAGCGAAAACACCCACGGAAGAAGAAAGUAAAUUAUACUCUAAACCUUAUUUCAUCUACAGUUUUACAGCUUUCCAUAUAUUGCUUCUUUUAUUGUUGCUUUAUUCUUGAGUAUCUUGAGUUGAAUUGUGCUUCAUCAAGUCGAGUACCUUAUUGUUGAGUUGAGCCUUAUUUCCCUGAGUUAAAUAUCUUAUCCUUUGAGUUGCAUAUCAUAUUCUUAAGUUGAGUCGAGUAAGUGAGUUAAGAAGAGGUAUGUAUGUUUUAUUUUUAUUAAUUUCAAGCUUGUAUUUAUGCUUUAAAAUUCCCCUUACAUGCUCGUACAUUUCACGUAUUGAGCCAUCGGACUGCAUCCUUUCAUGAUGCAAACACAUUUAUAUUCAGGGUCAUCAAUAGUGUAACAACCCGAGGCUACACCCUGUACGUUGCCAGCACUCGAGAACCAUUGAUGGUCCCCAAGUGAACUCUUAUCCUGGCUAACUACAAGCGGAAAACUGAUUCAAGCAUACAAAGCUUAAAAACUGAAUAAAAUCAAAAACUCAAAUACAAAAGCUUUAACUCAAAAGAAAACUCUGAAUAAAAAUAAGAUAUUCAACUCGCCAUAAAAUAGGCAACUUAAGUCUUUAAAACAUUUAAUAAAAUAAAUGAAUAAUACAGACUUCUCAACUAUACUAACUAUCUAUGAAGCCUCUAACUGAUAAAGAUGGAAGUCGGGACAAGACCCACGACAUCCUGACUAAACUUAAAAGUAAAUGAAAUCUUAUGGAAACAAGGAGGCUCACCAUAGCUAACUCAAACUACCAGAUGUAUCAACGAAUCUCCUGUUGAUAAUCCUGAAUACCUGUGUCUGCAUCAUGAGAAGAUGUAGGCCAAAUGGCUCAGUACGUGGAAUGUACGAGCAUAUAUGGGGAAUUCUAAAAAAUAAACAUAAGUUUGAAACUUGAUAAAAAGGAAACAUAAACAUAAGCUUCAAACUUAUUCAACUCAAGGAUACUAAAAACUACUCAACUUACUCAACUCAGAAGUAUUCAAGGAUAAGAUACUCAACUCAGAGAUUAGAUACUCAACUCAAAUAUAUGAUAUUUGACUCUGGAUACUCAACUCAAUCUAAAGCAACAAUACACAUGCAAUAUAUGGAAAGCUUUAAAAAACAAUAAAACAACUUAGUUCGUUAAAGAAAAUGCAAUAACAAACUCAACUUUACUUAUAUAAUAAAGUAAUAUAGUUUCUAUAAGAGUUUCUCUAACCGACAACCAUCACUUAAGAGCUAUAGUGAUGAUACAACACUUUACCUCAUGCUGCCAAGGACCAUCCUAUAUCUUGCCAUCAGUAUAAGACCUAACUUAUCCUAGUAGAUCCACUAGUCUAUGCGAAAAUGAUUCAUCUAAAAAGUAUUACCCUUUUCUACCCAUGAUGGCUACAUAGUUUUCAUGGAGACUUGAAUUAAUAGGAAACUCGCAUCCCCACAUCGGUGCUCAAUAAUACUCCCAAAAAUAUAAUACUAGCUCUUUAUGUUUAAAACAUACUUCUUUCUUUAGUUUGAGAUAAUUACUCAAAACUUAGCUUAAAAGUUGUCUUGGAAUCGAUGUUCCCUUUCUUGCUCAAACUCUUUUGGAAAUCUCAGUUUCCUUUCAUCUUAAAUGUGAAAACAAUUACUCUUGGCAAUACUUAGUUCCCAUAUAUCAAUUUUAAAGAAAAUGAACUUUACUCUUACUCUUUACUCAACUUCAAAGCUUAAGUCUUAAAACAAAGUUUAAACAUUUGUAAAAGAUUUCUAAAAAUAUGGUUCAUGUCGAUUUAUUGACGUGAAUGACUCAAUGCAAGGUUUUCAAUAACCAUAGAUAGAACUCAAUGCAUGGAACUCAAGAAUUUCAACAAUACUACUCACUUCAAGAAUGCUCAACUAAGAGGGUUCAUGCGGAAUUUAUCAGCAUGAACUACUCAACUCAAGGACUCGAAGAUACUUCUCGUUCCAAGACUGCUCGACUUAUAGGGUUCAUGCGGAAUUAUGGACAUGAAUAACCCAACUCAAGGACUUCAUGGGUAGCAUGUAAUAGUCCCAUGAUUAAGAAUGUAAUUCAAAUGGGUUAGAAACUCAAUACUUAAGACUUAGGACAUAGGGACAUUACUCCUCUCAUAGAUACUCAACUUAUGGAGUUCAUGCGGAAUUUAUGGGCAUGAACGACAUGACUCGUAGGUUCACAUAACAUUAUGGAACUCAUGAUACAACUCUUCUCAUUCUCAUACUUACUUUCUCAAAAUUUAGUUCAAAUCAAUAGUUGAUCUCAAAAGGUUCACAAUCGAACUCAAAGGCUUUUUUGAACUCUACUCUUAACUCUCUUUUGAAUGUGAAUUAUGAAUUCAAGAGUUAUGGUUCAUGCUAUGAAAGAUCUCAUGAUGACAAAGUAUACUCAAGAAUACAUUCUCCUCACUCUCAUGCUCACUUACUCGAAUCUUGAAACAGUUACUAGAAGUUGUAGAAGACUCCACAAAAGGACUCAAAAGGGACUUUCUUAGAAUGUUUAAAAAAAUCUCAAAACUUAAUCUUAGCUCUACCUUGAAUUUGAAUUAUGAAUUCAAGGUUAUGAUCAUGUUAUGAAUGAUUUCUAGGUGUUUAGAAGUAGUUUAAAGAGUUUAGAAUCAAACUGGAGUAAAGGUACCCUUUUAAAGAACUCAAACGGACGAAACGAUGGACAACGGGUGGGGGCAGACGACCCUGGCGCUCUGAGUGGCGUGGGCGCCAGCCCCUAAAAUUCAGAGAGGUGGUUGGGGCGCUCUGGCUGGCACGCCAGGCCCCAACCCAGAAACUUUCGAUGACUUUCCUUGCUCGUUUUCUCACCCAGAAAAUUCAGCAAGUUUCUUUUCUCGUUUUCUCACCCUAUUUCGAAUGGUUUCUUCCCCAAUCACUUAGAAUUGAUUACUUAACAUAAGUACACUCUAAUCUACUCAAUACAUCCCUUAAAACACUCACUUUAAUCCAAAGAAAAACAUCAAAACCCAACACAACAAGAUUUAGAAUGAACUUCAAGAACACUCAUCAAGAACUCAUCAAGAACUCUAAUAUUUCAACUUUAAGAAUAGAAAUUUGCGACUAGAAAAUAACAUGAGUUGGCGUGUGGGUGAACUAAACUAAUACUAUGGAAGCUUAAAUACCUCUUAGGGAUCAAACCCAUGGCGAAAAUCCGCUACAACACGCAAGAAUCUCGACGAACGCUUAAUCCUCUCCUCUUUUCUCCUCUUCUCUCUUCUUUUCUCUUCUUGAACUCUCAACUAAAACCCUAGGCUAAUUUUAGGAUUAUAAAACUGAACCUAGUAGGAUUAGACCCUCAAAAUAUUACUAAAAAUGAAUUGAAUCUGAUUGGGUAAGGAAAAGACCAAAAUACCCCUCUCUAUUUUCGGCAAACUUUCCUUAACUGAACAGCCUAUCUUCAAAAGGCCAUAUCUCACUCAUCCGACCUCGAAACUUAGCAAACUCAGCGGCGUUGGAAAGAUAAUUCAAAGAUAUUUCCUACGGUAUCUAAUAGAACACCUAACUCAUCUUGAUCUAGGAGUUAUUAUCAUUUGAAGUUGACCCAAAACUCAUACUUAGCUUAACUUGCAAAAUUUCAGAUUUUCCUAUUUCCAAUUUAAUUCUUUUUGGAACUCAAGGUGCUACAUCUAGUGACCUUAACCCUUAAGAAAUUUUAAUUCCUCGAUAAAAUCCUACUCACAACGAAGGAUGGUUCAAGUCUCAGUUCGAAAUUUUUUUGGGGCAUUACAAUAUCUCCCCCUUGGGAUCAUUCGUCCUCGAAUGACGACUGAACUGGGUAUGGAAUGAGUUACUCUUACUAAGGUCUGCGUCUAAUGGUACACUCUCACUAUAUUCAAGCUUAACCCAAAUCCUUAGGUUCAGGUUCUAUACCUCUCUAUAGGGAAUCUCAUCCCAAUACCAUUACUCCUUACCACCACAAUCAAGCUUAGUACUCUAGCAACUCCAUGGACUCCUACUAACAAACUCCUUCAGAGCCAACUAAGGGCUCUCAUUUAAAUAUUUCUCAUAGUAAAACCUCAUUCUAAUUUUCCUCAUUAUUUACAACCUUAGAUGGAACUAUCACACCAUCAUCAUCACGAUAUGAUCAUUAACCUCCUCUUUCUAACAUCACUUCAUUACUAAAAGGACAUCUAAAAAGAUAUCCCCCAAGCUCUUUGGAAUUCAUUACUAUCUUACUCUCAAGCACUUGACUUGAUUUCUCAUCUUAUCAUUUCCCCUUAGGUCUAAAGUUAACACUUGAAAGCUAUGGACAUAUUCCAUCAUCUCUAAAUGGUCUACCUCUUCUUUUAAUCCAACACUUGGGGGAAGUUUAUCUCAUGCCUACCAAACUCUCUAUAAGCGGUACUAAGACCUCUUUCUAAGGUGUUUCCCUUAACCUCUUCUGGUUACAUACCCUCUCAGUACACCUCUUAACGCUCUUAUUACUUUUGUGACUUAGCCACACUUCACUGCCCUUAUCUAAAUGUUAGGGUCUCUCACUUGUACCACUUAUACUAUUGUAGCUAAUCACCUAAAUUCCUCAUCUACUUUAUGUCAAGUCUUCUAGAUCAAAUAUCAAGACUAACAUCAUCACCCUCAUGUUGUCAUUCUUUUGAUCAUGACAGUCAUCUCCAAUUCAAGCUUAAUAUUUAUGACUAAACCCGAAUAUCAAUAUGAUUGCCCGCUUACUAUACUAACUUAUAGCUACUUAAUUAGUUCUAUAACCUUCUAUACAUCAUGACCCUCUCAGACAUAUCAUAAGCCUAGUUUAUAUCUAUAACCUCAUGGAUACUUUUUCUCUUCAAUUCACCACUUACACUUAGUCAUUUCCUACACAAUGACACUUCAUCACCAACUCCUUUCUAGCUACAAUACACUCUACCUCCUAUGAUGGAAUCUUCACAACUCAUCACUUCUUAGUCUACCCGUAAGGGAAAACUCCUCAUUAAUAACUUACUAGGUGUAUGACUAUAAUAACAUAGCUUGCCUCAUCACUAUCUCCCUUUCUAGGAUUACUAAACCUCUCCAUACUUUCCUCUAACUCUGGGCUCUAUCACUACUACUGCUCAUGAUCUCGUAGCUCAUGUUACCUUUUAAGAUGCAAAUACUACCCAAGCUCUAAACAUACUUUCUCAUGAUGAAACAGGACUUAAAGAAGAGAGUACAAAUCAAAUUUAGCUCAAACGCACGAUUCAUAUAAUUAUGGGUGCAUUCCUUUGAAACUGAACACUUAACUUACUCUUUGGGCUACUCUCAUCCCCCUCUGGAGUCUCGUGACUUUCUCAAGACUCUUGCUAAGAACAAAUCAUCGACAAAGAACAGACUCAGUUUUUCAACCACAUCUAGUAUGAUGGGUAGUCGAAUGAUUCUGAGAAACGCACGAGUUAAAAUAAGUCUCUAUGACAUAACUCUAAUUGCACGAUUAAGAGUAUGAAAGAAGGGAAACUUUUCUUAAAUGUCUGUAGUCCCUCAUUUAUAGAAGUGGGGCCCUCACAACCAUAAACAAGAUCCUACUUGACACAGCUUCAUAGACACCCUGGGACUCUUGAACUCUGUGCUCUGAUACCAAGUUUAUCACAACCCGAGCCUAUACCUUGGACAUGGCCGGCACUCGAGAAUCAUUACUAGUCCCCAAGCGAACCCUCAUCCUAGCUGACUACAAGCGAAAAACUGAUUCAAGCAUACAAAGCUUAAAAACUGAAAUAAAAGUUCAUAAACUUAAAUACAAACUUUAAGUCCAAAGAAAACUCUGUAUAAUAAAAUAUAUACAACUCGCCAUAAAAAAGGCAACUUUAGUCUUUAAAACAUUUAAUAAAAUGAAUGNNNNNNNNNNNNNNNNNNNNNNNNNNNNNNNNNNNNNNNNNNNNNNNNNNNNNNNNNNNNNNNNNNNNNNNNNNNNNNNNNNNNNNNNNNNNNNNNNNNNNNNNNNNNNNNNNNNNNNNNNNNNNNNNNNNNNNNNNNNNNNNNNNNNNNNNNNNNNNNNNNNNNNNNNNNNNNNNNNNNNNNNNNNNNNNNNNNNNNNNNNNNNNNNNNNNNNNNNNNNNNNNNNNNNNNNNNNNNNNNNNNNNNNNNNNNNNNNNNNNNNNNNNNNNNNNNNNNNNNNNNNNNNNNNNNNNNNNNNNNNNNNNNNNNNNNNNNNNNNNNNNNNNNNNNNNNNNNNNNNNNNNNNNNNNNNNNNNNNNNNNNNNNNNNNNNNNNNNNNNNNNNNNNNNNNNNNNNNNNNNNNNNNNNNNNNNNNNNNNNNNNNNNNNNNNNNNNNNNNNNNNNNNNNNNNNNNNNNNNNNNNNNNNNNNNNNNNNNNNNNNNNNNNNNNNNNNNNNNNNNNNNNNNNNNNNNNNNNNNNNNNNNNNNNNNNNNNNNNNNNNNNNNNNNNNNNNNNNNNNNNNNNNNNNNNNNNNNNNNNNNNNNNNNNNNNNNNNNNNNNNNNNNNNNNNNNNNNNNNNNNNNNNNNNNNNNNNNNNNNNNNNNNNNNNNNNNNNNNNNNNNNNNNNNNNNNNNNNNNNNNNNNNNNNNNNNNNNNNNNNNNNNNNNNNNNNNNNNNNNNNNNNNNNNNNNNNNNNNNNNNNNNNNNNNNNNNNNNNNNNNNNNNNNNNNNNNNNNNNNNNNNNNNNNNNNNNNNNNNNNNNNNNNNNNNNNNNNNNNNNNNNNNNNNNNNNNNNNNNNNNNNNNNNNNNNNNNNNNNNNNNNNNNNNNNNNNNNNNNNNNNNNNNNNNNNNNNNNNNNNNNNNNNNNNNNNNNNNNNNNNNNNNNNNNNNNNNNNNNNNNNNNNNNNNNNNNNNNNNNNNNNNNNNNNNNNNNNNNNNNNNNNNNNNNNNNNNNNNNNNNNNNNNNNNNNNNNNNNNNNNNNNNNNNNNNNNNNNNNNNNNNNNNNNNNNNNNNNNNNNNNNNNNNNNNNNNNNNNNNNNNNNNNNNNNNNNNNNNNNNNNNNNNNNNNNNNNNNNNNNNNNNNNNNNNNNNNNNNNNNNNNNNNNNNNNNNNNNNNNNNNNNNNNNNNNNNNNNNNNNNNNNNNNNNNNNNNNNNNNNNNNNNNNNNNNNNNNNNNNNNNNNNNNNNNNNNNNNNNNNNNNNNNNNNNNNNNNNNNNNNNNNNNNNNNNNNNNNNNNNNNNNNNNNNNNNNNNNNNNNNNNNNNNNNNNNNNNNNNNNNNNNNNNNNNNNNNNNNNNNNNNNNNNNNNNNNNNNNNNNNNNNNNNNNNNNNNNNNNNNNNNNNNNNNNNNNNNNNNNNNNNNNNNNNNNNNNNNNNNNNNNNNNNNNNNNNNNNNNNNNNNNNNNNNNNNNNNNNNNNNNNNNNNNNNNNNNNNNNNNNNNNNNNNNNNNNNNNNNNNNNNNNNNNNNNNNNNNNNNNNNNNNNNNNNNNNNNNNNNNNNNNNNNNNNNNNNNNNNNNNNNNNNNNNNNNNNNNNNNNNNNNNNNNNNNNNNNNNNNNNNNNNNNNNNNNNNNNNNNNNNNNNNNNNNNNNNNNNNNNNNNNNNNNNNNNNNNNNNNNNNNNNNNNNNNNNNNNNNNNNNNNNNNNNNNNNNNNNNNNNNNNNNNNNNNNNNNNNNNNNNNNNNNNNNNNNNNNNNNNNNNNNNNNNNNNNNNNNNNNNNNNNNNNNNNNNNNNNNNNNNNNNNNNNNNNNNNNNNNNNNNNNNNNNNNNNNNNNNNNNNNNNNNNNNNNNNNNNNNNNNNNNNNNNNNNNNNNNNNNNNNNNNNNNNNNNNNNNNNNNNNNNNNNNNNNNNNNNNNNNNNNNNNNNNNNNNNNNNNNNNNNNNNNNNNNNNNNNNNNNNNNNNNNNNNNNNNNNNNNNNNNNNNNNNNNNNNNNNNNNNNNNNNNNNNNNNNNNNNNNNNNNNNNNNNNNNNNNNNNNNNNNNNNNNNNNNNNNNNNNNNNNNNNNNNNNNNNNNNNNNNNNNNNNNNNNNNNNNNNNNNNNNNNNNNNNNNNNNNNNNNNNNNNNNNNNNNNNNNNNNNNNNNNNNNNNNNNNNNNNNNNNNNNNNNNNNNNNNNNNNNNNNNNNNNNNNNNNNNNNNNNNNNNNNNNNNNNNNNNNNNNNNNNNNNNNNNNNNNNNNNNNNNNNNNNNNNNNNNNNNNNNNNNNNNNNNNNNNNNNNNNNNNNNNNNNNNNNNNNNNNNNNNNNNNNNNNNNNNNNNNNNNNNNNNNNNNNNNNNNNNNNNNNNNNNNNNNNNNNNNNNNNNNNNNNNNNNNNNNNNNNNNNNNNNNNNNNNNNNNNNNNNNNNNNNNNNNNNNNNNNNNNNNNNNNNNNNNNNNNNNNNNNNNNNNNNNNNNNNNNNNNNNNNNNNNNNNNNNNNNNNNNNNNNNNNNNNNNNNNNNNNNNNNNNNNNNNNNNNNNNNNNNNNNNNNNNNNNNNNNNNNNNNNNNNNNNNNNNNNNNNNNNNNNNNNNNNNNNNNNNNNNNNNNNNNNNNNNNNNNNNNNNNNNNNNNNNNNNNNNNNNNNNNNNNNNNNNNNNNNNNNNNNNNNNNNNNNNNNNNNNNNNNNNNNNNNNNNNNNNNNNNNNNNNNNNNNNNNNNNNNNNNNNNNNNNNNNNNNNNNNNNNNNNNNNNNNNNNNNNNNNNNNNNNNNNNNNNNNNNNNNNNNNNNNNNNNNNNNNNNNNNNNNNNNNNNNNNNNNNNNNNUUUUCUUCUUUUCUCUUCUUGAACUCUCAACUAAAACCCUAGGCUAAUUUUUAGGAUUAUAAAACUGAACCUAAUAGUAUUAGACCCUUAAAAUAUUACUAAAAAUGAAUUAAAUCUGAUUGGGUAAGGAAAAUACCAAAAUACCCCUCUCUAUUUUCGGCUAAUUUUCCUUAACUGAACAACCUAUCUUCAAAAGGCCAUAUCUCACUCAUCCGACCUCGAAACUUAGCAAACUCAGCGGCGUUGGAAAGAUAAUUCAAAGAUAUUUCCUAUGGAAUCUAAUAGAACACCUAAAUCAUCCUGAUCUAGGAGUUAUGAUCGUUUGAAGUCAACCCAAAACUCAUACUUAGCUUAACUUGCAAAAUUUCAGAUUUUGCUAUUUCCAAUUUAAUUCUUUUUGGAACUCAAGGUGCUAUAUCUAGUGACCUUAACACUUAAGAAAUUUUAAUUCCUCGGUAAAAUCCUACUCACAACGAAGGAUGGUUCAAGUCUCAGUUCGAAAUUUUUUUUGGGGUAUUACAAACAGGAGCUUCGUUGAUACCACAUGGAGUUCGAGUUAGCUAUGGUGAGCCUUCUUGCUUUCAGAGGAUUUCAUUUACUUAUCAGUUGUUAGGAUGUCGUGGAUCUUGUCCUGACUUCCAUCUUUGUCAUUUAGAGGCUUCAUAGAUAUACAAUAGAGUUUCAAAAGUCUGUUAAUUUAUUUUGUUAAAUGUUUUAAAGACUUAAGUUGCUUAUUUUCGGGAGAGUUGAAUAUAUUAUAUUAUUCAUAGUUUUGUAUUGAUUUAAAGCUUUGUAUUUAAGUUUCAUGAAUUUUUAUUCAGUUUUUAAUCUUUUGCAUGCUUAAGUUUGUCUUCCGCUUGUAGUCAACCAAGGAUGAGGGUUCGCUUGGGGACCAACAAUGGUUCUUGAGUGCCGGUCACGUCCAGGGUGUAGGCUUGGAUCGUGACACCAAAACCGAACUAAAAUAAAUUCAGUUCAGUUCGAUUCAAUUUUUCGAUUUGAAUAUAAUCGGGCCCUUUUCUUAUCAUCAUUCAUCAGUUAACUUUUCUAAUACUAGGCAUUUGCAUUUGGUCUAAUUGAUAUGAGCCAACUGUUAGCUUAGGAAUAUCCCUCCAGUCAUGAUACAUAUGAGCUUCAUUAGAAAUAACGUGUUUAGCUAAUGCAUCUGCAAUUUGGUUAACUUCUCUAUGACAAUGAUUUACUUCAUAAUUGAUCUUUGCAACAACUUGUAAGAUGUCUUCCACAACACCUUUGAUCUUCAAUUGAGGCUUGUCCAUUCCUUACCAUAUCAACCACCAUUUUUUAGUCUAAUUCAAGAUAGCAAUCGUGAAAUCCUUGUUGUGGAUGAUGAUAACUAAAAUAAUAUAAUUCAUUACUAGUUAGUAUCUAAACUCAUAGCUCGUCUCAUCCCAAUAUUACUUUGGGCAGAUCAUUUUCCUACUCGAUCAUCUAAACUCCUAGGUUUUUUUCCCUUAUAUAUAUGAUGAUGCGAUCUCCUUUUGUAUUACUAUUAAUUGUGUAACAAGUAACGAUAUCGAGACCUUGAUUAACAACAAAUACAAAAGUAACCCUAACUUAAAAAGAAACCACAAACUAAAGAAAUUUAUGUAUUUUUGAAUGAAGAAGGUAAGGUAAGGUAAUAGGCUAAUUGCUAGCUUGUUUAUUUAUUGAUAAGCAUACAUUAAUUUACAUGGAGCGAUAGAAGGAUAUAUCCACUUUAUUUAGAAAGCUGCAAGCUAGCCAGCUAAUUAGCAUUCUACGCCUUGAUGAACACAAAUGGAAUAAAUUCCUUAUCGUCAUCGACAGUCACCAGACGAGGAUAUCCAUUUUUAAAGUUGCCGCCGAUAUUUUUGCACUGAAGAUGAGAGGGACAAUGCAGUAACUUGUAUACAUUUUUGGAACCUCCUGGUGUCACCAAGUCAGUUUUCCUAAUUUUGAAGAUGUCGUUUUCAUUUCCUACCUUACCACCAGUUUGGUCAACACACAACUUUGUUGUUUUAACAAAGAACUUGAUAUAAACACCAGUCAUUAUACGCACCACAUCACCAUAAUCCGACUCCGACUUACGAACGAACAUGACGGGCGUGCCUUCUCCCAAAAAUUGGGGAAUCGACAUGUGCUGCAACAUGGCGUUUGGGCAUUGAAGGUUUCCAAUAUUGUACAAGUAUACGGCUCCGGCCCCGAGGAGAGGAUUGUUAAUAAUGUACCUCUCACCAAUCCUCAGCGGAUUGCCAUCUUGGUCAUAAACUUCAGGGAGUACAAGAUUAUCAUCAUCAUGACAAGUUGUGGGGAGGACAAUUGGAUUUUCAGAAGUGAAAGAUCGAGCAAAGGCAACCAAAGAGAGGUACUUGAAAGCAAGAGGAAACUCAAAAUAUUAAUCGACUUCAUCUUUCUUUGUGUGUUGUGCUUGCUAUGAGUCUAUGUCCAAUUUAUAGACCUGCUAAGGGCAUUUUUGACAAACAAAAAAUGAAUACCUACUACCGCCUUAGACACCUCAAAUAAGUUUUAUCCAUUUUAAAUAACUAAUAUCAAGCUUCAAUAUUAAGUCACUCUGAACACUUUUUUUUUUUUACUAUCAACAAAAAUAUAUAGUACAUAAUAUGUGUUACACUGAAUAAUAUGUAAAGUAUCAAAUUAAAUAAAGACAUUUAUUAUUUGUCUCCAAAAUAAAUCUUAAAUAAUAAAUUUUGAGUAAAAAUAAAAAACGGCCAAUAAUUCAAUUUGUAGGAUAUUUAUUAUUUAAUGUGGCUUUAACUAGAGAAGUUGGUAAAAUUAAUAAAUAUUACUUGAGAAUAUUGUCCAUUGUGCUUAAAGGACUCUUGAAACUUGACAUCUAGUGGAGAACCAUUCAUGGGAUUAUUGCACUAAUAAAAUUAAGUUGCAACACCUAAUUUUACUUACCAUACUCAUGUACAUAAUUAUUAAGGAUAAAAAAAAUUAUCCGUAUAUAAUGUAUACACUAACCUAAUAUAUGAAUGACAUGUGUUUGAAUUUAUGGUUCAUUUUAUAUAAUUUUAAUUAAAUAACAUUUGUUUUGCUUCAUUUUAAUAAUUUAUAUUCACCACUGAAUACAAAUAACAGGCUAAUAAUUCUAAAAAUUGAUAUUAAUGUGCUACCUGGCAUGGAAUUAUUCCACAAGUAAAAUAUGUCACUGAAGUACGAUCGAGAUUUAUACCACUGAUUAUUUUGUUACCUAUCAAGAAUGGAUCUUAAAAAUAAUGGCAAAUCAUUAUUAUGAAAAAUGAUUUUUUUUUUAGAUUCUUUUUUUUGACAAAUUAAUAAUUGAAGGAUAGGAUUUGCGUUAUAUGAUAUAUAGAACUUAGUUUUGAAUUUGAGUAAAUUGAGUGUUGAAACUCAAGAAUAAUUAGGCAAAAUAAAAAUUGCACUUCAAAUACAUAUAACUGAAGUUUUAGUCAAUUUUUAUACACUUCAAUCAUAUGUACAUUCAAUAAAAUUAAAAUAAUGUUAAAUGAGUUUGUUAAAUUUAUUGUUAUUUUGAUAAAUUGUUGAUUCAAGUUUGUUUCAUACGAUUGUAGAUCUGAUCUUCGACUAAAUUCGGAUCGGGCUCUGCAAGGCCCAUUAGAAGGUGACACUCCCAACAGGAUUUUCUCCAUACCCAGGGCUCGAACCCGAGACCUCUGGUUAAGGGUGAAGCACUCCCACCAGUGCACCACAACCCAUGUUGGUCCUAAAGUCAUUAUUAUUAAUUAGGUAGGUACGUUCAAAAUAAUUCUUUAAAAAGUGAUCAUAUCCGAUCUUAAUCAAAUACAACUCUAACUCCAAUUUUAAAUUUUAAAUAAUACUCCCUCCGUCCCCUUUUAGUUGUCAUGCUGCACUUUUCAAAAAUCAUUUUGAAUUAUUUUUCAAUUUUAAUUAGAUUACAUUAAAGAUAUUUUAAAUUAAAAAUUUAGAUAUAUAUUUAAAAGCUAUACAAAAAGUACUAUAAAUUGUAAUUUUUUGCAUAUCAAUAUGAUGAAAAAAUACAUCGUAAAAAAUUGUCAAAGUUCUUAUUGUUUAACUCUAAAAAAAAGUCAUACAACUAAAAAAGAAUAAAGUGAAUAUAAAUAUAUUUAAUUUUCAUGAUCAAAUGCAUACUAAAAUAUAUUAGUCAAGUUGCCAAUCGCCGUAAUGAUGAAAGGAAACAGGUGAAUGCAGCUCAUAUCACUGAAAAUAAAGCACUUUAUACUUCAUCUUUUCAGCACUACCAGCGUAUAAAAAAAAUGAAAAUGUGUAAUUUUCAAGUUUAAUACUAAGCCGUAGAGAGUUUGUUUUGAUAAACUUGAGGGGGGAAAGCAAAAUUAAGGCAUUAACAAAUGAAUAAAGAUGAACUUAUAUGCUUUGAUUAUAAAAGUAGUCUAACAUUAUUUGUUUGUAAAAUUUGGAUGCAGUUAAACAUGGUUAUUAAAGAAUCACUUCGACUGUAUCCACCAGAUCCUAUCAUUGAACGAAUGGCUUGUGAAGAUAUGAUUUGUUAAACAUCUUAAUUUUUCAAUAAAAUAUUUAUUUUUUUCAAAAUAAGCACUUUUGAUCUCAUAACAAUAAUGCGGCUUUUAACCAUGCCGGUUAUAGUUAUACGGGUUGGGUUAUCUAUAGAAAAGUUAAAUGUACGGAACAAACCAAAUUCAAAUUAAACCUAUUAAUAAGCGAUUGAGACGUAAUUAUUUUUAAUAUGUACAUUGUGAAUCACACGUACUCAAUGGUCCCGUAAAUCUUAAUCGUAUUUUGGAUAAAAGCCACCUGACUGCUUAGAGAUUUAAUUAUUUUGGAUGUAUUUGAUAUUUUCCCACCGAACACCUUAUCUUCAGUCUCACUUCUUGUAGUGUCUAUCUUCACCAUCCCACACUUUUAUUUUUAUCAUUGUGUGUUUUAAUAUAUUUAUCUAGAUUAUAUAUAAAUAUUUUUUAUUUACCUACUAAACACAUAAAAAUUUUAUUUUCUUGAGAAACAUCUUUCAAAAAGAAUAUUUUCUUUCAUAACGAAUAUACCCUAAACAACCACAAAUGUUAAUAUCAACAUUUUGGUUUUAAUUGAGUUGAAAUGUUUAGAAAGAAGAACAAAAAAGAAAUGAAAACUAUUAGGCAUAUAAAAGUACAAAAUAGUUAACCAAACAACAAUAAUUAAGAUACCAAAAAUGCAAAUAAUUUUCUAGUCAUGAUUUUGUGCUGAAAGUUUUUAGAUAACUUUUAUAUGUACUUCAGUCAUUUUGUCUUGGUUUUAAUAACCUUAGUUAAAAAUGUUUGAAGGUAAAAGUUCUGUAAAAUGCUUGAAAUUUUGUCUUUAUCUAAUUUACAACUUCAAUAAAAAUUGUCUGAAUUUUUUUUUUAUGAUGACCUUCACAAAGGCACACCUUAGACAAAUAUGUUUAUAGGUCUAGGUUUUAAGUUGUAAAAUUUCUGUUCCAUAUUAGUUGUUCAUCUUUUAAAAAAAUAAUUUACCCAUAAUUUUUUUAAAAAAAAACUUUACAAACUUAUUUACAGUUUUUAAAAAGAAUUAAUUAUUAUAAGGAUAAAAAGAGAAAAUAAUAAUUAAUUCUCUCCUGAUUUUAUAAAUUGACAAAUAAUUUAAAAAACAUAUAUUUUUAAAAUAUGAACGACUAAUAUUGAAUGAACACUAAACAUCAAAGAAAUUAAAGAAUAAUUAAGUAGCCAAAUGUUCCGUUCCUAUCAUCAACUCUACUUGGAGUUGCACUGUUGCAGGCCAAUAAUGGAUAUAUAUUAUAUACUAAUGUGCCGAUGGGACCAUUAUUAGACCAUAGUUAUAACCAAUAAAGUGAUUCUAUUAAAAUAGUGAAGUAGAGAGGUGUUUUUAAAGCUAUCAAUAGUUCGAAAAUAAAAUUAAUAAUUCAUAUCAAAUUCAGAAGUGUUUUUAAUAUUUUUGUCUAUCAUCUAUUCUCAACUUUUAAAUUUGAGAGUUCAUAAACAAUAUAUGUCCUCUCAGUUUUUAAAUUCGUUCAACUUCACCAUUAUUAACAUUGUGAAAUUAAUUCAAUGUCAAUUGUUCAUACUAUGGACAAACCCUAAAUUACAUAAAUUGAAACAAAAGAUUAUACAAUAAAAUUAAUUUAGUACUAAAAAUAGCGUAAAGGGCUGAAACUAACGAACAUGGUUAAUUAAAAUUGAGGAACAUCGUAUCUUUUUGGCCUAAAAGAUAUUUGAAUACUAUACUAAUAUAUAUCCACCAUUGAAGAUAAAUACCAACAGGCUAACAACCAAGUUAUUUUCAUUUUCGUCAUGUAAUCUUAGCUUGUUAAAGCCAAAAAUGAAUAUAAUGUCUUGACGGGACCGCACGUGUUACUAUCCCAUAACUAAAACGGAGUUCAGAACUAAAAGGGUAAUAAUUUUUUUUCAAAAAUUUCAAAAAGAUAACUAAAUUAUAUAUGAAACCAAAAUGACAAUAAUUUAUAAUGACGUCUAAAUUAGAGUUUUUGCCGCAAGAUACAAAAACCCAUGAGCGAUGCAACAACUUUUAGCCUUGUAAAGCUCAGCUGGCGUGAGCCUUACAAGGCGCAAGGCAGGCUAUUUUUUUCAAAUAAAAAAGUUUUUAUGGUGUACGGUCCUUAAGGCUACACGUUUGCAAACUCGACCGCCCAUUUUUUUGUUAGAUAAAUAAAAAAAUCUGACUAUUUUGUUGAGAUGUUAAAUCAUCCAACUUUAAAUUUAUCUAAAAUGCAGUACCUUUUUUACAAAAAUACAAUGUAUUUUAGUCGGUUAUUUUUUAAAAAAAAAUUAUGCCUUUUUGAGUUAUCAAAAUAGGAUUUCUAUUGACCGUAAGCUUAAUUUGAUAAUGCAAAAAAAUUUAAAAUAAAUAAAUUGUAUAUUGUAAGUAAUGCACAUUUUCAACACACGUAUGCAUAUUAGGGGUGAAGCUAUAUAGUUCUUAUGACACUUUUUUAAGCUUGGUUUUCUAAAGAAUGUUUGGAUGUGUCGUUUACUUAAAUAUAAUGUUUAUUUUGAUGAUUAGUUAAAUUUAAUUUAUAUCAUUAAAUUUAUUAUUAGGUAAUAAUGUGAUUUUUUAUUUUGUGUAAUGGUUGAUUUAGUAUGAAUGUAUGGUCAUAAUAUAUAUAUUUUUUAUUUUGUUUCACUUACUAUUUAAUAAUUGUAUUUUAUUAUUUACUCUUUCUUUUUAUAGUAAAUCUACUCCGUACUCUAUUUUUCUGGUGUGUUUAUCUUUUUAAUUUUUUUUGAUAUUAUGUAAUUAUCGAAAAAGAUACAAUUUAAUAUAACAUAAUAUAAUAUAUUAUAAAAUGACAUGUAACAGCCAUCCAAACAAAGUAUAAAUAUAUAGUUUCAUCAAAAGUUAUGGUGAUAAAAUGAUAAAUUUCGUAGUGAGGUUUAGGUUCGAAUUAUAACAACGAAGUCACUUUUUAAUAAAUAAUAUUUUAUACCUUUAACAUGAGUUUUUAAAAAAAAAUUGAACUCAGAUGCGGAAUCUCAAUACGAAUAUUGAGCCUAAAAAGCACUCUAUAAAAGAAGGUCAUAAAUAAAUAGUCCAUUUAAUGGUAAAUUUUAUCCUUUUGUCAAUAAAAAAAAAGUCCAUGAUUAAUCUUUUCCGAUAUUUGGUAUUGCAUUUUAGUUCUAAAUUAAACACCUUUUACCUGAUUUGAUUACAAAUAUAUAAUAAAUUACUUGAAUCAUCAAAGAAAAAUGUGUACAUUAAUUAAUCAGAACCGACAGACUUAGGAAAUAUAUUAUUAGUCAUAGGCUCAUAGGACAUGGAUCUUGUUCCAUAUUUACUAGUUAUAAUAACUACUGUAACAUUUAUAUAUUUAAUUAAGCCAAAUAAAUAUAAUCUUUUCAGAUUUUUUUUUUUUUUAAAUAGCCUUGCGCCUUGUAAGGCUCAUGGCGGUUGAGCCUUACAAGGCUAAAAGUUGUUGCGCCUUGUAAGGCUCAUGGGUUUCUGUGCCUUGCGGCAGAAACUCUAUUUGAGACGCCGUUACAAAUUGUUACCCUUUUGAUUUCAUAAAUAAUUCAGUUGCCCUUUUGAAAUUUUUGAAAAAUUUUGUUGCCCUUUUGGUUCCGAAGGCCCCCUCAUUUUGAAGUUUUGGUUUCUUAAAUCUUGUUAUCCUUGAAUUUUUCUAGCACUUAAAGUUUUGGUUUCUUAAAUUUUUUUAUUUCUUUCAAUGUAUUAAGUUUCUUUCUAUUUCAUUCUGAUUAAAUAAAAAAAAACUUUAUUUUACUAUCUUUGUUGUGGUUAAAACUUAAAAAUAAUUAAAUGAAUUGAUCACGUAUUUGAAACAUAAUGACAUGUUUUUCUCAUAUAUUAUUGGAAAAAAUAAUAAUUUUCAUACCGAAUAAAUUAAAUUAAUAUUAUUUUAAUCCAGUAACUUGAACUUAAUGAUGAUUGUGUUUUGAUUGUAGUUGCAUUAGUAAUGAAAUAACUUGGUGAUAUCGAAGAGACAGAGUGAUUGAUUGAAAACAUAUAUAAUAAAAAUAAUAUAUCCUCGGGGAUAUUGGAAAAUUGUUAUACAAAUGAAUUUCUACAACAACAAUAAACAAUGAAACUUCUACUUCAAUUCAAUAUACGAUAAAAUUAACUCCUAGUCAAAGCAACAUAUAAUACACAUUUGCAUUCAUUACAAUAGUAUUUCUUGAGCUUUUUCUUUUUUCCAUCCUUAAACCUAAUUUAAGUCUACUGGGCAUGUCUAAUUAAAAUUAAUAUGCAAUUGAUUAAACAUAAAAGGACCUUAUCCAUGAAAUCCACAUCACGUAAUCAAUAACAAUGCAUAUUACAACUUGGAUUUAGUCGUAACUCCAAUGCAAACUGAUCAAUAAUGAAUAUUAAUGUCGUGAUGGUACCGGAUGGGAUUAUCCAUAAGUAAUUAAUACGUAGCACUUAUUAAUUACUAAAACAUAUGUUGGGUUUAGUAAGGUGUGAAUGGGAAAUAAAAAGAGAAAAUGGAAAGUGGAAGAACCAAUAAAAAUGGGGGAACCAAUUUGGAGGGAAAAUGAAAAAUCAUUGCAAAAGUGCAAAUGAAUAGUCAUUUUUACCAUAUUGGUAGAAGAGAGAAAAUCGUUGUCCUUAUAUUAGGAAACACUUCCUUUAGUUCUUAAAGGGUUAAGAAGAAGGUGCCCCUCGCGACAUCGUCGUCGCUCGCUCGGCUUUGGCAAUUGAUUGAUAAUAUUUUUUGGACAAAAUUUAUUUAAUAAAUUUUGUUAAAUCAUUUCCUUUCUCUUAUAAAUUAAUUCAGAAAGUUAGUUAACUAACAGAUUUAAUUUGGCGCAACUGAAUUUAUUGAAAUUCACAUGUAACGGUAAUCCUUCCGAAAAGUUGUUACUUUCCGAAAGGUCGUUACUUUUCCCAAACGGUAAUCCUUCCGAAAAAUCGUUAUUUUCCCAAAAGACACAAUGUUCUGGAAGAAACGGGUCUGGAUAGAUUUUUCUGAACAGACGCGUUCCUUGCUGCAAAUGGCUAUAAAUAAGAGGUCUUUUUCGUUUUUUAAAACACUGAAAAUUUUUCCUCUCUGCAUUCAUUUUCUUGCAUAAAUAAAAUUGUCGAUCGACUAAGUCUGUGUGUGCUCUUGUUGUUGUUCUUGCGUUCGCUGAAGUUAUUAAAGUUUGAGGUACCGCUACUUCUUUAACAGGUUAAUCCGUUUUAUCUUGGGAGGGAUUAAUCUGCAGCCUCGGAUACAGUGAGGGGAUUAAAUUUCUUAAGGAAACACAGUGGUUUCUGUGGACUCGGAUUAAAAAAUUCAUUCUGUCUAUUUCAUCUUUUUUCUGUUUCUGUAUUUUUGACUAACCUGAAUACAGGAGAUAACAACAUAUUUGUUUGAAAGCAGAAAUUAAUAAAUAAAGAACCUAGCUUUUUUAUUCAUCAUAAGCAUAAAUAUUACAUAGAGUGGGCUAGAAGCAUGCUCCACAUUAUUUUAGAAAGCGAUCGAGCUAGGUUAUAAUAAGCAUAGAUAAUUAACUAUGCAUCAUUCUUGUUUACUUUGGUGAAGCCAAAGGGAUAAGGCUUGUUAUUGAGAGCCAGACGGUAGUAACCACUAUUGUAGGUCAAUCCGACAUCUGCACAAUCAAAGUUACAUGUUGGACAAAUAUAUUGACUAGGACAAUACCUUAACUUGUAAGAAUAAGGUCUCCCCGUCUCAUAUUUCUCAAUCUUGAACCAGUUCUCUAUGUUAUUAGGCCCUGGAAAUCCUAAGGUACCACCAGUUAUAACAAACCUAAGUGGUGAAUGCGUCGGCCCUACGAUGGAAUAACCAACUUUCCAAACAGUUUCGUUAACACAUGACUUAGUUGAAGAAGAAGAAGUUGAGAACUUUAUACUAACAUCUUGAUUUUCAUAAACGAAAUGACUUCCAAGUUUCAUAGUAUAAAACAACAGAGGUGUGCUGUUAUCAAAUUCACCAGAACUGUCCUGCACAACGCCAUUUGGGCAUUUGGUGUUUCCAAGAUCAGUUAAGUAUAUGUUUCCACCGCCAUAGGGAAUACUGAUAACGGAGUACUCCUCGUUUAUCUUGAGUGGUUCGCCCUCCAUGUCCAGCACGGGAGGGAAUACAACAUUCCCAUUAUUAUCAGAAAUGGAAAAUUCAUGAGAAAAGGCAACCAAACUUGAAACCAAUAGGAAACUCAAAAUAGUACUAAUACACUUCUUCAUCUUUAAUUUGUUUGUGUGUUUUACUUGCUAUGACUCUAUCUCCAAUUUAUAGAGCUGCUAAGGGCAUUUUUGACAAACAAAAAAUGACCUUUUAUUUUAGGUUAUAAUAACCUAAAGAAAAUAAGUAGUACAUAACAUAUUUUUUUUAUUUUUAACAAAUAAAUAAUGAUCACAAAGAAUUGAAAAUGGGAAGGUUAAUGUUCUAUUUAUUCAAUCUAUGUUAAUUUUUAUAUAUAGUACCUUUUUUUUUAUAACUUUGAAGCAAAAAUAUUUAUUUAUAUAUAUAGGCUAUAGCUAUAAGAUUUUGUUUUCAAAUAAUUUUAUUAUGGUUAUGGGUCCUAUAUUCAUCCCUCCCACUGUCAAAGUUUGCGUCAAACAACUAUAUAUAUAUAUUUUAUUUUAUUUUUUUCUUGUAAAUUCGAAACUCAACUUAAAAUAAUAAUUAAAUAUUCCAUUGCAAAACUACAUAAAGUUCCCAGUUUUAUUUUCUCAAUUUUUAUUGUAGUAAAAAAGUUGAGAAAUUAACAUUGUCAAUUUAAUUUUUGUAGUUAAGGAAUUUUAUGAUUUCGUGGAUAGUCAUAAGUUCGAACUUUUGUAGCUAUUACUAGAUAUUAGCCCUGACUAGCUUUUAAAUUCAUAGCUAAAUCUUAGUAGUAAAGUUCCCAUUUUUAUUUUCUGAACUUCAAUUAUAUAGUAAUGAAGUUGAGAAAUAACGGUCACAUUAAUUUUUAUAGGUAAGAAAGUUAAUAAAAUUGUGGAUAGUCAUGAAACUCGAAUUUUUGUAGCUUUUACAAGAUCAUCCUUAAAAGUUCUUUUUUAUUAAAUUUGAAAGAACUUAAAAUAAGUUAUUCAAACAUAUUCUAACUUAUAAUUAAAUUCUAACUUAUAUUAUUGUAAUUUAUGACGCUUAUAAUUAUAUUCUACCUUAUAAUAUUUUAAUUUAUACAUCAUAAGUUAAAGCGAAAUUAAAUAGGCUCUUGGUUAACUAUAUACUAGUACAAGGAGUCCGUGCUAGCACGAGCUCAAUAUCUUAAUAUUUUUUUAUUUUAAUUUAUAUGAUAUAGAUAGAAUUUAGAAAGUUGAUUAAAUUUUAAUGUGAUUUUUAGAUAUUUAAGUUGUUAAUUACUUUUUGUUUGCGCAAAUUUACUGUGAAGAGUUUCAUUAAGAUGUCCAUAAUUAAUGUACUUUUCGUCAUCAAUCGUUGAUUUUUCUUAUUUUUUAAUAAUUAGUUUACAAAUUACAUAACUACAUAGGAAAAAUUCACCACAAAAAUAAAUAAUAUCUUAUUUUUUUCCCUAAUCUUGCAAAAGUAUUGUUUUUACCUUUCUUCUAAUCCUACAAAAAAUACAUAAAAUUUAAAAUGUAAUAUGUAAUCACAAAAUUAAAAAAAUAGUACAUAAAAAUAAAACAUAUUUUUUUAAAAAUGAAACUUAGCAAAACUUAUGAGAUGUGUUAAUUGAUUAAUAAGAUAUAUUUAAACCCAUUAAUUAGCGAUUGAGACAUAAUAAUUUUUUAUAUGUACAUUGUGAAUCACACGUACUCAAUGGUCCCGUAAAUCUUAAUGAUAUUUUGGAUAAACACCACAUGGCUGCUUAGAGAUUUAAUGAUUUUGGAUGUAUUUGAUAUUUUCCCACCGAACACUUUAUCUUCAAUCUCACUUUUUGUACGUAGUGUAUAAGAAUUUUAUUUUCUUGAGAAACAUCUUUCAAAGAGAAUAUUUUUUUUCGUAAUUAUUAUACCCUGAACAACCACAAAUGUUAAUAUCAACAUUUUGGUUUUUGAGUUGAAAUGUUAGAAAGAAAAACAAAGCAGAAAUGAGAAUUAUUAGGCAUACAAAAGUACAAAAUAGUUAACCAAACAACAAUAAUUAAGAUACCAAAAAUGCAAAUAAUGUUCUAGUCAUUCCGCACCAGAGACCUUUCUAAUGAGUGCUGAAAGUUUUAGAUAACUUUUAUAUGUACUUCAGUCAUUAAUUUUGUCUUGGUUUUAAUAACCUUAGUUUAAAAUGUUUGAAGUUUAUCAUUGUUAAGGCUACAAUUUUUUGUCAAAAAUGUUUGAAGUUAGAUAGUCUUCGCAACAAGGUAAGUUCUGUAAAAUGCUUGAAAUUUUGCCUUUACCUAAUAUAAAACUUCAGUAAAAAUUGUCUGAAUUUUUUUUUUAUGAUGACCUUCACAAAGGCACACCUUAGACAAAAAUGUUUAUAGAUCUAGGUUUUAAAUUGUAAAAUUUCUGCUCCAUAUUAGUUGUUUAUUUUUUUAAAAAAAUAAUUUAUCCAUAACCUUUUUUUAAAAUUUUUUUACAAACUUAUUUACACUUUUUAAAAAGAAUUAAUUAUUAUAAGGUUAAAAAGAGAAAAUAAUAAUAAUUAAUUCACUUUUAAUUUUAUAAAUUGACAAAUAAUUUGAGAAAAGUGUUUUUAAAAUAUGAACAACUAAUAUUGAAUGAAGGGAUCCGAGUAAAAUUAAGCUAUAACACCUUAAUUAGUUUUACUUAUCAUACGUUUGUGUUAGGGUUUUGCCCUAAUUUUCUUACCUUAUUUGAAGUUUAUAUUUUCCUAAAAGAAAAGACAAAACAUCACCAUAAAUGUUUUUACUUUUUGAAAGGAAAAUAUAAUUUUCUUCCAUAUUUGGGUUAUUUCUUCCUUAGAGGAAAUGUUUGGAAUCCUAUAAAUCGAAGACCUCUCCUCUCAUAUCAAGAACAACAAGAGCAUCCACAAUGUAGGGGAGAUUUUCUCAUAAACAUAUUUAUGAUUUUUUAAUAUUAGUUUUCAAUAUGUAGGUCGCUUGACCAAACCAUAUUAAUAAUAUGUCUUUAGUAUUUUCUUUAUUUGUCGUCUGAUUUCUCAACCAUAUGAUUUGCAAUUAUAUUUCUGUUUAUUAUCAAUUCUCAUUGUGAAUGUUUUUUUUUGGUUUCCCAUCCAGUGUUCGGAGCCCACAUUGGAGCUCCGACUAAAUUCAGAUCACGCUCUGCAAGGCCCAUUUGGGGUGGGAGCAAAUUCGUUCAACCUCAUAGUUACUGACAUUGUGAAAUUAAUUCAAUGUUUUUUUUUUUUGAUUUUCCACCCGGUGUCCGGAGCUCACAUUGGAGCUUCGACUAAAUCCGGAUUGCGCUCUGCAGGGUCCAUUCGGGGGUGGCGCUUCCAACAGGAUUUUCUCCAUACCCAGGGCUCGAAUCCGAGACCUCUGGUUAAGGGUGAAACACUCCCACCAAUGCACCACAACCCAUGUUGGUUAAUUCAAUGUUAAUUGUAUGUACUAUGGACGAACCCUAAAUUACAUAAACUGAAACAAAUGAUUAUACAAUAAAUUAUUUUAGUGCUAAAAACAGCGUAAAAAAUUGAGGGAUAUCGUAUCUUUUUGACCUAAAAGAUAUUUGAAUACAUCACCAUUGAAGAUAGAUACCAACAGGCUAACAACCAAGUUAUUUUCAUUUUUGUCAUGUAAUCUUAGCUAGUUAAAGGCCAAAAAUGAAUAUUAAUGUCUUGAAGGGACCGCAUGUGUUACUAUCCCAUAACUAAAACGUGCCAAACAAAUAUGUCAAAUUAUUUGGAGUCCGGAGCCAAAUGGACAAAAAAAAUUGUCAAAAAUUUCAAAAGGUCAACAAAAUUGAUUUUAGAACCAAAAGGGCAAACAUUGCAACACCCAAACUAACGCUGUUGAAAUCAGGGUACAGUUUACAAAGCGUAGCCGUCUUGAGUCCUACAAGGCGCUGAGAGCUUGCGCCUUGUGAGGCGCAUCGAGUGUGCGCUUCUCCUUAAAUUGAAAAAAAAAGAAAUGCAUUUUCAUUUGGGGANNNNNNNNNNNNNNNNNNNNNNNNNNNNNNNNNNNNNNNNNNNNNNNNNNNNNNNNNNNNNNNNNNNNNNNNNNNNNNNNNNNNNNNNNNNNNNNNNNNNNNNNNNNAAGUGCAGUAUCAGUACACAAAUCACAGUGUACUGAUAGGAUCACGCGGCUAUUCCAAUAGGGAAAUACAAGCAAGUAGUUACAACAUAGUAAACAUACAUAUACAUAUUGUAUCAUUCAAUUAUCAUUUAGGAACAACAUACAAUUUCCCGAUAUCAAUGAUAGGUAAACAUGAACGUAAUAAUCACUAGUGGUCCUCUCAUGGAACCCACGCCCAAAUUGUUAGUGUGUCGGAACGUGACACCCGCUACAAUAUACAUGUGUCGGAACGUGAAAUCCGGUUCAAUAUAUAUUUCGGAACGUGAUACCCAAUCCAUUGUAUGUGUCGAAACUUGACACCCGAUCUAGUCAGCACAACCGCAAUCACAAUCACCCAUAAUGAACAGUGCACAUAGUCACACAGUCAAGUAACAAGUUCAUGGCAUGCAUGUAAUGGUUCGCACAUAAUCAUUUCAUUAGAUUUGAUUCACAUUUUCCAAUUCACAUACAUGCAUGCAUACAAUGAAGCAAUUAGCCGGCAUAUAUCACACAAACAGGAAAUUGAAUCAUCACCUACCUUGAAAUCAAGCCUGAAUACUCCUAAGACAUGUGUGCCUUCCCUUUCCGAGUCUUUCAGCUCGUUCUUGAUCUAAAACAAGCAAUUAAUGCAAGGAUCACUAAACAAUGUCUAAUUUACUCGGAUAAUAACAAAAUUAUUAACCCAAGACCAAACGGAUGAUCCUAAUGUUCAACCAGGGCUUUUCCCCACCAUUAACUUCAGGCCAACCCCCCCUCCCCUCAACGAUGAUUACCCAAGAUUCUAAGUUCUAAGAAUCGAAAUACGGAUUAGGGGAGUAAUAAUCUUACCUUUAGCGCUAGAAAUCGUGGAAAACUGUCAAGAAACUGCCCUGGUUGUCCCUUAGCUCUCAAGAACGAAGUUUGCAGAAAAAUAACGAAUUUGGGGUUUUUCUCCGACUUAAUUCGCGACUAGCCCGCCAUGGCAGACCCCAUCCCACCACAGUGUCCCCACCCUGACGGGAAUAAUCCUGUCCCCGUGGCUUUCACAGAGAUAGAAGUUCAAAAUUUGAGUACCAAGCUCCUAUUUCACAACACACAUUUAAACCUGGAUGUUUUAAAACUACCAUUUCACGCCAAGAUCAGUUUCAGGAGUUCUACUCACCCGAAUUCGAUUCUGUAGAGUCGUACAUGCUCCUUAACAUCUUGGCUAUCCACUCAUGUGAUCCAAUUAUUAAUUAAAUCCACAUUCAUUACCAGAUUUCCCUAGACCUCACCUGACUCGAAUUUCGUCCAAGUCUGGCCUAGGGUAGAAAUUUCCAAGUCACUACUCAGAAGUUUUCUGGCCCAAAUUCUUUCCUCAUUGGCUUUUCAAUAACGACAGAAAUAGGUCAUUACACAAGGCAAUGAUUUUUUUUUAAUUUACAGCCAAGUCAUGAAUUUCCUGCGCCUUACAAGGCGCAAGUCGUCUGCAUCUUGUAAGACGCAAGGCGGCUGCGCCUUGUAAGGCGCAUUGCGGCUGCUCCCUAAUUUGGACGACGUUAAUUUGAUCGUUACAAAGUUGUCCUUUUGGUUCUAAGAUUAAUUUUGUUGUCCUUUUGAAUGUUUUGACAACUUUUCUUGCCCUUUCGGCUCCGGACUCCCCUCCUAUGUCUCCUAGGGGUGGGUGGGCAAAUUAAUUUAUUUUAGAACAUUAUUUUAUUUUGUUUAUUAAAUAGACUUUAAAAUAUAUAUUUUUAAUUAGGUGUUUGUUAUAUCAUCAACAAAUGUAUUAAACUCUUCUUUAAGGUUUUUGCUGGUUGUCAAAAAGGUGACAAAAUUAUAUAACAAAAUCCUACUACAAAUAUUUAAAAUGGACAAAAUCUACCGAAGGUUUAUAUGUGUGUGGAUUAUAUAGAUUACCCAAUCCGUUUAUUCGCAUCCUAAAUUGGACUGCACCAAUAUAAAAAUAUCACUUUCAUAUUGAUUAAUGUAUUUAUUGCUCCAUAUAUUAUUGGCCUAAAUGAUACUAAUGUAAUUGUCCAUAACUAAAACAUGCCAAUGAAGUAGGAUUUGAAAAAAAGAAACGUAGUUGUCAUGCAAGCAAAUCAAUUUGCUAUGUACCCUUUUAUUAUUUUUCCAGCUAUCAAGAAUGCAAGGCUAGAUUUGAGAAUUUCAACAAAAUAUUAAUAAAAUAAUAUAUCCUCCAUGCCCUAACAAGUAGGGAUAUUGGAAAAUUGUUGUACAAAUAAAUUUCUACAACAAUAAACAAUGAGACUUCUACGUCAAUUCAAUAUACAAUAAAAUUCACUUCUAGUCAAACCAACAUACAAUACACAUUUGCAUCCAUUACAAUAGUGUUUCUUAUUUUUUAAAGAUUUCCCCCUUUGAACCAAAUUUAAGUCUACUGGGCAUGACUAAUCAAAAUUAAUAUGCAAUUGAUUAAACAUCUUAUCAAUGAAAUUCACAUCACGUAAUCAAUAACAAUGCAUAUUAUAACUUGGACUUAGUCGUAACUCCAAUGCAAACAGAUCAAUAAUGAAUAGUACUAAUGUCGUGACGGUACCAUAAGUAAUAGGUAGCACUUAUUAAUUACUAAAACUAAUUUGUUUGAAAGCAGAAAUUAAUAAAUAAAGAACCUAGCUUUUUUAUUCAUCAUAAGCAUUAAUUAAUAUUACAUAGAGUGGAAUAGAAGCAUGAUCCACAUUAUUUUAGAAAAGCGAUCGAGCUAGGUUAUAAUAUAAUAAGCAUAGAUAAUUAACUAACUAUGCAUCAUUCUUCUUUACUUUGCUAAAGCCAAAGGGAUAAGGCUUGUUAUUGAGAGCCAGACGGGUGUAUCCCCUAUCUUCGUACAAUCCGACAUCUGCACAAUCAAAUUGGCAUGUUGGACACAUAUAUUUACUAGGACAAUACCUUAACUUGUAAGAAUGAGGUCUCCCAUCCUUAAACCUAAUUUAAGUCUACUGGGCAUGUCUAAUCAAAAUUAAUAUGCAAUUGAUUAAACAUAAAAGGAUCUUAUCCAUGAAAUCCACAUCACGUAAUCAAUAACAAUGCAUAUUAUAACUUGGACUUAGUCGUAACUCCAAUGCAAACAGAUCAAUAAUGAAUAGUACUAAUGUCGUGACGGUACCAUAAGUAAUAGCUAAUAUUGUGACGGUACCGGAUAUGGAAUUAUCCAUAAGUAAUACGUAGCACUUAUUAAUUACUAAAACUUAUUUGUUUGAAAGCAGAAAUUAAUAAAUAAAGAACCUAGCUUUUUUAUUCAUCAUAAGCAUUAAUAUUACAUAGAAGUAUGAUCCACAUUAUUUUAGAAAGCUAGGUUAUAAUAAGCAUAGAUAAUUAACUAACUAUGCAUCAUUCUUCUUUACUUUGCUAAAGCCAAAGGGAUAAGGCAUGUUAUUGAGAGCCAGACGGGUGUAUUCCAUAUCUUUGUACAAUCCGACAUCUGCACAAUCAAAUUGGCAUGUUGGACACAUAUAUUGACUAGGACAAUACCUUAACUUGUAAGAAUGAGGACUCUCCGUCUCAUAUUUCUCAAUUUUGAACCAGUUGUUUAAGGUAUUAGGUCCUGGAAUUCCUAAGGUACCACCAGUUAUAACAAACCUAGGUGGUGGAUGCACCGGCCCUAGAAAGUAAUAACCAGCUUUCCAAACAGUUUCGUUAAAACAUGACUUAGUUGAAGAAGAAGUUGAGAACAUUAUACUAACAUCUUGGUUUUCAUAAACGAAAUGAUCUCUUCCAAGUUGCAUAGUAUAAAACAACACGGGUGUGCUGUGAUCAAAAUCACCAGACCUGUCCUUCACAACGUCAUUUGGGCAUUCGGUAAGGUUAUCAAUAUCAGCUAAGUAUACGCUUCCACCUCCCGGGAGAACACUCAGAAUGGAGUACUCCUCGUUUAUCUUGAGUGGUUCGCCGUCCAUGUCCAGCACGUGAGGGAAUACAAUAUUCCCAUUAUUAUCAGAAAUGGAAAAUUCAUGAGAAAAGGCAACCAAACUUGAAACCAAUAUAUUACUAAUACUCUUCUUCAUCUUUAAUUUGUUUNNNNNNNNNNNNNNNNNNNNNNNNNNNNNNNNNNNNNNNNNNNNNNNNNNNNNNNNNNNNNNNNNNNNNNNNNNNNNNNNNNNNNNNNNNNNNNNNNNNNNNNNNNNNNNNNNNNNNNNNNNNNNNNNNNNNNNNNNNNNNNNNNNNNNNNNNNNNNNNNNNNNNNNNNNNUAAAGUUCCCAGUUUUAUUUUCUCAAUUUUUAUUGUAGUAAAAAAGUUGAGAAAUUAACAUUGUCAAUUUAAUUUUUGUAGUUAAGAAAUUUUAUGAUUUCGUGGAUAGUCAUAAGUUCGAACUUUUGUAGCUAUUGCUAGAUAUUAGCCCUGACUAGCUUUUAAAUUCAUAGCUAAAAUUUAGUAGUAAAGUUCCCAGUUUUAUUUUCUCAAUUUUUAUUGUAGUAAAAAAGUUGAGAAAUUAACAUUGUCAAUUUAAUUUUUGUAGUUAAGAAAUUUUAUGAUUUCGUGGAUAGUCAUAAGUUCGAACUUUUGUAGCUAUUGCUAGAUAUUAGCCCUGACUAGCUUUUAAAUUCAUAGCUAAAAUUUAGUAGUAAAGUUCCCAGUUUUAUUUUCUCAAUUUUUAUUGUAGUAAAAAAGUUGAGAAAUUAACAUUGUCAAUUUAAUUUUUGUAGUUAAGAAAUUUUAUGAUUUCGUGGAUAGUCAUAAGUUCGAACUUUUGUAGCUAUUGCUAGAUAUUAGCCCUGACUAGCUUUUAAAUUCAUAGCUAAAAUUUAGUAGUAAAGUUCCCAGUUUUAUUUUCUCAACUUCAAUUAUAUAGUAAUAAAGUUGAGAAAUAACGGUCACAUUAAUUUUUAUAGCUAAGAAAGUUAAUGAAAUUGUGGAUAGUCAUGAAACUCGAAUUUUUGUAGCUUUUACAAGACCAUCCUUAGAAGUGUUUUUUUAUUAAAUUUGAAAGAACUUAAAAUAAGUUAUUCAAACAUAUUCUAACUUGUAAUAUUUUAAUUUAUGAUGCUUACAAUUAAAUUCUAACUUAUAAUAUUUUAAUUUAUACAUCAUAAGUUAAAGCUAAAUUUUUUGGAAACUGUAAUAUUUUAUUACCAGAUUUGCAAUAUGUACAAAAUUGGAAACUCCGGAUGUGGACAGUUUCCACUCUCAGAGUCCAUCUAAUUCAAAAGAGUUCCUCCUUGCUAGUACUAUUCUAAGGAUAGAAGUUUAGCUUUUGCGUAAAACCUAUAAAAAGUUAAAGCUAAAUUAAAUAGGCUCUUGGUUAACUAUAUACUAGUAAAAGGUGUCCGUGCUAGCACGGGUUCAAUAUCUUAAUAUUUUUUAUUCUAAUAGACUUCUUCAUCUUUGAUCUUUGUUUGUGUGUUUUACUUGCUACGAGUCUAUCUCCAAUUUAUAGACCUGCUAAGGGCAUUUUUGACAAACAAAAAAUGACCUUUUAUUUUAGGUUAUAAUAACCUAAAGAAAAGUAACAUAUUUUUUUUUAAUUUAAAAGUAAGGACUAUAUAUAUACUGUGUUGUAACGUCUAAAUUGGAUCAGACCACCAAUAUGAAUAGUAUUGAGCAAAUUUUAUCUUGAUAUUUUAAUUAUAUAUUCACCGUUCAAUAUAUAUAUAUAUUAACUCCAACCACCAAGGAUACAAGUUUCCUAAAUGGUGGAGGAUUGGACAUAGAUCCCUACCAUGUAUAUUACUAAGCAAUAACACCGUUCAAUAUAGAUAACAGGCUAACAACCACAAAUGAAUAUUAAUGUCCCAGCGAAACCGCACAUGCAUGAGAUUAUCCCAUGACUGAGGGUGUGUUUGGUAGGGAGGAAAAGACCUGUAGGAAUGUUGGUAAAAAAAGGGUGCAGAAAUAAAAUAAAAAAGAUGUUUUGCCAAGAAAAAAAAAUGCGAAUGAAGAACAAACUAAAACUUGAGAAAAUGGAAGAGUGAGAGAAAAAAUGUGACAACGAAAAGGACCCACAAAUACACUUGUCAAAAAGAGAUUGUUCCCACAUACAACUAAUCUUCAUAUUUUAAUUAUAUAUUUAUAUUCACCAUUCAAUACCGACAACAGGCUAACGAUAACCACAAAUAAUGAAUAUUCGGGACCCAUGAGAUUAUCCCAUAACUAAAACGUGUCAAUGAAGUACAAUGACAAAUUUUACUUUAUGUGGGUUUUCUUCAAAAAAAACAAAAAAUCCAUUCUCUUCCGGCCCGUUUGACCAUGCGAUAUGAAAUCAUGAUAUGGUAUCAUAAUAUGGAAUCAUGAGAUGAAAUUGAAGUUUUAUUUGGACAUGCGAUAUGAAAUUUUUGUUUUAUAUAUUUUCUCAUACUCAUAAGAAUCUAUAAGUUGUAAAACUAUUAAAAUAGCCCAAAUUGUUUAUGCAAUCUUAGCAAAUAAACAAAAUUUUAUAAAAUUGCAUAAUAAAUUAUUAUAAAGCUAUUUGUUUCCCACUUAAGUAACUAUUAUAUCACUUUAAUUCAAUUAAAAAAAAUUGAACAUAAAUUGUAGUGAACAAGUCUUUAAUAUAAUCCUCCCACAUAAUACAGACAAUCUCCUCACGUUGAACUUGCAUUUCUCGAUCAUGUGAUCGAGAAGACAAACCAGCAUUGUUACUUUGAGCCAUUUUUUGGUCAAUAUCAUCUCAACUAUAUUUUCAUCAUCAUAGACCAUAAAUAUUUCAUUACUCCUUUUCACAAAUAAUUAUGUAACACUGCACAACCUAUGACAAUUUUCACUUGUGUGUCAAUAUCAUAAUGAUUCAUGCCUUGUUUCAGUAUCUUGAAUCUAUUUUUCAAGCUCCAAAAGUCUGUGGGGUUGUUUUAACAAAAUAUAAACUUGUGAAUCAAUUUUUGUGUUGGUGUCAAUAUCAUAAUGAUUCAUGCCUUGUUUCAGUAUCUUGAAUCUAUUUUUCAAGCUCCAAAAGUCUGUGGGGUUGUUUUAACAAAAUAUAAACUUGUGAAUCAAUUUUUGUGUUGAAAAAAUCUCAAAUCAUGAUAUGGAAUUCCCAUAUAAUUCCAUAUCAUGAUUUUUGGUGAAUAUGGUAUUCCAUCAGCGUAAAAUCGCAUGUCUAAACGUUGAUUCCAUCUCACGAUUUCAUAACGUGAUAUGGUAUCGCAUGGCCAAAUGCCUACUUAUUAAUUGAGAGGGAGUUUGCGUUGCACGAGAUUUGUUUAUGUAUUUUAUAGAAAAAAAGGGUAAAAAAUAUCCUUUAAUUUUGAUUUACUAGUUGAUUAUGUCAUUACCGUUAAAAUGAAGUUAUCUCUGUCGUUAUUAAUUUCAUCAUUUAUGUCCUUCAAUUGGAUGGAAAUCCCAAAUCAUUUAAAAUUGCCUAAUUUAACUUAAAUUAUCCAAUUUUAACCCGACCCGACCCACCUAAUAAUAUAACCCAUUUUGUUCAUCUUCAUUUCUGUACCCUCCCCUUUUUCUCAAUUUCCUCCUCCACGCCGGAAAUCACGAAACCCCCUAUCUCUUCCGACCUCUUUCACCACCAUACAACACUCAACCAGUCACCGUAAACCACUUGGAUAUAAUGUAUUUUGCAAAUUAUAUCUAAUUUUUAUCUCAUAUAUUUCGGUAUCCUGAGAUACAUGUAGUUGGAUGCAUCAAAAUUUAGUAAGAUUCGUAAAUAAGCAAAUUAAAAUAUAUCUAACUAAUUAGCUCCUAAACUAGUGAGAUUUAUGUAAGUUUCUUAUUAUUUAAUUGUAUGCUUGAUUAUGAAUAUUAGUAUUAAAAUUUCACAUUUUUACUAAAUUGGCGGGAUUAACUAUCCAUAAAAAAGAUAUGAUAGCUAAUUCCAAGAAAUAUGAUCCCUGUCUAUCUCAUCUCACCAACCAAACAAUCCCAUAAUGUUUUACAACUGUUUUUAACCAAGAAAGAAGUAUUGAAUGCAUUCCCUCUAUUUGACUAACUAGUAUUAACUAAUACUCAUUUUAAGUUUACUUUAAAGAACCACUUUCAUAUAUGAAAUGGUUUAUUAUCUUGAUUUAUAAAGAUUAAAUUUUUUUGAUGUUUUACUUUGGUAAAUACAUAAGGGUUUUAAAAUAGUAAAUGGGAGGUGGGGCUUCUUAAAAGGUUGAAUCCAUCAAUAGCCUCUUAAGAUUGACCCGAAAUUUUCACUUAGACACCUUAAAUAAGUUUUAUUCAUUUUAAAUACCUAAUAUCAAGCUAUCAUAUUAUGUCACUUUAACACCAUUUUUUUUUACAAUCAACAAAAAUAAAUAUGUAAUAUGAGUUACACUGAAUAACAUGUAAAGUAUCAAAUUAAAUAAAAAUAUUUAUUAUUUGUCUCCAAAAUAAUUCUUAAAUAAUAAGUUUUGAGUAAAAAUAAAAAAAUCAAUUUGUAGGAUUUAUUAUUUAAUUUGGCUUCAACUAGAGUAAUUGGUAAAAUUAAUAAAUAUUACCUGAGAAUAUUGUCCAUUGUUCUUAAAGGACUCUUGAAACUUGACAUCAGGUGGAGAACCAUUCAUGAGAUUAUUGCACUAAUAAAAUUAAGUUGCAACACCUAAUUUUACUUACCAUAAUUAUUAAGAGUAAAAUUUACCUGCAUAUGAUGUAUAUACCAAUCUAAUAUAUACAUAUCAUGUGUUUGAAUUUAUGGUUCAUUUUAUCUAACCUUAAUUAAAUAAGAUUUGUUUUACUUCAUUUUAAUAAUUUAUAUUCACCAUUGAAUAUAAAUAACAGGCUAACAAUUCCAAAAAUUGAUAUUAAUGUGCUAGGAUCGCACGGAGUUAUCAUUAUCCCACAAGUAAAAUAUGUCAAUAAAGUACGAUCGAGAUUUAUACCACUAAUUAUUUUGGUACCAAUCAAGAAUGGAUCUUAAAAAUAAUGGCAAAUCACUAUUAUGCAAAAUGAUUUUUUUAGAUUAUUUUUUUUGACAAAUUAAUGAUUGAAGGAUAGGGUUUGCGUUAUAUGAUAUAUAAAACUUAGUUUUGAAUUUGAGUAAAUUGAGUGUUGAAACUCAAAGAAUAAUUGGGCAAAAUAAAAAAUAAAAAUUGCACUUCAAACACAUAUAACUGAGGUUUUAAUCAAUUUUUAUACACUUCAAUCAAUCAUAUGUACAUUAAAUAAAAAAUAAAAAUAAUGUUAAAUGAGCUUGUUAAAUUUAUUGUUAUUUUGAUAAAUUGAUGAUUUGAGUUUGUUUCAUACGAUUAUAAACCUUAUAAUUUAAAUUCAAACAUAUCUGAAUCAGAUUUGAGUAUUAAAUCAAUUGUUUGGAAGUAGAAACUAAUAAAUAAAGAACCUUGAUUUUUCUUAUUCAUAAUCACAUUAAUAUUACAUCGAGUGGAAUAUAAGCGAUAGAGCACCACAUUGCUACUUGCACUCUGUUUGGAUCAUUGUUAACCAUUGUAUUGUAUUAUAUUGUUACUAUACCUACAAUGUUUGUUUUGAUUGUUACUUAAACUGUAUUGUAUUGUACUGUUAAAUUUCGUUGUUACAUAACAAUGAAAACCCCUAUUUUAUGGAACAACCGAUUUGGUGUGUUCCCAUCGUUACUUAAUUUCUUUUUCCAAUUAUAUCUUUACAUAAUAUUUCAAAAUACUAUUUUACCCUUUACCUUAUAUUAUUUAAUUCUAGUCAAACCUCCUACCCUAGAAUAAUUAAGGAUAUUUUAGUAAAUUUAUAAAUCCUAUCCUAGAAUAAUUAAGGAUAUUUUAGUAAAUUUAUAAAUUACAAUACAGUAUGAUACAAUCAAACCAAACAAUUAAAAUGUUAUUAAACAACAACAAACAAUACGAUCUAGCCAAACAUUGUAUCUACCAUACAAUACAUUACAAUAGAGUACAAUACAAUACAAUAUAUUAUGAAACAAUGGGUAACAAUGAUCCAAACACAGUGUUAGUGGCAUGGGUUCAUUUGCACGUUUUUGUUACAUGAAUAAUAGUAUCUAUUGUCCUUCAAUGUGUGAGACAUAUAAUUAGUAUAGAGACUUGCUAUUUUAACAAAUAAUUAAAAGGUAAGGUUGGUAGACGUUAGCAGAGUAAAUUUCAUCCAAUUUUGUGUUCAUUACCUAAAGUCAUCAUGUAGGAGGUACGUUCAAAAUAAUUAUUCUUUUAAAAGUGAUCAUAUUUUAUCUUAAUCAAAUACAACUUUAACUCCAAUUUUAAAUUUUUGUAAAUAAUACUUCCUCCAUCCAUUUUUAGUUGUUAUGUUGCACUUUUCAAAAAUUAAUUUGAAUUAUUUUCAAAGUUAAAUAGAUUACAUUGAACAUAUUUUAAAUUAAAAAUUUAGAUAUUCAAAAACUAUACGAAAAGUACUAUAAAUUGCAAUUUUUUGCAUAUCAAUCUGAUAAAAAAAAUACAUCGUAAAAUAUUAGUCAAAGUUCUUAUCAUUUAACUCUAAAAAAGAAAACCAUGACAACUAAACAAAGAUGGAGUGAAUAUAAAUAUAUUUAAUUUAACAAACGAAUAAAGAUGAACUUAUAUGCUUUGAUUAUAAAAGUAGUCUAACAUUAUUUGUUUGUAAAAUUUGGAUGCAGUUAAACAUGGUUAUUAAAGAAUCACUUCGACUGUAAUUUAUUAAACGAAUGGCUUGUGAAUAUAUGAUUUGUUAAACACUUUAAUUUAUUAAAAAAAAAUUAUUAUUUUUCGAAAGAAGUACUUUUGAUCUUUUAACAACAAUGCGGCUUUUAUCCAUGGUUAUAGUUAGACGGUUUAGGUUCUCUAUAGAAAAGUUAAAUGUAUGGAACAAAUCAAAUUUAAAUUAAACCUAUUAUUUAGCGAUUGAGACGUAAAAAAUUUUUAUAUGUACAUUGUGAAUCACACAUACUCAAUGAUCCCGUAAAUCUUAAUGAUAAUUUGGAUAAAAGCCACCUAGCUGCUUAGAGGUUUAAUGAUAUAUUUUGGAUGCAUUUGAUAUUCUCUCUAAACACCUUAUCUCUAUUCCCACUUUCUAUAGUUUUCAUCUUCACCAUCCUACACUUUUACUAAUAUUCAUGAUAUGUCUUUUAAUAUUACUUGUUUAAAUUAUAUAGGGAAAAUGCAUAAGUACCCCCAACCUAUGCUCGAAAUCCCAGAGACACUUAUACUAUACUAAGGUCCUAUUACCCUCCCCCCCCCCUCCUAACUUAUUUUAUAAAUAAUUUUCUACCCCUUUUCGGCCUAUGUGGCACUAUCAACCAGAUAGCUUGAAAAAAUUGUCAACACGCGUUGGGCCCAGAAGAUAGUGCCACGUAGGCCAAAAAGGGGUAGAAAAUUAUUUAAUAUAUAUGAUGUAUGUAAUUUUUUAAAUUGUUCAAAGGGUAAAGGGUCAAAUAUGCCCCUAAACUAUUCAAAAAGGUCCAGUUAUACCCUCUGUUUAAAGUUUGGCUCACUCAUGCCCUCGUCGUCCAACUUUUCGUCUAAAUAUGCCCUUAUGGGCGUUAGUUGGCAUGCUGGACAUAUCCAGCUCAUUUUCCAUUUCUUUAACUACCACAUGGAAUUGCCAUGUCAUUUUGACUUUACCACAUGACAUUUAUAUAAAAAUGGAAAGGGAUCAAUUAUGCUCCUAAAAAAUUCGAACCCAUUAACACCUAAUCCGACCCAUAAAUCAACCCCCCCCCCCUCUUUUAAAUAAACUACCCGACCCGUUUUCAACAAUUUUGUUUAAAUUUUUAUUUUUUUCGGUAAAUCCUGAAAAUUAGUAAUUGAUAAUAAAAAAUAGGAAAAAUAUAAAAUUAACACCAAAAAUUCACAAAUAAAUAUUGUAACCUUAAAUUCAACAAUUUUUAAAAUUUUGUUUUUUUUUGGUACAUUCCAAAAAUGAGUAAUUGAUUAAUAAAAAAUAUGAAAAAUAUGAAAAAAAAAAAUAAAAUUAACGCCAAAAAAUCACAAAUAAAUAUUGUAACCUUAAAUUCAAAAAUUUCAACAAUUUUUUUUAAUUUUUAUUUUUUUUAAUAAAAUACUCAUUUUCGGAAUUUGUNNNNNNNNNNNNNNNNNNNNNNNNNNNNNNNNNNNNNNNNNNNNNNNNNNNNNNNNNNNNNNNNNNNNNNNNNNNNNNNNNNNNNNNNNNNNNNNNNNNNNNNNNNNNNNNNNNNNNNNNNNNNNNNNNNNNNNNNNNNNNNNNNNNNNNNNNNNNNNNNNNNNNNNNNNNNNNNNNNNNNNNNNNNNNNNNNNNNNNNNNNNNNNNNNNNNNNNNNNNNNNNNNNNNNNNNNNNNNNNNNNNNNNNNNNNNNNNNNNNNNNNNNNNNNNNNNNNNNNNNNNNNNNNNNNUAUUUUUUUCAUAUUUUUCCUAUUUUUUAUUAAUCAAUUACUAAUUUUCGAGAUUUAUCAAAAAAACAAAAAUUUAAACAAAAUUGUUGAAAACAAGUCGGGUAGUUUAUUUAAAAGGGGGGUUGAUUUAUGGGUCGGAUUAGGUGUUUAUGGGUUUGAAUUUUUUUAGGGGCAUAAUUGAUCCCUUUCCAUUUUUCAUAUAAAUGUCAUGUGGUAAAGUCAAAAUGGCAUGGCAAUUCCAUGUGACAUUUAAAGAAAUGAAAAAUGAGUUGGAUAUGUCCAGCAGACCAACUAACGCCCAUAAGGGCAGAUUUAGACGAAAAGUUGGAUGGCGAGGGCAUGAGUGAGCCAAACUUUAAACGGAGGGUAUAUCUAGACCUUUCCGAAUAGUUUAGGGGCAAUUUGACCCUUUACCCUUGUUCAAAAUACAAAUAAUUAGAAAACCACGCAAAUAUAUAUAUAUAUAUAUAUAUAUAUAAUACAUUCAAUUAAAAUCACAAACGUCAUAUACAAAUAAACGACUCACAUUUCAAAUUGUAUUGAUUUGUAUUGGAUUUAUUUAGUAACAAAACUCUCUCUAAAUAAUUUGUAAGCUAAUUUAUUUAAAUAAAUUUACUAGUACAAACAUAAAUCAUAAAAUCAAGAAAAUAAACAAAAUAAUUAAAAUAGAUUUGAGGGAUAUUUUUGUUCUUUACAUAGACUUAUCCCAUGGUAUUAUAUCCUAUAAUACCAUGUAGGAGGUAUAACUAAUCCAUGGAUUAGUUAUACAUAGGCUCAAAAUCCUACCAAAUAUAGUACUAAAUAAUACCUUACAUAAUACAUGGACUAUUUCUUCUAAUGUGGCCUACCAAACGACCCCUAAAAGGAUUACACAGCUAAAGACAUAAAAUUUACAUUAAAAAAUGCAAAUUCAUGAAGUUUGGGAGGUGGGGGUUAAUGUUUCAAUUAUUAAUUAAUUCUAUUUUAAUUCACUCAAUUUACUCCAUGCACUACAAAAAAUACGGGUUUUAGCAACACGUAAAACCGUGGCUAACACGACUUUGCCAUAGUCAUUUAGCCACCGUGGCUAUAACGGGUGCCACCAACAAAUUUGCCACGGUUUAGGCGACCGUGGUAACAUUUUGUUAGCCACGAUUUGAUGUGAAAAUAGUCACGGUUGAUCGUGGCGAAAUAUCACCAAUGAAAAUGUUCAUAAUAUAUAUUUACCAUGGUUGAACCGUGGCUAAAUACACUUUUUUAAUUAAAAAAAAAUUUCAAUUAUUUCCCAGCAAUACCCUGCAACCAAUGCAUUAUUUGAUAGGCAUCCACUAAUACACUGACCAUAAUACACAAAUCCUAUGCUCAAGAUGGUAUUUUUUAUUAACUGGACACAUAUCAAUUCAACGAGAAUCUAAGGUGCUUAUUGAAGGAACUAAAUAUACAUUGGCAUCCAUAAAUAUUUGAAGUGCCAAGGCAUAUGGUAUCUCUUUCAGGGUCUGUUUUCCUUCAUUUGCCUUAAGCUCAACAAUUCUCCUAAAAGAUUCGAAAGUAACGAUGCAAUAAGUUAGACCUCACAACAGUGAUAAACCUCAAUCAUACAACGCAUGUUAGAUUCCUUAUUUAUGCCAACAAUUAGAUAAACUAAUUUAAAUAGAUAGUUUUUUCCAAGGGAAACUCUUUAUUAACUGAAUAUGAUGUUUCAUUUGUCAUAUCCAAGUGGAUACAUGGAUUACAAAGAAAAUGGGAUUACAUAGGUCAAUCAAUGUUGAGGUGCCUCUUAAUUUAAAAAAUCAGCUGCAGCAGGAUGUAGACACACAUUUACAAAAUUGAAUAAUUGCACAUUAAAGGCAUAAAAUUUGUAGGCUAUCAUAUACGAUGAAAACAUAUGUCAAACGAACAAAGAAAUAUCAGCAAGAACCCAGUACAUACUCAACAAAUUCCACAGAGAAAUCCAAGAUCAACAGUUUGACAAAUGUCAAGAGGUAGUAUCAGAUAUACAUUUAGAAUAAAGGAGAAAAAAAGAUAUGAGUAGGCAUACAUCUUUAUUUUUUUUAAUAAGAUAGGCAUACAUCAAUUUUUCUCAAUUUGGACGGAGAGGGCACUUUCUGUUCUCAUCAGUCCCAUCAAAUGAGUGGAAGAUAUUGGUAAAAUCAUUCCGGAGGGCUGAAAUUUUAGUUAUGUUUAUUGUUAUCAAAGGUUAAAAGCACCAAAAGAAUAGUUGUUUUGUGAGAUGCCAAACAAUAUGCAACACAAUUGAUAAGCAUUGUACCUUGAAGAAAUCAUAUACAUGAUACUUGAACACCGAAUGAUAUGAUGAGUAACGAUCUGUAACAAAUUCUUUUAGCUGAAAUUAAGCUCCCAAGAACUACAAACCAGCAAAUAAAACAGAUUAGGAUUAUAGGAGAGCACACACAAUCAGUUCAUAUGUUAGAGACAUAACACAUAUUUUCAAAACAAGUAAGAUGAGAGAAUUACAAGUAAAACAAAGUGAAAAAAAGUUAAAUCCACCAAAUAUUUAGUGAAUAAGGAAAGCAACCUUGUAAUCAUAUGUGUUUUAGAUAAGCAUGAUUAGAGAAAUAUGCAAAAAAAAUUGAUAAUGUAUUUUUAGGAGAUUUAUUGCAGGCAUGAACCACAAUUGCAAUAACAUUGCAUUUCAAGGAAAAGUUUUGCUUAAAAUACCUUCAACCAACCUUUAACUAAAUGAUGGGAACAAGUAGAAGGAUGAUCUAGUCAUGAAACAAGAAUAAAAGAAAAGAGAGAAAAAUACUUUUAGAAUAACUAUAGAAUCGGCACUAUAAUAUACUACUCCCUCUGUUUUUAUUUUAUGUAACUUAGUUUGACGGGCCACAAAGUUAAAGGUGUGUAUAACAUAUCAAAAGUACCCUAUGAAUCUUAUGGUCUUAAAUAACCAGAAAGCUCUAGUGACCAAUUCUAAGAAUUGACAACAUCAAUGGUACUUAGAUAAUGUUCUUAGAGAUUAUACAUUUUCAAGGUGACUGCUAAAACAAAAUAUAAUCAUGAGGCAGAACACUAGAGCAAUCAAGUGGUAUACUCCCAAAUUCAUCUCAUUGUUUUAACAAGUAGAUUUGAUCAAAAGGCUCAAAUUUAAGCUUCAAAGUAUCCAACAAGAUGUUAAAUGCUAAGAACUUGUUUUCAUCUUCAUUUCCACAAACAUGAGCUCACACUUCACAGACAUACACAAACAAAAAAAAUGCAAUAUAAGUCCAUAGAGCCAAAUCAAAAUAAUCAUAUCUGGGCUAGAUUUCAUAUUUACUCAACUUGCUUAUUGAGAAGCAAUAUACUACGUGAAACAAAAUAAAAACAAAGAACUAUAAUCGAGGAUGAAACAUGGGAACAACAUGACACUUAACACAAAUGCAAUUCAAUAGUCGUACCAAUUCAAGAUAUUGUUGGAAAAUGGUCAUGCUGUGUAAAUACAGGGAAAAUGCUUCUCACUCAAUUCCUGUUAUAUUGUUAUAAGAUAUACACAUUUUUUUAUCCUUAUGUAUUCAAGUGUCACAUUGAUAAUUUACACUAUUGCAUCGUAGGAUGCAAUUCAUAUCAAAUGAGGAAACAAACCUAAACAAAUAUGUCCAGUGCUUAAAUGUGAGGAUGCGAUGGAGCUGGAGGGAUGAAAACAACCUAUCAAGUCAACAGAUAAAAUGCUAUACUGAAGAUAAAAUAAACUUUUAAAGAAAAGAAUACUAUAGAUAGGCAAGCUAAUGUUUUAUACGAUUAAAUCAUUCUAGACAUAAAACAAGAAGUUAGGUCAACGAAAAAACACAUAUAUAUUAAUGUAUUUCAUAAUUUUCUGAAGUGUUUCCCAAAAGACAAUCGUACAUUAUACAACCAAUACUAGUGGUGUCACCUACUCAAUAGACCGAGAAAUAUGAGGCUCUAAAACUCUUAAUUAUAUUCAAAGUCUUCCUAUACUUGGCAAGCUGAUUUUCAAUAAACAUUGAACAAUUAACAUUUAUUUACCUUAGUGGAGCUUGAGAAACCAAUCUCCUUUACGGUAUUUUUAGAGAAUCAUAACAGAGCUUCAGAACUGGACCCAAGUCAUAACAGAGCAAAAGUUGAAAAUUAACAAUCAAGAAACCUAAAUUAGUAAAAAUAUUCAAAAAAAAAAAACAUGCAGAAAUUUGAACAAUAAAACAUCAAAAGUUAUAGAAAUUUUAGAGAUUACAAAACAUUAAUUUUCUUUUGUAUUCAUGCAUGGGUUGGGGUGAAAGGGGGAAUUUGGGUUACCAAACAGUUUCUUUACUCGAGAUUUUUCAAAUUUUUGUACUAAAAAAACCUCAAAGAAACCAUUGAAUAUUGAACAAACUAUUGACUUGAAACUCCUGGAUAGCAAAGAUUUGUUACAUGAAAAAAGUGAAUUUACCAUUUCCGCUACUAUUCGAAGCAAGGCUACAAUAUUCUGCUAUUGUUCGAACCAUUCAAAAAAAUUUGGAGUGAAGCAAAUUAGUGUGAUUUUGGAUGAAGCUAAUUUUGGGUGAAGAAUUUUUUUGGGUAAAACAGAUUUGUGUGAUUUUGGAUGAAGUAGGAUUUUGGGUGAAGUAGAUUUGGGUGAUUCUCGAUGAAAAAAAGUUUUGGCUGAUUUUGGUUGAAAAGAAAUAGGGGCAAAUGAAAUAAAAAGUGAGGGAAUGAAAUUAUAUUACCUGCCUAAUUUGCCCACGUUAUUUUAGCAUCGUUCUCUUAUUCGUAGGAAACAUUAACACUUCCUAUUAAUUUUGCCACGGUUUUUAGAACUGUGGCUAAUAAACCGUAGCUAGAACUCAUUUUUUGGUAGUGAUGUAAGAGAGUUGCACUAAUUCGAGCUAAAUAGGUAGUCGAUCUAGAUUGACUCACGACUGGGCUGACUCUUACUUUAAAAUAAUUAAGGCAUAUGCCUUAGGUUCUUAAUUAGAGGUGUACAAAAUCGAACCAAAAACUGAAUCAAACCGCAAAUUGAGUCAAACCGGAAAAAAAACCCGACUAGUGGUUUGGUUUGAGUUGGUUUGGUAUUGGAAAAAAACAACCCGAUUAUAUUUGGGUUGGUUUGAUUUUAACUAAAAAAAACCAACCCGACAUUAUAUAUGCAAUUUUAAAAUUUUAUUUUAUACAUAAAAAUAUUUAUUUUGAUAUAAUUUUAAAAUAUUUCUUAUACUAUUUCAUAGUUUUUAUCUUUUAAUAUAUUAUUUCAAAUUUAAAACUUAGAAUUUGGAAUGGUCCAAUAGAGAUUAUAGUUGAUAGAUGUUAAUAAUUAUAAUAAAACUUAAAUCAAAAUCAAAUUAAUACUAAUGCAAAAAAUAAUCAAUUCAACACUAGAAUGACAAUAAUAUUGAAUAUUUGUUCUUUAGUUUUACAUUGGUUUAGACAAUUAAAUUACAUAAUCUAAUUUUAAUUUUACUUAAAUAUUCAGUAAUGUAACUAUUACUUAUUAAACUAAUUUUAGCAUGAUUUAGUACUUUUAAAUUAUGAUCAUUUUCAUUAUGACUUUGCAAUAUUUAUUUUAUAUGAUGAUUUCAUUAUUAUUUUUAUUGAAUAUUCGCAUCUCAUAUUUGUGUUAUUUUCUUAAGAAAUACCUUAGAUAAUUGUAUUUUGGUUGUACUAAAUAAAGAAAUAUUUGGAGCACAAGUUAAUUAUAUGUUUGUAUGCAAACUUUACCGAAAAAAAUCCAAAAAUCUGAAAAAAAUUCAAGGUUUAUUAGUUUGGUUUGAUUUAUAAAUUUAAAAAUUUGACACAAUGAUUUGGUUUGAUAUUUGGAAAACCCGAACGAACCCGAGGUUAAAAAACCCAAAAAAAUCUGAAUUUUAUUAGUUUGGUUUGGUUUAAAAAUUUAAAAAUUUUACAAAAAUGGUUUGGUUUGAUAUUUGAAAAACCCGAACCAACCCGGUCUUGUACACCCCUUCUCUUAAUUUUGGAGGGAUUAAUUUUUUACUAAGAAUAAAUGAUGUGCUAGUUUUUUUAUUUAUAGAAAAAUGAUAGUUAUUUUAUUCUCUUAACCCUAUAAAAAUAGAAGAAAUCAAGAAAAUGUUAACAUAACUACUAUAAAAACAACUUUUAGUGGAAAUGAAUAGAUCACAUUAAUAAAGAGUGCUAAAGUAUUUACCGGCAUUAGUUAAGUGUCAUUAGAUCCAAUGUCGCUAAAGACUUUAGGGACAUAUACAAAGAGUGCUAAUUGUCGCUAAAAAUACAUAUUUAGCGGCAAUUGAGCUAUUGCCGUUAGUUGCCACUAAAGAUCAUUUUUCAUGUAGUGUCCGUCCAACAAUAGUUAUCCAUUAUACUAUUUUGGAAUGUCAAACAAUACUUGUUCACUCUAUGAAAUCAAUGGAUAAUUUUACACUUAGUUACUAAUUUACCCUUAUCUUUAAUUAUAGUAAUUUUCUCUAUUACAUUUUUUAAGACACUAUAUUUAUUAUAUUCAAAGGGUGAUAUAGUAAAAUCAUCCUACUAUUUAUAGUUUCUUAAGAAGUGUACAAUGUCAGUAGUGGACAACUAUUAUUGGACAGGGAGAAUAAUAAUAUGUUUCAAACUUGUUUUACACAAAUUUAAAAAGCAUUUAUAUUUUUAAAAAAUAGGGUCUUUGGCUAGGGUGCUUCUCUGACUCAUAAUUAAUGGCAUACACAACAUUCAUAGCUAUGACAGUCUUCGGUCUUCCGCCCAAGUAACAUUUAGACUUACCAGGGUUGUGGUGCACUGGUAGGAGUGUUUCACCCUUAAUCAUAGGUCUUGGAUUCGAGCUUUGAGUAUAGAGAAAAUUUUGUUGAGAGCGUCACAUUCGAAUAGGCCCUGCAGAGCGCAAUCCAAAUUUAGUCGGAGGUGAAUUUCGAACAUCGAGUGAGAAAAAAAAACAUUUAGACUUAGUAAGAGUUGGAUGGACAGCUCGUUUCAUGGCCCAUAAUUUAGCUAUCUUAAACCCAAUUCAUUUCCUUCCGUCCAAGUAAUAUUUAGAUUGAAUCAUAAACUUAUUCAUUUAUCAUAUCAUUAUAAUUCAAUCCGUCCCCAUAUCUGACACCCACCCUUUAUUAUAUGGUUAAGCAUGAAAAUAUGUAUGGAUCACAAUUCACACAUAGAAACACAAAUUAAAUGUAUAUAUAGGAUAUGCAUGAUAAUUAAAGGAGAUGCAUAUUCGAACAUAGCUAGCUAGCUAGCUUGUUUUAUUCAUAACUCAUAAGCAUGCAUUAAUUAAAAUUACCUAGAGCCUGGAGACGCAUCCACUUUAAUUUAUUCCUUAACGAAGACAAUGGGAAGAGCUAGGGUUUUCACCGGAAGCCACGAGAGGAUAUAAUCCGUAAUCAAAAGUCAAGCUCACACAAUUAAGUUGAGGGGAAUCCGUACAAUACAUUAACUUGUAUGCAUUUUCCAAUUCUUGUUCCUCCGACGUCUCAUAUUUCAAAAUCAUUGUUUAGAGGCUUCAUAGACGGAUAGUUAUAGUUCUUUAGUCUUAUUCAUUUCAGAUAUUGUUUAAAAACUUGAGUUUGCCUUAUUGGCUAGUUGAAUGCUUUCUUAUUAACAUUCUUAAGUUAUAUGGGUUUAUCUCUGUUAAGUUAAACUGAGUAAGUAAGUCAGGCCAAGGAUUCGCUUGGGGUCAGCAAUGGUUAUCUAGUGCCAGUCCUGCCGCGUGACACAAACACAAAUUAAAUGUAUUGCAUAUGAUAAUUAAAGGACGUAUUCGAAGAUAGUAGCUUGUUUUAUUCAUAACUCAUAAGCAUACAUUAAUUAAAAUUACAUGGAGCGUGGAAACGCGAUUGAACGAUCCACAUUAAUUUAUUCCUUAAGGAAGACAACGGGAAGAGGGUUUUUACCGUCAGCCACCAGACGAUGUAAUCCAUUAUGAAAAGUCAAGCUGACAUGUUUACACAUUAUAAGUUGAGGGGGAUCCGGACAAUACAUUAACUUGUAUACAUUUUCCAAUUCUUGUACCUCAUGUUUCAUAAUCUUGAACAAGUAAUUGCUUUCAUUUCCUAUGGUACCACCAGUCACCACGAACUGAUCUUUAUCAUCACUAACUUUCCAAAUAGCUAGUUUCGUUAAAACACGGACUAGAUAGAUAUAUCAAGUGUUGAGAACAUGAUAUCAAUGUCAUCCGUUUCACGCACCACAUCAUCAUCAUUAUCAACCAUAAGAACGAAUUUCACGGGGGUGCCUUUUCCUAUCAAACCGGGAAUCGGUACGUGCUGCAACAUGGUGUUAGGGCAUUCAAGGUGUCCAAUAUUGGCCAAGUAUACGGAUCCGCCUCCAAUGAGAGGAUUAUGAAUAAUGUACUUUUCACCAAUGUACGUAGUGUGGUAGGCGGUCCAUGUCCAACACUUGAGGAGCUACAUCAUCAUCAUCAUCAUCAUUAAUAUUAUUAUUAUUAUGAGUAGUUGUGGGGAGGACAAUGGGAUUGUUGGAAGUGAAAGAUCGACAAAAGGCAACAAAGGGAAACAAAGAGAGUAAGAGGAAACUCAAAAUAUUAAUCAACUUCAUCUUUAAUUUGAGUGUGUUGUGUGUAUAUUUUGCUUACUCUAUCUCCAAUUUAUAGACCACCACAUGUAUGUAACAACAUUUUUGAGAAACAAAAAAUGCCUACCUUUUAGGUUAGGUUAGUGACAUGAUUUAUUAACUAGAUCUAAUUAUAAGUAGUAUAAAGACUUUCUAUUUUAACAAUGAAUUAAAAUAUAUAUAUAUAUUGUUAGAAAACAUAAGCAAUGUGGAGAAAUUUUCUGUGUAUUUCUUCAUGAAAAAAAUCACUGUGCAGCCUUCUAGUAUAUAUACAAAUUCUAUUCUAUCCUAAAUUGUGUGAACUAUGAAAUUAAUGCAAUAUGUAUUUACACUUGUCAUUUCAUUAUUGGUCUUCUUCUAACAAACUCCAAACGGCUGUCAUGUGCCAUACAUGUGCUAUGGUUGAGAAAUAUCUAGAAUUAUACAUUUGUACCAUACAGCUGGAUGGCUCUGAUUAAUUUGAUUCAAUAAGAGAUCUUUGCCCCUGAUGUUGCCACGCGUCCUUUAGACCUUUUUGUAUGCCUAUGUUGUUUUUGUCCGAAACUAGGAGAACUUUGAACAUUGUUUCCUUUCAUCAUCUCCUUAUUUUUACUUUUUCUGUAAACUCACCAUGGCCAUAAUCAUGAUGUUCUUGAUUAUCGACACCCCUUCAAGGUGAAGGGAAAGAAACGACACCCAACUUGGAAAGAAUCGAGAAGUGUGAAGGACCAGAGAGAGCCUUUGUGAACAGAUUAGCCAACUGAGCAGAGGAUGGAACAAAAGAUAGAGAGAUCAACCCGGAAAGGAAUUGUUGUCUCACGAAGUGGCAAUCAACCUCAACAUGCUUGGUUCGUUCGUGAAACAUCGAAUUUUUUGCAAUAUAAAUAGCAGCUUGGCUGUCAGAGUGAAGAGGCACAUGCAAUGAUGGAUAAAUGGAUAGAUCUACAAGAAGUCAGGUUAACCAGGUAAGUACCGCAAUAACUCUCCUCAUAGACCUGUAUUCUAAUUCAGCGGAAGAUAGUGAAAUAAAGGCUUGUUUCUUGGACUUCCAAGAAACUGGUGAGCCACCAAGGCUAAUAAAGAAACCACUAAUAGAUCUCCGACUAUCUCGACAAGAUGCCCAGUCAGCAUCACAUAAAGCAAUCAGGAAAAAUGAUGAUGUAGGAUUGAAGAACUGACCUUGGUCUGGAUUGAGUCGUAGAUAUCUCAACACUCGAAGUGCAGUAUCAAAAUGGCCCUGACACGGCUGUUGCAUAAAUUGACUAAGAGUGAUGACUAAGAAUGAAAGGUCUGGCCGUGUAUGUGUGAGAUAGUUCAAUUUAUCCACUAAUCUCCUGUAAAUGGAAGGAUCUGCAAGUAAAGGACAUGAUGAACUAGUGAGCUUAGAACAAGGGUCAAGUGGAGAGGAGACUGUAGGUAGAGAUGUGCAAUCAAAUUCUUGUAACAAAUCUAGUGUGAAUUUUCGCUAACCAAUAAUACAACCAUGUUCUCCUCUUAAAAUUUCCAUGCCAAGAAAAUAAUGAAGCUCCCCUAAGUCCUUGAUUUGGAAUUUAGAGUUGAGAAAAUCCUUCAUAGUGGCAGUUUCAAUAGGAUCAUCCCCGGUAAUCAAAAUAUCAUUAACGUAGACAACAAUAAUUGAAAUCAGAUCCCCUGUUUUGUUGAAAAACAAAGAAUAGUCAUUAAGAGAUAUUGUAUAUCCUUUAAAAGUCAGGGCUCCUGCAAGCUUGACAUGCCAUUGCCUUGAAGCUUGUUUGAGCCCAUAUAGUGACUUUUGAAGCUGGCAAACAUGAUUGGGACUGGGUGAUGCCAUUCCUGAAGGAAACUUCAUGUAGACUUCCUCUUGAAGGUCGCCAUGAAGAAAAGCAUUAUUAACAUCAAAUUGUGAAAUAGACCAACCUUUCUUGACUGCAAUGGCAAUGAGACACCUAAUGGUUGUCAUUUUGACAACUGGGGAAAAAGUCUCAGUGUAGUCUAUGCCUUUCCUUUGUAUGUCAUCUCUUUUCACAUGUCGUGCCUUAUAUCUUUCAAUUAAUCCAUCAGAAUGUUAUUUAAUUUUGUAUACCCAUUUGCAAGGUAAAGCCUUCUUGCCAGUAGGUAACAACAUGACCUUUCAUGUAUUGUUUUCUUCCAAAGCUAUAAUCUCUUUUUGCAUUGCAAACUGCCAAUUAGGAUCCAAACUAGCUUGUUUGAAACUAGUAGGUUCUGAGUAAGCACUAAUAGAACCAAGGAGAUAUUGAUUCUGUAAGGAUAAAGCUCCAAAAGAAAAAGUAGAUGAGUGCACAGGUUGUGCUAAACAAGUGUCUGAAAUGUUAGUGAGAAACACAUGAUUAUAGACAAAAUCAUUUAGAUAUGCAAGCCUCUUACUUUCCCUGUUAGAUUUUCGGAUAAUAGGUGUGGAAGGGGGUGGAGAUACAAGGAGAAAAGAAGGGGAAAAUGAAGCAUAUGAUUGAGGAGAUGUGCUAGAGGAGGAUGAAGGAAUAUGGAGGGUUGCAGAGUCAAUAGAGGAGUCAGGAGUGAAGGAAGAAAUAGGAAAAAUUGGCUCAGAAUCUGAUUGAAGAUUUGAGAAAGGGCAAAUGUGCUCACAAAAUUGAACAUCUCUAGAUAUAAAGAUCAUUUUAAAUGAUAUGUCAGGAAGUUAGUAUCCUUUUUGGCCCUGUGGGUAGCCCAAAAAUACACAAGCAAUAGCCCUGGGAUCAAACUUGUUUCGAUUACUGCGCAAAGUAGAGGCAUAACAUAGACAACCAAAAGCUUGCAAAAACUUAUAAUCAGGACAUUUCUGAAAAAGAAUCUCAUAAGGGGUUUUCCCAUGAAGUACUCUGGAAGGAAUUUGAUUAAUAAGAAAAGUAGCAGUCAAUAAACAAUCCCCCCCCCCCAGUAGCAUUUAGGAAGUUUGAAUUGAAAAAGUAAAGACUUUGCAAUUUCUAAUAAAUGUCUAUGUUUCCUCUCAACAACCCCAUUUUGUUGAAGUGUAGCAACACAAGAUGUUUGAUGAAUGAUCCCUUUUGACCUCAAAAAUUUUGCUUCAUGUACCCCUUUCCCCAAUUCUAGAGCGUUAUCGGAUCGAAGCUUUUUCACCUUAAGGUCAAAUUGUCUCUCAACCAUGGAUAAAAAAUGUUUCAAAACGGAGAAAGCAUUAAUCUUAGUAGUUAAUAAGUAUGUCCAAGUACCCCUACUAAAAUCAUCAACAAAAGUAAGAAAAUACUUAUAUCCAUGGUAAGUAAGAACUUUGAAAGGUCCCCAAGUGUCCAUAUGAACCAGUUCAAACACCCUUUUAGAAGAAACAUGACUAAUGGAAAAGGGUAAUCUGGUUUGUCUAGCAAGGGGACAUAUGUCACACACACAAGAAUAAUUAGAAGGAAAAGAAAUGAAACUGAAAUUUUUUAUAGCUGAAUAAGGCAAAUCGCCUAGUCUGGCAUGCCAAAGAGCUACAUCAGAAACAACACUAGCAGAAAAAGAAAAACAAAGAUGGACAUUUUUGGAAUCACUUCCUUCUAGUAAAGAAACUACAUUACAUAGAGAUUGAAUACUAGUACUAGAAAUGACAGAUUCUAAAAGAUAAAAAUCCUCUUUAGCUUCACCAAAAUCUUGUUUCAUCUUCAUUGAACGGUCCUGCAUGACACACUUUUCAGGAUUAAAUAAGAGAAAACAACCAAAUUGACUACAGAACCUAUGAACAGACAACAAACUAUAUCUGAAAGAAGGAACAAAAAGAACAUUUUGUAGAACAAGAGUAGGAAAAAUGGCUAUGUUGCCAGUGUGUGUGACCUUAAUCCUGUAAGAAUUAGGUAAAUUUAUAGUGACAGGUGCUGGAUGAGGGACAAGAUUGAGAAAGGAAGUAGGUUCAUAACAUAUGUCUUCAGAAGCCCCUGAGUCUAUGAUCCAAGUCUAAGAGUUAAAAACAGAGAAACAAGAAGUAGAAUAUUAAGUAAUAGUACCAGCCACAACAUUUGCAUUAAUCUCUGAGCUAGUACCAGCUCUAGAAGUGGUCUGUCCUUGUUUGAAAAUCUGUUUCAUAUGUGAAAUUUGACUCUUACUCAGGGAUUGCAGGAAAUGCUCAUCAGAAUCUUCAUAUCCAAUAGGUGAAUGCCCAUAACUAUCCUUAAUAAGUUCUCUAUUCCCAUUGAUAGGUGUUUGAAAUCCUUUAGUGAACUGAAAAUCUUCUUGGUACCCCAUCAAUCUAUAACAGUCAUCUUCUACAUGCCCAGUCUUUAGACAAUGAGUACAACUCACAUUAGGAUUGUAUUUCUUCCUUCUUACUUUUCUUGGAUUCUAAGGUGUAAAAUUCCUUUGAGGAUUUGCUGAAGGCCUUUGUCCCUGAGAUUGCCCACCAGAAUGUUGAAAUCAUCCUCCAGACCUUUGUGAAGACUGACCUGGGUGACCAGGCUUCUGCAUUUGGUUUCCAAGUUUCAUUUGGGAGUUGAAAUUCUUAGCCAUAAAUGAAGAGUUGUUAGGGGAAAAUUGUGGAUUAAUAUAAACUUCUCUCUGAUUGUCAUCCUGAAGCAAGAGAGAGUAAGCAUGGUUGAUUCCUGGCAAAGGAUUCAACAUGAGAAUAUUACCCCUUGCUUGAGCAUAAAGAUCAUUCAACCCCAUAAGAAAUUGAAUUAGCCGCUAAUCUUCAACAAAUUUAGUCAUCUUUUGCUUCCCUGUACACACACAAGGACAUGUACAACCAACAUGAGAGUUGAGAGAAUCCAACUCAUCCCACAGCCUUUUUAAUUUAGUGAAAUACCCUGCUAUAUCAUUGGAUCCUUGCACUAACCCAGUCAUUUCUUUUUGCAUGUGGUAUAAUUUAGCACCAUUCGACUAGCCAAAUCUCUGUUCUACAUCUGUCCAGAGGUCCUUGGCAGUCCUGGAGUAGAUGACAGAGUGAGCUAUAUCCAUGGAUAACGAGUUAAGUAGCCAAGAAGUUACCAUGGCAUUGCAUCUAUACCAAGAAGAAAAAGUGGGUGUUGUGUUCAAAGGCUCUACACAACUACCUUCAAUAAAACUCAGUUUGUUCUUAGCUGACAAAGCAAUUAGGGCAGAUCUCCUCCAUCCCUGGUAACCCCUCACAUCGAAGGUGCUAUUAACAAGAUUCAUACCUGGUACAUCUGAAGCAUGAAGAAAAGAGGAUUACUAAAAUAAAAAAUACUCCCUAUUGCUGUUUGACCUACAGCAAAUAGGAGCUAUAGCAGUAGGAAUGACCCAUUCUGUAUCCAUUAUUUAAAAAGGGGGGAUGAACACAGAAAUUUGUAUAAGAGCAAAAAAUUGUGGAUCUUAAUGCUCUAUACCAUGUUAGAAAACAUAAGCGAUGUGGAGAAAUUUUUUGUGUAUUUCUUCAUGAAAAAAUCACUGUACAUCCUUCUAGUAUAUAUACAAAUUCUAUUCUAUCCUAAAUUGUGUGAACUAUGAAAUUAAUGCAAUAUGUAUUUACACUUGUCAUUUCAUCAUUGGUCUUCUUCUAACAAACUCCAAAUGGUUGUCAUGUGCCAUACGUGUGCUAUGGUUGAGAAAUAUCUAGAAUUGUACAGUUGUACCAUACAGCUGGAUGGCUCUGAUUAAUUUGAUUCAAUAAGAGAUCUUUGCCCCUGAUGUUGCCACGCGUCCUUUGGACCUUUUGUAUGCCUAUGUUGAUUUUGUCCGAAACUAGGAGAACUUUGAACAUUGUUUCCUUUCAUCUCCUUCUUUUCUUUUUCUGUAAAAUCACCAUGGCCAUAAUCAUGAUGUUCUUGAUUCUCAACAUAUAUAUAUAUAUAUAUAUAUAUAGUAUAGCUAAAAGAUUUUGUUUUCAAAUAAUUUAUUAUGAUUAAAAAUUAAUUACUAUUGUUACACUAACUUUUAUUGCGUGACUAAAAUUUCCAAUAGGUCAUAGACUCAUAGACUAUAGUUGUGUGAAAGUCGCGACAGACAACUGUAUAUUCAGUUUUUAUUAUUUUCCUUGUUUUUUCUUGUAAAUUCUUAACUCAACCUAAAAAUGAAAAAUUAAAUAUUUCAUUGCAAAUCUAUAUAAAGUUCCCAGUUUUAUUUUCUCAACUUUUAUUGUAGUAAAGAAGUUGAGAAAUUAGCUUUGUUAUUUUAAUUUCUGUAGCUAAGAUAUUUUAUGAAUUUGGACCACAUAUUAAAUAUGAAUUUAAUUUUUUUAGCUAAGAAAAUUCAUAUAUAAAUAUUUACAGCCUAAUUUGGACACAGUUAUUCAGAGUAGCUCGUACAAAAACAUUGGAAUGUCUCUUUCGGAAUAUUGUAAUUAUGGCUCCAUGGACCACUUAAUAUCACAUAAAAUAAAUCAAUUGAAAUAGAUUCUAGUUUAUAUUUUUUAACUUACAAGUGAUAAGCCAAAAAUUAAGCUAAACACACCCUUUGUCUCUUAUUUUUCUUUUUUAAUUUGUCUAAAAACAAAUUAUUUUAUAUUUAAAUAUAAUUUAACUUUUAAAUUCUCAUAUAUAUUUAAUGAGAUAAUUUAUAAUGACAUAAAUAUUUAAUAUAAUAAUUUUGUACCAAAAAUUUCAUGAAUGAUCACCUAAAACACACCACCUACCGGAACUAAGACAUCCACACACGCAGUGGCGGAUGUAGAGUGUGUCCAGGGGGGUCAUCCGACCCCCCUCGAAAAAAAAUUACACUAUAUAUAUAAGAUUAAUUUUUUGUGUACGUGUAUAUAUUUAAAAUUGAACCCCCUGAGCAUAUGUCAAAGGAGUAGCUCAAUGGUUUAUGGGGUUCAGGAUUUCGCCUAUGUUUUAUUUGAACCCCCUCGAUAGAAUUCCUGCCUCCGCCACUGCACACACGAUAAAUAUAUAAAACUGGUAGAAUACCGACGUGGUAUAAUUCAAUCAAUCCACGUACAAAAUUUUAACCAGGGAGAUGUUUGGAUACUGUAGUGGAACAUCAAAAUAUAAUGCAAAUUAUUUUGUGGAUAUCUGAACUAAAACUAUGAUAUGGAUCAUUCUUUGAAAUUUGAUCACAUAUAAUCUAAUCUCGAUAAUUUGUCAGAAUUGGUUAUAAAUUUUUGAUAGAUUAUUAUAAUUUAUUGUGUGAAAAUUUCACCAGUAUGAUCAUGCUUCAACGUAAAUCUUCAAAAAUAAAUAGAUUUACUUUAUCUUUGAUCCUCAACAUUUAAAGCUCAUUAAAAUCAAACAAUGAUGCUCUUCAAUUUCUUCAACCAAUUGAAACCAAAUAAUGAGAAGGUGGAGAGGAAGACUCUAAAAAAUCGCCAGGAAUUUGAUCAUAAUCUUGACAAGUUGCUGGAAUUUGUUUGGUCCUUCGUUUCGUUGACACAAAGUUUAAAAAUAAAAAGAAAAUGUUUGAAUUUGUUGAUCUAAAAAAAUAUGUCGAAUGUAUUAAAAUGCCCUUUAAUCUUUGUUGUUUUAAACAUGUCACAUGGAAAAUUUUAAUUAAGGAUUUGUUGGAAAGGGUAAUUUUUUAAUAGACUAAAACAAAAAGUAGGUCAAACAAAUUAAAAUCGAGGAAAUAUAAAAUUUUGAUGGAUUGUUAUAAUUUGUUGUGUAAAAAUUUAACCAAUACAUUUUUUGUUUCAAAAUCGGUCCGAAUCAACUUCUAAUUACUCCAAAUUUGAUAUACAACCUUCUCAUAUAAAUCACAACAAAUUUUCAAUUAUUAGAUUCUUUGUAAACCUUCAAAAAUAAAUAGAUACCGUUGAUCUUCCACAAUUUUUCUUAAGCUCAAUAAGAUCCAACAAUUUUUUCAACCAAAUGAAACCAAAUCAUUAAGGAUAACAAUAUAAAUUCAAUGGAACAUUACAUAUAUAAUUCCAAUCACAAAUUAAUAAGCAACGAGAAGGAGAAGAAGAGAAAUAGGAGUUUCCUUGCAUUUCAUGAAGUUUGGGUGAGUUAUUUUGAUUCAAUUAAUUUAGUCUUUCUAAAAGUUGGAAUUAUUCGAGUUAAAUAUAUAAUCUAGAUUGACUUAUAAAUUUUUCCGUACCGAACACACCCUUUGUCUCUUAUUUUUCUUUUAAUUUGACUAUAAACUUAUAUUUUAUAUUUAAAUAUAAUUAAAUUUUAAAAUUUUCAUAUAUCUAUAAUGAGAUAAUUUAUAAUCACAUAAUUAUCUAAAUUUAUUAUUUCUGCACCAUAAAUUUAAAAAAUAUUACUCAAUUUUUUUUAUGUGUAAUCAACUACGAUAUAAAUUAUGACGAAAGGGGUAGCUUUUUAAACUCAAGCAUUUAUGGACCACAAUAUGCAAUGGUCGCCUAACAACAACACCUAUCUGAAUUAAGAUGUCUACAUAUUUAUUUAUUUGUAUUGUUAAGCAAUGACUCUUAGUUUUGAUGUUUUAGAUAGAAAAAUUGUAAACAUUUUGAAUUGGAUGUGAAUUAUUAAUUUCAUACUCAAAUUAUUGAUAGCCUUAAAAAUAUUCAUCUACUUAACUAACUGAACCUAAAAACACCCUUUCAUCCUAUAAACAUACAUGUACGCGUACGUACAUUGGAGCCUCGAUUAAAUCUGGAUCGCCCACCGUAGGGCCAUUUGGGGAUAGCGCUCCCAACAAAAAUUUCUCCAUAUCCAGAGCUCGAACCCAAGAUCUCUGAUUAAGGGUGAAACAGUCUCACCACUGUACCACAACCCAUGUUGGUGGUAGGUUGGGUGAAUUAAUGAGCCCUUAUGUUAAUUUAGUUUAUUUUGAUCUAUUUUAUUUAAAAUUUAGCAAGGAUCGAACAAAUUACCUUUCUAAAUUAUGCAAAAAUUAAUACAAAAAAAUCAAUCACUAUGUUUCUAUUUUUAAAAUAAAAUAAAAUUAUACCACUAAACAAAGUGUCUAUCAAUUUUUUAUUAAAAUAAAAAACUUCAAUAGACAAGUAUUGCCUUUGCCCUUAAUUUGCUAUUAUAAUAUUGUUACCGGAGAAGAUGCAGAUAAGAAAAUUUAUUCCGGCGACCUUAGAGCCCUUACAAAAAGUAGCCAUUGUUUUUAGGGAAAAUUGUAUAUAAUAGCAAACUAUUAAUUCAAAUUAAAUGCUAUAAAUAUACUUUGAUUUAAUUGUACCCUAUAGCAAAUUAUUGCUAUUUUCGCCACUCUCCCUGGUGGAAUCUCGCUCGCCACUCUCGUUUGGCAGUAGUCUUGCUCGCCUCUUUCGCUUUUAUACAAAUACAAAUAUAUAAAAUGUGUUUGUGUUUUAUAAAGCGAGAGAAAAUUGUAUAUAUACAUAUAUUUUUGUUCCCCUCUCUCAGAUCUCGCUUGCCACUCUCCCAAAUCUCGCUCGCCACCCUCGCCUCUCUCGCUUAUACAAACAGAAACGAAAUGUAUAAAUUGCGCUUCUAUUUAUAUAAAGCGAGAGAAAAUUGUAUAUACACAUGCAAUUACAUAUAUCUUCGUCCUAUACACUUAUAAUUAUACAAUACAAAUAUUUCCCUGCCCAGUUUUCUUUUGCCUUUUUCUCUUUCUCGUUUUAUACAUACACAGAUUAUACAAUUGAUCUUUUGUAUACAACUGCUUUCUUUUGUAUAUGUAUAGCGAAUUAUACAACUGCCUUCUUUGUAUAUGUAUAACAAAUUAUACAACUGUUUUUUUGUAUAUGUAUAGCGAAUUAUACAUUUAUAUGUUUGCUAUGGAGCGAAAUUAUGCAAACUUUGCUAUAACAUACAAAUAUGAAUUUUAUGUUUCCUACGUGAAAGUUGCUCUUGUUUUUAUGGAUAAAUCUAUCUCUAUUUUGCUUGCUAUUAAUGAUUAGUCUAUCUCCAAUUUAUACAGCUGCUAAGGGCAUUUUUGACAAACAAAAAAUAGCUACCGACCGCCACCUUUUAGGUUAGUGACAUUAUUUCAUUUAUAAAUUAUAAUGAUUUAAAGAAAAUAAGUACUCUAGUAUAAAGCAUGUAUUUGGCUUAAUUAAUUCUCUUAAAAUUAUCCCCUUAAUUUAUCUAGACAUUUAAAUUCAGACUUGUACCUAUUGAACACUUCUAUUCUUUUAAAUUUGAGCCAUUCUAACAUUUUUUUAACAAUCAACUAAAAAUAUAAGAAAGAGUGAAAUGUACUAGCGGUGACAUGACAAUUUGACAAAUUAAAUAAGUAAAAUUUACAUAAAUCUCAUAGUGUUAAGAACUAAUUAUAUCAUAUCUCUACUCUUUUUCAAAUUACAAAAAUCAUUUAAAUUUAUAGGAUCUUGGAUAUAUUUGAAAAUAUGUAAAUACAUAGUUCAUGGAUUGCGAAUGAUACAUUACUUAAUGGAAGGGAUGUAUUCGAAGGGGAGGGAUGUAUUCGAGAGGGGAUAGGAUGUAUAUGAGAGGGGAUUGAUAUUAGUAAAAAAGUUGAAAAAUUUACAUUGUCAAUUUAAUUUUUGUAGUUAGUACUAGAUAUUAGCCAUGACUAGCUUUUAAAUUCAUAGCUAAAAUUUCCUAAUUUAAUGUCUGAUUUAAAAGUAAAAAUUUAAAAUAAGCCAAUUCAAACAAAAUCUGUACUUACCAAAAAAAAAAAAAUCCAAGCAUUCCAUUCUAGGCGAUAAGAAAAAGGGAACAAGAACACUAUGUCUGCGACUGAUCAACAACAAUUCAGUAAGCCACACGUCCAAACACUAAAGGCAUACUCAAAAACAUAGGAAAAAGUACUUAUAGAGGUUUCUAACAUUAUUCAAUUUGGAGGGCUUGUUUAUGGAUUCUAUUGUGAUUAUUCUACUGUGUUGUAUUAGUCUCCUUGGAUGUUCAUUUUGCUAGAAUAAUCUGAAAGCCACUCGCCUUAAUAUAUUAACAACCACACGCCUUCGCCUUUGUGUAAUAGCCAGACACCUUAAUGUAAGCCAGAGAUCACAAACACAAAACGAUACAUUUAUGAAUCUCAAAUCACUUGGAAAUCACAUGUAAUACCUAAAUAUUGAUUAGUUCUUCAAGUGUAUUUUCUGUUUUUUCUUCCGGUUAAUGUGUAAAUGUAAUGAACAUAACGAAAAAUAAACUAUAGGGUUAAAUUAUCAACGACAAUGGGUAAUAAAACACGAUAGAAACAGAGGAGUGGAGGGGAGCGACGAACCAACCUGAAAGUUUCUUUGUUCUUGGACGUAGUUGCUGCGAUUCAAUUAUAGAUGCUGGAACCACACGCCUUAAUAUAACCUUAAUAUAUAUUAACAGAGGAAUCGAUAAUCAAUUACAUUCAAAAUAGUAGCAGCCAGAGAUCACAAACAUAAAAAUGAUACUUUUAGGAAUCUCAAAUAACUUGGAAAUCACAGAUAAUACCUAAAUAUUGAUCAGUUUAUCAAGUGUAUUUUUUGUUUUUCUUCCAAUUAAUGCAUAAAUAUAAUGAACAUAAUGGAAAAUAGGUUAAGUUCUCAACGACAGAGCAACAGGGGUAAUAAAACAUGAUAGAAAUAGAGGAGUGGAAGAGCGACGAACCAACCUGAAAGUUUCGUUGUUCUUGGAUGUAGUUACUGCGAUUGAAUUAUAGCUGCUGGAAGUAGUUCUUCGAUUCAAUAUAUGUUGCUGGAAGGUCUCUGCUGCUAACGAAUGAAUAUAUGUUGCUUGACGUUGCAGCUCUAAUCGAUUUAGGAUGAUGAAUCCUAAUGUGUGUGGAAGAUCUUUUUAGGAAUACUUUCCUUAUUAGAAGCAUAUAGAGGGUUUUUUUGUUACUAAUGUUUUCCUUAUUGACCAGGAGUUCUUUUUUUCCAGAAAUAAGAGAAUCGCGGGAAAAAAUAUUAAAGGGAAAGCAGGAGUUCUAAUUUUCAGAAAAAGAAGAAGAAGAAGGCUUUUAGUGACUAUUUUUAGAAUUGCUUCUAAAAGUGUACAUAUUGCAUUAAACAUUAGCCGUUAAUAUUUUGCCUCACAUGAAUAUAUUAGCGGCAAUUUGCUUAUUGCCGCAAACCAAUUGUCGCUAAAGUUCAUUUUUGUAGUAGUGUAUUUUUCAACACAUUGAGUUGCUAUCUACAGUUUUACAGCUUUCCAUAUAUUGCAUCUUUUAUUGUUGCUUUAUUCUUGAGUAUCUUGAGUUGAACUGUGCUUCAUCGAGUCGAGUACAUUAUUGUUGAGUUGAGCCUUAUUUCACUGAGUUGAAUAUCUUAUCCCUUGAGUUGAGUAUCAUAUUCUUGAGUUGAGUCGAGUAAGUGAGUUGAGAAGAGGGAAGUAUGUUUCAUUUUUAUUAAGUUCAAGCUUGUGUUUAUGCUUUAGAAUUUCCCUUACAUGCUCGUACAUUUCACGUACUAAGCCAUUUGGCCUGCAUCCUUUCAUGAUGCAGACACAUUUAUAUUCAGGGUCAUCAACAGUGUCACAACCCGAGCCUACACCCUGGACGUGGCCGGCACUCGAGAACCAUUGCUGGUCCCCAAACAAACUCUCAUCCUGGCUGACUACAAGCGAAAAACUGAUUCAAGCAUACAAAGCUUAAAAACUGAAUAAAAUCAAUAACUCAAAUACAAAGCUUUAACUCAAAAUAAAACUCUGAAUAAAAAUAAGAUAUUCAACUCGCCAAAAAAUAGGCAACUUAAGUCUUUAAAAUAUUUAAUAAAAUAAAUGAAUAAUACAGACUUCUCAACUAUACUGACUAUCUAUGAAGCCUCUAACUGAUAAAAAUGGAAGUCGGGACAAGACCCACGACAUCCUGACUAAACUGAAAAGUAAAUGAAAUUCUCCGAAAACAAUGAGGCUCACCAUAGAUAACUCGAACUCCUGGAUGUAUCAACGAAUCUUCUGUUGAUGAUCCUGAAUACCUGUGUCUGCAUCAUGAGAAGAUGCAGGCCAAAUGGCUCAGUAUGUGGAAUGUACGAGCAUGUAAGGGGUAUUCUAAAACAUAAACAUAAGCUUGAAACUUGAUAAAAAGGAAACAUACUUACCUCUUCUCAAACUUACUCAACUCAAGGUAUACUCAAGGAUACUCAAAACUACUCAACUUACUCAAUUCAUAAGUAUUCAAGGAUAAGAUACUCAACUCAGAGAUUAGAUACUCAACUCAAAGAUAUGAUAUUUGACUCAGGUACUCAACUCAAUAUAAAACAACAAUACACAUGCAAUAUAUGGAAAACUUUAUAAAAACAGUAAAACAACUUAGUUCGUUAAAGAAAAUGCAAUAACAAACUCAAUUUUACUUAUAUAAUAAAGAAAUAUAGUUUAUGUGGGAGUUUCUCUAACUGACAACUAUCACUUUAAGAGCUAUAGUGAUGAUACAACACUUUUACCUCACGCUGCCAAGGACCAUUCUAUACCUUGCCAUCAGUAUAGGGACCUAACUUAACUUAGUGGAUCCACUAGUCUAUGCGAAAAGGAUUCAUCUAAAAAGUAUUACCCUUUUCUACCUAUGAUGGCUACAUGGUUUUCAUCAAGACUUGAGUUAAUAGGAAACUCGCAUCCCCAUAUCGGUGCUCAAUACUACUCUCACAAUAUAACUAGCUCAUAUGUUUAGAAACAUAACUCUUUCUGUGUUUUGAGAUUAUUACUCAAANNNNNNNNNNNNNNNNNNNNNNNNNNNNNNNNNNNNNNNNNNNNNNNNNNNNNNNNNNNNNNNNNNNNNNNNNNNNNNNNNNNNNNNNNNNNNNNNNNNNNNNNNNNNNNNNNNNNNNNNNNNNNNNNNNNNNNNNNNNNNNNNNNNNNNNNNNNNNNNNNNNNNNNNNNNNNNNNNNNNNNNNNNNNNNNNNNNNNNNNNNNNNNNNNNNNNNNNNNNNNNNNNNNNNNNNNNNNNNNNNNNNNNNNNNNNNNNNNNNNNNNNNNNNNNNNNNNNNNNNNNNNNNNNNNNNNNNNNNNNNNNNNNNNNNNNNNNNNNNNNNNNNNNNNNNNNNNNNNNNNNNNNNNNNNNNNNNNNNNNNNNNNNNNNNNNNNNNNNNNNNNNNNNNNNNNNNNNNNNNNNNNNNNNNNNNNNNNNNNNNNNNNNNNNNNNNNNNNNNNNNNNNNNNNNNNNNNNNNNNNNNNNNNNNNNNNNNNNNNNNNNNNNNNNNNNNNNNNNNNNNNNNNNNNNNNNNNNNNNNNNNNNNNNNUUCAUGGGUAAUAGGUAAUAGUCCCAUGAUUAGGAUUAUAAUCUCGGAAGGGUUAGAAACUCAAUACUUAAGACUUAGGACAUGGGGACAUUAAUCCUCUCAUAGAUACUAAACUUAUGGAGUUCAUGCGGAAUUUAUGGGCAUGAACGACUUGACUCGUAGGUCUACANNNNNNNNNNNNNNNNNNNGUAUACAACUCUUCUCAUUCUCAUACUUACUUUCUCAAAAUUUAGUUCAAAUCAAUAGUUGAUCUCAAAUGGUUCACAACCGAACUCAAAGGCUUUCUUGAACUCUACUCUUAACUCGAUCUCUUAAAUGUGAAUUAUGAAUUCAAGAGUUAUGGUUCAUGCUAUGAAAGAUUUCAUGAUGACAAAGUAUACUCAUGAAUACAUUCUCCUCACUCUCAUGCUCACUUACUCGAAUCUUGAAACAAGUUACUAGAAGUUGUAGAAGACUCCACAAAAGGACUCAAAGGGACUUUCUUAGAAUGUUUUAAAAAAAUCUCAAAACUUAACUCUUAGCUCUACCUUGAAUUUGAAUUAUGAAUUCAAGGUUAUGAUCAUGUUAUGAAUGAUUUCUAGGUGUGUAGAAGUAGUUUAAAGUGUUUAGAAUCAAAGGGGAGUAAAGGUACCCUUUGAAAUAACUCAAACGGACGAAACGAUGGACAACGGGUGGGGGCAGGCGACCCUGGUGCUCUGAGUGGCGUGGGGUGCCAGCCCCUAAAGUUCAGAGAGGUGGUUGGGGCGCUCUGCUUGGCGUGACACGCCAGGCCCCAACCCAUAAAACUUUGACGACUUUCCAUGCUCGUUUUCUCACCCUAACUCGCCUAAAAUUGAACGAUUUCCUCCCCAAACACUUGGAUUUGAUUACUUAACAUUAUUACACUCUCAUAUACUCAAAAAAACACUCAAAUUACUAAAUUUCAUCUGAAGAAAUCAUCAAAACCCCAACACAACAAUAUUUAGAAUGAACUUUAAGAACACUUAUCAAGAACUCAUCAAAAACUCUAAUCUGUCAACUUUAAGAAUGAAAUUUGCGCUGAAAAUAACAUGAUUGGCAUGUGGGUGAACUAACCCAACACUAUGGAAGCUUACAUACCUCUUAGGGAUCAAACCCAUGGCGAAAAUCCGCUACAACACGCAAGAAUCUCGACGAACGCUUGAUCCUCUCCUCUUUUCUCCUCUUCUCUCUUCUUUUCUCUUCUUGAACUCUCAACUAAAAUCCUAGGCUAAUUUUAGGAUUAUAAAACUGAACCUAAUAGGAUUAGACCCUUAAAAUAUUACUAAAAAUGAAUUAAAUCAGAGUUGGUAAGGAAAAGACCAAAAUACCCUUCUCUAUUUUCGGCUAACUUUCCUUAACUAAAUAGCCUAUCUUCAAAAGGUCAUAUCUCACUCAUCCGACCUCAAAACUUAGCAAACUCGGCUGUGUUGGAAAGAUAAUUCAAAGAUCUUUCCUACGGUAUCUAGUUGAACACAUAAAUCAUCCUGAGAUAGGAGUUAUGAUCGUUUGAAGUCGACCCAAAACUCAUACUUAGCUUAACUUGCAAAAUUUCAGAUUUUUCUAUUUCCAAUUUAAUUCUUUUUGGAACUCAAGGUGCUACAUCUAGUGACCUUAACACUUAAGAAAUUUUAAUUCCUCGGUAAAAUCCUACUCACAACGAAGGAUGGUUUCAAGUCUCAGUUCGAAAAAAAUUCUGGGGUAUUACAAUAUCUCCCCCUUGGGAUCAUUCGUCCUCGAAUAACGACUGGACUGUGUAUGGAAUGGGUUACUCUUACUAAGGUCUGCGUCUAAUGCUAGGCAUUUGCAUUUGGUUUAAUUGAUAUGAGCCGACUGUUAGCUUAGGAAUUUCCCUCCAGUCAUGAUACAUAUGAGCUUCGUUAGAAUUAACGUGUUUAGCUAAUGCAUCUGCAAUUUGAUUAACUUCUCUAUGACAAUGAUUUACUUCAAAAUUCAUCUUCGCAACAACUUGUAAGAUGUCUUCCACAACACCUUUGAUCUUCAAUUGACGCUUGUCCAUUCCUUACCAUAUCAACCACCAUUUUUUAGUCUAAUUCAAGAUAGCAAUCGUGAAAUCCUUGUUGUGGAUGAUGAUAUCUAAAUAUAGAUACCCUUAAUUACAUCAAGCACGUUGCCAUAAAAUAAACAUAAAGUAAGUAUUGUACACCAAAUAAAAAAAUAUUCAGCGCAAGUAGAAUCCAAAAUGGCUUAUUUUGGCUUGACACGGAGUUUAAAAAAAUAUUUGAAUCAUGUGAUCUAAAAAAAAGAUAUGUCGAAUCAUGAAUGUAUCAAAAUGACCUUUUAAUUUUGUGGUCUUAAAAUGUCAUGUAGAAAGUUGAAAUUAAAGAAUUGCUAAAAAGGAAAAAGGUCAUGUUUAUUUUAAAUGAAUUAAAAAAGAAAAUAGCUCAAAUAAAUUGAAACAUAGAGAAUAUAAAAUUUUGACGGAUUGUUGUAAUUUGUUGUGUAAAAAUUUAACCAAUACGUUUUUUGUUUCCAAGUUGGUCCAAAAUCCAAAUCAACUUCGAAUUGCUCCGAAAUUUGAUAUGCAACCUUCUCAUAUAAAUCACAACAACUCUUCAAUUAUUAGAUUCAAUCUAAAUCUUCAAAAAUACAUAAAUGUCUUCAAUAUUCAACAAAACAAAUUGUUAGAGUUAUCUUAUCAAUAAUAUAAUUCAUUACUAUUUAGUAUCUAAACUCUUAGCUCGUCUCAUCCCAAUAUUACUUUGGGCAGAUCAUUUUCCUACUCGAUCAUCUAAACUCCUAGGUUUUUUUCCCUUAUAUAUAUGAUGAUGCGAUCUCCUUUUGUAUUACUAUUAAUUUUGUAACAAGUAACUAUAUCGAGACGAUUGGUUAACAACAAAAACAAAAGUAACCCAAACUUAAAAAGAAACCACAAACUGAAGAAAUUUAUGUAUUUUUGAAUGAAGAAGGUAAGGUAAGGUAAUAGGCUAAUUGCUAGCUUGUUUAUUUAUUGAUAAGCAUACAUUAAUUUACAUGGAGCGAUAGAAGGAUAUAUCCACUUUAUUUAGAAAGCUGCAAGCUAGCCAGCUAAUUAGCAUUCUACGCCUUGAUGAACACAAAUGGAAUAAAGUCCUUAUCGUCAUCGACAGUCACCAGACGAGGAUAUCCAUUUUUAAAGUUGCCGCCGAUAUUUUUGCACUGAAGAUGAGAGGGACAAUGCAGUAACUUGUAUACAUUUUUGGAACUUCCUGGUGUCACCAAGUCAAUUUUCCUAAUCUUGAAGAUGUCGUUUUCAUUUCCUACCUUACCACCAGUUACCACCAACUGUUCAUCAUCAACUUUCCAAACAGUUUGGUCAACACACAACUUUGUUGUUUUAACAAAGAACUUGAUAUAAACAGCAGUCAUUUGACGCACCACAUCACCAUAAUCCGACUCCGACUUACGAACGAAUACGACGGGCGUGCCUUUUCCCAAAAAUUGGGGAAUUGACAUGUGCUGCAACACGGCGUUUGGGCAUUGAAGGUUUCCAAUAUUGUACAAGUAUACGGCUCCGGCCCCGAUGAGAGGAUUGUUAAUAAUGUACCUCUCGCCAAUCCUCAGCGGAUCGCCGUCUUGGUCAUAAACUUCAGGGAGUACAAGAUUAUCAUCAUCAUGACAAGUUGUGGGGAGGACAAUUGGAUUCUCAGAAGUGAAAGAUCGAGCAAAGGCAACCAAAGAGAGGGUACUUGAAAGCAAGAGGAAACUCAAAAUAUUAAUCGACUUCAUCUUUCUUUGUGUGUUUUGCCUGCUAUGAGUCUAUGUCCAAUUUAUAGACCUGCUAAGGGCAUUUUUGACAAACAAAAAAUGAAUACCUACUACCGCCUUAGACACCUCAAAUAAGUUUUAUUCAUUUUAAAUAACUAAUAUUAAGUCACUCUUAACACUUUUCUUUUUUUACUAUCAACAAAAAUAUAUAGUACAUAAUAUGUGUUACACAGAAUAAUAUGUAAAGUAUCAAAUUAAAUAAAGACAUUUCUUAUUUGUCUCCAAAAUAAAUCUUAAAUAAUAAAUUUUUAGUAAAAAUAAAAAAUGGCCAAUAAUUCAAUUUGUAGGAUAUUUAUUAUUUAAUUUGGCUUCAACUAGAGUAGUCGGUAAAAUUAAUAAAUAUUACUUGAGAAUAUUGUCCAUUGUGCUUAAAGGACUCUUGAAACUUGACAUCCAGUGGAGAACCAUUCAUGGGAUUAUUGCACUAAUAAAAUUAAGUUGCAACACCUAAUUUUACUUACCAGACUCAUGUACAUAAUUAUUAAGGAUAAAAAAUUUUAUCCGUAUAUAAUGUAUAUACUAACCUAAUAUAUAAAUGACAUGUGUUUGAAUUUAUGGUUCAUUUUACAUAAUUUUAAUUAAAUAACAUUUGUUUUGCUUCAUUUUAAUAAUUUAUAUUCACCACUGAAUACAAAUAACAGGCUAACAAUUCCAAAAAUUGAUAUUAAUAUGCUAGCUGGCAUGGAAUUAUUCCACAAGUAAAAUAUAUCACUGAAGUACGAUUGAGAUUUAUACCACUGAUUAUUUUGUUACCUAUCACGAAUGGAUCUUAAAAAUAAUGGCAAAUCAUUAUUAUGCAAGAUGAUUUUUUUUUUAAUUAUUUUUUUGACAAAUUAAUAAUUGAAGGAUAGGGUUUGCGUUAUCUGAUACAUAGAACUUAGUUUUGAAUUUGAGUAAAUUGAGUGUUGAAACUCAAGAAUAAUUAGGCAAAAUAAAAAUUGCACUUCAAAUACAUAUAACUGAAGUUUUAGUCAUUUUUUAUACACUUCAAUCAUAGGUACAUUCAAUAAAAUUAAAAUAAUGUUAAAUGAGUUUGUUAAAUGUAUUGUUAUUUUGAUAAAUUGAUGAUUCAAGUUUGUUUCAUACGAUUGUAGAUCUGAUCUUCGACUAAAUUCGGAUCGGACUUUGCAGGGCCCAUUCGAAAGGGACACUCCCAACAGGAUUUUUUCCAUACCCAGGGCUCGAACCCGAGACCUCUGGUUAAGGGUGAAGCACUCCCACCAGUGCACCACAACCCAUGUUGGUCCUAAAGUCAUUAUUAUUAAUUAGGUAGGUAUGUUCAAAAUAAUUCUUUAAAAGUGAUCAUAUCCGAUCUUAAUCAAAUACAACUCUAACUCCAAUUUUUAAAUUUUUAAAUAAUACUCCCUCCGUCCCCUUUUAGUUGUUAUGCUGCACUUUUCAAAAAAUCAUUUUUGAAUUAUUUUUCAAUUUUAAUUAGAUUACAUUAAAGAUAUUUUAAAUUAAAAAUUUAGAUAUAUAUUUAAAAGCUAUACGAAAAGUACUAUAAAUUGUAAUUUUUUGCAUAUCAAUAUGAUGAAAAAAUACAUCGUAAAAUAUUAGUCAAAGUUCUUAUUGUUUAACUCUAAAAGAAAGUCAUACAACUAAAAAAAAAUGAAGUGAAUAUAAAUAUAUUUAAUUUUCAUGAUCAAACGCAUACUAAAAUAUAUUAAUCAAGUUGCCAAUCGCCAUAAUGAUGAAAGGAAACAGGUGAAUGCAGCUCAUAUCACUGAAAAUAAAGCACUUUAUACUUCAUCUUUUCAGCACUACCAGCGUAUAAAAAAAAUGAAAAUGUGUAGUUUUCAAGUUUAAUACUAAGAGCCGUAGAGAGUUUAUUUUCGAUAAACUUGAGGGGGAAAAGCAAAAUUAAGGCAUUAACAAAUGAAUAAAGAUGAACUUAUAUGCUUUGAUUAUAAAAGUAGUCUAACAUUAUUUGUUUGUAAAAUUUGGAUGCAGUUAAACAUGGUUAUUAAAGAAUCACUUCGACUGUAUCCACCAGAUCCUAUCAUUGAACGAAUGGCUUGUGAAGAUAUGAUUUGUUAAACAUCUUAAUUUUUCAAUAAAAUAUUUUUUUUUUCAAAAUAAGUACUUUUGAUCUCAUAACAAUAAUGCGGCUUUUAACCAUGCCAGUUAUAGUUAUAUGGGUUGGGUUAUUUAUAGAAAAGUUAAAUGUACGGAACAAACCAAAUUCAAAUUAAACCUAUUAAUUAGCGAUUGAGACGUAAUUAGUUUUAAUAUGUACAUUGUGAAUUACACGUACUCAAUGGUCCCGUAAAUCUUAAUCGUAUUUUGGAUAAAAGCCACCUGGCUGCUUAGAGAUUUAAUAAUUUUGGAUGUAUUUGAUAUUUUCCCUCCGAAGACCUUAUCUUCAGUCUCACUUCUUGUAGUGUCUAUCUUCACCAUCCCACACUUUUUACUUUUAUUAUUGUGUGUUUUAAUAUAUUUAUCUAGAUUAUAUAUAAAUAUUUUUUAUUUACCUACUAUUAUUUAUCUACUAAACAAAUAAGAAUUUUAUUUUCUUGAGGAACAUCUUUCAAAAAGAAUAUUUUCUUUCGUAACGAAUAUAUCCUGAACAACCACAAAUGUUAAUAUCAACAUUUUGGUUUUAAUUGAGUUGAAAUGUUUAGAAAGAAAAACAAAGAAGAAAUGAAAACUAUUAGGCAUACAAAAGUACAAAAUAGUUAACCAAACAACAAUAAUUAAGAUACCAAAAAUGCAAAUAAUAUUCUAGUCAUGGUUUUGUGCUGAAAGUUUUUAGAUAACUUUUAUAUGUACUUCAGUCAUUUUGUCUUGGUUUUAAUAACCUUAGUUAAAAAUGUUUGAAGGUAAAAGUUCUGUAAAAUGCUUGAAAUUUUGCCUUUAUCUAAUUUACAACUUCAGUAAAAAUUGUCUGAAUUUUUUUUUAUGAUGACCUUCACAAAGGCACACCUUAGACAAAAAUGUUUAUAGGUCUAGGUUUUAAAUUGUAAAAUUUCUGCUCCAUAUUAGUUGUUUUAUCUUUUUAAAAAAUAAUUUAUCCAAAAAAAAACUUUCUAAAAAAACUUUACAAACUUAUUUACAGUUUUUAAAAAGAAUUAAUUAUUAUAAGGUUAAAAAGAGAAAAUAAUAAUUAAUUCUCUCCUGAUUUUAUAAAUUAACAAAUAAUUUAAGAAAAAUAAUUUUUAAAAAUAAUGAACGACUAAUAUUGAAUGAACACUAAUCAUCAAAGAAAUUAAAGAAUAAUUAAGUAGCCAAAUUUUCCGUUCUUAUCAUCAACUCUACUUGGAGUUGCACUGUUGCAGGCCAAUAAUGGAUAUAUAUUAUAUACUAAUGUGCCGAUGGGACCAUUAUUAGACCAUAGUUAAAACCGAUAAAGUGAUCCUAUUAAAAUAGUGAAGUAGAGAGGUGUUUUUAAAGUUAUCAAUAGUUCGAAAAUAAAAUUAAUAAUUCAUAUCAAAUUCAGAAGUGUUUUCAUUAUUUUUGUCUAUCAUCUAUUCUCGACUUUUAAAUUUGAGAGUUCAUAAACAAUAUAUGUCCUCUCAGUUUUUAAAUUCGUUCAACUUCACCAUUAUUAACAUUGUGAAAAUUAAUUCAAUGUCAAUUGUCCGUACUAUGGACAAACCCUAAAUUAUUGAAACAAAAGAUUAUACAAUAAAAUUAAUUUAGUACUAAAAAUAGCGUAAAGGGCUGAAACUAACGAACAUGGUUAAAUUAAAAUUGAGGAACAUCGUAUCUUUUUGGCCUAAAAGAUAUUUGAAUACUAUACUAAUAUAUAUCCACCAUUGAAGAUAAAUACCAACAGGCUAACAACCAAGUUAUUUUCAUUUUUGUCAUGCAAUCUUAGCUUGUUAAAGCCAAAAAUGAAUAUUAAUGUCUUGACGGGACCGCACGUGUUACUAUCCCAUAACUAAAAUGGAGUCCGAAACUAAAAGGGGAACAAUUUUUUUCGAAAAUCUCAAAAGGGCAAAUAAAUUAUUUAUGAAACCAAAAUGACAAUAAUUUGUAAUGACAUCUAAAUCAGGGUUUUCGCCGCAAGGCACAGAAAUCCAUGAGCGGUACAACAACUUUUAACCCUGUAAGGCUCAGCCGGCGUGAGCCUUACAAGGCGCAAGGCAGGCUAUUUUUUUUCAAAAAAAAAAGUUUUUAUGGUGUACGGUCCUUAAGGCUACACGUUUGCAAACUCGACCGCCCAUUUUUGUUUGUUAGAUAAAUAAAAAAAUCUGACUAUGUAGUUGAGAUGUUAAAUCAUCCAACUUUAAAUUUAUCUAAAAUGCAGUACCUUUUUUACAAAAUACAAUGUAUUUUAGUCGGUUAUUUUUUUUAAAAAAAAUUAUGCCUUUUGAGUUAUCAAAAUAGGAUUUCUAUUGACCGUAAGCUUAAUUUGAUAAUGCAAAAAAAUUUAAAAUAAAUAAAUUGUAUAUUGUAAGUAAUGCACAUUUCAACACACGUAUGACGCAUGCAUAUUAGGGGUGAAGCUAUAUAGUUCUUAUGACACUUGUUUAAGCUUGGUUUUCUAAAGAAUGUUUGGAUGUAUCGUUUGCUUAAAUAUAAUAUUUAUUUUGAUGAUUAGUUAAAUUUAAUUUAUAUCAUUAAAUUUAUGGAAAAGGGUUAAAAUUGCUCCUAAACUAUGUGAAAUAGAUCACUUAUACCCUCCAUUAUAUUUUGGGAUCAAAAAUAUCCCCGCCGUUAUCCUAGGAGACCACAAAUACCCUCAAGAGUUAAUACCCCAAAUUAUUAGUGAUGUGGCAAGCCACAUGGGACUAAUCCCUCCACCUAAGCAUUGCCAACUAAGAUUCACUACAAAAGAAUUUGACCUUUAGCGGCGACAAUAGUCGCCACAAAAGCCCAGAAAUCGUCACUAAAAGUUUUUAACAUUAAAUUCUAAUUUUGUGUUUUUUUCUUCAUUGUUUUUAAAAAACCAAAAAUGAUAUCGAUUAAGUAGGAGUUUUAAGACACUGUAUGUUUUAUUUUUAUGUCAUAUGUAAAUGUAUAAAAUGUACAAUGAUGCAUUAUAUAGUAGGAGAUUUGAAUCGAGAAGUAAUUUUGAUGAUUUUUCGUAAUAAUAUUGGAUAUUUUUAAUAUUGAUAUUUCAAAGUUAUUUAUUUUAGAAAAUUAGGUUGCAAUCAAAAAUUAAUUAUCAUAUUUUUUUGUUGAAAAAAUAGGUUUUACUAGCGAAUGGUUGUUGGAGCCUUAGUCGCCACUAAAAAUCACUAAUAACCUUUAGUGACAAUAUUUUGGGAUUUUGUGGCAACUUUGUCGCCACUAAAGGUCAAAUUCUUUUGUAGUGAAUCUUAGUUGGCAAUGCUUAGGUGGAGGGAUUAGUCCCAUGUGGCUUGCCACAUCACUAAUAAUUUGGGGUGUUAACUCUUGAGGGUAUUUGUGGUCUCCUAGGAUAACGGUGGGAAUAUUUUUGAUCCCAAAAUGUAAUGGAGGGUAUAAGUGGUCUAUUUCACAUAGUUUAUUUAGGGGCAAUUUUGAUCCUUUUCCGUUAAAUUUAUUAUUAGGUAAUAAUGUGAUUUUUCAUUUUGUGUAAUGGUUGAUUUAGUAUGAAUGUAUGGUCAUAAUAUUUUUUUUUGUUUUGUUUUACUUACUAUUUAAUAAUUGUAUUUUAUUGUUUUUUUAUAGUAAAUCUACUCCGUACUUUAUUUUUCUGGUGUGUUUAUCUUUUUAAUUUUUUUGACAUUAUGUAAUUAUCGAAAAAGAUACAAUUUAAUAUAACAUAAUAUAAUAUAUUAUAAAAUGACAUGUAACAACCAUCCAAACAAAGUAUAAAUAUAUAGUUUCAUCAAAAGUUAUGGUGAUAAAAUGGUAAAUUUCGUAGUGAGGUUUAGAUUCGAAUUAUAACAACGAAGUCACUUUCUAAUAAAUAAUAUUUUAUACCUUUAACAUGAGUUUUUUUUUAAAAAAAAUUGAACUCAGAUGCGGAAUCUCAAUACGAAUAUUGAGCCUAAAAAGUACUCUAUAAAAGAAGUUCAUAAAUAAAUAGUCCAUUUAAUGGCAAAUUUUUAUCCUUUUGUCAAUAAAAAAAAGUCCAUGAAUAAUCUUUUCCCAUAUUUGGUAUUGCAUUUUAGUUCUAAAUUAAACACCUUUUUACCUGAUUUGAUUACAAAUAUAUAAUAAAUUACUUGAAUCAUCAAAGAAAAAUUUGCACAUUAAUUAAUCAGAACCGACAUACUUAGGAAAGAUAUUAUUAGUCAUAGACUCAUAGGACAUGGAUCUUGUUCCAUAAUUACUAGUUAUAAUAACUACUGUAACAUUUAUAUAUUUAAUUAAGCCAAAUAAAUAUAAUCUUUUCCGAUUAUUUUUUAAAAAAAAAAUAGCCUUGCGCCUUGUAAGGCUCAUGGCGGUUGAGCCUUACAAGGCUAAAAGUUGUUGCGCCUUGUAAGGCUCAUGGGUUUCUGUGUCCUUGCGGCGGAAACUCUAAUUGAGACGCCGUUACAAAUUGUUACCCUUUUGAUUUCAUAAAUAAUUCAGUUGCCCUUUUGAAAUUUUUGAAAAUUUCUAUUGCCCUUUUGGUUCUGAAGCCCCCUCAUUUUGAAGUUUUGGUUUCUUAAAUCUUGUUAUCCUUGAAUUUUUCUAGCACUUAAAGUUUUGGUUUCUUAAUUUUUUUUAUUUCUUUCAAUGUAUUAAGUUUCUUUCUAUUUCAUUCUGAUUAAAUUAAAAAAAAACUUUAUUUUACUAUCUUUGUUGUGGUUAAAACUUAAAAAUAAUUAAAUGAAUUCACCUAUUUGAAACAUAAUGACAUGUUUUUCUCAUAUAUUAUUGGAAAAAAUAAUAAUUUUCUUACCGAAUAAAUUAAAUUAUUAUUAUUUUAAUCCAGUAACUUGAACUUAAUGAUGAUUGUGUUUUGAUUGUAUUUGCAUUAGUAAUGAAAUAACUUGGUGAUAUCGAAGAAACAGAGUGAUUGAUUGAAAACAUAUAUAAUAAAAAUAAUAUAUCCUCGGGGAUAUUGGAAAAUUGUUAUACAAAUAAAUUUCUACAACAACAAUAAACAAUGAAACUUCUAGUUCAAUUGAACAUACGAUAAAAUUAACUCCUUGUCAAAGCAACAUAUAAUACACAUUUGCAUUCAUUACAACAGUAUUUUUUGAGCUUUUUCUUUUUUCCAUCCUUAAACCUAAUUUAAGUCUACUGGGCAUGUCUAAUCAAAAUUAAUAUGCAAUUGAUUAAACAUAAAAGGAUCUUAUCCAUGAAAUCCACAUCACGUAAUCAAUAACAAUGCAUAUUACAACUUGGACUUAGUCGUAACUCCAAUACAAACUGAUCAAUAAUGAAUACUAAUGUCGUGACGGUACCGGAUGGGAUUAUCCAUAAGUAAUUAAUACGUAGCACUUAUUAAUUACUAAAACUUAUUUGUUUGAAAGCAGAAAUUAAUAAAUAAAGAACCUAGCUUUUUUAUUCAUCAUAAGCAUUAAUAUUACAUAGAAGCAUGCUCCACAUUAUUUUAGAAAGCGAUCGAGCUAGGUUAUAAUAAGCAUAGAUAAUUAACUAACUAUGCAUCAUUCUUGUUUACUUUGCUAAAGCCAAAGGGAUAAGGCUUGUUAUUGAGAGCCAGACGGGCGUAUCCCUUAUUUUCGUAUAGUCCGACAUCUGCACAAUCAAAUUGGCAUGUUGGACAAAUAUAUUUGACUAGGACAAUACCUUAACUUGUAAGAAUGAGGUCUCCCUGUCUCAUAUUUCUCAAUCUUGAACCAGUUCUCUAUGUUAUUAGGUCCUGGAAAUCCAAAGGUGCCACCAGUUAUAACAAACCUAAGUGGUGAAUGCGUCGGCCCUACGAUGGAAUAAGCAACUUUCCAAACAGUUUCGUUAAUACAUGACUUAGUUGAAGAAGAAGAAGUUGAGAACUUUAUACUAACAUCUUGGUUUUCAGAAACGAAAUGACUUCCAAGUUUCAUAGUAUAAAACAACACAGGUGUGUUGUUAUCAAAUUCACCAGAACUGUCCUGCACAACGCCAUUUGGGCAUUUGGUGUUUCCAAGAUUAGCUAAGUAUACGCUUCCACCGCCAAAGGGAAUACUUAUAAUGGAGUACUCCUCGUCUAUCUUGAGUGGUUCGCCGUCCAUGUCCAGCACGGGAGGGGAUACAACAUUCCCAUUAUUAUCAGAAAUGGAAAAUUCAUGAGAAAAGGCAACCAAACUUGAAACCAACAGGAAACUCAAAAUAUUACUAAUACACUUCUUCAUCUUUAAUUUGUUUGUGUGCUAUGACUCUAUCUCCAAUUUAUAGAGCUGCUAAGGGCAUUUUUGACAAACAAAAAUGACCUUUUAUUUUAGGUUAUAAUAACCUAAAGAAAAUAAGUACAUAACCUUUUUUUUUUUUUAACAAAUAAAUAAUGAUCACAAAGAAUUGAAAUGGCAAGGUUAAUGUUCUAUUUAUUCAAUCUAUGUUAAUUUUUUUUUUUUUUUAUAUAUAUAUAUAUAUAGUACCUUUUUUUUUAUAACUUUGAAGCAAAAAUAUUUAUUUAUAUAUAUAGGCUAUAGCUAUAAGAUUUUGUUUUCAAAUAAUUUUAUUAUGGUUAUGGGUCCUAUAUUCAUCCCUCCCACUGUCAAAGUUUGCGUCAAACAACUAUAUAUUUAUUUAUUUUUUUCUUGUAAAUUCCAAACUCAACUUAAAAAUAAUAAUUAAAUAUUCCAUUGCAAAACUACAUAAAGUUCCUGGUUUUAUUUUCUCAAUUUUUAUUGUAGUAAAAAAGUUGAGAAAUUAACAUUGUCAAUUUAAAUUUUGUAGUUAAGAAAUUUUAUGAUUUCGUGGAUGGUCAUAAGUUCGAACUUUUGUAGCUAUUACUAGAUAUUAGCCCUGACUAGCUUUUAAAUUCAUAGCUAAAAUUUAGUAGUAAAGUUCCCAUUUUUAUUUUCUCAACUUCAAUUAUAUAGUAAUGAAGUUGAGAAAUAACGGUCACAUUAAUUUUUAUAGCUAAGAAAGUUAAUGAAAUUGUGGAUAGUCAUGAAGCUCGCGUUUUUGUAGCUUUUAUAAGAUACAAUUAUUCUUGGACACUUUUAAUUAAAUUUUUGACUCCGCCAUUAUUAGAAUAGUUGGUAAAAUUAAUAAAUAUUACUUGAGAAUAUUGUCCAUUGUGCUUAAAGGACUCUUGAAACUUGACAUCCGGUGGAGAACCAUUCAUGAGAUCAUUGCACUAAUAAAAUUAAGGGUAAAAUUUAUCCGUAUAUGAUGUAUAUACGAAUUCAAUAUUUGAAAACAUGUGUUUGAAUUUGUGGUUCAUUUUACAUAAUUUUAAUUAAAUAAUAUUUGUUUUGCUUGAUUUUAAUAAUUUAUAUUCACCGCUGAAUAUAAAUAACAGUCUAACAAUUCCAAAAAUUGAUAUUAAUGUGCUAGCUGGCAUGGAAUUAUCCCACAAGUAAAAUAUGUCACUGAAGUACGAUCAAGAUUUAUACCACUAAUUAUUUUGGUACCAAUCAAGAAUGAAUCUUAAAAUAAUGGCAAAUCACUAUUAUGCAAAAUGAUUUUUUUUUAGAUUAUUUUUUUUGACAAAUUAAUAAUUGAAGGAUAGGGUUUGCGUUAUAUGAUAUAUAGAACUUAGUUUUGAAUUUGAGUAAAUUGAGUGUUGAAACUCAAAGAAUAAUUGGGCAAAAUAAAAAAUUGCACUUCAAACACAUAUAACUGAAAUUUUAGUUAAUUUUUACACACUUCAAUCAUAUGUACAUUCAUUAAAAUUAUAAUAAUGUUAAAUGAGUUUGUUAAAUUUAUUGUUAUUUUGAUAAAUUGAUCAUUCAAGUUUGUUUUAUACGGUUAUAAACCUUAUAAUUUAAAUUGAAACAUAUUUACAUUAGACUUGAGUAUUAAAUCGAUUGUUUGGAAGCAUAAAUUAAUAAAUAAAGACCUAGUUUUUUUUUUUUUGGUUCAAAACAGAGUAAUAUAUAUGUUACGUAAUAUGCAUCGUUACAUUGUUACCAGCAAGUGGCAAAACAGGACACCUACUAUUGAUGUUCUGAGGAAGGGGCAUACUAUUACUAUUACUAUUACAUGAGUUGCUUGUAAAAGAUUUCUUAGAUAGUCUAACAAAUGGAGUUCCUUCUUUGUCUGCUUCUAGUUUGUUGGAUACAAACACCGGAGGAACUUCCAUGCACAAAAAGAGUUGAUUUGAUCCAUUUUAGCGCCUUCCUUUGCUAGAGCGUCUGCCACUUGGUUUGUUUCUCUAAAGAUAUGGUGUAUUAGGGGGUUCCCCAGGCGGUGAAGUAGAUCCCUGCAAUCAGAAAGAAUAAUUUCGUCAGUGGGGUGUUCUCCUCGAAUGAGGGUCUUAAUUUCCUUGCAAUCGACGUUAACUUCCAAUGGUACUAAUCCUCUUUCUAGUGCUAUUCGAAGUCCCUGCAAAAGUGCUAUCAAUUCAACUUUCAUGUUAUUUGCCAUAUACAAGUUUCCCAUAUAUCCCAAAACCCAAUCGCCCUUGCUAUUCCUAAUGACUCCACCUGUUCCGCCUUGUCUUGUGCUUCCCAUGAACAAUCCUUCGCUAUUGAGCUUGUAACCCUGGCAGGGUGUUGUCCAUUUAAGGUAGUUGAUAAUAUUUUUAUCUUCCGUGUGUGUAUUGUUUGUAAGAGCAUAGUAUUCAACAACAUGAUACAAAGCGUUCUUUGAUGAAAUAUUUUUUUUCUCAUUAUUAUGGUAUUUUUUGUUUCUUGUUAACCAUAUGUUCCAUUUAUAGAAGGGAAAAACUUCCUUCCAAGUUGUAUGACUUUUUAUGUUAAUGUUGAGGCUUUUUAGUAGUGUUAACCAGUCAGAACCUUGGUUAUUUGUGAACUGAUUUAUGGUGUAAAUUACCCCCAGUUCCCUCCACAACUGCCUUACAUUCGUGCAUUCCACGAAAAUAUGUUUGAUUGUUUCUGGUUUUUGCAUAGAUUGCAUAGGUCGCUGACAUCAAUCCCUAUAGAUUUGAGGUAGCUUUAGUUGGUAAUCUGUUGUGGUGACAGAGCCAAAGGAAAAAUUUAAUCUUAUUUGGUUCAUAAGCAUUAAUAUUACAAACAAAUUGGCAUAUGUUGGACACAUAUAUUGACUAGGACAAUACCUUAGCUUGUAAGAAUUAUGUCCUGUAUUUUGGUUGCUAUUAAUCUCUGUCCAAUUUAUAGAGCCUACUUAAUUAGUUGCAUGGCUUCAUUUGCACGGUUUUGUUACAUAAAUAAUAUCUAUUUUGUCCUUGAAUGUGUGAGACAUAUAAUAGUAAUAAUUAGUAUAGAGACUUGCUAUUUUGACAAAUAAUUACAAGGUAAGGUUGGUAGAUGUUAGCAGAGUAAAUUUCAUGGAUGGUCAUCCAAUUUUGUGUUCAUUACCUAAAAUCAUUAUUAUUAAGUAGGUAGGUACGUUCAAAAUAAUUCUUUAAAAAGUGAUCAUAUCCGAUCUUAAUCAAAUACAACUCUAACUUCAAUUUUAAAAUUUUAAAACUUUUAAAUAAUACUCCCUCCUUCCCCUUUUAGUUGUUAUGCUGCACUUUUCAAAAAUCAUUUUGAAUUAUUUUCCAAUUUAAAUUAGAUUACAUUAAAGAUAUUUUAAAUUAAAAAGUUAGAUAGAUAUUUGAAAGGUAUACGAAAAGUAUUAUAAAUUGUAAUUUUUUGCAUAUCAAUAUGAUGAAAAAAUACAUCGUAAAAUGUUUGUCAAAAUUCUUAUCGUUUAACUCUAAUAAAAAGCCAGACAAUUAAAAAAGGACGAAGUGAAUAUAAAUAUAUUUAACUUUCAUGACCAAACGCAUACUAAAAUAUAUUAGCCAAGUUGCCAAUCGCCAUGAUGAUGAAAGGAAACAGGUGAAUGCAACUCAUAUCACACAAAAUAAAGCACUUUAUACUUCAUCUUUUCAGCACUAUCAGCGUAUAAAAAAAUGAAAAUGUGUAAUUUUCAAGUUUAAUACUAAGAGCUAUAGAGUUUGUUUUCGAUAAACUUGUGGGGAGCAAAAUUAAGGUAUUAACAAAUGAAUAAAGAUGAACUUAUAUGCUUUGAUUAUAAAAGUAGUCUAACAUUAUUUGUUUGUAAAAUUUGGAUGCAGUUAAACAUGGUUAUUAAAGAAUUACUUCGACUGUAUCCACCAGAUCCUAUCAUUGAACGAAUGGCUUGUGAAGAUAUGAUUUGCUAAACAUCUUAAUUUUUCAAUAAAUUUUUAUUUUUUUUCAAAAAUAAGUACUUUUGAUCUCAUAACAACAAUGUAGCUUUUAACCAUGGUUAUAGUUAUACGGAUUGGGUUAUCUAUAGAAAAGUGAACUGUAUGGAACAAAUCAAAUUCAAAUUAAACCUAUUAAUUAACAAUUGAGACGUAAUUAUUUUUUAUAUGUACAUUGUGAUUUGUGAAUCGCACGUAUUCAAUGGUCUCUUAUCUUCACUCACUUCUCGUAGUGUCCAUCUUCACCACCUCACACUUUUACUUUUAUUAUUGUGUGUUCUAAUAUAUUUGUCUAUAUUAUAUAUAAAUAUUUUUAAAAUAAUAUUUUUUAUUUACCUACUAAACACAUAAGAAUUUUAUUUUCUUGAGAAACAUCUUUCCCUGAACAACCACAAAAGUUAAUAUCAACAUUUUGGUUUUAAUUGAGUUGAAAUGUUUAGAAAGAGAAACAAAGUAGAAAUGAAAACUAUUAGGCAUACAAAAGUACAAAAUAGUUAACCAAACAACAAUAAUUAAGAUACCAAAAAUGCAAAUAAUAUUCUAGUCAUGGUUUUGUGCUGAAAGUUUUUAGAUAACUUUUAUAUGUACUUCAGUCAUUUUGUCUUGGUUUUAAUAACCCUAGUUAAAAAUGUUUGAAGUUAAUUAGUCUUGGCAACAAGGUAAAAGUUCUGUAAAAUGCUUCAAAUUUUGCCUUUAUCUAAUUUACAACUUCAGUAAAAAUUGUCUGAAUUUUUUUUUAUGAUGACCUUCGCAAAGGCACACCUUAGACAAAAAUGUUUAUAGGUCUAGGUUUUAAAUUGUAAAAUUUCUGCUCCAUAUUAGUUGUUCAUCUUUUUAAAAAAUAAUUUAUUCAUAAUUUUUUUAAAAAAAAAAAAUUUACAAACUUAUUUACAUUUUUUUAAAAGAAUUAAUUAUUAUAAGAUUAAAAAGAGAAAAUAAUAAUUAAUUCUCUCCUGAUUUUAUAAAUUAGAACAAAUAAAUAAGAAAAAUUAUUUUUAAAAUAUGAACGACUAAUAUUGAAUGAACACUAAUCAUCAAAGAAAUUAAAGAAUAAUUAAGUAGCCAAAUUUUCCGUUCUUAUCAUCAAACUCUACUUGGAGUUGCACUGUUGCAGGCCAAUAAUGGAUAUAUAUUAUAUACUAAUGUGCCGAUGGGACCAUUAUUAGACCAUAGUUAAAAUAUGAUAAUGAAGUACGAUGGUUAAUUAGUUUUUUUUCCCAGUUGCAGUAGGCCUAAUUAAUAUAUCGAUAUCUCUUUAAAUUUGGAAUACAUUUAAUUUAGAUACUAGAAUCAGGGCAUGUAACAUUUGAACACAUGAACAACCGAUAAAGUGAUCCUAUUACAAUAGUGAAGUAGAGAGGUGUUUUUAAAGCUAUCAAUAGUUCGAAAACGAAAUUAAUAAUUCAUACCAAAUUGAGAAAUAUUUUCAAUAUUUUUGUCUAUAUAUUAUCUAUUCUCAACUUUUAAAUUUGAGAGUUCAUAAACAAUAUAUGUCCUCUCAGUUUUUAAAUUCGUUCAACUUCACCAUUAUUAACAUUGUAAAAUUAAUUCAAUGUCAAUUGUCCAUACUAUGGACAAAUCCUAAAUUACAUAAAUUGAAACAAAAGAUUAUACAAUAAAAUUAAUUUAGUACUAAAAAUAGCGUAAAAAUUGAGGGCUGAAACUAACGAAAAUGGUUAAUUAAAAUUGAGGAACAUCGUAUCUUUUUGGCCUAAAAGAUAUUUGAAUACUAUACUAAUAUAUAUCCACCAUUGAAGAUAAAUACCAACAGGCUAACAACAAAGUUAUUUUCAUUUUUGUCAUGUAAUCUUCGCUUGUUAAAGCUAAAAAUGAAUAUUAAUCUCUUGACGGGACCGCAUGUGUUACUAUCCCAUAACUAAAACGGAGUUUGAAAUCAAAAGGGCAAUAAAAAUUUUCGAAAAUUUCAAAAGGGCAACUAAAUUAUUUAUGAAAUCAAAAUGGCAAUAAUUGUAACGACGUCUAAAUCAGGGUUUCUGCCACAAGACACAGAAACCCAUGAGCCUUACAAGGCGCAUCAGCUUUUAGUCUUAUAAGGCUCAGUCGGCGUGAGCCGUACAAGGUGCAAGGCAGACUGUUUUUUUCAAUUUUUUUUUUUUAUGGUGUUCGGUCCUUAAGGCUACACGUUUGCAAACUCGACUGCUCAUUUUUUUUUUUUGUUAGAUAAAUAAAAAAAUCUGACUAUUUAGUUGAGAUGUUAAAUCAUCCAACUUUAAAUUUAUCUAAAAUGCAGUACCUUUUUUUACAAAAAUAUAAUGUAUUUUAGUCGGUUAUUUUCUUUAAAAAAAUUAUGCCUUCUGAGUAGGGGUGUACAUGAUCGGGUUGAUUCGAAUUUUUCAAAUAUCAAACCAAAGCAUUUGUGUCGGAUUUUUAAAUCUAUAAACCAAACCAAACCAAUAAAACUCGAGUUUUUCAACCUCGGAUUUUUUUCGGAUUUUCGGGUUUUUUCGGUAAAGUAUUCAUACAAACAUAUCAUUUACUUGUACUUCAAAUGUUUCUUUAGUUCUACUAAAAUACAACUAUCUAAGGUGUUUGUUAAGAAAAUAACACAAAAUACGAUAUGAGUAAUAACACUAAAAUAUCCAACAAAAUAAAAUAAAAUAAUUAAAUUGUGUAAAACAAAUAUUGCAAAUUAACAAGUUGUAAUGAAGAUGAUCAUAAUUUAAAAGUACUAAAUCAUGCUAAAAUAAGUAUUAGUUACAUGACUAAAUAUUCUCCUCUGUUGACCAAGUCCGGUGGUGGCAAGCAGAAGAAGAAGAAGUGGAGCAAGGGAAAGCAAAAGGAGAAGGUAAAUCUAUUUCGUACUCUAUUUUUCUGGUGUGUUUAUCUUUUUGAUUUUUUUGACAUUAUUAUCGAAAAAGAUACAAUUUAAUAUCGUAUGAUACAAUUUAAUAUAACAUAAUAUAAUAUAUUAUAAAAUGACAUGUAACAACCAUCCAAACAAAGUAUAAAUAUAUAAUUUCAUCAAAAGUUGUGGUGAUAAAGUGGUAAAUUUCAUAGUAAGAUUUAGAUUCGAAUUAUAACAACGAAGUCACUUUUUAAUAAAUAAUAUUUUAUACCUUUAACAUGAGUUUUUUUUUAAAAAAAUUGAACUCAGGUUAGCGGAAUCUCAGUACGAAUAUUGAGCCUAAAAAGUACUCUAUAAAAGAAGUUCAUAAAUAAAUAGUCCAUUUAAUGGAAAUUUUUAUCCUUUUGUCAAUAUAAAAAAGUCCAUGAAUAAUCUUUUCCGAUAUUUGGUAUUGCAUUUUAGUUCUAAAUUAAACACCUUUUACCUUAUUUGAUUACAAAUCAUAUAUUAUUACUAUAUAAGAAGAGGGAAUAACCAACUACCACAAGUCAACAUGUGUUCCAAUAAGAAGAGGGAAUAACCAAUCUAUAUAAUAAUAUAAAGCUGAAUGAAAGGGUUGCUGAUGUGGCAUGUGUUGACACCCAAUUUUGACCCUCCACAAUAUAAAUUAAUCAUUUCGAGCUUCUCCAAUUUCAAACGAUUUAAAAUAAUUAGUUUUAUAAAGUUUCAAAAAAUAAUAAUAUAGUUUGCAAGAUUUUUUUUAAUAGUUUUGUCACUUUUUAUAAUUUUUAGAUAAUAUAUAUGUUUUACAUAAUUAUGUAUAUAAUUAUUAUAUUUUAUGAUUAUUCGAAAACCGUCUCAAAAAGAUUUUAUUUUAACUAAAUAUUUGGUUAAUUAGUUUAGUUAUAUAAUAGUUUAUAUUUUUAAUUAAUUAGUCUAUAAUUAAGCUAAUUAUUUUAUUUUGUUGAAAUCAAGAAGCUUAUUAAUUAAUUUAUUUUAAUUCGUCUUAUUUAAAUUACUAGUCAAACUUGUCCUAAUUAAUUAAGUAUGGUUACAUCUGUAAUUUCCAAUUGGCCAUAAUUUAAAUUUAUAUGGCCAAAGCCUAGUCCAAUUCUGACCAAGUCUAUUUCAUUCUCAAAACCCACUCCAAUUUAAUUUCCAACAAUUUCCAGCAAAUUCCAGCAACAAAUAACCCAUUCCCAGCCCACUACUUUCAACAGAAACCCGGCCCAACCCAUUUUCAACACCAAAGAAACCCAUCAGCAAAGCCUCUCCAGCAACAAAAACCAAAUGACCCCUGCGUUCUCUAUCUUCUUCACCAUCACGUGAAUACACUGGAAAAAAAAAUCAGAAACGUCAAUAGAAGCUUGCAAACGUCAACAAUAGCUGCCCUCACCAAACCAUUCCAGCAGCUCCCACACCCUGCUCUGCAACAACCGCCCAUUUUGAUCUUUUCCAUCCGGAUUUUAGGGGAUUUUGGUUGAAUUUCCAUACAACAACAGCCUUCCCUUACCCUUGGGGAAAAAUUUGAUUUGAUUUGAUUGGGGAAUUCCGACUUUGCCCCAAGUUCCUAUCCGUUUUCUUCCCCCUAAAUCUGCCUUGAUUUCUUGGCUAUAUAUAUUAUUCACUGUAAGGGGGCGAGCAGGGAGUUGGUUCCGGAGUUCGAUUCUUUGACAAUAGUCGUUUUACACUUGAGAAAUUCCAAAACGAUUUUCUCAUUCUAAGUUCCAAGAAAAGCUUUGAUCAAAGGUUGGUUCAAAUUUCCUUGUCUAUUGCUCUGAGUCUAAACCGGUGUAAGAAGUCGUCGCUCUCUUUGGCUCGUUUGUUCUCAGUUCGCUGCUCCAAACAAGGUAACACGUCCUCCUUUAUACUAUUUCCUUCCCUCUUUGUCUGUUUCAAAAAGAAAAAUAUUUUUUUGUAUGUCGGAAAAGCCUCAUUAAGUGACCGGUUCACUGUUAGUUGUUGAGUUGGUGAUAUAUUGACGCGGUUUUGAUGUCAAAUUAAUGUUAUGUUCUGUAUUAGCAUUAUUGCUCUUCUGCUCCUUUGUUUGGAUUCACUUUUGCUAUUUUACCUCUUAUAUGUCUGCCUUAAAGUCUUUGAGUCUGUAUCUUUUAUUCUUGCUGUCUUUUAACGUCAAUAGUUUCAUUCAAUGUUGCUACUGCGAAUGAUGAUUUUCUUUUCAAAAUGACAUCAGAAUGUCAAAGCUAACUAAUGUGGAAUUUAUAUGUUGUUUUAUCUAUUAUUUGUUGUUGUAGUAACUCAUUUUUGUCAUUUUCUUAUGUUCCAUGUUGUUUUACUGCCAAGCUAAACAUGUUUGACUCGAGUUUACGUCUUCGUUUUGCUUAAAAUCUAAUCGAAAAUACUCACUACUUGUAGCAAGUUUACAAAAAAUGUGGAAUGUUGUUUCUUCCCAAUUUUCUCUUUACUUCUAGUUCUUGUUUCCUUCCCCAAUUGUUAGUGUUAUUUGAUGUCUUAUUAUAUCUUAGUCCGCAGCCUAUUGUUCUAAGAAAAAGAUUUGUUCAUUAAUGUGGUCAUGUUUUGCAUCAAAUUAGCAUUCGCCUGACGACUAGUAAGCUUUAUGUGUCCGCCGAUUAUGAGCACAAAAGUGUUAAUGUAUUAGCAUGUUCUGUUGUGUUUAUUAAAGUAUUAUAGGUUUGCUUUUGAUUUUGCCUUAUUUGAUAGCUACUAAUCUAUCUUUUCCUUUCCUUAAAUUGGUCACUUGUUUGUUAGCAUAUAAUUUCCUAAAGCUAUUACCAUUUAAGAUCGAAGCUUGUCCAAGUAAAAGUGACCCAAUGAAAUGUAAUUCCUGCCUGAUAUGUAGCAUGUCCUCUACCUCUUUUAUGUUGUGAAUUUCAUUGUUUACCAAUCACCUAUUCAUUGAAUAAGUUUGCCUUUAUUGGACCCAUUUUUACUCCCUUAGGAUCUUGCUGUUAGGCCUAUGCACGUAUGCAUUUUUUUUUUUUUUUUUUUUUUUUUUUUUUUUUUUUUUUUUCUUAGAACUUUCUUAUGCUCCAAAGUUUGAUAGUCUAGCUUUUAGAUUUAUUUACUCCAUGUAAUGUAGUGAGUUUGGUGAUAUAUUGUUGUAGAUUGCACGGGUUUACUUUAUUUAAUUAAGUCAUGUCUUAUUUGUGUUUUGUUUUCGCCUCAAAUGCUAAUCAUUAUUAUUAUUAUUUUUGUUGCAUGUGAAACUCCUUCCGAGACCUCACGGACUUUAUUUCCUCUCCUCGCAUUUUCUUGUUGAGCCACGAAGGCUCAAACCCUUCCCUUCGAGUCAGCCGGCUUUUGAAACUGACGGACAGGUUGAAUGCACUUAAAAGGGAGCUGGAAAUUGAACUUUCAGGUCUUAAAAAACCAAAAGAAGGCAGUAUACAUGACCUAUACAGCUGUAUACACAAGUAUACACGGAAAAAAUAGCGAUAUACAGGUCCAAAAAUUGAAACAGGUGUUCUGGAAGUUGAAUUAGGUUGUAUACAUUUGGUAUACAGCCUUAUAUAACAAGAAAAAUGGGCUGGAUUCAUACGAUAUACACUGAUAUACAACCAGUGUAUACAAAAACGGGAUUGAGCCUAAGCCCCCAAAUUUUCAGCGAAUUUGGCCCAAAAGGAGGCCCAAAUUCAAUUUCUCCCUACUCUUUGAUUAUUUAAUUAUGAUUAUCUAUUGUUUAUUGCGUGUUGACUCUAACUUUUAAAUUGUUAACUAACCUAAUUAAAUUCCCAAACGAUAAGUUAAUUUCUUUACGUUGGCUUACCUUUAAUACAUUCUUAUAUUUGUUUUUGUUUUAUCUUACUAAUCAAAUGUAUUGGCCAUUUUUCAUUUUUAUUAAAUCUUUUGUUUUUAAAAGGACAUGUUUUGAAUGCCACUUCCUUUAAUCAUUUUGCUUAUUUAAAUGGUUUUAAAGUUAACACUUUUCUCAAAUGAACUAAAAUAAAAUAAAAUUGUGCGUGUUCUCUUUUUAUCAAUUGAUUUAAAAUGGUCUCAUGCUUUAAUUGGUUCAAAUUAUUAUCUUAAAAAAUGAAGUAAAUAAACUUUAAUUAAUCUAGUUUUUAUUGAAAUUCUAAUUACUCGUAUCACAAGUCCAAUGUGUCGUUUUGAAUUCUUUUCUCUAAAAAAAAAAAAAAACGAAAAAUGUGUCGUUUAUCUAAUUAUUUUCUCAAAAUUAAUUAAAUAUUGUAAAUUAUCAUAUUUUCCUUUUAUGUUAAACCAUUUUUUCUAAAAAUAGUCAAAAAUAUAUUUUAGUCAAGUCGCAGGUCAACCGCAUGUUAGCGGACACUUCGAGUGCUUACACCCUUCUCGAAGUGUAAAUUGAACCCCGAACCCUCUUUGGUAUUUUCAAAUGUAUUUUUUUUUCUGUUUAAAAUCUUUGGAAAUUAUAAGUUUUCUUAAUUUCUUUAAAAAUUAAGUGGCGACUCUUUUCUAAGUAUUUUUCUCAAAAAUGUUUUAUACUUAGAACAUUUCAAAAAGUGAUUUUUCUAGAAAUAGUUAAAUUACGACACAACAGCAUGCCUUAUUGAUCAGUAUUACUAUUUAUCUAUUUUUCUCUUAAUUUUGAUUUUUUUUCUUCAUGUAUUUAUUAAUAUUUUUAAAAAAAUAACUUACUUCCUCAUAAUUAGCAUAAUGGGCAGUUAAAUUAGGAAAAUAAUUAAUGCUCCACCUCACGUAGCAUCAGUUACUUUUAUGCUUUUAAUCACCAAUAAUUAAUUGGCUUCAUUGCUUUGCUUAUUCCUACUCUAUUUUCGAAUAUAUAUAUACUGCUUGUACUUUUUCUUUUGAGGUCUAAGGUAAGUGUUUUUCUCUGUUCUUUUAUUUUUUCUUUUUAUUUUAUUCUUGAUCCUUCAUUUUUAAUCUAUAUAUGUUAUCAUCAUCUUAUAACAUGCUAACUAAUAUGGAGUUCUUUUUUUACUUGAAGAGGUACAUUUUUAAUUAGUAUCAUUGUUAUUCAAAUUUUUACAAGAUUUUAUUGUAAUUUUUGUGAUUUAAGUGUGAUUUUUUUGAAGUCGUCAAUAUAUAUGAAUAUGUCUCUCUUUCUUUCUCUCUCUAUAUGAAGUCGUCAAAAUAUAUGAAUACGUCUAUAUAUAUAGUAUUAUAAUUAAAUUUUUGCAAGAUUUUAUUGUAAUUUUUGUGAUUUAAGUGUACUUUUUUUUUAAAUCGUUAAUAAUAAUGAAUAUGUCUCUCUAUUUACGUAACUAUAAUUUCGUAUUCAUAUAUUUUUUUUGUAUUACGUCACAAUUAUAUAUAUAUAAAAGAAGUGAAAUGUCACAAUCUUUUUCUCAAUUUUUUUAGACAUUUUUCUAGAUUUUUUAGAAAACGUAAAAAAAAACGUCUGUUUCUUAAAUUUGCAGGAAACGGGUCAUUUAUUGCUCAUUAUUGCCAUCUAUUAUUUUGUCACAUUAUUACUUUUUCUACCUCUAACAUCUCCUUAAUUCUCUCUUAAUUUUAUGUUUUAGUUAUUUUUAAUUGAUAGUAGUAAUUACCUUAAUAAAUGUCAAAAAAUAUUUCAAGACUUAUACAUCCACAUUUCAACACACAAAUCACAAUUGCAAGAUUUAAAUUUUUACUUUUUAUCUCUUGAUUAUCAAUAGACAUAAUGUAAAAUAUUAAUAUCAUUAUAUAUGAUUCGUAUUUAAUAAAGUUUGUAUGAUUUUUUAACGUUUUCGAUUGAUAAAAACAUUGUUUCAAUGCCUUUCAAAAAAUAAUAGCAUUUCUAUUGAUACCGCUCAAAACUAAUUGAUAAUGAGAUCGAUGACUAAAGAUGAACAUGGCACAAUAAUGAAUAUUAUCAUAAGAGAGGCUUAAGAAUUGACGGUUAGAUGAAAUUAGUAGGAGAUUAGAAAUGACAAAUUUGAAGAAAAUAAGAAGGAAAAAAGAAAGAUAUAUUUGAUUUGUAAUAUUAUUCUUUUUUAAUUUUUUUUCAAUUUCAAUUUUGUAAAAGAAAGGUAAAUGAAAUGGCAAAGGAAGGUAGCAUGUAGACGAGAUUGUUAGACAAGUUCAGAUAUUUAUAUUGUAAUCAAUUUUUUAGAUUUAAAUUUAAAAUAUGAACAUAUGCAUGUAAAGAGAUCAUUUUUUCUUCAAAUUCUACUACAAUUUUACAAAUGAUGAUUUUUAAAAAAAAGCAAGUAUUACUUAUAAAUUAGAUCAAAACUCAAAUUUUAAUGUAUAUAGAUAUAUAAGGUUUAAAAUAUUUUAAUCAUUCACAUGUUAUAAACAAAUUAUUAAAAAAAUUUAUUACCGUGCGAAGCACGGCUCAGUUCACUAGUAUAUUUAUAAAAAGAGAUGACAUAUAAAAUGAAAUGGAGAGUAUUAGUUUUUGAAAAUGGAAAAGGACAAGACACAUAUAAAAUUAAAAGGCAUAUAAAAAAAACAUAAAAAGUAACAUAUGUUAUUAAAAACUUUAAUAAAAAGUACUGUAAUUUACAAUAAAUAAUAACUUAAAAUAUCUACAAGACAACAAAAAAAAACACUAAUUUUUGUACUGCUUGUGUCACAUAAAUUAGGAUUGGGAUGAUUUUAAAAUUUUAAUUUUGGUUAUACAUUAUAAAAUAGCCGAAAAAAUGAAUGAUAUAAUUUUUUUAAAAAUAACCGAAUGAAUCGUCCUAUAGAUAACCCUAAUGUUUCUUCUACUCUGUUUAUUUUUACUUAAAUUUAGAAAGAUAUGCUUCAUUUCUACCCUCAAUCUUAUCGCUACAUUUAUUUGCUANNNNNNNNNNNNNNNNNNNNNNNNNNNNNNNNNNNNNNNNNNNNNNNNNNNNNNNNNNNNNNNNNNNNNNNNNNNNNNNNNNNNNNNNNNNNNNNNNNNNNNNNNNNNNNNNNNNNNNNNNNNNNNNNNNNNNNNNNNNNNNNNNNNNNNNNNNNNNNNNNNNNNNNNNNNNNNNNNNNNNNNNNNNNNNNNNNNNNNNNNNNNNNNNNNNNNNNNNNNNNNNNNNNNNNNNNNNNNNNNNNNNNNNNNNNNNNNNNNNNNNNNNNNNNNNNNNNNNNNNNNNNNNNNNNNNNNNNNNNNNNNNNNNNNNNNNNNNNNNNNNNNNNNNNNNNNNNNNNNNNNNNNNNNNNNNNNNNNNNNNNNNNNNNNNNNNNNNNNNNNNNNNNNNNNNNNNNNNNNNNNNNNNNNNNNNNNNNNNNNNNNNNNNNNNNNNNNNNNNNNNNNNNNNNNNNNNNNNNNNNNNNNNNNNNNNNNNNNNNNNNNNNNNNNNNNNNNNNNNNNNNNNNNNNNNNNNNNNNNNNNNNNNNNNNNNNNNNNNNNNNNNNNNNNNNNNNNNNNNNNNNNNNNNNNNNNNNNNNNNNNNNNNNNNNNNNNNNNNNNNNNNNNNNNNNNNNNNNNNNNNNNNNNNNNNNNNNNNNNNNNNNNNNNNNNNNNNNNNNNNNNNNNNNNNNNNNNNNNNNNNNNNNNNNNNNNNNNNNNNNNNNNNNNNNNNNNNNNNNNNNNNNNNNNNNNNNNNNNNNNNNNNNNNNNNNNNNNNNNNNNNNNNNNNNNNNNNNNNNNNNNNNNNNNNNNNNNNNNNNNNNNNNNNNNNNNNNNNNNNNNNNNNNNNNNNNNNNNNNNNNNNNNNNNNNNNNNNNNNNNNNNNNNNNNNNNNNNNNNNNNNNNNNNNNNNNNNNNNNNNNNNNNNNNNNNNNNNNNNNNNNNNGGUGAUUAAGAAAUCAUUAAUACAUUGGAAGACUUCACCAUUUUGCCCUUUGUUUAUAUCAAUGCAGAUUGAAAUGAGUUACAAAAAAUACACAUACAAUAUAGGAAUGGUCAUAUUUAUUGUAGGGGUAAAAUGGAAAAGAAUUAAUUAAUUCUAUCCUAAUUUAAUAAGUGCUCAAAUAAUAUAAAAAAAAUAUUUUUAGUAAGAGUCUCAUCUAUGGGACGGAGAGAGUAACAAUAUAACUUUAUUAAUGUUGGGCAGGGCAGCGCCCGGGCUUUCUUUACUAGUAUAUAUAUAAAGGAGAAACAUAAAAGAGGUGAUGUGGCACCUCUCUAUGACCUCCAUUUCUAUUUAUUUAUUUUGUCCUUUUUUUGGACAUUUUUUCAUUUUUNNNNNNNNNNNNNNNNNNNNNNNNNNNNNNNNNNNNNNNNNNNNNNNNNNNNNNNNNNNNNNNNNNNNNNNNNNNNNNNNNNNNNNNNNNNNNNNNNNNNNNNNNNNNNNNNNNNNNNNNNNNNNNNNNNNNNNNNNNNNNNNNNNNNNNNNNNNNNNNNNNNNNNNNNNNNNNNNNNNNNNNNNNNNNNNNNNNNNNNNNNNNNNNNNNNNNNNNNNNNNNNNNNNNNNNNNNNNNNNNNNNNNNNNNNNNNNNNNNNNNNNNNNNNNNNNNNNNNNNNNNNNNNNNNNNNNNNNNNNNNNNNNNNNNNNNNNNNNNNNNNNNNNNNNNNNNNNNNNNNNNNNNNNNNNNNNNNNNNNNNNNNNNNNNNNNNNNNNNNNUCACUUAUAUUAUUACUCUUUUUAGUUUUGUUUUACUACAUCUUUUCAUUCUUGAAAACUUAAAAUGUUACAUCUAAUUGUAUUUAUCUUCACAAAAUAAAUGUAUUGAUACUUGUAUACCUAUCUUAAGAUACUUGUAUGCCUACAUUUCCAUCUUUUGAUAUAUUUUGUCUUCUUUUUAUAUUUUAUUCAUAAUAUUUAUUUUCAAUUAAAUUCUUAAAAAUUAGAUGAUAUAAUCACAAAAAAUAUCCAAAAGAUAAAUACUUGAAAUAUAUCUACCUAUAGAUUUUAUCGUUUGUCUGCAAAUAAUUUCCUUAAUUCAAUAUAGUACAUUUCACUAAAAGACUAAAAGUGCUUAAGAAUAUUAAUUAUUAGAAAUAAAAAAAUAUAUACACAAGAAAAAGAAAAAAAAAUCACCACAAAUAUAUGACACUCACAUUUCAACUAAUUAAAUAUCUAAAAGAAUCAUAGUUCGAUAUAAAAUUCAAUUGAGAGAAAAAAAAAUUGAAUUUUAUGCAUAUGAGUUUCCUUAGUUCAUGCCUUCAUGGUAUUUAAGCAUGAUUAUAGGAAUUGUUAAAAUAGCUAUAUUUUGUGAGACUUAAAUAUUUUUUCAUUGCUCCAUACUCAUUAAGAUAUUUAAUAUUUCUAUUGUCAUUGGAAGGAAAAAAUUAAGAGUUAAUGAAGCAUAGAUAUCUUGCCCGUUAGCCUUUUCUAUAAAUACUCAAAUAGAUUGAACAUAUUAUUUUCUUUUUAGUACUACUUUAUGCAUUUAAGAAUCUUGAAAACUUAAAAAACUUCAUAACUUGAUUUAAAUUUUUUGAAUACCAUUAUAUUUAUACCUACUCACCAAAUGAAUAUCAACAUUAUUUUUAUUUAGUAGAAAAAUGGAUGGGAAACCUUAUUUUUUGUGUUUUAUAUUUCUAACCUAUAUUAAUUGUGAAUAUAUAAUGAGAUGUGUUUUAAAAAGAAAUUUUCUGAUAUCAUGUUUUCAUUUAAUUAUUUCUUGAGUAGCAAAGAGUAAUUAAAUAAAUAGAUACUUAGUGAAGAAACACGUAGUCAAAGGUCUGCUAACAAGCUAUUUUUAUAUAUAUUUUUUCAUAUUUACUUAAAAAAAAUAUAGAUAAUGUUUUAUGUAACUUUUGAUUUAAAAUUUUAAAACUUAAACUUUGAAAAAGACUUUUAUGUAUCUUAUAAUUUAUUCUAUUUAGAUUAUACGUUUGAAAGAAAUAUUGAAAAUAAAAUUGAUUAUAUUUUUUGAUGAUUUUAAUAUUCGAAUAUUAGAAAGAACGAAAAAUAAAUCAUGAAUUUGGUGGGCAUUUGACCAUAUAUAAUUAGAAAUAAGGCAUUUGGCCAUAUAUAAUUAGAUUUUUUUUUUCAUUUUACUAGAAUUUUUAAAAUCAGAGUUGUGUUUUAUUAUAAUUUUUUCACAAAUAAGACAAAAUAACAUUUUAUUUGAAAUUCUAAACAUGGAGUGUAAUUUGAUUUUUUCAUAGUCAAAAUUAAUUUUUAAAUAAAGUAAAAAUUAUUUCAGAAAAAAGACGGAUAAUAUAGUUUAUUUCUUCACGCGAAAUGCGGAUAAAUUCACUAGUAUAUAAUAAAUUACUUGAAUCAUCAAAAAAGAAUUUGCACAUUAAUUAAUCAGAACCGAUAGACUUAGGAAAGAUAUUAUUAGUCAUAGACUCAUAGGACUUGGAUCUUGUUCCAUAAUUACUAGUUAUAAUAACUACUGUAACAUUUAUAUAUUUAAUUAAGUCAAAUAAAUAUAAUCUUUUCCGAUUUUUUUUUAAAAAAAUAGCCUUGCGCCUUGUAAGGCUCAUGGCGGCUGAGCCUUACAAGGCUAAAAGUUGUUGCGCCUUGUAAUGCUCAUGGAUUUUUGCGCCUUGCGGCGGAAACUCUGAUUUAGAUACCGUUACAAAUUAUUGCCCUUUUGACUUCAUAAAUAAUUCAGUUUCCCUUUUGAAAUUUUCAAAAAAAAUUAUUGCCCUUUUGAUUCCGGACUCGUGUUUGAAUAGCGCCUAGAUUGGACAACUAACCUGAAUAGUAGUUAAUUCUGUGAGCACCUUGUACCAAACAUAAAUUAUAUCCUUUUCAUACGGAAUAUUGUAUUUAUGGCUUCUUUCUCAUUGGCCUAAAGGAUAUUGAGUUUAACUAAUAUUCAUUGUCGGUGGAAAUUUUAUAUUUUUACGAAUAGUGAAUUACAAUAUUGUUUUUAAAAAUCAUUUCCUUAAUUAUUUACUUCUUUUUCUUUUCACUCUUUAAUCCUAAGACUUAUUUUUUUUCUUGCUACCGUCAAUUUUUCUCCCUAAAGCUUUGCAUCUCGGUGUUAAAAAGAUAAUUAUUAUACCUCUCUUUAUUUGAAAAAAUUCUACUAACAACUAUUCUACAAAAAUGUAGAGUUAUAUUUAACUAAUUUAAAAAGUUACUUUUUUCGUCUAAAUUUAUGUAAGAAUUUGAAUUUUGAUAGCUAAACGAGUUAAUUUAUAUAUAUAUAUUUUAAAAGUAUAACUUAUAUUAUAGUAUUUUUCAAAUGUGUAAACUUAUUUUUAAAAAAAUUAAAAAUUUAAUGUCAAAAUUAAAAAGUUUAAAUAUCAUGGAGUGAAAAGUAUCAUAUAAAUUGAGAUAUUAAAAAUACUAUGUCAUUGAAGGGUGACAGUGAUUACUUAGAUUUGUUUUGCAGAAUGCUGCAAAGGUUGAUACUGUAAUUUAUUUAACUUUGAUGGUGUUAAACAUCAAUAAAGUAGAAAUUGACAUCAAUGAAAAACAAUACAAUAAAUUUUUAAAAAUUAAUAUUAUUUUACUUAGUUUUGAUUUGUUAAUAAAACCCGAAGAAACAUCAGUACCAUUCGUAAAAAGGUUUAACCAAAAUAUAUAACAAAGUUUUUUCAAAAUAUAUAUAAAAAAAUUACUAUUAAUUUAACCAUUCCUAAGACUAUUUUUAAUUAAUUAAAUCUAAAUUACUCAUUCUAGGAAAGUGAAUUUUUUUAUUAUGAAAUAGAGAGUAGUUGAAUUCAAAAGCGAUAACUUAAAUUCCUGCUUGAUCAUAAUUUUGAACUUGAAAUAUAAAUAUUUAAAUUUGAAAGUAAUUUUUAAAAUUUGAAGUUGUAUUUAAAUAAAAAUUUUUAAAGUUUUGUGAAUGAAAGCUUAAAAAAUUUGAAAACUUAUCCGAAUUAACUUUUAAAACCUAGUAUUUUUGUGAAGAUCGAUUUUCAAAAUUUAAUUCAAAAUUUAUGACUAAUCUCUAGCUAAAUAAUUGAUUAAGCGGAAAAGACAAGUCCUUUUCUUGUCAUUGAUCAAUCAACUCCGCCUUGCAAUAAUGAUGUGUAUUUUUUGUUUUAUUUUAAGGUGGGUCCAAUAAUGAUGAAAUUUAAAUUUUGAUAAAAUAGUUCAAAUCACCUUCAUCCCAAACUCAAAACACAAUUUUUGUUAUGUGAUUUUUGAAAAUCCCUAAAACUACUCGCUCAAAAUUAUAGCUUCAAAUUAAAGAAAAUGUUAGAUUUUUUAAAUGACAUUACGUCCAACACAUUAAGAAGUAAAAUUCAUAGUGACUAAUGUUAGUGAAAAAUUACAAUAUAAUAAAAUUGCAAGAUUACAAUUAAAAAUAAAAUAAAGAAAAUAAAUUUCUUUAGACUGAGACACGGAUUUCUUGCUCUCUUUAAGGAGAUUCAAGUCCACUGCAGCAAAUGUUUUUCAUCGGUCCAGCAGUAGUCCUUCUUGACCUGUCCACAAGGAUACAACAGCCUUACACAAAGUAUAACUCAACAACUCUGGACAAGAGUUGAGUCCAAAGCUCCACAAAAAGAAUACAUCCCUUCAACUAAUAAGAACUCUCUUUUUUGACCAACUCUUUCACUCUAUAUUUUCUUGUGUAUUGUGUGUUCUAAACCAAAUGAAGACCACCACUAUUUAUAGUUGGGGAUGUCUUCCUAGCAAUGAAUAGGAAGAUAAUGAGAUAGUAAAUAGUGAAGAUAAAUGACCUUAGGAGUUACAUAGAUUACAGGGUAUAAUGGAGGAAGAAUAAUGAAGAAUGAAUGGCAAAGGCCACCAACGGCUAAGAGUGCUAACAAGAAAUGUUGUAACAUAACAAACAAUAACUCCAAAUGGAGUAAUGCAGCAAAUAAGUGCCACCAACGGUCAAUGUCAAAAACGUCAAGUAAUGGGCAAUUAAGCCUCAAAACAUUGAUUCCAAAAUACAAUUUAAGUGGCCACUAACAUUCUGAUAGGAAUAGCUGCAAGAGGAAUGGGAAAUAUGCACCUUAACCAUUAUUUACUAAUAUUAAAAUGCUCCCAAAUCAACAAUCCCCACUCAUUAUAAUAUUAAUCAAGUGAGUCUAUUAGCUGAAGGAAGACUAAUAUGCAUAAUGAAUGUGUGCUCUGCAUUGAACCUUCACUUAGUUAAACAACAAUUUUUUACUCCAGAGUCGUAAUGGUCUCAGACUUGAACUAUGAUUGCUUAGUGAAAAUAAAAUAUCAUUAUCCACACAUAAUAAUCAAGGUGCUGACAAGAGCUUUAACAGCCAGCACAUUAUGGCCUUGUGCUAUCCCGGUUUCAUGAGUGCUUUUGAGAAUAAGCCAAAUUCUCAUAGGAAGCGACCUACUUCCACACAUCACAUUUGUGAAAUCUGUCGAGAAUGCUCCUGUAAUCUUAACACUCCACCCAUAUGAGCUACAUAUAUUCAUUAAGAGUUUUAUCAACUCAGCCUUCACAAACUACAGGAAACAAUGCACUCACAUCAUAGGGAGGGAAUAAAAAGAUAGUGCAUUUUUCACAACAAGUCAUCACCUGAUUAGUUUUUCCCUUUGAACUUGGUUAUAUGAUCUCUAGUCCCCAAGUUGGGUUUCCUCAUAUAUGACUCAAGGAUUUGUAGGCUUCAAUCACAUCCCCCUCGAUGUGCUCUAGACCUUUUCUCUCGUUAAGGCCUUAGUAAAAGAAUGUGCAAGAUUAUCACAAGAUUUGACAUAAUCAACAUUAAUGGUACCAUUUGUCAAAUAUGAUCUUACAUUAUUGUGUUUCCUCCUUAUAGGUCUGGAUUUACCGUUGUAAUAACAGUUUUGAACUCUAACAAUCGCAGCAAUGCUAUCACAAUGAAUUAAAAUAGGAGGAAUUGGUUUUUCAAAAUAAGGAAUUUGAAACAAUAAAUCUCUUAACCAAUUCGCUUCCUCACCAGCUAAAGCUAAAGCAAUUAGUUCAGUCCCCAUGGUAGAGUUAACAAUUAUAGUUUGUUUUUUUUAUCUCCAAUAAAUAGCACCACCACCCAAAGUAAAGACAUAAUCAGUGGUAGAACAAGAAUCACCUGAUAAAGUGUUCCAAUCUGCAUCACAAAAGCUUUCAAGUACAACAAGACAUUUUUAUAAAACAAAUCACAAUUUUUCGUUUCAAUUAAUUAUCCCGUAACUCUUGUCACAACAUGUCAAUGCUCAUUACCUAGCUAGUACUCUUACUGCAUAUGCAAUAUCAGGCCUAGUACAAUCAGUCACAUAUCUCAAACUUCCGAUUAUGCUAGCAUAUUCCUUUUGAUUUAUUAUCAUUUUCACUUUUAACAGGAAAUAAGUGAACACUUUAAUCAAAAGGAGUUGCAACAUGUUUGCAAUCAAGAAAGUUAUAUUUUUUCAAAAUUUUCUUAACAUAAUGUGACUGGUCAAGGAAAAUUCCAUCACAUGUUCUUGUUAUUUUUAUUCCAAGAAUAACAUUUGCCUCACCAAGAUCUUUCAUAUCAAAAUGAAUUCUAAGAAUAUUCUUAGCUUUAUCAAUAACAUUCAUGUUAGAGCCAAAGAUCAAUAAAUCAUCAACAUAUAGGCAAAUAAUCACAUGUGAAUUAUUCCAAGACUUAUGAUAUAUGCACUUAUCACACUCAUUUGUUUUAAAACCAUUUCCAAUCAUGCAAGAAUCAAACUUUUCAUGACAUUGUUUUGGUGCAUGUUUCAAGCCAUAUAGGGAUUAGUAAGUUUACAUACUUUGCUUUCUUGGCCUGCUUCAACAAAAGACUCGGGUUGUUCCAUAUAAAUUUUCUCAUUUAGGUCUCCAUUUAAAAAGACAGUUUUUACAUCCAUUGAUGAAUUUGCAAAUAAAAAAUUGCAGUCAUAGCAAUUAAAAGUCUUAUGGAUGUAAUUCUUGUUACUGGUAAAAAGUAAUCAAAAAAUUCUAGGCCUUCUAGUUGUUUAAAACCUUUUUGCAACUAGUCUAGCCUUAUAUUUAUCAAUAGAUCCAUCCAGUUUCAACUUUUUUCUAAAGUCCCAUUUGCAACCAAUAGUUUUACAACCUGGUGGUAAAUCAACUAACUUCCAAGUUUUAUUAGAAAUUAGUGAUUCCAUUUCAUCAUUUAGUUUACAGCCUCUUUCCAAAAAAAUGGAAUCAUGUGAAGAUAAAGCUUCUUUUAAAGUGAGAGGGUCAUCUCCAACAUUAAACACAAAAAAAUCAGGACCAAAAUCUUUUUCUACUCUAGCUCUUUUACUUCUUCUUAACUCAAAAUCAUCAACUUCUUUAUUUUUCAAAGUUAGAGUAGAAGAAUUAGGUAGUGACAAAAUAUUUUGUUUAAUUCUUUGACCCCCACUAUUUUUAGAAUCAAAAGGAAAUUUAUUCUCAUGAAAAAUAGCAUCACCCGAUUCUAUCACAAUAUUAUCUUUAAGAUUAAAAAAUCUAUAGAUUGUACUAUUUGAAGCAUAACCAAGAAAAACACAAGUAGUAACUUUCUUACCCAAUUUUGUGAUCUUGGGAUCCAUUAGCCUUACAAAGGCUAGACAAUCUCAAACUCUUAGAUAUCCCAAACUUGGCUUGUAACCUUUUCACCAUUCAAAAGGUGUUAAUUUAGACUUUUUAUGAGACACACCAACACAUAACAAGCAGUCAAAAUAGCUUCACCCCAAAAAUUUAAAGGUGCAUGUGACUCAAUAAGCAUGACAUUAGUCAAUUCAAAUAAAGUUCUAUAUUUUCUUUCCGCUACUCCAUUAGAUGAAGGAGAGUAAGGAGGAGUAGUUUCAUGAAUUAUUCCCAAUGAUCUAACAAAAGAAUUAAACUCAUUUGAUUCAUAUUCACAGCCUCUAUCACUUCUAAUUUUUUUUACUUUUCUUCCAAAUUGAUUUUCAACCUCAUGGAGAUAGUUUCGAAAUUUUCAAAAGUAUCACUUUUAAUUUUCAUUAGGUAAACAUACGUAAACUUAGAAAAAUCUUCAAUCAAAGUGAUAAAAUAUCUAUUAGCUCUAUAAGUUAAAAUUCCGCCAAGUUCACAAAUAUCAGUAUGAACUAAUUCUAACAAAUCAGUUUUUCUUUGAACUUGUAAAUGAGGCCUUUUAGUGAUUUUGGCUUUACUACAAGCCUCACACUUUUCAACAUUCUUUUUAACCAUUGGGAUCAAUCCUAAACUACUCAUGAUUCCAACAUAACGAUCAUUAAUAUGACACAAACGAGCAUGCCAAAAAUUAGUAGAGGAAAGCAUAUAAACAGAAGUAUAAGCUUAAUUCACUUCUACAUUCAAUUUGACCAUCCCAUCACAUGCAUACCCCUUUCCCAAAAAAAUAUCCUUCUUCACAAUUACAUAUUGAUCAGAUUCAAUGAUUUGUUUAAAGCCUGCUUUAUUAAGAAGAAAACUAGACAUCAGAUUUUUCUCAUGGAAGGAGUAUAGAGUACAUCUUUCAAAGUUAAUAUUCUUUCAAAAGUAAAACACAAUUCGACAUCUCCCGUUCCAAGCACUUGAGUUUUGUGAGAAUCACCAAGCAUGAUGGUUUUGGGCUCCUCAAAAUGAGUAUAUUUUUUUAAAUCAGUCUUUAUCAUAACAGACAUGACGGUUUGCACCAGAAUCAGCCCACUAUCCAUCAACACUCUCAACCAUGUUUAUGUCGAUAAUCACCGCCACAAAAGGUUCUUCGGUAACGUUUGCCUGAGGGUUAGGACCACAUUUCCGGAAUCUGCAAAAUCGAGCAAUAUGCCCACUCUUGCCACAAACAAAGCACGGUCCCUUAUCUUGAACUUGUUGAUUUUGUGCUUGGCUAUUUUGACCAUUAUUUUUCUUGGUAGGUCUACUAUUAUUUUUCUUAAAUUUUUUCUUCUUAGGCUUCAAAGAAGUAUUUUUGUGAGUUGAUGUUGCUCUCUUCUUUUUGUAAAAAGUUCAUCUUGGCCCCUUGCCUCUUCACCAUUGUACUUUUCCACUUUCUCAUGAUGAGAAAUAAGUUCAUCAUCAUCCAUGGAGGUGUCAUCAACUUUAUUAGGAUUCUUCUCAGUUAACACAUAAGAAACAUAGAGAAGAUUUAAGUAGAAAUGUACUUUACCCUUCCAUCUUUUGAAAUGGUUACCAUUGAACCGAAAUGACUUGUUCAGGUCUCCCAACUUGACAUCCGUGGUUUUUUCAAUUGUAGCCAUUACUAAAUCUCCUUAAAAUUGUUAGUGAAAAAUUAAAAAAUAAUAAAAUUGCAAGAUUUCAAUUGAAAAUAAAUCUCUUCAGGCUAAGACGCGGAUUUUUCGCUCUCUUUAAGGAGAUUCGAGUCCACUACAGCAAAUGUUUUUCAUCGGUCCAGCAGUAGUCCUUCUUGACUUGUCCCCUCAAGGAUACAACAACCUUACACAAAGUAUAACUCAACAACUUUGGACAAGAGUUGAGUCCAUAGCACCACAAAAACCCUUCAACUAAUAAGAACUCUCUUUUUUGACUGACUCUUUCACUCUAUAUUUUUCUUGUGUAUUGUGUGCUCCAAACCAAAUGAAGACCACCACUAUUUAUAGUUGGGGAUGUCUUCCUAGCAAUGAAUAGGAAGAUAAUGGAGUAGUAAAUAGUGAAGAUAAAUGGCCUUAAGAGUUACAUAUGUUACAAGGUAUAAUGGAGGAAGAAUAAUGAAGAAUGAAUGGCAAAGGCCACCAACGGCUAAGAGUUGGUAAAUUGAGUUACCAACCAAAUGUCAACUUAUAUUAAUCCGUUGCUAAAAGGUUCGUCGGUAAAUAUUACCAAUCGAUUUUAAUUUGUUGGUAAACUUAUCAACCAAAAAUCAGUUGGUAAACACCCAAAAAUGUUACAAAAUUUUGAAACAUGGUCCUGAAAUUUCAGUUGGUAAAUUCACCAACUAAUUUUUGGUUAGUAUAUCGUUAGUACCUUUACUAAUGAAUUGAAAAGGAGUUAGUAAAUUUUUUUCUGCAUUAUUCGAUUCCGUUAGUAAUACGUUUGAUAGUAAACUUUUCUAGAUACAUUGGUAAUUGGUUGACAAUUUUAGUAACAGAAAAUUUAUGUUGGUAAUUUACCAAUAAGUUUUAAAUACUUUUUUUUUUGUUUUCCAUCCGGUGUCCGGUAUCCACAUUGGAGCCCGACUAUGCGAAUCCGUACCCAAGGGGAAUCGAACCUGAGACCUCUUGGUUAAGGAUGGAGGAGUACUUACCACUCCACUACAACCCUUAUUGGUAAUAAAUUUUAAAUAUGUUAGUAUGAUUAUUUGUUUUUCUAAUAAAUCUACUAAUUGAUUGUUAGUUUGUUGGUAAUAUAUCAUUCCAGUUCAAUGUUAGGUUAGUAAUUGAUUGCAAUAUGCUCAAAAAAUUAUUAACUGAAUGAUUAUCCAAUAGUAAAAUAUUUAUUAAUUUAUUGCAUUUAGAAAUUUAAGAGCAUGAAUAUAAAUCCAAAAAUAUUAAUAUCAAUUUUAUAAAUCAUAUUUGAAUGAAACAAUGUAAACUCUAUGAUAACAACUUAAAUUAAUCUCAAUAUGACACAUAUCAUUAUAUCAAAAAUUUUAAUUUGAGCACGUUUACCAAAAAUAUUGACCAAAUCUAAAUUUUGGCCAAAAGCUUAAAAGUUAAAACGCCUAACAGCACAAACUAAAAAUGGAAGCCUCAAAAUCUGAACCAACCAUCCUAUUAGAUAUAAAAAUGACCUUUUGAAGCUAAUCGCGCUGACGGAAUUCUCAUCAGAGCAUGUUUACAAAAAAUGUUAAGCAAAGUCAAAUUUUGGCCAAAAGUUAAAAGUUAAAACGUUUAACGGUACAAACUGAAUAUGAAAACCUCAAAAUCUAAAGCAACCAUCCUAUAAGACGAAAAAUGACCUUCCAGAGCUAACCGCACUGACGAAAUUCAAAUUUGAGCAUGUUUCCCAAAAAAAUUGACCUAGUUCAAAUUUUAGCCAAAAGUUAAAAGUUAAAACUCUUGUUGACACCCAAUUUUGACCCUCCCCGAUAGGAAUUAAUUCACGAGCUUCUUAAUUCCCAAACAAUUUAGAAUAAUUAAUAAAAGUCAAAUACUUUACAAAGUAAUUUUAAGUGACCUUAGUCGAUUCUCAUAAUUUAUAAAUAAGUGGAUAUAUUUCAUAUAGUUUUAUAGAUAUGAUCGGUAUGUUUCAUGAAUAUUUGAAAAUCAUCUCAAAAAGAUUUUAUUUUAAAUAUUAUAUUAAAAUUAGUUUAGUUUAGAUUGUGGUUAAUUUUAAAAAUCAAUUGGUUUAUAGUUGAAUUAAUUAUUUUAUUUUGUUAAGAUGAGAAGCUCAUAAAUUAAUUAUACUAAUUCAUCUUAUUUAUGUUUAGCCGAAUUUGCAAAUGAGUUCAAUUUGGUUAAAGAUUCGUAAUCUUGAUUGGCCAAUUACAAUUCAACUUGGCUAAAUUAGUAAUUCACUUGGCCAUAUAAAAAACUAAAGUUUUGGGCCCUACUUCUAAUUCCUAGCAGCCCACACCUUUGUUCCCAUUUCCUAGCCCAUUUCCUCCUCUAAAUUUUCCAGCCCAAUCCCUAUUAUCCCUCAACCCGACCCAUCCAGACCAGCCCAAUAAAACCUGACCCGACCCCAUCCCCUUUUCCUUCUAAUUCCAGGUCAACGCUAACACAACAAUAUCAUAACAACGACAGCAUCUCACGGAAAACAACCAACAACGUCAAUUCCAAUAGACGGAAAACAGCGAUUCCAAUCGGCGAAAUACACGGCAAGUUCACGCCUUGGACGCGUGAAUCAAGUUCUCUACGAUUUAUUGUUGUCUUCCCCCAACGUCCCUUUCCGUAGUACUGUUCCAGCGCUUUUCCAGCCAAUGAAUCGUCCUUACAACUUGAGAUCGAGCCACGUAGCUCCUAAAGGACGAUGAGUUGAUCAUAGAGCGUCAAUUCACCCUUUUCUCUUUCGGAAUAGAGCGGAAUUUCAGAAAAAGGUUAUCUCUCCAGAAUUGUGAAUGAAUCUUUGAGUUUGAAUUCGAAAUAGGCCCUGAAAUCUGAGAUUUUUAUCCCUUUCCCCCCAUUUUUUGAACCCUAGUUCUCUUCUAUAUAUUCCCCCUUAUUCAUUGUAGAUGGGGGAGAUUUUUUUUGGGGUUGAAAAUUUGUAGAACAAAAAUACACAUAAUAGCUUAAGCGAAAAUAGCUAAAAUAUAUAUACUAAAUACUCCAAGAAAAAUAGAGAAAAUACUUAAUUUUGGUGUUUGAGUUUGAUAUCUCUACCCAAACAUUCUGAUUCGCUGUUCGUGUUUGAGUCUCGGUGUGGUGGAGGUCAUUGUUUUGCUCGUCUUGAUCCCUGCUCGCUGCCCUCAAGAAGGUAAAAAUCUCUCAUUUUAUUUCUGCUCAUUUGACCUCCAGUUAUUCUGCAUUUCUUCUGUUUAUGCGUUUAGCUGAGACCUUUCAAUCUGGAGUUGUGGUUAUUUUUUUGUGUAUUUUUUAAAUGCGUAAGCUUGUGCUAUUUAGCUGUCAUUUGUUUACUGCGGGGUUCAUUUGUGAAGCAUCUUGAAUAUUGACACUUUAUUUCUAUUUUUGUUGUACUUACUGGUUAAUCGAGUCAAUCUUAGCAUGUUCUAUUAUUGCCUUAUGCUCUAAUUUUUUAUGCGUAGCGUUUUCUACGGCUUGUCUCCCUGAUGUUAGUUUGGUUAAGUGAAAGUAUUAUAGUUUGAGUAAGUCUCUAAUAGCUUCCAUGCCAAAAGAUAUCCUUGUAUUUGAUAUAUAUUUGUUUUGAGUGAUUUUGCAUUGGUUUGCUGUUGAAAUUUUCUUUAGUGGAGCUCUAGUUAUUAGUAAGACUUUCGUCACUUUCAGUUUUGUAUAGUUGCUUAAUUCAUAUCGUAGAUUGUGUAUCUUCCUCGAAGAAAUGUCCCUUUGGCAUAAAAUAUUCAUAGAUGUUCUCUGUUCAACUAGUCAUUUAACAAAUGUGUACAUUUGGAAAGGACUGAUUAAUUUUUCUCAAAUCUGUUAUUAAUCUGAUCACUUAUAUUUGUUUAUUUUGAUAUCAUUGCACGCAAGUCGUGGUUGGUCCCUUUUACCUAUGGUAGUGGUUUAGUCCCUUGCUUAGUUUAUUCAUUUAUUUUGAGGGUGAAGUUCAAUAUAGUUUACGUGUAUUUUUUUUUUACUUGAAAGCAUGACAUAUUUUAUUUUUUCUAUUUUUAUUUUUUGUUUUAUUUUCUUCUUUUUAUUUUGUUGUUCAUGUAUACUGUUGUUAGUCACUAUUCUAAUUUAUUGAUUUAAAUAGUUAGUAUGCUCUUCUAAUUACUCCUUUAAGCUAGGGUGCUCCAUAUAAUGCGACUGAAUCUAAAAAUCUUGCUUUAAUUAUUAGCAUCCUUUAUUAGCAUGUCUGCCUAUUUAAUAAGUUGAAUAACAUUUGUUUGCUAUGGGUUUUAAGUGUCAAAUAGCAGCUUAAACGGUCUUUAUUUUAGCAUGACUUGGAUUUAGUGUCUUUGGAGUUUGUAUCCCUUUGUUCAGGUCCAUAUUGUUUAAGUUCAACCGAGUUAUUUACUUUGUAUUGAUUUAGGGGCUGUUAUGAUUCGCUUUAGAGAUGUUGUUGCUUUAUUAUUCUAUGGUACUAAUUCUUAUUAUCAUUUUGUUGCAUGUGAAAUUUUUCUGAGUUCACCAUGAACUCCUUUUUCCUCGCAUUUUGAGAAAGCCGUAAAGGCUUAAAUCUCUCAUUUCGAAUCAGCCAGUCGUGAAAUCAAAGAGCAGGUCCUAAAAAUUGACGAACAUGUGUUUGGAGCUAAUACAAGAUUGUAUACACUAGUAUACACCUAGUGUAUACAAAAUGGAAAUGGGCCAAAAGUGUCACGCCCCGAGCCUACACCCUGGGUGGGACUGGCACUCGAAGACCGUUGCUGGCCCCAAGUGAACUCUUGGUCUAACUUACUUAACUCAGCGGAAGACUUAACUCAUCGCAUAAACAUUUAUGAAGAAACUUGAAUGUCAUAAAGGAACAUUCAAUUGCCAUUUAGGCAAACUCAAGUCUUUAACAUAAGAAAUGAAAAGUAAAGACAAUUGAAAUAACUAACUAGUCUGUCUGUCUAUGAAGCCUCUAAAACAACUGAGAUAGAUGUUGGGACAAAACCCCCACAACAUCCUAAUGGACUAAACUAGAAAGCAAUGAAAAUAGAUCCUCCGGAAUGCAAGAAGGCUCAUCGACUGACUCUGAAUUGCUCACUGGAUCAAUGGUGCGCUGAAAUGCCGAUCCUAGUUACCUGUGUCUGCAUCAUAAGACAAUACAGGCCAACUGGCAUCAGUACAUUGAAUGUACGAGUAUGCGAGUUGGAAUGCUAAAACAACAUAGGCUUGAAAAGGAAUCUGAAAGAAACUGAAGAACUUACUUGGCUCAGCUCAACUCAACUCAACAUAAUUGAACUCAUUUCAAUAUAAAACAAUUUAAAACAAGUGCAAUAUAAAGAAAAGCUAUUUAAAANNNNNNNNNNNNNNNNNNNNNNNNNNNNNNNNNNNNNNNNNNNNNNNNNNNNNNNNNNNNNNNNNNNNNNNNNNNNNNNNNNNNNNNNNNNNNNNNNNNNNNNNNNNNNNNNNNNNNNNNNNNNNNNNNNNNNNNNNNNNNNNNNNNNNNNNNNNNNNNNNNNNNNNNNNNNNNNNNNNNNNNNNNNNNNNNNNNNNNNNNNNNNNNNNNNGCCAAAGGUAUAGGACCUGAACUACUAAUGGAUCCACAAGUAUAUGUGAAAAGGGUUCAUCUAAAAAGUAUGAACCUUUUCUAUCCAUGAUGGCUACAUGGUUUAUGGGGGGUGUGAGUUGUUUGAACUCUCCCCCAUAUUGGUGCUCAAUACUACUCCCAAAAUAUACUAGCUCUUAUGUUUUAAAACAUACUUCUUCUGUGAUUUGAGAUUAGUGCUCAAAAAACUUAGCUCAAAGGUUAUCUUGGAAAUCUCAGUUUCCCUGCUUUCUUCAUUUAGAAAGCUAAUACCCUUUUCUGAAACUAGCCCAAAUGUUCUUUGGAAAUCUCAGUUUCCGUUCUUAUUUAAAUGUGAAAAUAUUUUAAAUCUCUUUGGGAAUACUUAGUCCCCAUAUACUUUUGAAGAAAUGAACUUCAAACUUUACUCUUUACUCAUUACUCAACUUGAACUUUAAGUCUUAAAAACAAAGUUAAAAGCAUUUGCAAAAGACUUCUUGAAAAGACUCUAAGAACUUCUUAGACUUGGCUCUUGACUUUCCUUGAAUUUAAAUUUAGGAAUUCAAGGUUAUGGUUUAUGUUUCUGGAUGAUUUCUAGAUGUUUAGAAGUCAUUUAGAGUAGUUAGAAUCAAUGGAAAGUGUUAAUACACUUUAAAAUAACUUAAACGGACUGAAUGACAAAAACUGGGUGAAAAAUGACUAUUUGGGCGCAUCCGGGGCGCGCCGCGCCAGCCCUUACCUUUCUAGGGCUCUAUUCUGGCACGCCGCCCCUGCCUUCCUGGCGCAAUAGGGGCGCGUCGAGCCAGCCUUCCCACAGACACAAACUAACGAAUUUUUGACCUCAUUUUCUAAUCCUAAAUCAUUUUAAUCAUAUUCUUUUUCUCAAAUUUACUUUAGAUUCAUGUACUUAAAUUAUAUACACAAAAAUCUAACCCAAACAACUCAAGGAAACAACACUUUAACAUCAAGAAGAUCCUUAAUCCCAUCUCAUAUUCAAGAACGAAAUCAACUCAAGAACCACAUUCAUAUUACAUUCAAAAUCCAAUCUUUUGGAGAUGAAAUCACUGAAUCAAACAUGCUUGGCACGUGGGUGAACGAACCCAACGUUGAGAUAGACUCACAUACCUUAAUUGAUUGAAUCCUCAGCGAAAUUCGCAAGCAAUUCCUUAUGACGACGACGAAUCUAGCUUUUUCCUCCUUUCUCUUUUCUUGCGUUCUUCCUCCAAAACCCUAGCUCUAUUUGGUACUCCCUCCGUCCCUAUUUACUUGUCCAUAUUUCCUUUUUUGGUUGUCCCUAUUUAGUUGUCCAUUUUGACAAAUCAAGAAAGGACAACAAAUUUUUUCCUAUUAUACCCUUAUUUACACUUCUUGAAAAAUUGUAAAAAGUGUAUGUUGUUUCCCUCCAAUUUAUUUCACUUGAAUUCAAAUAAGUGGUUGUAAUUUUAAAGUGAAAAGUUGUCAUAAGGGUAAAAUUGUAACUUCACUGUGCUAAUCAUUGUUGCCUUAAUCUGUGUGCCAUUUCUAAAGUGGACAACUAAAAAGGGACGGAGGGAGUAAAUGUCUACCCCUAAACGAAAUAAAUUCGGAUAGAACAAUUGGGUAAGAAAAGGACCAAACUACCCUUUAAAAAUUCGGAUAGAACUUUCCUUAUUCCAACAACCCAACUUCCAAAGGGAAUAACUCACUCAUACAAACUCGGAAUCGCGCAAAAUUGGUGGCGUUGUAAAGUCGUUCCAAGAGCUUUCCAACCAUAUUUGAAAUUACACCUAAAUCAUCCUAAUCUAGGAGUUAUGGUCGUUUGAAGUUAACCAGAAACUCACUAUUUUCUAACUUAGCCAAUUCCCGGAUUUUUUUUAUUUCUUUCCAAAAAUGACUAUUCCCAAUUUUAACUUUUUUCUUAGUUAUUUCAAAUUGCGAGAUGUUACAAAAAGACCCCAAAUUCAGCAUUGUAUUUUGUUAUUUUGGGCCUAAGCUCACUUAUUUGCUAUUACUUGUUAGUUCUUAGGACAGGUGGAAAAUUGGGCCUAAGACCCAGAGAACCUUUUUUUUAUGUUAGUUUAGGACAGUUGCAGGCGACUCAAAUAGGCUAAAGGGCCAAAACAAAAAUGGGCCCAAAUACUGGCCCAGACGAACAGGAAAAUCAGAUUUGGGCCCAAGUCUCUUUCCCUCUUUGUUUUAUGGAAAAAUUACAGAAAUCUCACAUUUUAGUUUAUUUAUUACCAUUAUUCCCUAUAAGUUUUACAAAUUUCCAAAAUCCCUCAUUUUCGGGCAUCAGAUUAGUGUAUCAACACUUAUAUUAUUGUAUCUCAUACAUCAGAUUAAUGUAUCAACACAUAUAUUAUUGUAUCUCGCGCAUCAAAUUAAUGUAUCAACGCUUAUAUCAUUGUAUCUCGCGCAUGUAUCAGCGCUUAUAUUAUUGUAUCUGUUUGAGGGAUUUCUGUAAUCAUAAACUUUUAAGGGAUAGAUUGUAAUUUUGCUUUAAAAGUAUGUGAUUUCUGUAAUUUGCCCUUGUUUUAUUGUGUUCGUUUACUUGUCAAUAUCUGCUAUUUAACCUCAAGGUUUUAAAAAUUCAAAUCCCCGAAAGAUAUCCAUUUUGAAUUAAUUGCUUAACUAAAUUAUUCCUCUUUUACUUGACUUAAUACAUAAAUAAAUAAAUAAGUUUACAAAAUAUUUCACUUAGAUAAUAUUUCAAUAUUUUUCUUUUUCUCCCUUAAAAUGGUCCUAACUAUAAAAUAGUUCAGUUUUGCAAUUCAAGCUAAGUUAAAAUUAUUUUAGCCAAAUAAUUAACUGCCGGAUAACCGCGUAUUAGCGGGCAUUUCAGAUGCUUUCAAACCCUUCCUGAAAUGCUAAUAAGAACCCCGAACCCUUUUUAAGUUUUCAUUAGAUUUUCUGUUUUAGUCUUUUGAAAACAAUAGUUUUCUUAAUUUUACUUUAAAAAUUAAGUGGCGACUCUAAACCAGUCUAAUCAUAUUUUUAAAAUAAAAUAACUCUUAACGACACAAACUGAAAAUAAAAGUCUCAAAACCCAAACCAACCAUCCUAUGAGAUCAAAACUGAACUUAUAUGGCUAACCGCAGUGACAAAAUUUCAAUUCGAGCACGAUUAUCAAAAAUAUUGACUAAAGUAAAAUUUUGGCCAAAACUUAAAAGUUAAAAUACCUAACAACACAAACUAAAAAUGGAAGCCUCAAAACCCGAACCCUCUAUCUUAUUACAUAAAAAAUGACCUUCCGCAUCUAAUUGCAUUGACGAAAUUCUCAUCUGAGCACAUUUAUCAAAUAUAUUGACUGAAGUUAAAUUUUGGCCAAAAUUUACAAGUUAAAACAUCUAACGACACACAAUAAAAAUGAAAGCCUCAAAAUCCAAACUAACCAUCCUGUUAGAUAAAAAAUGACCUUUGGAGUUAAUUACGCUGACAUAAUUCACAUCUGAGCACGUUCACAAAAAUAUUGACCAAAGUCAAAUUUUGGCCCAAACAUAAGAUUUUAAACACCUAACGGCACAAACAAAAAACGGAAGUGUCAAAACUUGAACCAACCUUCAUGCUAGAUAAAAAAUGACCUUUCGAGGCUAAUGACACCGACACAGUUCUAAUCUGAGCACGUUUACCAAAAAUAUCGAUCAAAGUCAAGUUUUGGCUAAAAUUUAAAAGUUAAAACGCCUAACGACACAAACUGAAUAUGAAAGCCUCAACACUAGACACCGAUUUACCAAAAGUUUAACUUCAAUUGAUAAAUUUACCAACUAUUCAAAUAUAAGUUAGUAAUUAAUAAUUUACCAAUAAAUUUUAUCACAGUUGGUAAUAGUUAUUAUUCAACUAAACAUUUAUAUGUAAUAUUACCAACUAAUAAUUAAUAUGUUGGUAAAUUUUACCAAUGAAUUAAUGAUUGGUUGGUAUAUUACCAACUAUUUAAUGAUGUUAGUAAUUUACUAACUAAAAUCUUUAUUCGUCGGCAAACUUUUCAACUAAUUGGAUAUUGGUUGGCAAGUUUACCAACAAAUUACAUUUCGUUACUAAUUUACCAACACAUUUAUAUUUGGUUGGUAAAUUUAGCAACACAAUCUUGCCGUUGGUAAAUGUUUGGUUAGUAAUUCAUUGGUAAUAUGUUAAUAAAUUAUAUAAACAAUUUUUUGUCAUAUUUACCAAUCGAUAUAUACUUCGUUGGUAAUAUUACCAACAAAAGGUGUGCGUUAGUAAUAUUUCAGUUGGUAAUCCAUUGAUAGAAUGUUGCUAAAUUUGGCGCCAUUUUUUCCCGCCGUAUUUACCAACUAAAAUACUUAGUUAGUAAGAUUUUGGUUGGUAAUCUGUUAGAAUUUCGUUGUUAAGUUUUAAAAUAUAAUUCAGUUAGAAAUAUGUUGGUAAUUUGUUAGUAGAAUACUAACCAGCUUAAGUUGUUAGUAAAAUCUGUUGGCAAUUUGGGGUUUUUUUUUAGUGAAUGGGAAAUAUACACCUUAACCAUUAUUUACUAAUAUUAAUAUGCUCCCAAACCAACAACUAAUGCUAAGAAAAUUCUGAUUCAUAGCAUUGAUCAAUCAAUUUUAUUUUAUUUUUGUAUUAUUAUAUAAACAUUUUGUCUUAAUUGGAGGAGUUUACUGAUUGGAAUCUAAAAUUGUUAAGAUUGUUUUUAACAAGGCUAAAAAUAGAAGGUGUCCUAAGGAAAUUGGGAGAGGUACUAGCAAUAUAGCCUAGGCCAUAGCAGCUUAUUUUGGAACCAAAUGGUGGGUGAGAAAUGACUAUUCAAACUUUAUUUUAGAAUGUGAUUUCCUGAUUAUAAUUAAUAUGAUCAAGGAUAUAUCUCAAAUGGCCUGGAAAUUGCUGCAAAGAAAGAAUAUAUUCUGAGUCACUAGCUAUGAUUUGUCUUUUUUUAGUUUUUGUUAGACCUGUUUUCAAAGUAGUAUAUUAAUGCUUGUUAACGGAAGUUUACGCUAUCGUUCCUCACUACUUAUUUUCUGUAUAAAUUUUGGAUUAAAUAAAAGGAUUACACAGCUAAAGACAUAAAAUUUACAUUAAAAAAUGCAAAUUCAUGAAGUUUGGGGGUGGGGGUUAAUGUUUCAUUUAUUAAUUAAUUCUAUUUUAAUUCACUCAAUUUACUCCAUGUAAGAGAGUUGCACUAAUUCGAGCUAAAUAGGUAGUCGAUCUAGAUUGACUCACGACUUGGCCGACUCUUACUUUAAAAAAAUUAAGGCAUAUGCCUUAGGCUCUUAAUUUUGGAGGGAUUAAAUUUUUACUAAGAAUAAAUUUUGUGUUUUUUUUUUUUAUUUAUAGAAAAAUGAUAGUUAUUUUAUUCUCUUAACCCUAUACAAAUAGAAGAAAUCAAGAAAAUGUUAACAUAACUAUUUUCACGGCAACAAAAACAAUUUUUAGCGGAAAUGAAUAGAUACAUUAAUAAAGAGUGUUAAAGUAUUUAUUGGCAUUAGUUAAGUGUCAUUAGAUCCAAUGUCGCUAAAACUUUAGUGACAUAUACAAAAAGUGCUAAUUGUCGCUAAAAAUACAUAUUUAAUGGCAAUUGAGCUAUUGCCAUUAAUUAAUUGCCGCUAAAGAUCAUUUUUGAUGUAGUGUCCAUCCAACAAUAGUUGUCCAUUAUACUAUUUUGGAAUGUCAAAUAAUACUUGUUCACUCUAUGAAAUCAAUGGAUAAUUUUACACUUAGUUAUUAAUUUACCUUAUCUUUAAUUAUAAUAAUUUUCUCUAUUACAUUUUUUAAGACACUAUAUUUAUUAUAUUCAAAGGGUGAUAUAGUAAAAUCAUCCUACUAUUUAUAGUUUCUUAAGAAGUGUGCAAUGUCAAUAGUGGACAAUUUAGAAUAAUGAACUGUUUCAAACUUAUUUUUCACAAAUUUAAAAAGCAUUUAUUGUUAAAAAAAUAGGGUCUUUGGCUAGGGUGCUUCUCUGCCUCAUAAUUAAGGGCAUACACAACAUUCAUAUCUAUGACAGUCUUCGGUCUUCCGCCCAAAUAACAUUUAGACUUACUAGGGUUGUGGUGCACUGGUGAAAGUGCUUCACCCUUAACCAGAGGUCUUGGGUUCGAGCCCUGGGUAUGGAGAAAAUCCUGUUGGGAGCGUCACACCCGAAUGGCCCCUGCAGAGCGCGAUUCGAAUUUAGUCGGAGCUCCAAUGUGAAUUUCGAACACCGAGUGAGGAAAAAAAAAACAUUUAGACUUAGUAAGAGUUGAAUGGGCAGCUCGUUUCAUGGCCCAUAAUUUAGCUAUCUUAAACCCAAUUCAUUUCCUUCGGUCCAAGUAAUAUUUAGAUUGGAUCAUAAACUUAUUCAUUUAUCAUCUCAUUAUAAUUCAAUCCGUCCCCAUAUCUGACAUCCACCCUUUAUUAUAUGCUUAAGCAUGAAAAUAUGUAUGGAUCACACAUAGAAACACAAAUUAAAUGUAUGUAUAGGAUAUGCAUGAUAAUUAAAGGACAUGCAUAUUCGAACAUAGUUAGCUAGCUAGCUUGUUUUAUUCAUAACUCAUAAGCCUGCAUUAAUUAAAAUUACAUAGAGCCUGGAGACGCAUCCACUUUAAUUUAUUCCUUAACGACGACAAUGGGAAGAGCUAGGGUUUUGACCGGCAGCCACGAGAGGAUAUAUAUAUAAUCCGUAAUCAAAAGUGAAGCUCACAUCAUUACACAUAAUUAAUCCGUACAAUUAAUACAUUAACUUGUAUUCAUUUUCCAAUUCUUGUUCCUCCGUCGUCUCAUAUUUCAUUAUCUUGAACAAGUUGCUUUCAUUUCCACCAGUUACCACGAAUUGUUUAUCAUCACCAGCAACUUUCCAAACAGCUAGGUUUCGUUCAAACACGCGCGCCGGAGUAGAUAUAUCAAAAUCUGAGAACAUGCAUCCUUAACUUUCCAAACAAUUUCAUUUUCUAUUUUACCGGAAUUCGGUACGUGUUUGGGCAUCUUAAGUAAUAACUAGCUAGUACUGGACAAGUAUACGGUUCCGCCUCCCAUGACAGGAUUAUGAAUAAUGUACUUUACACCACUGUAGAGUGGUUGGCCGUCCUGUCCAAUUAACACUUGAGGGGAUACAUCGAUCAUCAUUAUUAUUAUUAGUAGUUGUGGGAAGGACAAUGGGAUUGUUGGAUCGACAAAAGGCAACAAAGAAAGCAAGAGGAAACUCAAAAUGUUAAUCCACUUCAUGUGUAUUUUGAUUGCGUCUAUAUAUCUAUCUCCAAUUUAUACACCACCACAUGUAUGUAAGGGCAUUUUUCAGAAACAAAAAAUGGCUACCUACUACUACUACUUUUUAGUUUAGUGACAUGAUUUAUUAAGUCGAUCAAUGCUUGAGAGAUCUAAUAAGUAGUAUAAAGACUUUCUAUUUUAACAAAGAAUCAAAAAUGGGAAGGUUAAUUUCUAUUUAUUUAUGGGAUAUGGUACGGGUACUCUAUAAACUAUGAUCGAAAUCUCAUAAACAUAUAUUAACUAAACUAAGGUCCUAUUACCCCCUCAAACCUAUUUUUUUCUUGUAAUUUUGUACACCUUUUUGACUUGAGUGGCAUCCAAACAAUUCCCACACGCCUCAACUAUGUGGAGUCACGCAGUGUGCCACGUAAGCCAAAAUGUGUACAAAAUUACAAUAAAAAUGAGUUCGAAGGGGGUAAUAAGACCUUAGUUAGUUAAAGUGUGUCUUUGAGAUUUCAGUUAAAUAUAAUUUAGGGGUACUUGUGCCUUCUCCAUUUAUUUAUCAAGUCAAUUUAUUUUGGUCUGAUUAGUUUAUUGAUAUAUAAAAAAAAAUUACAACUUGAAGCAAAAAUAUUUACAUAUAUAUAGCUACAAGAUUUUGUUUUCAAAUAAUUUAUUAUGUGUAAUCAUUUAAAAAUUAUUAAAUAUAAAUUUAUAAAAUGAUUUGGAUUAUAUUAAAUUCAUGAAUAUAUUAGUCCAAAUAAAUAUUAUGGAUUAAUAUAAUUGAAUUAAUUAUUUAAAUCUAAUAAAUAUGGAUUUAAUUAAAGCCUGCUCCAUAAAGCUCAUAUGUCAUGUCACUUAAAUCUGAUUGGCCGAAGGAAGUCCUUUUAAAUAGGGGUCCUCAUAAUUCAUAAUGGAGAACCAAAAAAUUUAACAAGAAGCUAGAGAAAACUCGUGGAUCAAAAGCCGCAGAUUUUUCAAGAACGAUAAAGAUAAAGACCGCCGGAUUCAAGAUCAAGCUCGAAGCCCUUAGAUUCAACUAGAAGUCAAGAUAAAGUUCAAGAUCAAGAUCAAGAUCCACCAAUUGAAACCGAAUAACGAAAGAUAACUAUAGAAGUUCAUAUGGAACAUUACAAAUAUAAUUCCAAUCACAAAUUAAUUAGCUACUCUACUUGAGGUAGCAGACCAAUAAUGUACCGAUGGGACCAUUAGAGAUUAUCCAUUACUAAAACGUGUCAAUGAAGUACGACGGUUGGUUGAGCAUAUAAUAUACAGUAGUAGGCUUAAUUGAUAUUAUGACUUGGCUCAAUUGAGUAUCUGAAUACGAUCAAAUGUUUCUAUUAGAUACUUCCAAUCCAAGUUUGGAGAAACUCUAGUUUUAUGUGUCUUUUCAAUUAGUGGCUAUAACGUAGAUAAAUUAACUAAUUAAAAUAUUUUAUACAUUUAAUUACACGGAUUAACCUUAAUAAGCUAUAAAACCUCAUAUUUGUUUCAAUAAACUUAAAAUACGCCAAUGGAAAGUGUUAUAAUAUGGGAUGGAUAUUAGUGGAAAGGAAAUAUGAAAUCAAGAACUCUAACAAAGAAGAGGAAUAUUCAUCUAUGGAAGAAGAAAAUAAUAGAAAUUCAAUAUCAAAAGCUAAACAAAAUAAUUUGUACAAACGGAUACAAAAUAGACGUAGUUAGUUAUAAACUUAUAUCUAUCUACCUUAACUCCGUCCAAUAAUAUUUGUCCACUAUACUAUUUUGGAAUGUGCAACAAUAUAUACUUGUUCAUUUUAUGAAAUCAAUGGAUAAACAAAUCAAUGGUCAAUCACACAUUCAAACACAAGCCUUAAAAAAUGUAUCGCAUAUGAUAAUUAAAUUAAAGGUCGUAUUCGAAGAUAGUAGCUUGUUUUAUUCAUAACUCAUAAGCAUACAUUAAUUAAAAUUACAUGGAGCGAUCCACAUUAAUUUAUUCCUUAACGAAGACAACGGGAAGAGGGUUUUUACCGUCAGCUACCAGAUGAUGUAAUCCAUUAUGAAAAGUCAAGCUGACAUGUUUACACAUUAUAAGUUGAGGGGGACAAUACAUUAGCUUGUAUAUCACUAAUUAGUCAAUUUCAUAAUCUUGAACAAGUUGCUUUCAUUUCCUAUGGUACCACCAGUCACCACGAACUGAUCUUUAUCAUCACUAACUUUCCAAAUAGUUUCGUUAAAACACGGACUAGAUAUAUCACUAAUUAGUCAAUUUCCAAUAGAUCAUAGGCUCAUAGAAUCAGCAGGUAGGUUGGGUGAGGCUUUUUUUUGGGUUUUUCAUCCUAUGAUGGGAUUUUAAAUUGGAGCCUCGAUUAAAUUUGGAUCGCGCACUGUAGGGUCCAUUUGGAGAUGACGCUCCCAAUAAAAUUUUCUCCAUAUCCAGAGCUCGAAUCUAAGAUCUUUGAUUAAGAGUGGAACAAUCUCACCACAACUCAUGUUGGUGGUAGGUUGGGUGAAUUAAUGAGCCCUUAUGUUAAUUUAGUUUAUUUUGAUCUAUUUUAUUUAAAAUUUAGCAACGAUCGAACGAAUUACCUUUCUAAAUUAUGCAAAAUAAAAAACUUCAAUAAACAAGUAUUGCCUUUGCCCUUAAUUUGCUAUUAUAAUAUUGUUACCGGAGAAGAUGCAGAUAAGAAAAUUUAUUCCGGCGACCUUAGAGCCCUUACAAAAAGGUAGCCAUUGUUUUUAUGGAUAAAUCUAUCUCUAUUUUGCUUGCUAUUAAUGAUUAGUCUAUCUCCAAUUUAUACAGCUGCUAAGGGCAUUUUUGACAAACAAAAAUAGCUACCCACCGCCACCUUUUAGGUUAGUGACAUUAUUUCAUUUAUAAAUUAUAAUGAUUUAAAGAAAAUAAGUACUCUAGUAUAAAGCCUGUUCUAUUAUUUUUGGCUUAAUUAAUUCUCUUAAACUUAUCCCCUUAAUUCAUCUAGACAUUUAAAUUCAGAUUUGUACCUAUUGAACACUUCUAGUCUUUUGAAUUUGAGCCAUUCUAACAUUUUUUUAACAAUCAACUAAAAAUAUAAGAAAGAGUGAAAUGUACUAGCGGUGACAUGACAAUUUGACAAAUUAAAUAAGUAAAAUUUACAUAAAUCUCAUAGUGUUAAGAACUAAUUACAUCACAUCUCUACUCUUUUUCAAAUUACAAAAAUCAUUUAAAUUUAUAGGAUCUCGGAUAUAUAUGAAAAUAUGUAGAUACAUAGUUCACGGAUUACGAAUGAUACAUUACUUAAUGGAAGGGAUGUAUUCGAAGGGGAGAGAUGUAUUCGAGAGGGUAUAGGAUGUAUAUGAGAGGGGAUUGAUAUUAGUAAAAAAGUUGAAAAAUCAACAUUGUCAAUUUAGUAUUUGUAGUUAUUACUAGAUAUUAGCCAUGACUAGCUUUUAAAUUCAUAGGAUAUUAGCCAUGACAAGCUUUUAAAUUCAUAGCUAAAAUUUCCUAAUUUAAUUUUUGAUUUAAAAGUAAAAAUUUAAAAUAAGCCAAUUCAAACAGUUUCUAAUUUAUGACUUUUGAUUUAGAAGUCAUAGUAUAUAUAUAGUAAUAAACUUGAGAAGUAACUUUGUAACAUUAAUUUUUAUAGCUAAGAAAGUUAAUGAAUUUGUGGAUAGUCAUGAAACUCGAAAUUUGGUAGCUUUUACAAGAUACCAUCCUGAAAAGUUUUUUUAUAAAUUUUUUUUUGAAAGAACUUAAAAUAAGUUAGUCAAACAUAUUCUAACUUAUAAAUAAACUCUAACAUGAAUUUUUAUUUAUACAUCAUAAGUCAAAAGCUAAAUUAAAUAGGCUCUUUGUUAACUAUCUUUUACUAUCUAAUAAAGAGGAAUAGCAGGCAGCAGACCGUCAACACGUCUGCUUGUGCUACCUGCUUAUUCCCCUUGGCAGCCUCUUCAUCAUUUAGUUAACUGCUAUAAGUUCUUUAUUAAAUGUAACAUCUCGCAACUAGAAAGAAUUAAAAGGAAGUUUAAAAUCUGGAAAUAGUUAUUUUUGAAAAGUGUAAGGAAAUCUGGAAAAUUUUAAGUUAAAGUGAGUUUUUUGUCAACUUCAAACGACAAUAACUCAUAGCUCAGGAUGAGUUAGGUGUAGUUCUAGAUAUGGUUGUAAAGCUCUUGGAAUGAUCUUUCCAACGCCGCUAAGUUUGCACCAUUCCGACUUUGUAUGAGUAAAUUAUCCCCUUUGGAAGUUGGGCUGUUGGAAUAAGGAAAUGUCUAAUCCGGAUUUUAGAAGGGCUAUUUAGUCUUUUCCUUACCUAAUUUCUCUGAUUCGUUUUAGGAGAUUAAUUGGGUAAAACCAGACUUUAUUCAGUUUAGAAAAAUUAGAAUUUACGCUAGGGCUUGGAGAGGAGAAGAAAGAAGAGAAAAGAGGAGAGAAAUCAAGAAAUCGCCAAGAACGUUCAAGCCUUGUGAGUGGAAUUCAUCGGGGGUGAUCCCUACAAGGUAUGUGAGAUCACAUAGUGUUGGGUUAGUUCACCCACACGCUAAACUUGUUUCAAUUCAGCAAAGUUGGAGUUGUUUGAAUGUUAAGAAAGUGAAGUUCUUGAAGAACAUUGUUGAAAAUUCGUUGCGUUCUUGAUGGUUGUGUUGUUGAAGUCUCUUGUUGAUUUGAUUCGUGUUUCCGAGUGGAUUUUCAAGUUAAAUCUGUUAUAUGUUGACGGUACUAUUGAUCCUAAAUGUUUGGCGAAAGAACCAUGGAAGUUAGGAGGGUUUAGAGAUGAAAAAUGGAGAAGAGAAAUCGUCAAAAACCUGGGGAAGGAGGUGGGGCGUCGCGCCAGCCAGCGCUCCCCAAAAGGGGCUCUGAAGUUCACCCCUUGGGGCGACGCGCUAGCCAGCGCGCCCCAGCAGCUUCUCUAACAUUUGAGGGCUGGAGCCCCGCACCUCUCAGAGCGCCAGGGACGCCAGUUCUCCCCAUUCUUCCCUCACCUUUUCGUACUAGUUCCUAAGUGAUGUACCUAUGUUUCCUAGUUGAUUCUAACACUCUAAGGUACAUAUAAACAUCAUGAAAUCAUCCAUAAACAUGAGAUCAUGAACCUUGAAUCCACAAUCCAAUUCGAGGAAAGUUAAGAUCAAAGUCAUAAAAGCUAAGAGUCAAAGUCUAGAAGGUAAGAAACAAGUCAAAGCAAAGUUUUUUAAAGUUUUCAAGAGUCUCUAUCAAACGUUUUACCUUCGUUUUAAGGCUCAAGUUUUAAGUUAAGCAAAGAGUAAACUUGAAGUUUUUUUCUUCAAAAGUAUAUGAGGACUAAGUAUUCCCAAAGGGAUUUAAAAUAUUCACAUUUAAAUAAGAACGGAAACUGAGAUUUCCAAAGAGCCUUGGGGCUAGUUUUCAGAAAAAGUAAUCUCUUUCUAAAUGAAGCAAGAUGGAAACUUGAUUUCCAAGAUAGCCUUUGAGCUAAAUUUUUGAGCACUAAUCUCAAAUCACAAAAGAAGUAUGUUUUUAAAACAUAAGAGCCAGUAUAUUUUGGGAGUAGUAUUGAGCACUGAAUUGGGGACAAGCAUGAGUUUAGAUAACUCACUUCACCAUAGAACCAUGUAGCCACCAUGGGUAGAAAAGGGUCAUACUUUUUAAAUGAAUCCUUUCCGCAAUAGACUAGUGGAUCCAUUAGGCAGUUCAGGUUCUAUACCUUUGGCCGGGUAUAGGAUGCGCUGGCAGUGUGAGGUAGAUCGCUGUAUCAUCACUAUAUCUCUUAUGUGAUGGUUGUCGGUUAUAGAAACUCCCACAUAAGUUAUUGUAUUUUUAUAUACAUCAGUUUAUUGUAUUUUUACAUACAUUUUAGAGUUAUGUUGUAUCCUUGUGUAUAAACAGAGUUGACAUCAUGUUUUUAAACAACUUUUGUUUAUAUUGCACUUGUUUAAACUGUUUUAUAUUGAAAUGAGUUCAGUUAAGUAUUCAUGAGUUGAAAAGAGCCAAGGUAAGUGUUUUUUUUCAGAUUCUCUUUCCAGUCUAUGUUGUUUUAGCAUUCCAACUCGCAUACUCGUACAUUCAAUGUACUGAUGCUAGUUGGUCUGGAUCUUAUUAUGAUGCAGACACAUGUAACUAGGAUCGAUAUUUCAGCGUACCGUUGAUCCAGUAAGCAGUUCAGAGUCGGUCGGUGAGCCUCCUUGCAUUCCGGAGGAUCUAUUUUCAUUUGUUUCUAAUUAGUUCAUUAGGAUGUUGUGGGGUUUGUCCCAACAUCCAUCUCAGUUGUUUUAGAGGCUUCAUAGACAGUCAAAUGUUAGUCCUUUGAGUCUUUUCAUUAUCAUUUCUUAUUGUUAAGCCUUGGGUUGCCACUUUUGGCCAAGUUGAAUGUUUAAUCUUUAAAACAUUCUCAGUUAUUUUAUUAUCCAGUUCAGUUAAGUUCAUUGAUCAUUAUAGAUAUGAAUAUUGUCUUCUGCUGAGUUAAGUAAGCCAGACCAAGGGUUCGCUUGGGGCCAGCAAUGGCUUUCGAGUGCCAGUACCGCCUAGAGUGUAGGCUCAGGGUGUGACAUUAAUUUUUUUAAAAAAAGUUGUUACAUGCUGCCACUUCUUCAUCCAAUGAAAAUGGAAAAAGAAAACUGUCUUCUUCAUCCAAUGAAAAAAAUGUGAAAAUCCAUUUAAAAUUUCAAUUGUAAACUUACUUUCUUAAGAUCCUUCAUAAGAUGGAGUCAUGAAAAUAUUUUAUGGGCUUCAUUUAUAUUUUAUAUUUAUCAUUUUUUAUGGGAAAAAGGACAAAUAUACCUUUGAACUAUCGUAAAUGGUAUGCAGAUACCCUUCAUCUUACUUUUGGGACAUUGGUGCCCCUGCCGUCCAAAAACUAAAGCAUAUAUACCCUUUAUACUAACAGACAUACACGUGUCAUGCUCUUAUCCGCCGAUUAAAUAUCGGAUCGACGGAUAAGAUUGCACCACGUGUCCCUAUUUAGUCUUCCGUUAGAGUGAAGGUCAUAUAGGCUCUAGUUUUUAGAUGGCAGUGGCAUCAAUGUCCCAAUAGUAUGACGGAGGAUAUCUGCAUACCAUUUACGAUAAUUUGGGGGUAUAUUUGUCUUUUUCCCUUUUUUUAUUAAUUAUUUUUAAUUUUAUUAGAGUUAAUUCUUGAAAUUCUAUCGGUGAAAUACCACAAAUAAUGGGAAAAUUACACGGUUAAGCAAACUUAUACUAUUUAAUUACUCAUCAUAGCUAUAGUUUGCUAUAACUAUCACUCGUGACUAACAUUAUACAUUAAUUACGUGGGCUGACUUCGAGUUUGUAUAAUUAGCUACAUUUGUAUAUGUAUAAUUCGCCAGAAUAUACAAAUACAUAUAUAUAAUAUACAAUUAUCUAACUGAUAUACAUAUACAAUUCACCUCUCUCGCUCGCCUCUCUCCUCCCUCUCCCAAUCUCGCUUGCCAUAUAUACAAAUACAUAUGUAUAAUAUACAAUUAUCUAACCGAUAUACAUAUACAAUUCACCUCUCUCCCCCAUUUUUCCCUCUUUCGCUCGUCUCUCUCCUCUCUCUUUCAGUCUCGCUCGCCUCUCUUCUCCCUAUAACAUGUAACUACGAAUUGUAAUUUUCAAACUAUAGCUAUGGAGAGUAAUUAGGCUAGUUUUGAGUGGCUAUAUGUGAAAGUUCCUCAAUAAACAUUACGAAUUUCAGAUAAUGAUAAUUGGGCCUGUGCAAAGCACGGGCUUCUCCUUAUAUAUACAUUGUAAUGUUGUAUUGUAGAGCCUAAGUUGGACCACUUAUAUGAAUAGUAAUUGAUCCCAUGAGCACCUCGUACCAAAACAUAAAGAAAAUCUUUUCGUACGGAAUAUAAUAUUUAUGGCUCCACAUAUAUCUCCUUGGCCUAAAAAAUAUUUAGCAAGCUCUAUUUUCAUAUUUUAUUUUUAAUUAUAUAUUGACAAGAUGCUAACGACAACCACAAACGAUGAAUAUACGGGUUUCGUGAGAGUAUCCCAUAACUAAAACGUGCCAAUGAAGUACAAUGACAAAAUUCUGGAAGAAGCUCCUCUCAGUACACUAAUCUCUCCAGUUGAUCCAGUGCAUAUUUAAUUUAAUGAUAUCUGUCAAUUUUAAAAUCUAAUGGUCCAUAUUUAUUUAAAUAAAACUGUCUUUAAAUCAUGGUCAAAUAUCAUUAACCAUGGUUAUUACUAUUUCUCUUUCUCUCUCCUUUCUCAUCUCUUUCUUUCUCACUUAAUUCUGCAACAAACCUUUUCUCAAUCAACAAAGAAUUUUCUUUGUUAACAACAAAUCGCUAUUUCUUUCCAUUAUUUUCACACAGUGAUAAAAGAAGACAAAAUUCAAAGGAUGAACUUGGGUUAUAAAUUUAAAAAAUACCAACCCAUGAGACUACUUCUUUGAAGCUUGGUUCGGUCACAAUUAGGAGUGUUCACGGUUUGGAAAAAAACCGAUCCAAACCGAACCAAGUCAAUAAAAUAAAACCGAUUUUAUUUGGGUUUGAUUUGGUUUGGUUUUAAAUUUUUGCCAAUCAAUAGUAUUUGGUUUGGUUAUGGUUUUAUUCGAAAAAACCGAAGAAAUAACCGAACGAACCGAUGAAUUAUACAUAUAUUUUUAUUAAUAUACAUACUUAAUAUAUUAUUUUUAUAAACAAUUUUAAAGAUCUUAUAUAUGUUUUCAUUAAAAUUUCUUUAUAAUUUACUUAUUGAAAGCAAAAAUGCCUAAGAUGAAAAUAUUUAUCUUAUUGAUUUCAUGUAUAUGAGUGUCUAUGACAAUUCUUUGUGGGACUGAAAAUAUUAUUGUCUCUUCCUUCUAGGUCAAUAUAGUGAAUUUUAAGCUUAUUGAUAGUAAAUUUAGUGAUCGAAAAAUUCAGUAAUUUAAGUCAUUCUAACUAUUUUUCGUUUUGAAUGGUUUGUUGUCACUUUUUCACAUUUUGAAUGAAUUGUUUCUUUUAUUUUUGUGUAUGGUUAAUAACCGAAUAACCGAAACCGAUAAAUGUAUAUUAUAUUUGGUUUGGUUUGGUUUUGAUAAUUUUAAAACUGAUUAAGUUGAUUUGGUUUUGAUUUUGUACCAAUAACCGAUCCAAACCGACCCGUGAACACCCCUAGUCACAAUGGUGAUCCACAAAACUCUGUCGUCUUCUUCGUUACAUCAAUUUUUUCAAUUUGGAGUUUCUGCAAAAGCCAACUAAAAGAUCUGGAAAGGGCACGAAAAAUGGGUUGGAAAAUAUUUUUUCAUAUACUUUUUUUUUUCUUGUGAAAUUUUCCAUUUAUUUUUUGGGUCUUCUUUUCUUGUGGUAUUUAUAACUGUAAUCUUUAAUUGGGGCUAAUCACUCCAUUCCAAUCUUUCUCUUUUGAGACUCUCCCUAGUUGUUCAUAUGUAAAUGUAAAAACAUCAAAAUAUUGAUGUUAUUUUAAUUAUCAAUUGUUUGAUUGCUCUGUUUUUCAGAGAGUUUUGGAGGAGGAAGAAGUGUUUCUUUGCUGAUUGAGAAAGGAAUGAGAGGAGAGAGAAUUACUAAUAACCAUGGUUAAUGAUAUUUGGUUAAGAAAAUUAAUUUGGUCCAUUAAAAAUUAAAUGGACACGUGUCAACUAUAUGAAAUAGCACUGGGGGAAACUGGAGAAAUCAUCACUGGAGAGGAGCCUCUUCCCGAAAUUCCAUUCUCUUAUUAAAAAAAAUAUUUCCAUUUCUCUUAUUAAUUGAGAGCAUGACGCACGUGAUUUGUUUUUCUAUUUCAUAUAAAUGUAAAUUUACUUAGAUAUAGUGUAUUUAGAAAACUAUACAUAAUUUUAAUUUUAUGUAUCUCGAAAUAAAUGUAACUAAAUGCAUCAAAAUCUUGUAACAUCCGUAAUAUAGCAAACUAAAGAAUAUAUAAAUAAUUAACUCUUAAACUAGUGAGAUUUCUGUAAAUUUCUCAUUAUUUUAUGAGAUAAGCGACAAAAACACACCUUAACUAUCAUUUUUUUUUUGAGUUUCAUACCUAAAUUAUCGAGAGUGUGAGUUUUAUACCUAAAUCAUCACUUAUUUGAAAAAUAAUAAGAUUACCCAAUCCGUUUAUUUAAAAUGAACAAAAUCUACUCGAGGUUUAUAUGUGUGCGUGGAUUAUAUAGAUUACCCAAUCCGUUUAUUCGCAUCCUAAAUUGGACCACCAAUAUAAAAAUAAUAUCACUUUCAUAUAUUGAUUAUUGUAUUUAUCGCUCCAUGUAUUGUUGCCCAAAUAAUAACUAAUGUAAUUGUCCAUAACUAAAACAUGCCAAUGAAGUAGGAUUUGAAAAGAAAUAAAAACGUAGUUGUAAUGCUGGCAAAUCAAUUUGCUACGUACCCCCUUAUUAUUUUUUGCAGCGAUCAAGAAUGCAAGGCUAGAUUUGAGAAUUUCAACAAAAUAUUGAUAAAAUAAUAAAAAUCCUCAGGGAUAUUGGAAAAUUGUUAUACAAAUAAAUUUCUACAACAAUAAACAAUGAGUAUACAAUAAAAUUCACUCCUAGUCAAACCAACAUAUAAUACACAUUUGCAUUCAUUACAAUAGUAUUUCUUGAGGUUUCUUUUAUUUUCUUUUUAGAUUUUCCUUCCUUAAACAUAAUUUAAGUCUACUGGGCAUGACUAAUCAAAAUUAAUAUGCAACUGAUUAAACAUAAAAAGGAUUGUAUCCAUGAAUAUCCAUGUCGUAUUCAAUAAUGAAUACUAUCAGUGUUUUAAAAGACUUUUUUGGGACUCGCCCUGGGGCGGGACUCAAGCAAAACUCUCUGAAACUCAACAGUGGGACUUAGUUCUGUAAGACUUACACCCUAAGCGCCCGAUUGUACGGCCUAAGCACGCCCAACGCCCAAUGCUUGGGGCUCGCCUAAUAGAUCUUACACAAAUUAUGUGUUAAAAUCUUUAGUUAAUAUUGUUGGCCCUCGUACACUACUAAAAAAAUGUCAAAAAACGACGGACUGCGUCGCUUUUUUGGUCAAAAUCGACGGAAAAGCGACGCGGUCACCUCCGUCGCUUUUUAGCCCGAUGCUUUUCAAAAAGUGACGGACAGCGUCACUUUUCAAAAAGUGACGGAUUGCAUCGCUAAAAAAGUAACGAAUAGCGUCGCUUUUUGACUUUUUUUUAACAAAAGCGACAGAUUCCAUUGCUUUAUUUUAAUUUUAAAUUUUUUUAUUUCUAAAAAGCGACACAGUCCAUCGCUUUUCUGGAAAUUUUAUUUUUGAAAAUCCCUGAAAACGACGGACAAAACCAUAUUGUCCGUCGCUUUUUUGAGAUUUUUUAAAAAAAAAAACCCAAAAAAGCGAUGGAUAAAACCACGCUGUCCGUCGCUUUUCUGGGACUUUUAAAAAAAUAAAACCUAGAAAAGCGUCGGACAAAACCACGCUGUCCGUCGCUUUUCCUGGAAUAUUUUUGAAAGCAGAACCUGGCAAUUUCUACUGCCCACCUGCAAAUGCAAUUCAAUUCAAUUCUACACUAUUCAGCCCAAUCAAACACACACAAUUAUAAACAAUCUAAACAAAACAUAAAACAACAAACUUAAAAUAGCAUUAAAUAGUAUCUAAAUCACAAAUUAAAGACUUAUAAAGUCUUUCAAAUUUCAUUUCAAAAUUACAAAAAGCUCAAAAAUGUCUAGAGAUCUAAACUAGGGAGUGGGUUCUACAUAAUCAUCAUCAUCACUCUCGUCGUCGGUGUCAUCGGGAGCCGAAGUAGUAGGUCGACGAGCGAGGUUCAUCACUUGUUCUUUGAUUUGCUGAACGGUUUCACGCAUGCUUUCUUGUUCAGCUACUCUUCUCCGCUCCAAAUCUGCUAGUGACGCUGUAAGCUUAGUUAUUUGAGCCGACAUAGCAGCAAUCUGAACACCAUCAAAUGCCUCGGAUUGACGUGACAAUCCAAUUCCUUCUAAGCUUGAUUGGAGUCGUCUUACAUCGUUUCGAGAGCCUAGACCAUAGACUCUACCCUUGUGUGUCCCCCCUACCACUUUUUCUUUCCAAAUCUGAGUGGAAAGUUCAGGUGUCGAUUGGACCGAACUAUCUAGAUUCUCAGCGAUGUACUGAUGAAAGUCAUUCUGCAUAUUAAAUAUAAAAAUUGACAUCAGUAUAUAUACAUAUCAUAAAUAUAUUCUCUAUUAAUAUAUAUUACUCAUAUUAAAUAACUUACAAAAGUCAUUGUAUGUUCAAUAAAAUUUCUANNNNNNNNNNNNNNNNNNNNNNNNNNNNNNNNNNNNNNNNNNNNNNNNNNNNNNNNNNNNNNNNNNNNNNNNNNNNNNNNNNNNNNNNNNNNNNNNNNNNNNNNNNNNNNNNNNNNNNNNNNNNNNNNNNNNNNNNNNNNNNNNNNNNNNNNNNNNNNNNNNNNNNNNNNNNNNNNNNNNNNNNNNNNNNNNNNNNNNNNNNNNNNNNNNNNNNNNNNNNNNNNNNNNNNNNNNNNNNNNNNNNNNNNNNNNNNNNNNNNNNNNNNNNNNNNNNNNNNNNNNNNNNNNNNNNNNNNNNNNNNNNNNNNNNNNNNNNNNNNNNNNNNNNNNNNNNNNNNNNNNNNNNNNNNNNNNNNNNNNNNNNNNNNNNNNNNNNNNNNNNNNNNNNNNNNNNNNNNNNNNNNNNNNNNNNNNNNNNNNNNNNNNNNNNNNNNNNNNNNNNNNNNNNNNNNNNNNNNNNNNNNNNNNNNNNNNNNNNNNNNNNNNNNNNNNNNNNNNNNNNNNNNNNNNNNNNNNNNNNNNNNNNNNNNNNNNNNNNNNNNNNNNNNNNNNNNNNNNNNNNNNNNNNNNNNNNNNNNNNNNNNNNNNNNNNNNNNNNNNNNNNNNNNNNNNNNNNNNNNNNNNNNNNNNNNNNNNNNNNNNNNNNNNNNNNNNNNNNNNNNNNNNNNNNNNNNNNNNNNNNNNNNNNNNNNNNNNNNNNNNNNNNNNNNNNNNNNNNNNNNNNNNNNNNNNNNNNNNNNNNNNNNNNNNNNNNNNNNNNNNNNNNNNNNNNNNNNNNNNNNNNNNNNNNNNNNNNNNNNNNNNNNNNNNNNNNNNNNNNNNNNNNNNNNNNNNNNNNNNNNNNNNNNNNNNNNNNNNNNNNNNNNNNNNNNNNNNNNNNNNNNNNNNNNNNNNNNNNNNNNNNNNNNNNNNNNNNNNNNNNNNNNNNNNNNNNNNNNNNNNNNNNNNNNNNNNNNNNNNNNNNNNNNNNNNNNNNNNNNNNNNNNNNNNNNNNNNNNNNNNNNNNNNNNNNNNNNNNNNNNNNNNNNNNNNNNNNNNNNNNNNNNNNNNNNNNNNNNNNNNNNNNNNNNNNNNNNNNNNNNNNNNNNNNNNNNNNNNNNNNNNNNNNNNNNNNNNNNNNNNNNNNNNNNNNNNNNNNNNNNNNNNNNNNNNNNNNNNNNNNNNNNNNNNNNNNNNNNNNNNNNNNNNNNNNNNNNNNNNNNNNNNNNNNNNNNNNNNNNNNNNNNNNNNNNNNNNNNNNNNNNNNNNNNNNNNNNNNNNNNNNNNNNNNNNNNNNNNNNNNNNNNNNNNNNNNNNNNNNNNNNNNNNNNNNNNNNNNNNNNNNNNNNNNNNNNNNNNNNNNNNNNNNNNNNNNNNNNNNNNNNNNNNNNNNNNNNNNNNNNNNNNNNNNNNNNNNNNNNNNNNNNNNNNNNNNNNNNNNNNNNNNNNNNNNNNNNNNNNNNNNNNNNNNNNNNNNNNNNNNNNNNNNNNNNNNNNNNNNNNNNNNNNNNNNNNNNNNNNNNNNNNUCAAGUUCUAAGUUUAACUUCAAAUUCUAAGUUCAAGUUCUAAGUUCAAGUUCUAGUUCAGGUUCAAGUUCUAAUUUCAAGUUCAAGUUCUAAGUUUAAGUUCAAGUUCUAAGUUCAAGUUCUAAUUUCAAGUUCAUAUUCAUAAUUAAGUUCAAUUUAUAGUAAAUUCAAGUUAUAAUUAAUUAUAAGUUCUAAUUAAGUUGUAAUUCAAAUCUCUAAAAUUUCAAAUUCAAACUAGCUAGCUAGUGUCCCAAAUUCAAACUAUUAAUUAGUCCUAAAAUAUCAAAUAUAAUUCAAACUAUUAGUCCUAAAUUCCAAAUUCAAACUAGCCUUAAAAUCACAAAUUGAAAGUACUCCUAGAAUUCAAAAAUCAAACUAUAGUGCUAAAAUUCCAAAUUCAAACUAUUAGUAGUCCUAAAAUCUCAAUAAUAACUCAAACUAGUCCUAAAUUAAAAAUUCAAACAAGUCUUAAAAUCACAAAUUCAAACUAGUCCUAAAAUCCCAAAAUCUAACUAGUACUGAAAUUCUAAAUUCAAACAACUCCUUAAAUACCCUUGUUCAAUCUAAUCUUACAAUUCCAAAUCAAACUAAUUAACUCAAGAAAUACCGAAUUUCAAACAAAUCCUAAGAUACCCUAAUUCAUACUAAUCCCAACAUUAAAAUUUUCUCGGAAUAUGCAAUAAUGAUGUAACGAGAUCAAACAGAACAUAAAAGCUCAAAUUCUCGAAAUAUUCAUCUCAUAAUAGCCAUAGAUGUAAUGAAAAGCUAAAAAAAAAUUUUAGAUUAAAACUUACUAGGACGGAUCUAUUGAGAUCCGUCUUUGAACUCGAAUUUCGUCGGAGAUGAGAGGAAUGGAGAUGCGAGGAUCUCGCUGGUAUGUUGUUGUCGUUGCUGCUGGUGCGCUGCUGUUUCGCCAGUAGCUCGUCGGAGCUGUCUCUCGUGCUGGUUGUUGUUGGCUGGAGAUGUUGUUGCUCUCCUCACCGGCUGCUGAAGUUGAUUGCUUGGAGCUUGCUGGUUGGAGCGGUUGAGGGAGAGAGAGAGAGAGCAGCGAGCUUUCGCUGAUUGGAGAAACGAGAGGGAGGCGGCGAUUUGUCUCGCCAUUCCCGCUGAAGAGAAGAGACGGGAGGGAGCAAGGAGAGAAGAGAUGAGAAGAGGAAAGUGAAGGGAGGAGGGCGACGGGAGGAGCGAGAGGGAGAGCUCACCGGCGAUGGUGGAGCUCUCGCCGGUUCUUACUAAUGGAGGGGGCUGCGGCGCUGCUAGAGAGAAGAAAAGAAUGAGUUUUCAAAAAACGGGUUUGGUCUUUUUUUAAGUCAAAAAUAGGAAGGUUAGGUAGAUUUAAUAUAAGCCAUUGGAUUAGUUAAGAUGAGCGGCUAGGAUUUGAUCUAGGAUUCACUUAAGGGAUGGACGGUUCGAAUUUAAACUAAUGUUUCAAGAUUUGGACAAAAAGGGUUAUAAUUGCAAUGAAUGAAUGGCUAAAAUUGCAACUAAAAUUGAUUUAAGAGGCUAUAAUUGAAAAACGAAAUUGGAUUGAGGUGGCUAGAAUUGUAAUGAAUUGGAUAAGGAAAAAACUAGAAUUGAAAGGAAUUAGAUCAGAAUGGGCUAAAGAUUAAAUGAUUUUGAGAAAAAUUAAACAAAUGCUAUCCAAUUAAAAUACUACAAAUAUUAUAACAUUUUAUAUAAUAAACAUCACUUAAAUUUUAAAACAUUUGAAUAAAAUAAUUAUUUCGAGUUUUACUUAUAAUUUUAAAAAUAUUUUAAUAAUAUUUAUGAUAAUUUUAUAAAGCAUGCCCACUAAAAUAUAUAAUUUUUAGACAAAAUCGAUUAAAAAUUUAAACUUGGAAUAUUUUUAAAAAAAUAUGUAUUUAACCGAAUAGCACUUCCGAAAUGGUUAUAGGUCGGUAUAAAUUUAAUUUUAUUGAUCAACAAAAGUUUAUCAAUAUCAAAUUUAAUAUAUAAAUCUCCUUGAAUUGAUCAUCGGUAUUUCUUUAAUUGAUAAUGUAUUUAAUAUCUGAACCACUAGUAUGUAAGACUUGAUUUAUUAAACUACUUGAGGAAUAUAUAAUUAAUCAACGUAUUUCAUACUCCGAUGAAGUAUCCUUUACAUGUCAUCAUAAUUAGGAGGUGAUCACUACACUUGACAUCCAUUCAAGAUCGAACGUAUAUAAUAAUACUAUCUCGCAUUUCAUACUUGAAUGGAUUAUAUGUUAGUUCUUCACCUCUACAACAUCAUGACCUGAGAUAUUAAGUUCAUGAUUAGACGACGGAUUGAUAGAAUUUGUACAUUACUCUAUAAAUAUAAGUAUAAUUAACUCCUAAUUCAUAUCAACGUAGUUUCAUACUCUAAAUAUGGAUUAUAGAUUUUUUUUAUUUAUUCCACGAAUUCUAACUUUUUAUUUAUAAAAGUAUGCAAAAUUGUUAGACUUUUUGAACAAUUAAUUGUAGGUGUAAAAUGAAAAUUUUUAAUAUUGUGCACAAUAGCAAAAUUAUAAUUAAUAGGAAUAUUUUAAACAAACCGACCUCCGGAUGUCACUUUUAUUAAAAGUAAUUAGAUAUAAUAAAAAAUACCGACCUCAUGAGGUCGGUAUCACAUUAAAUUUUAAGAUAAAUAAAAAGUAAUCAUGUUAAUUAAAUAAUAUUGACAUCGGGAGGUCGGUAUUUUAUAUUAAAUUAUUUUUUUAACUUAUAUAAAAACCGUCAUUUGGAGGACGAUUUAUUUAAAGUUAAUUGAAAAUAUUAAUUUAUUACAUACUAUUUAAUUUUACCGACAUCCAGAAGUUGGUAUUAUAAUUUUUUUAUUUUACACAAAAUCGUCCUCCGGAAGACGAUUUAAAUAAACUUAAAUCAAAAUAUUUCUCAAUUUUGUUUUUUAUAUGGAGAAAUGGGGAAAAUCGCGUCUGCUAGUGCAGAUAUUUUAAAAAAUGCGACGGACAACGUCUCUAUGUCGGUCGCUUUUUAAAAAAAAUGUUUGACCAACAUUUUGACCAAAAAGCAACGGACUAAGAGACAUUGUCCGCCGCUUUCUUAAAAUAUUUGACCAGAUAUUUUGACCAAGAAGAGACGGACAUAAAGAUGCUGUCCGUCGCUAAUUUAAAAAAUAAUUAAACAAUUAAAAUUAAUAAAAAGCGACGGACUGCGUCGCUAUCUAUAUAAAUAAUUAAUUAGCAAAAAUCCGCGAAAAAAGCGACGAACUAAGCGAUGCCGUCCCUCGCUUUUAAAAAAAAUAAAAUAAAAUUAUUUUAAUUAAAAAGCGACGGACAGUGUGUCUAAUGGCGUCACUUUUUGGAGCGACGUGGUCCGUCGCUUUUACUUCCGUUGUUUUUUAGCAGUUUUUUAGUAGUGGUAAUUGUUGAAUAAAUGAAUGAUACUUAAUAAUUUUCUAAUCUAUAGAGAUAAGAAGAUUAAGAGUAACUCAAAUAACAAGUUAUAUUAUCAUAUCUUUACUAUUUGGUAACAUUGUGAAGAUAAUUAUUUAGUACGUAACAUUUCUUUUAAAGAUACAUAACGAAAUUUUACUUUUUCACUUACCAUUGGUCUUCAUGGUUUUGUCAUAUGUCUCAAAAUUAUCACAUUUUAUUUUGCUAUUUGAAAGUAAUUUAAUUUUUAUUCAUGAUAGAGUGAUGUUUUUAUUCUAGGCGGAAUGACCUGGGAGAUCCUUAUACUUGCCCGAAUUGUCAACUGGACCCUUCUACUCACGAUAUUGCCAACUGAACACUUAAACUCAAUAAAACACAAUAUUUUAAACCCUUUUGACUUCACGUGCACUUCAAACACAUAGUGAAAAUGACAUGUCAUGAUCCACACCAGACUUUUAGUGACACAUCACUUAUUUUUUUACUUUAUUUAAAAUUUUCAUUUUUUUUCUUUUUCACUCAGUUUGUUCCUCACACUAACUUUAUCCUUGACCAUCUCCCUCCAUUUUUUCACCAAAGCCACCAUUGCCAUCUUACAUCCUUAUUCUUUACUGGUUAUCACUACCUUAAAUAACUAAAAAAUAUCAUUGUUCUCCAAGUUUUCAUCAUUCAUAAUUUUUCUCCAUUUUUUUUUAUCAAGGUCUUCAUCCACCACUUGAACCAUUGUGAAAUUGUUUCUUCCAUUAAUGCCAAUGAACCACACUAAAAUAUCUUAAUAUGUUCUAAUAUAUACGUAUGUUCUACUUAAUUUUACAAAGACAUAGAAUAAUCAUUCUUCACUCUCCAAAAUAAUUAGAUCUCUAUCACCUUAAUCCCAUGAGUUUCCUUAAUCAUGUUUGUAAUUAUCUCAAACUAUUGAUGUAUUUUUAUAAUUUUGUGUUAUUAUAUUAUUAUAUUAUAUUAUAAAUUAAAAAUUUAAAGAUCCGUAGGACUUACGCACCACGUCUCGAGGCUUACGCCUCACUCUAUACUAAGUAAAACGCCUCUCCUUACGCCCUGACUUUUAAAACACUGAAUACUACUAAUGUCCUGACGGUACCGCAUGGGAUUAUCCAUAAGUAAUACGUAACACUUAUGGAGUACUAAAACUUAUUUGAAUCAAUUGUUUGUAAGCAGUAAUUAAUAAAUAAAGAACCUAGCUUUUUUAUUCAUAAGCAUUAAUAUUACAUAGAGUGGAAUAGAAGCAUGAUCCACAUUAUUUUAGAAAGCGGUCGAGCUAGGUUAUAGUAAUAAGCAUAGUAAGGCCAUAGUUUAGUUUGGCUACAAAAGGUGUGCUUCUGAUCACACACAUUUCGUAAUAGAUAUAUAAUUAACUAUGCAUCAAUAUUCUUGUUUACUUUGGUGAAGCCAAAUGGAUAAGGCUUGUUAUUGAGAGCCAGACGGGCGUAUCCCUUAUUUUCGUAUAGUCCGACAUCUGCACAAUCAAAUUGGCAUGUUGGACACAUAAAUUGACUAGGACAAUACCUUAACUUGUAAGAAUGAGGUCUCCCCGUCUCAUAUUUCUCAAUUUUGAACCAGUUCUUUAAGGUAUUAGGUCCUGGAAUUCCUAAGGUACCACCAGUUAUAACAAACCUAGGUGGCGGAUGCACCGGCCCUAGCAUGUAAUCACCAGCUUUCCAAACAGUUUCGUUAACACAUAGAUUAGAAGUUGUAGUUGAGAACAUUAUACUAACGUCUUGGUUUUCAAACACAUAAUGACUUCCAAGUUGCAUAGUGAAAAACGUCACGGGCGUGUUGUGAUCAAAUUCACCAGAACUGUCCUGCACGAUGCCGUUUGGGCAUUUGGUGUUUCCAAGAUCAGCUAAGUAUACGCUUCCACCGCCAUAGGGAAUACUGAGAAUGGAGUACUCUUCGUUUAUCUUGAGUGGUUCGCCGUCCAUGUCGAGCACAGGAUUAUUAUCAGAAGUGAAAGAUUGAGAAAAGGAAACCAAAGAGAGGCUACUUGAAACCAAGAGGAAACUCAAAAUAUUACUAAUAGACUUCAUCUUUGUUUCUGUAUUUUGCUUGCUAUUAAUUAAUCUAUAUAUGUCCAAUUUAUAGAGCACCACAUAUAUUGCAUGGCUUCAUUUUCACGUUUUUGUUACAUGAAUAAUACUUAUUUUGUCCUUGAAUGUCUGAGACAUAUAAUAAUAAUAAAGUUUUGACAAAUAAGGUAAAAGUUCAGUAAAAUGUUUGAAGUUUUGCCUUAUUAAAUUUAGUAAAUUUUUUCUAAAGUUAUAAGUUUUGGUGAGCCAUAUCAAAUUCAGGCAAAAACGUUUUAGUAAUGACCUUCACAAAGCCAUACCUUACACAAAAUUGUUUUGAAGUCAAGAUGCAAAUUUUUAAUUUCAAACACGUACGCCUAAAUUUAUUUUAAAAACAUAUAAAUUUCGGGGCCCUUUUCAUUGACACACAUCUACCACGUGAGUCUUGACAACCUCUGUAAAAAUGUUUGAAAUCAAAUAUAAAAUUUAAAUUUCACUUGUAUACGUUUGAAAUUCAUCUCAAAAUGGGUAAGUUUGCAAAUACAAUGAAAAACCGGACAUAAAUUUAGCGAAGACAUAAAAACAGACCCAUAUUUACAAAACGUAGCACGGGAUUUUCAUUUAACAAACAUAGCGGGAGUGUUUUUUUUCCUUUUUUUUUUCAAAACGCGUAUGAAAUUUUUACUCAAAAGCGUAAAACUUUGCUCAAUAUUUUAUGUAAGGUUCAUGCUGAUUUAUGAAAAUUCAAUAUAAUUACAAUAAUAUUUUGUAUAACUUUCAUACAAGAUUUAUAUAAAUUUAAUACAAGUACUACAAUAACUUGCAAACUUUAAAAUACAAUAAUUACACACCUCAUCAUAUAAUUAUAAUACAUUUCAUACAUUUUUCGAACUUGGGUCUGGAGUUCCUUUGUGUAUUUGUUUAUGAUUAGGAGGCGGCUAUUGGUAUACUAUGGUUUAGGUUUUAAAUUAUAAAAACUUUGUUCCAUAUUAGUUGUUUAUUUUAUUUUUUAAAAAUAAUUUACCCUCUUAUUAUUUUAAUUUUUUGAAAAAAAAUUUAUGUUUACAUUUUUUUUAGAAAAAUAAUCGUAAGGUUAAAAUGAGGGGAAAAAAGAUUAAUUCUCUUUUGAUAUUAUAAAUUGACAAAAAAAUUGAGAUAAUUAUUUUUAUAAUAUGAUCAACUAAUAUUGAAUGAAGGACCAACAUGGAUUGUGAUACAGUGUUGGGACCGGUCCACCAUUAAUCAUAGGUCUCGAGUUUAAGCCCUAGAUAUGAAAAAAAAAUUGUUGAGAGUACUACCACCAAUAAAUUUUGCAGUGCAUGAUCUAGAUUUAAUCCCAAAUUUUCCAUUCUUAUCAUCAACUCUAGUUGCAGUUGCACUGUUGCAGGCCAAUAAUGGAUAUAUUUUAAUGUGCCGACGGGACCAUUAGAGACUAGCCAUAUCUAAAUCGUGUUAAUAAAAUAGGAUGAUUAGUUGAACAUUUAAUAUAUAGUAGUAGUAGGGUUAAUGUACGACAUCUCCUAGAAUUUGGAGUAAAAUUUAAUUUAGACUUAUUAUAAUUGAACAUAUAUAUGAACAAGUGAUAAAGUGUUAAAUCCUAUGAUAUACUAUCGGUCCAAAUUUAGAGAAAUUUAUGCAUAUUUCCAAUUAGUGUUUAUUACAGAAACAAGUUUUUAAUAAGCCUCAAUAAAACUUCAAAUUUGUUUAAUUUGUUCCCCUAGAAACUCAUGAAUAUAAUUAAAAGGAGGUGACAUAUUUCAUGCGAUUAAUUAAAAAUACGGCGAUGGAAAAUGUUAUAAUAAUCUGGCGCGGAAACUAGGGCUGGGCGUUCGGUCUUGUUCGGUUUAUCGAUUUUCGAUUUGGUAAAAGUGUUAACCGAAUGUAACAACCCAGAAAUUUUUUUUGAGCUAAGACUUGAACCAUCCUUCGUUGUGAGUAGAAUUUUACCGAGGAAUUAAAAUUUUCUUGAUGUAACACCUCGCAACUAGAAAGAAGUUUAAAAUCUGGAAAUAGUCAUUUUUGAAAAGUAUAAGGAAAUCUGGAAAAUUUUAAGUUAAAGUGAGUUUUGGUCAACUUCAACUGACCAUAACUCCUAGCUCAGGAUGAGUUAGGUGUAGUUCUAGAUAUGGUUGGAAAUCUCUUGGAAUGAUCUUUCCAACGCCUCCAAGUUUGCGUGAUUCUGAGUUCGGAUGAGUGAGUUAUACCCUUUGGAAGUUGGGCUAUUGGUUUAAGGAAAGUCCAAAUCCGGAUUUUUGAAGGGUAGUUUGGUCUUUUCCUUACCCUUUUAUUUUAAUUUGUUUUAGUCAAUUAAUUAAGGGUCUAAACUGAACUGGGUCAGUUUUACGCUUUUGGAAAAGAGUUAGGGUUUUAGAGAAGAGGAGAAAAGAGAAGGAGAAGCAAGGAAAUCGUCAAGAUCGUCGAGUUUAGCUUGUGGAUUUCGUCGGGGGUGAUCCCUAAAAGGUAUGCGAGAUCACAUAGCAUUGGGUUAGUUCACCCACGCGCCAAGCAUGUUUAAUUCAGCGUGUUUUCGUCCUAAAAUGAAUGAGAAAUUGAUGUUCUUGAUAGUUGUUCUUGGAUUGAUUUCGUUCUUGAAUAUGAGUUGGGAUUUAGGAGUUUCUUGAUGAUUAAGUAUUGUUUCCCUGAAUUGUUUGAGUUAGAUUUUGUGUAUAUGAUUUGGGUACAUGAAUCUAAAGUGAAUUUGGGGGAAAAAAACGGAUUAAAGCGAUUUAGGGUCAGAAAACACGAUCAAAAGUUCAUCUGAAUUUUACCUGAAGGGAGGCUGGCGCGAUGCACCCCUAUAGUGCCAGGAAAGCUGGGGCGGCGCGCCAGCAGUGUGCCCGAAAUGAGUCCCAGUAAAACGGGGCCUGGCGCGACACGCCAGGUACGCCCUCGGAUGGGCGUUUUUCACCAGUUUUCGUCGUUUAGCCUAUUUAAGUUAUUCUAAAGUGUCCUUACACUUUCCAUUGAUUCUAACUACUUUAAAUGACUUCUAAACACCUAGAAAUCAUCCAUAAACAUGAAUCAUAACCUUGAAUCCAUAAAUUCAAAUUCAAGGGAAGUCAAGAGCCAAGUCUAGGAAGUUCUCGGAGUUUUUUUCAAGAAGUCUUUUGCAAAUGCUUUUUAACUUUGUUUUAAGACUUAAGUUUUGAAGUUGAGUAAAGAGUAAGAGCAAAGUUCAUUUUCUUUAAAAUGAUAUAUGGGAACUAAGUAUUUCCAAGAGUAAAUGUUUUCACAUUUAAGAUGAGAGGAAACUGAGAUUUCCAAAAGAGUUUUGAACAACAAAAGGGAACAUUGAUUCCAAAAGAGCUUUUGAAGCUAAGUUUGAGCAAUUAUCUCAAACCAGAGAAGAAGUUGUUUUAAAAACAUAUGAGCUAAGUAUAUUUUGAGAGUAGUAUUGAGCACCGAUAUGGAGACGCGAGUUCAUAUUAACUCAAGCCCCCAUAAACCAUGUAUCCAUCAUAGGCAGAAAAAGGAUCAUACUUUUUAAAUGAUUCCUUAGUGCUUUUUAGCAUAGACUAGUGGAUCCACUUAGUAGUUCAGGUUCUAUGCCUAUGGCAAGGUAUAGGACGGUCCUUGGCAUCGUAAGGUAAAAUGUUGUACCAUCACUUAGGCUCAUAGUGAUGGUUGUCGGUUAGAGAAACUCCCAUAGAAGUCAUUAUAUUUUUAUAUACAUCAAUUUAUUGUAUUUUUACAUACAUUUCAGAGUUAUGUUGUAUCCUUUUAUAUAUACAGAGUUGACAUCAUGUUUUAAACAACUUUUCUUUAUAUUGCACUUGUUUUAAAUCUGCUUUAUAUUGAAAUGAGUUCAGUUAUGUAUUCAUGAGUUGAGAAAGAGCCAAGGUAAGUGUUUCUUUUAGAUUCCCUUUCAAGCCUAUGUUGUUUUAGCAUUCCAACUCGCAUACUCAUACAUUCAAUGUACUGAAGCCAGUUGGCCUGCAUCUUAUUAUGAUACAGACACAGGUAACUAGGGUCGGCAUCCGGCACAUCGUUGAUCCAGUGAGAAGUUUAGAGUCUGUUAGUGAGCCUCUUUGCAUUCCAGAAGACUCUUUUUCAUUACUUUCAGUUUUAAUAUUAGUUCAUUAGGAUGUCGUGGACCUGUCCCGAUAUCCAUCUCAGUUGUUUUGAGGCUUCAUAGACAGACAGACAGUCAGUUAGUUAAUUCAGUUGUCUUUACUUUUCAUAUGUUAAAGACUUGAGUUUGCCUUAAAGGCUAGUUGAAUGUUCCGUUAUAACAUUCUAGUUAUUUCAUAAAUGUGUAUGUGAUGAGUUAAGUCUUCCGUUGAGUUAGUAAGUCAGGCCAAGGGUUCGGCUUGAGGCCAGCAAUGCUCUUCGAGUGCCAGUCCCUCCCAGGGUGUAGGCUCGGGGUGUGACACUUGAGUAUUGAGUUCCUAAUCCCUUCUGAGAUUAUGUUCCUAAUCAAGAAACUAUUACAUGUUACCCAUGAAGUCCUUAAGUUGAGUUGUUCAUGCCCAUAAUUCUGCAUGAACCUUAUGAGUUGAGCAUUCUUGAAGUGAGUAGUAUCAUUGACUCCUUGAGUUUUGGAGUUGUUGAGUUCCAAGUAUUGAGUUCUAUGCAUGGUUAUUGAAAACCUUGAAUUGAGUCGUUCACGUCCAUAAUUCGGCAUGAACCCUAUUUUAAGAAGUCUUUUUACAAAUUGUUUUAAAACUUGUUUUAAAGACUUGAGCACUAAGUUGAGAAAGAGUAGAGUUGAGUUCAUUUUCUUUAAAAUGAUAUAUGGGAACUAAAUAUUCCAAAGAGUUAAUGUUUUUACAUUGAAGAUGAAAAUUGAGAUUUCCAAAUGAGUUUUGAGCAGUUUGAGUACUAUCUCUUUUAAGAAAAAGAUGAGUUUUGAGAAAGAGUUUCUAAAACAUGAUUAGUAUGACAAUCGAGUAUGUCAUCAAUGUUUAAGCAGUAUGGUAUCUAGAUAUACCAUCAAUGUUUAUGCAAUAUGACUUCCCUAGUCAUCAAUGAUCAUAUUAAAAUAUGGUUUUGAUAUGUUUUUGAGAAAGAGUUUUCUAGAGUAGUUACCUCUUUUAAGAGGGUAGUUUGAGCAAUUAUCUCAAACCAGAGAAAGAGUUAUGUUUUUAAACAUAUGAGCUAAGUAUAUUUUGGGAGUAGUAUUGAGCACCGAUAUGGGGGCGCAAGUUCAUAAUAACUCAAGUCUCCAUAAACCAUGUAGCCAUCAUGGGUAGAAAGGGUCAUACUUUUUAGAUGACACCUAAGUGCUUUUUAGCAUAGACUAGUGGAUCCACUUAGUUAAGGCAUUCUUGUAACAUCUCGCAAUUUGAAAUAUCUAGGAAGAAGCUAAUAAUUGGAAAUAGUCAUUUUUGGAAAGAAUGAAAAUCUGGAAAUUUGUUUAAGUUAGGAAAAGUUGAGUUUUGGUCAACUUCAAACGGCCAUAACUCCUAGCUCAGGAUGAUUUAGGUGCACUUUAAGACAUGGUUGGAAAGCUCUUGGAAUAAUAUUUCCAAUGCCACCGAGUUUACGCGAUUCCGAGUUCGUAUGAGUAAGUUAUGCCUUUUGGAAGUUGGGUUGUUGGAUUAAGGAAAGUCUAAUCCUGAUUUUAGAAGGUUUAUUUAAGUCUUUUCCUUACCUAAUUAUUCUAAUUUGUUUUUAGGAGAUUAAUUGGGGUAAAACCAGAUUUUGGUUAGUUUAGAAAAGUUAGAGUUCACGCUAGGGCUUGGAGAAAAGAGAAAAGAGGAGAUGAAAAAGAGAAAAGUUAGAGUUCACAAGAUAUGAAAAAAAUCUUGUUGGGAGUACUACAUCAAUAAAUUUUUAAGUGCACGAUUCAAAUUUAAUCCCAAAUUUUCCAUUCUUAUCACCAACUCUAGUUGCAGUUGCACUGUUGCAGCAAAUAAUGGAUAUAAAUUAAUGUGCCGACGGGACCAUUAGAGACUAGCCAUAUCUAAAACGUGUUAAUUAAAUAGGAUGAUUAGUUGAACAUAUAAUAUAUAGUAGUAGUAGGGUUAAUGUACGACAUCUCCUAGAAUUUGGAGUAAAUUUAAUUUAGACUUGUUAUAAUUUAAUUGAACAUAUAUAUGAACAAGUGAUAAAGUAUUAAAUCUUAUGAUAUACUAUCAGUCCAAAUUUAGAGAAAUUUACGCAUAUUUUCGAUUAGAGUUUAUUACAUAGAUAAGGUAUUAAUAAGCCUCAAUAAAACUUCAAAUCUGUUUAAUUUGUUUCACUAGAGACUCAUGAAUAUAAUUAAAAGGAGGUGACAUAUUUCAUGCGAUUAAUUUAAAAUACGGCGAUGGAAAAUGUUAUAAUAAUCUGGCGCGGAAACUAGGGUUGGGCGUUCGGUCUUGUUUGGUUUGUCGAUUUUCGAUUUGGUAAAAAUGUUAAUCGAAUGUAACACCCCAGAAAAAAAAAUUUGAGCUAAGACUUGAACCAUCCUUCGUUGUGAGUAGGAUUUUACCGAGGAAUUAAAAUUUUCUCGAGUAUUGAGUUCCUAAUCCCUUCUGAGUAUUUGAGUAUUUGAGUAUCUGAAUACGAUCAAAUGUUUCUAUUAGAUACUUCCAAUCCAAAUUUGGAGAAACUCUAGUUUUAUGUGUCUUUCCAAUUAGUGGCUAUAACGUAGAUAAGUUAACUAAUUAAAAUAUUUUAUACAUUUAAUUACAUGGAUUAACCUUUUUUUUGGUUUCCCACCCGAUGUUCGGAGUUCACAUUGGAGCUCUGACUGAAUUUGGAUCGCUCUCUGCAGGGUCCAUUCGGGGGUGGCGCUCCCAACAAGAUUUUCUCCAUACCCAGGACUCGAACCCAAGACCUCUGGUUAAAGGUGAAGCACUUCAUGUUGGUACACAGAUUAACCUUAAUAAGCUAUAAAAUCUCAUACUUGUUUCAAUAAACUUAAAAUACGCCGAUGGAAAGUGUUAUAAUAUGGGCUAGAAAUUAGUGGAAGGGAAAUAUGAAAUCAAGAACUCUAACAAAGAAGAGGAAUAUUCAUAUAUAGAAGAAGAAAAGAAUAGAAAUUCAAUAUCAAAAGCUAAACAAAAUAAUUUGUACAAACGGAUACUUAAUAGACGUAGUUAGUUAUAAACUUAUAUCUAACUACCUUAACUCCGUCCAACAAUAGUUGUCCACUAUACUAUUUUGGAAUAUACAACAAUAUAUACUUGUUCAUUUUAUGAAAUCAAUGGAUAAACAAAUCGAUGGUCAAUCACACAUUCAAAAACAAAUUAAAAUAUGUAUCGCAUCUGAUAUUUAAAUUAAAGGUCGUAUUCGAAGAUAGUAGCUUGUUUUAUUCAUAACUCAUAAGCAUACAUUAAUUAAAAUUACAUGGAGCGUGGAGACGCGAUAGAACGAUCCACAUUAAUUUAUUCCUUAACAAAGACAACGGGAAGAGGGUUUUUACCGUCAGCUACCAGACGAUGUAAUCCAUUAUGAAAUAGCUAAACAUUCAGAAGUUAGUUACUAAUCCAUUUGUUAGUUAGAAGGUCAUUUCAGUCAUUUCAGAAUGUUAGUUAGUGCUAGUUAAUUACCUCGAUUACUGUGCUGAUGAAUUAGUUAGUUAGUAAAUUAGAUAUUUUUUUCUUCUUCUUGCUUUCUAUAUAAUCUGUGGAUGUAUCUCACUUGUAAAAUCAUCCAGAUUCAGAUUAAUAAAAUUCUCUCUCGUUUCUUCCUGAAUCUAGUUUCUUCUCUAAGUUCAUCAAUGGUGUUAUGAGCUUGUAUGCUCACAAUUUUCUUCAUGGUAUCAGAGCAGAGUUGUAGUUGAGUUUAGAUCUCUACUAGUUGGUAAAAUCUGUAGUUCUGAAGAAAUGGUGGCAUUGAAGAUAGAUCAAAAUGAUCCUUUAUACAUUGGGGCAUCAGACAGUUCGAGUGUUGUAGUGAUUCCCAUAAAGUUGAUUGGAUCUGAGAAUUAUGGAAUCUGGAGCAGGUCAUGCAGAGAAGAACUGCAUGAAUAGUGGGAAACAUGUAAUGCAAUUGUGUUGUCAUGGCUGAUGAACACAGUCAGUGAUGAGCUUCUCAGUGGCAUUGUAUAUGCCACAAAUGCCUUAUCAGUUUGGAAUGAUCUCAAGGAAAGAUUUGACAAGGUGAAUCGAGCAAGGAUCUAUCAAUUUCAGAGAGAGAUUACCACUCUAAUACAAGGUACAGAUACUGAGUACCUGUUGUGCUUGUCCUCAAUCGAAAAAGUAUACUGAUCACUUGCAGCAGAUGAGGUUGAUUCAAUUUCUAAGUGGCCUGAAUGAAUCAUAUGAGCAGGCUCGCAGACAGAUACUACUUAAGGGAACUACAUGAUCACUGAAUCAAGCUUAUGCAAUGAUUAUAGAGGAUGAGAUUCAACACUCAAGUUAUAUGGCUAAUAUAGUUGAAAAGCCAAAUUCAAUGGUGAUGAAUGUGAACAAGAAUCAAGGAGGAAAAGAGAACUACAAAGGAAAUAAGUGUGAGUACUGUCACUAUCUUGGUCACACCAAGGAUAAUUGCUAUAAGUUGAUUGGCUAUCCAAAUGGUUGGAAGCAAAAGAAGAAACCAUGCUAUGGAAAUGGAAAUGGUAACAUGAGAAAUGCUGCAGGCACAAAUCAAUUUAGUAUCUAUAGAGGACAAAGUUCAGGAAAUAACAUAAGGAAUCAAGUAGGGCCAUCAUGUUCUGGUGGAUUUGGAGGAGGACACCAGUCUGCAAACAACAUCUCUAAUGAUUAUUAUAAGCCUUCUAACACAGCUUCAACCAGUCAGGUGGAAAACAAUACUCUCCUAGCAAAGGGACAAACAUUCAUUGAGAAAGAGUACAAGAAAAUAAUGGAGAUGCUAAACAAGCUUGGAUGUGCAAGAGUCCAAGCAGGUCAAUAUGGCAGGUAUUACCGCUUGCUUAAUGACAAACUUUCUUACAAAGGACUGGAUAAUUGAUUCAGGUGCGACUCAUCACAUCAUAGCAAACAAACAACCAUUGACUAAGAGGCAUGAACUAACCAAGUCAUAGAAUAAUCAAGUUCAUCUUCCAACAGGUGACAAGGUGGCAAUCAGUCAUGUUGGUGAAACACCUAUUUUUGACAAUGAAGUGGUAAAAAAUGUCUUGCAUGUGCCAGACUUCAAGUCAGCUUGUUAUCAGUGUCCAAAAUCACAAAGGAACUAAAUUGUUUUGUAUCAUUUUACCUUUACUUUUGUGUGUUUCAGGACCUCUACAGUGGCAAGGUGAAGGGGAUUGGUAGAGAAGAAGGAGGAUUAUACAAUUUUAAAGUUGCAUUUACACCAAAGCAGAAGGAGGAAAUAAGGUGUGCUCAGAAGAUAGUGGCUACAAGAGCAACAAUACAGGACACAAAUCUAUGACAUAAAAGGCUUGGACACCCAUCUCAACAGAUAUUGAGAUAUCUCAAGUUAGCUACAAGCAAUAAAAGUGGUGAAUUAUCUUCAAAUUGCCCUGUUUGCCCUUUAGCUAAGCAAACUAGGCUUACCUUUCCUAGUAGUAAUACUAGAGUAUCCAUGAUGUUUGAUGUUUUUCAUAUGGAUCUAUGGGGACCCUAUAAGACCCCUACUCUAGAUAGAAAGCAUUAUUUCUUAAUAAUAGUAGAUUUGAAUGGGUUCAGUUGUUGCAAUUAAAAUCUGAAACCAUUGUGGCUAUCAAAAAUUUCCUUUCCAUAGUUAAGACUCAAUUUGAUUCUCAUGUCAAGACUGUGAGAUCUGAUAAUGGUGCAGAGUUCUUUAAUUCACAAUGUACAGACUUGUUUCAUCAUCUAGGAAUAUUGCAUCAAAGCAGUUGUCCUCACAGACCACAACAAAAUGGUAUGGUGGAGAGGAAACAUAGACACAUCUUUAACAUUGCUAGAGCUAUCAGAUUUCAAUCUCAUUUGCCUAUCAGAUUUUAGGGGUAUUGCAUUAAGGCUGCAGUGUAUUUAAUGAAUAGAUUGCCUUCCUCAGCUAUUGCUAACAAAAGUUCCUAUGAAUUACUUCACUAUAAACAACCAAAUAUGUGUCAUCUAAGAGUCAUAGGUUGUCUUUGCUAUGCUUCAACACUUCCCAGAAGGGAUAAGUUCUCAGCAAGAGCUGCUUCUGCCAUCCUCUUAAGGUACUCAGACCUACAAAAGGGUUACAUAUUGUUGUACAUCAAUUCUACCAAACUGUAUGUGAAUAGAGAUGUGGUUUUCCAUGAAGAAAUUUUUUCAUUUGCCAAAGUGAUGCCUCAGAUUAAUCCCUCAAUUGAUGUACAUGGUUCCCCUUUGGAGAUAAUAGAGAAUCUUGAUGUGGUGAAUGAGUCUGCUAAUAAAGAUAGUGAAGAACCUGAAGUUGCUGUCACAAGAAAUGAAGAUGCUCAGGCAGUAGAUGUUGGUGUUGAGAAUUCUUCAGUAUGUCAAAUGUCUGAAACUGAUCCAGUAUUGGAAAUUUCUGAAGAUUUCCCUGGGGUACCAUCACAUGUUGACCCUCCUAAUAGAAGAACUUUAAGCAACAUCAAAGAGCCAAUUUGGAUGAAAGAAUAUGCCACUACUAAGAAACACAGUAGUACCAGACAUCCCAUGGCCAACUCUCUGAAUUAUGACAAACUGAAGCCUUGUUACAGGGGCUAUUUGAGCAAGCUUUCAGAUUGUAUGGAACUUAAGUAUUUGAGCCAAUCUGCAAAGGAUGAGAGGUGGAUACAAGCAGGGGCGAAUUUAUGUACUAAUUUUGGGUCACCCGAACCCGUGGUCAUCCGACCAAACUCGAUAUAGUACUUCUAUAAUUAUUAAAGAAUAUGUUAAAUUAAAACUUGUUGAACCCGUUCUCAAAAUGGUUGGAUGGUUCACUGGUACCACUGCAAGAUUUCAACUCACAGGUCGCAGGUUCGAUCCCAGGCAGCCCCAAUUCGCUGCAAUUUAUUUUUAUUAACUAAAAACACAUUUUUCAUUAAAAAAAAAAGCUAAAUUUUGAAGUUCUAAAAGUCAAAGACUUCAAAAGUUUCCUUCCCACACACUUUCCAAGUUCCAACAAUAUUUUUCUUCUCUUUUCAAAUUUGUUUUCUAUUUUCCACACAAAGAAGAAGCUUCAAGUCUCCAACUUCGAAGUCAAGAAUUUAGAGAAAUCAUCAUUGUCAAAGUUUUAGGGUAAUUUUAGUUUAUGAUUUCUCGUUUUCAUAUAAAAAAAUCUUGUCAUUACUUAUAAUAGGAAAUCAUCAAUAGCUAAAGAAUUGAUUAUCUCAAACUUACAUAUUUUGCGGAUGUAACUUGUAAGGAAUGUGUUUCAUAUUAUAUUAUCAAUUUUGAAGGGUGUGAUUCCUUUUUUUUUUUAAUGUGAAAGGGGUGUGAUUCCCUUAUUUUUUUAAAUGUGAAAGGGGUGUGAUUCCUCUAUUUUAGUUAGAUUUGCAAGGAUUGUGAUUCCUCUAUUUUAUUUGAACUUGCAAGGGUGUGAUUCCCUUAUUUUUUAUUGUGAAAGAUAUGCGAUUCUCUUAUUUUAUUUUAAAUUUGCUAGUUAAAUUUGUGACUAAGUUGAAUAGUUAUUUGAAUUUGUAGGAACAUUUAUCCUUGAAUAACUAAAUGGAUAAAUUUUUUAUUAAGAAACCACGGCAAGGGUGUGAUUCCCUUAUUUUUUAUUGUGAAAGAUAUGCGAUUAUCUUAUUUUAUUUUAGCAAAAAUGAUCAACGUAAUAGCAUUGGUGAAGAAUUUUUGAAUGGAUGUUUAGUUUGUAAGAUAGAGCGGAAGAUAUUUGAAAAUGUAAGUAAUGAUGCUAUUAUAGAUCGUUUUCAAAAUAUGAAGUCCCGUCGAGUACAAUUGUAAACUGAUGAUAUUUUUUGUGGUAAUGCAUUUUUUAUGUAUUGCUCGCUUAGUUAUUGUUAUUAUAAAUUUUUUUAUCUUAUCUUUAAAGCAAUGGUGCACCCGUUUUCUUAAAAUCCUGGAUUCGCCUCUGGAUACAAGCUAUGCAGCAGGAAAUCCAAGCUCUUGAGGAAAAUAAUACUUGGAUAGUUGUUAAUUUACCAAAGGGCAUGCAUAUAGUUGGUUCCAAAUAGAUAUACAAAGUGAAAUAUAAGGCAAGUGGUGAGGUAGAAAGGUUUAAAGCCAGGCUAGAAGCAAAGGGAUAUAGCCAACAAGAAGGACUAGAUUAUCAUGACACUUUUUCUCCUGUAGCCAAGAUGGUGACAGUGAGAUGUGUCAUUGCUCUAGCAGUAUCAAAAGGCUGGACACUAUACCAGAUGGAUGUCUAUAAUGCAUAUCUUCAAGGUGAUUUAGAUGAAGAGGUCUACAUGGAGAUGCUUGAGGGCUUUAAAAGACCAGGUGAAAACAAAGUAUGCAGGUUACUUAAAUCAUUAUAUGGGCUUAAACAAGCCUCAAGACAAUGGAACUUAAAACUCACAAAAGCAUUGCAGGCCACAUAUUUUACUCAAAGUGCUCAUGAUUACUCAUUAUUCACACUUAACAAGGGGGAAGACCUUGUGAUUGUUUUGGUCUAUGUAGAUGACUUAUUGAUUAUAGGGAAUAACACACAGUUGAUCACUGAAGUUAAGGAAGCUUGCACAGACAGUUCAAGUUGAAGGAUCUAGGUGAACUUAAGUUCUUCUUAGGCAUUGAAGUAUUGAGAUCUUCAGCGGGAAUUAUUCUGAAUCAAAUGAAGUAUAUCUUAGAGCUUAUUAUUGAUGCAGGCCUGACUGGUGCAAAACCUGCAUCCACACCACUAGAGUCCAAUUUGAGAUUGACAUUAGUGGAACAUGAUCUAGCAACUGGCUACACUGGAGAAGUUGUGCUUCAUGAAAUUACUUCAUACCAAAGGUUGGUUGGUAAGCUAUUAUAUGCCACCAUCACUAGACUAGAUAUAAGCUAUGCAGUGCAAACCCUCAGCCAGUUUAUGCAAUCUCCUAAGAAGUCACAUCUGGAGGCUGCUACUAGAGUGGUUAGAUAUUUGAAAGGUACAGUUGGUCAGGGUAUUUGGCUGCAUUCUGAACCUACCAACAUACUCACAUGUUGGUGUGAUUCUGAUUGGGCUGUUUGUCCCAACACAAGAAGGUCCAUCACAGGGUAUGUCAUCAAGUUUGGAGAUUCUUUGGUAUCCUGGAAAUCCAAGAAACAACAGACUGUUUCAAGAAGCUCAGCUGAAGCUGAGUACAGAAGCAUGGCUUCAACAGUCUCAGAAAUCACCUGGCUCCUAGGCUUGUUCAAAGAGCUACGAGUGUCUAUUCAGUUGCCUAUUACUAUUUUCAGCGACAGUAAAUCAGAAUCCAACUAGCAGCUAACCCAAUGUUUAAUGAAAGGACAAAACAUAUCGAGAUAGACUGUCACUUCAUCAGAGAUAAGAUCAAAGCAGGGAUGAUUGACACUGCCUAUGUACACACAUAACAGCAACUUGCAGACUUAUUGACAAAAGGGUUGAGCCAGGUCCAACAUGUAUACCUUUUAGGCAAGCUUGGUGUGCUUAAUGUCAUGAACACUUCAGCUUGAGGGGGUGUGUUGAAAUAGCUAAACAUUCAGAAGUUAGUUACUAAUCCAUUUGUUAGUUAGAAGGUCAUUUCAGUCAUUUCAGAAUGUUAGUUAGUGCUAGUUAGUUACCUCGAUUACUGUGCUAAUGAAUCAGUUAGUUAGUAAAUUAGAUAUUUUUUUCUUCUUCUUGCUUUCUAUAUAAUCUGUGGAUGUAUCUCACUUGUAAAAUCAUCCAGAUUCAGAUUAAUAAAAUUCUCUCUCGUUUCUUCCUCACUCUAGUUUCUUCUCUAAGUUCAUCAAUGGUGUUAUAAGCUUGUAUGCUCACAGUUUUCUUCACUUGAACAAGUAGCUUUCAUUUCCUAUGGUACCACCAGUCACCACGAACUGAUCUUUAUCAUCAGUAACUUUCCAACUAGUUUCGUUAAAACACGGACUAGAUAUAUCACUAAUUAAUCAAUUUCCAAUAGGUCAUAGGCUCAUAGAAUCAGCAAAUAGGUUGGGUGAGUUUUUUUUUUUUGGUUUUUCAUCCGAUGAUGGGAUUUUAAAUUGGAGCCUUGAUUAAAUUUGGAUCGCGCACUGUAGGGUCCAUUUGGGGAUGACGCUCCCAACAAAAUUUUCUCCAUACCCAGAGCUCGAAUCUAAGAUCUUUGAUUAAGAGUGAAACAAUCUCACCACAACUCAUGUUGGUGGUAGGUUGGGUGAAUUAAUGAGCCCUUAUGUUAAGUUAGUUUAUUUUGAUCUAUUUUAUUUAAAAUUUAGCAAGAAUCAAACGAAUUACCUUUCUAAAUUAUGCAAAAAUUAAUACAAAAAAUCAAACACUAUAUGUUUCUAUUUUUUUCAAAAAAAAUAAAAUUACACCACUAGACAAAGUGUCUACCAAUUUUUUAUUAAAAUAAAAAACUUCAAUAGACAAGUAUUUCCUUUAGCCUCAAUUUGCUAUUAUAAUAUUGUUACCGGAGAAGAUGCAGAUAAGAAGAUUUAUUCCGGCGACCUUAGAGCCCUUACAAAAAGGUAGACAUUGUUUUUAUGGAUAAAUCUAUCUCUAUUUUGCUUGCUAUUAAUGAUUAGUCUGUCUCCAAUUUAUACAGCUGCUAAGGGCAUUUUUGACAAACAAAAAAUAGCUACCGACCGCUACCUUUUAGGUUAGUGACAUUAUUUCAUUUAUAAAUAAUAAUGAUUUAAAGAAAAUAAGUACUCUAGUAUAAAACCUGUACUAUUAUUUUUGGCUUAAUUAAUUCUCUUAAAAUUAUCCCCUUAAUUCAUCUAGACAUUUAAAUUCAGACUUGUACCUAUUGAACACUUCUAUUCUUUUGAAUUUGAGUCAUUCUAACAUUUUUUUAACAAUCAACUAAAAAUAUAAGAAAGAGUGAAAUGUACUAGCGGUGACAUGACAAUUUGACAAAUUAAAUAAGUAAAAUUUACAUAAAUCUCAUAGUGUUAAGAACUAAUUAUAUCAUAUCUCUACUCUUUUUCAAAUUACAAAAAUCAUUUAAAUUUAUAGGAUCUCGGAUAUAUAUAUAUGAAAAUAUGUAGAUACAUAGUUCACGGAUUGCGAAUGAUACAUUACUUAAUGGAAGAGAUGUAUUCGAAGGGGAGAGAUGUAUUCGAGAGGGAAUAGGAUGUAUAUGAGAGGGGAUUGAUAUUAGUAAAAAAGUUGAAAAAUUAACAUUGUCAAUUUAAUUUUGUAGUUAUUACUUAGAUAUUAGCCAUGACUAGCUUUUAAAUUCAUAGGAUAUUAGUCAUGACAAGCUUUUAAAUUCAUAGCUAAAAUUUCCUAAUUUAAUUUUUUAUUUAAAAGUAAAAAUUUAAAAUAAGUCAAUUCAAACAUUUUCUAAUUUAUGACUUUUUAUUUAGAAGUCAUAGUAUAUAUAUAGUAAUAAAGUUGAGAAGUAACUUUGUAACAUUAAUUUUUAUAGCUCAGAAAGUUAAUGAAUUUGUUGAUAAUCAUGAAACUCGAAAUUUGGUAGCUUUUACAAGGAGUCCGGAGCCUAAAGGGAAAAAAAAUUGACAAAAUUUCCAAAAGGGUACAUCAAUUUUUUUUCCUAACCAAAGGGGCAAAAUCGCUGAUGGGGUAGCGAUUUUGAUUUGACGCCGUUAAUAGAUCAAAAUCUCUGCCCUAUCAGCGAUUUUGUCCAAAAAACUUUUUCAGAAAAUCGCUGCCCGCGCAGCGAUUUUGCGAUUUUAAAAAAAUAAAAUUAAAAUCGCUACUAUGGUAGCGUUUUAUAAAAACGAAUUUAUUUUAUUUUUUUGAUUGGCAGCGAUUUUCGUUAAUGUUUUUUUUUUAAAUCGCUGCUGUUGCAGCGUUAUUAUAAAUUUUGUGGAAUUUUUUUUUUUUUAAGGAAUCGCUGCCUUGGCAGCGAUUUUAAUGGAACUUUUUUUUAAAAAAAUAAAAAUCGCUGCUUAGGUGGAAUUUUAUUUAUUUUUUUGAAAUUUCUGUCAACUACUAGUUGAAAGAAAUUUCAAAAUAAAAAAAAAAUCCACCAAAAUCUAAAAACAGAAAAAAAAAUUCACAAAAUUUAUAAUAAUGUUGCAACAGCAGCGAUUUUAAAAAAAAAACAUUAACGAAAAUCGCUGCCAAUCUGUUUUACAAUUAGUGUUUAUUACAUAGAUAAGUUUUUAAUAAGCCUCAAUAAAACUUCAAAUCUGUUUAAUUCGUUCCACUAGAGACUCAUGAAUAUAACUAAAAGGAGGUGACAUAUUUCAUGCGAUUAAUUUAAAAUACGGCGAUGGAAAAUGUUAUAAUAAUUUGGCGCGGAAACUAGGCUUGGGCGUUCGGUCUUGUUCGGUUUAUCGAUUUUCGAUUUGGUAAAAAUGUUAACUGAAUGUAACACCCCAGAAUAUUUUUUUGAGCUAAGACUUGAACCAUCCUUCGUUGUGAGUUGGAUUUUACCAAGGAAUUAAAAUUUUCUUGAGUAUUGAGUUCCUAAUCUCUUAUGAGAUUAUGUUCCUAAUCAUGAAACUAUUACAUGUUACCCAUGAAGUCCUUAAGUUGAGUUGUUCAUGCCCAUAAUUCCGCAUGGACCUUAUGAGUUGAGCAUUCUUGAAGUGAGUAGUAUCAUUGACUCCUUGAGUUCUAGAGUUGUUGAGUUCCAAGUAUUGAGUUUCUAUGCAUGGUUAUUGAAAACCUUGAAUUGAGUCGUUCACAUCCAUUGUUUACAUCCCUACUCUAUUCAAAUAUGACGAAACGUCGUGGUGACUCAAAAAAUGAUUAAUUAAUUCAAUUAUAAAAGAAUUUUCAGAAAAAACGAGUUUUAAAAGAGUCACCACCUAAUUUUAGGAAAGACUAGGAAACCAAUUAAUUAACUAACUAAAAGAAUGUCUACGAAACCAAUAGAUUCUAGUUAAGGGGUUCAAGUUAUUCCGAAAGGAAAGUGUUAGGCAUCCUUCAAAAUCCACAAUUGUGGGUCCCAGCUGAACUCAUUUUUUCAAAUUGAGGAGGAGAUGAAAACAAAUAUACAAGUAUAAUAAACAUGAGAUAUACACAAAUAAUAAAAUCAAACAAUAAUAUAAGAAACAACCUAAAUUUGCCUAUUGUCAAUAAUAUACAAUAAUGAAUGGAAAAUAUAAUUCUAACUCCUUUCGAAUAGCUUCAAUGAGAAGCGACUCUGGGGUACCAGUAAAGACACUUAGUAAAAGUGUUAGUAAUAAAUAAAUAUGAAUAAAAACAAAUAAAUAAAAUAAUAACUUAAAAGUAAAAAAUCCGUCUUAUUAACAUAGGAGGCCUUCACUAUAAGAAAAGUAUUGAUUACCUGGGGAUUUUCCUAGGGAUAACAUAGUAAAAUCCGCAGGUAACUUGAUUACCUGCGAAUUUUCUCGCAAAAUGAAAUCCGAUGGAAAAACCUUUGUAGGUAACUCUUACCUGCGGAUUUAUACAAGCCCUAGGUAAUUUACAUGGGGAAUUAAAAUACGCAUGUGUUACCUGCGGAUUUAUCUGCGAUACAUAACAAAAAUUCUUGUGAAUUUUUUACCAAAAAUUCUUGUGAAUUUUUUACCAAAAUUUCUUGCGAAUUUUUUACCAAAAUUUCUUAUAAAAACGAAAUUUCUUGGGGAUUUUCAUAGAAAUAUUUUGCAAGGAAUUCUCUAUGAAGAUUCCCAAGUAAAUCUGUAGGCGUUUGGAGAUAAAAUUUUGUGAAACAAAAGGAAAUUUCCUGUGUGUGUAUAUAUAUAUAUAUAUAUAUAUGAAAAUAUUGCUCAAGAUAAUUCCUAUGAAAAGGAACCCGCAAGAACUAACAAAAAAUAUAGUUCACGUUAUAUCACUUUCAUUCAACAAAAAACAGAAUUCAUAAUUAUAAUUCCUAUGAAAAGAAACCCGCAAGAUCAAUAGUUUAUGAUUCUUAAAUGGACAAAAGCAAAAUACAACUCAAAUUUGAAUCCUAAAUAGUGUUAUCAACUAUCUCAAUCCUCACUUUCAUUCACGCUAUCAGAGUCAUGGGCAGAACCACUGUCAUUCACACUGUGAGAGUCAUCACCACUUUCAUCCUCAUCAUAAGCUUGAUUGUCUUCUUGAGAUGAUUGCCCAUUUGAAGAUGAUGCGUUGUAUACAUUCAAACCUGACCAGAAUUAUGAAUGAAUAAACUUAAUACACCACAUAGAUUCCAAGAACAACCUUAACAACCUUAACCACGCUUCACUUUGUGCGAUUUAAUUGAUUUCAGAGGCAAGUUUUUCCUAACAUCUUGAAAAAGUUGUGUUAUCCUUGCAGAUGCCAUUUUCUCAAAAUUACGUCUUAUAGCAUCAGUAUAGUGAGGGAGCCAUUUGAAUUUCUUCUGUAUAUAGCAAAUAAAAACUGCAUUAGUUAUACAAGCUCACACCACCUGCAUUAGACACUUGAUAAUUGUUAGAGUGUUGCAAAUGGUAACGUUAUUCUGGGAGAUUCUUUAACGGAUGAAAUAAGCUCACUAUUUUAUUUGAGUUUAGAAUAAUAUAUAUGACCUCUCACGUCGUGAAUGUACCUCAUCUAGUACAAUACAUCGAUACAUAUCAUAUCAGUUCACAGUUCCAGAUAUAACUAAGACAGACAUCUAAGAUAAUAAGCAACUGGAAGAAAAUUCAUUUUCGAAUUAACAAAACCAACAAUGCAUUUUUUGCACUUCUUGACUAAAAUCACUUCCAAACUCAAUCACAUAACUAACAGUAAACUAACUAGAAUUCUUUAACUGUCACUCAGUGCUUAAAAACAAUUGUAAAGUCCAAACCUUUAAAUUUUCAGAGGAGAGAAAAUAAAUCAUACCCUUCACCUGAAUCCAUUCCUUUUGUAGCUCCAUAUUUUCCAGAAGCAACAUCCACCUGGAAAAAUAAGGUAAUACUUUCUAGAUGCUAACUAGACUAUACAGAAAGACAAGAAAUCGCACUUAAAUAAACUCAAAACUCACUACACUCUCAGGGUCUGCAAGCAUGACAAAUGUGACAUCACAAGAUGUUGCAACCUCCUCAGGGGAUGAUUUGUAUUUGCAGAAAAGAACCUCAAGUUACCUUGAAAUGAAAAUUAUCCAAAGAACCACAAGUUACCAUGAAAUGGAAAUUAUCCCCAAGUACAAGCAAUAACAACAGUCAAGAAAUUUUUUAAGUGAUCUCAUACAAGGCGAUACAAGCAUAGGCAUAGAUCUUUCUUUUUUCAAUUGUUAAGGAUUAGCAUAGAUUACCAUUGGCUACUUCAGUGUUGGGUAAUCUAAGUUUAAACACAUUUCCUGGAGGCCAACACAAACAAACUUAAGUUUGCAGCAUAACCAAAAUUGGCAUAUACUUACUUUGCACCCAGGGAUAUAAGGGGUUCACAUUUGCUCUUGGUCCUAUUCCAAACUGUCACAUCACAUCUGCAACAUGAGAACAAACACAAUAAAAUCAUUAGACAUUGAAAUUUAAUUAUUCCAAAAAAAGAGGUUUUAAAGUAUAAAAAUCAUGUCUCAUUGCUCCAACAAGAUCAAAUGUCAGAUGGCACAGCCUUGGUAUUAAUAAUGUGUACUUCUGAAAGAUCAACAGUUUAGGGUACUCAUAAUUUAGCUAGUUAAUAAAGAACGAUAACAAUGAUGAGUAUAAAGUUAACUACGCGCUGUCCAGUGAUUUAUGAAGUUCACAAAGCAAAACCUCAUUGAAAUCCAUCAAAUUAGUGUAUCAAAGUAAUAAUUGGAACAUACCCUGCUUUUAUGAGAUUUUGUGCCAUUGGAUUGCCCAUAAUUCCAAGACCUAGAAAGCCAAUACUUGCUGGAAGAGCAUCAGCUGCAGAAAACUAAAUUCCAUCAGACAAAAUAAACACCUAAUUUUUUGUCAGUAGUAAAUAGCAUCCGAAAGAACUAUAACUCGACACAAAAUGACACCAUAAAAGAGGAAAUAAAGUUUUUUUGUUAAUCAAUAAUUUCAUCCUAAUUUCAAUUUUCGCGUGAUGUCAUGCUGCCAUGAUACUUUCGUCUUGCUUUCAAGUGAAUGGAUCAAGACAAAUGCCUUGAAAAUUUUCUAUUACUACUAGCUGAUGGUGCCAAACUAUACAUUACAAUACUAUAAAAUUGUAAAAUAUUAAGGUUUUUCGUAAUAGACACCAGUAAUAGCAGGCGUUGACAACAUCUCUAAUAGUCAAACAAAAUCACUUCAUACAUUAGGCCGUCCCUAAUUGUAAAACAGAAACUGUCACGACCCGAGUCUACACCCUGGAUGUGGCCGGCACUCAAGAACCAUUGAUGGUCCCCAAGCGAACCCUCAUCCUGGCUGACUACAAGCGGAAAACUAACUCAAGCAUACAAAGCUUAAAAACUGAAUAAAAUUCAUGAAACUGAAUAAAAUUCAUGAAACUGAAAUACAAAGCUUUAACUCAAAUGAAAAACUCUGAAUAAAAUAGUAUAUUCAACUCGCCAUAAAAUAGGCAACUUAAGUCUUUAAAACAUUUUAAAAAAUAAAUGAAUAAUACAGACUUCUCAACUAUACUGACUAUCUAUGAAGCCUCUAGCUGAUAAAGAUGAAAGUCGGGACAAGACCCACGACAUCCUGACUAAACUAAAAAGUAAAUGAAAUCCUCCGGAAAAUAAGGAGACUCACCAUAGCUAACUCGAACUCUCGGAUGUAUCAAUGAAUCUCCUAUUGAUGAUCCUGAAUACCUGUGUCUGCAUCGUGAAAAGAUGCAAGCCAAAUGGCUUAGUACGUGGAAUGUACUAGCAUGUAAGGGGAAUUCUAAAGCAUAACAUAAGCUUGAAAGAAUCUGAAAGAAAUUGAAGAACUUACCUGGCUCAACUCAACUCAACAUAACUGAACUCAUUUCAUUAUAAAGCAGUUUAAAACAUGUGCAAUAUAAAGAAAAAAAUUGUUGAAAACAUGUUGUCAAUUCAUAAUCAUAAUAUCAUAAAAUGACAAAUCAUGCUCCCUCUCAAAGUCUAGUUGUGCAAUACAUGAAUGAAGUCACAUACCCCCAUUAACACUAAGCAGAACCCCUUGAGGAACCAUGCUACUUUAUGGGGGCUGUGUGUUGUUUGAACUCUCCCCCAUAUCGGUGCUCAAUACUACUCCCAAAAAUAUACUAGCUCUUAUGUUUUAAAAACAUACUUCUUUCUGCUGAUUUGAGAUAAUUGCUCAAAAACUUAGCUCAAAGGCUAUCUUGGAAAUCUCAGUUUCCCUGCUUGCUUCAUUUAGAAAGCUAUUUCUCUUUUCUGAAAACUAGCCCGAAGGCUCUUUGAAAAUCUCAGUUUCCGUUCUUAUUUAAAUGUGAAAACAUUUAAAAACUUCUUUGGGAAUACUUAGUUCCCUAAUAGCUUUUGAGAAAUGAACUCAACUCUUUACUCUUUGCUUAACUCAAAACUUAAGUCUUAAAACAAAGUUAAAACGUUUGUAAAAGACUUCUUAAAAUAUGGUUCAUAUCGAAUUAUGGACAUGAACUACUCAAUGCAAGGUUUUCAAUAACCAUAGAUAGAACUCACAUACUUGGAACUCAAGAACUUCAAUGAUACUACUCACUUCAAGAAUGCUCAACUCAGAGGAUUCAUGUAGGAUUUAUGAGCAUGAACUACUCAACUAAAGGACUCAAGGAUACUUCUUAUCUCAAGACUGUUCGACUUAUAAUGUUCAUGCGGAAUUAUGGGCGUGAACAACUCAACUCAUGGACUUCAUGGGAAAUAGGUAAUAGUCCCAUGAUUAGGAAUGUAAUCUCAAAUAGGUUAGAAACUCAAUACAAAAGACUUAGGAUCUGAAGAUAUUACUUCUCUCAUAGAUACUCAACUUAUGGAGUUCAUGCGGAAUUUAUGGGCAUGAACGACUUGAUUCGAAGGUCUACAAACUACAUGAACCCAUGUAUAUGAAACUUCUCAUUCUCUUACUUACUACCUCAAUACUUAGUUCAAAUCGAUGGUUGAUCUCAAAGGAAUCACAAUUGAACUCAAAGGCUUUCUUGAACUUUACUCUUAACUCUCUCUUGAAUAUGAAUUAUGAAUUCAAGAGUUUUGGUUCAUGAUAUGAAGGAUCUCAAUAACAAUAUAGCUAUUCGAUAAUUAGGAAUAGAACUUUUAAAAGAAACAUGAAUUCAAGAACUCAAAAUCAACUUAUCUCAAGAAUGCUCAAUUCUAGGGAAAGUAUCCUAGAUUACUCUUUUUCUGAUCUGAAAGUAGAUGUAGGGCGUGAGGACGAGCUAGUCCAACACUAUGAUAGCCUUACAUACCUAGAAGAAAAAGAUUCUUGAAGAAUCUAUAAGAAUCUUGAGGAAGAACUUGAUUAGAAGCCUUGAAACCCUAGCUUGAAGGUAAACAAUCAAGAAAACCUUUCUUGAAAUCUCUAUGGCCUAGAAUUAUGAUUUUCAUUAGUGAAGAUGAAAAUCUAAUUGUUUUGAACCUUUUAUUAGUCAAGAAAUUCGUUUAUGGUAUUCUUAGAGGUAAAAGGCAAAAACGACUCUUUUUAAUAUUUUCCCGUCGGCUAAUUCGUAACAGCACUGUAUAUGUUACUAAAAUAGUCAUAACUUUUUACUUAGAAAUUGGAUUGACGCAAAAUUGGUGGGGUUGGAAAGUACAUUCAAUUACCUUUAACUGGAUAGGUUAUGGAUCACGUAACUCUUAAUAUUCUAAGAGAUAUGGUCGUUUAAAGUUGACCCAAGCAAAAUCUUAAAUUAAAACUUAAUGAAACUUCAAGAACACUUAUCAAGAAUUCUAAUCUUUAAAUUUCAAGAUCGAAAUUACGCUGAAUAAAUCAUGAUUGGUGUGUGGGUGAAAGAACCCAACACUAUAGAAGCUUACAUACCACUUAGGGAUUAAACCCAUGGCGAAAAUCCGCAACAAGACACAAGAAUCUCGACGAACGUUUGAUCUUCUCCUCUUUUCUCCUCUUGAACUCUCAACUAAACCCCUACGCUAAUUUUAUGAUUAUAAAACUGAACCUAAUCAGAUUAGACCCCUAAAAUAUUACUAAAACGAAUUAAAUCUGUUUUGGUAAGGAAAAGACCAAAAUACCCCUCUAAAACCCGGAUUUGACUUUUCUUAACUGGACAACCUAACUUCAAAAGGCCAUAUCUCACUCAUCCGACCUCUAAACUUAGCAAACUUAGCGGCGUUGGAAAGAUAAAUCAAAGGUCUUUCCUACGGUAUCUGGUAGCACACUUAAUUCAUCCUGAGCUAGGAGUUAUGGUCGUUUGAAGUUGACCCAAAACUCAUACUUAAGCAUAACUUGCAAAAUUUCAGAUUUUGCUAUUUCCAAUUUAAUUCUUUUUGUAACUCAAGGUGCUACAUCUAGUGACCUUUAACACUCAAGAAAUUUUUAAUUCCUUGGUAAAAUCUCAGUCACUACGAAGAACGGCUCGAGUCUUAGUUCGAAAAAUUUUCUAGGGUGUUACAGAAACUCACAUCAGCUAAUUUUUUUUGAAGAUGAGAACAAAUUGAAGAGAUUCUAGAACAAACAUCAUUUGCAGGAUAUUAAAAUUCAAUAAGCUGUAGAGAAGAAACAUAAUAAGGACAUGCACUCAUCUUCUUCAAGUAUUUAAGCAAGAGCUUUGAUUUGCAAAAAAAUCUCACUCGAUUUUCAUCCAAACUAAAACAGUAAACAAAAAUUUACAGAUUAACCUCACAGAGCUUGAAAUUUCUAGAUUAACCUCAAUUUUUUGGUAGAUUGACAAGCAAAUCUUCCGAUCUGUAGUCCUUUACUUUGGAAAAAUUCACUUGGAGAGAAGCAUGAGGUCCGCUAGGAGAGUUUUGAGAUGAGCUUUGUAUAUAUGAGCUUGGGGAUCCGGAUGAGCUUGGAGCUUGGGGCUACACCGAUUCAGAUCGUUUCCACCAUUGUAUCUACAUGUGAGUUUUGGAGAGAAACUUUAGUGGGUUUGUGUAAAGUGAGUUAGAGAGAGGAAAAUGAGUCUUAGUGGGUCUUACAAUCACUUUCCAAUUCCUAAUUGAGUUUUUAAUUGGUCUAUUAUCCAAAAAAAUUACAAGUGUAAAAGAAUCCAAUCAUCUAAAAGAUAAUUGGUCUAAUAAUUCCUAAAUCCCCAAUUAUUUCCCAAGGUAAUAAAAUGUCUAGGCAAAUCCCAAAAAUAAUUUUUUAGACAAUCUGGAAUUUUCCUACAGAUUAAAAAUAAAUUUUUAAAAAAUAUUUUUGGUCCAUGUACCUAGGGAUUUAGCUAGAGAUAUUGUUCAUGCGGAUAUAUUUUCCUAGGUAAUUUUCAGGAACUAAUUUAGUGCAAAAUGGUACCAAUGUUAGUUGCGAAAUUUGUUGGGAAUAUAAUUUUCAUAGGUAAUAUAUUCUAAUAUUGAGGAAUUUAAAAUUUUCGCAAGAAAAUUUGCAAGUAUUACCUGCGACAAUUUCCCCCCAGAUAAUAUUCCUAUGUAAUUCACACUUUUCUAGUAGUGCUUGGAAAUCGACGGUAAUUUCUUUAUCGGCCAAUUUUAACAAAUAAUGGAUAUAAACUUAAACUAAAAUUUCCGUCUUUUAAAAUGAAGAGGCCUUCAAAAUCGACGAAGAAAUUUUUUCAUUGGCCAAUUUUACAAGAAUGAAUAACAUGCAACUAACAAACAAUAUAAUAUCCACUAAGUUCUGAAAUUUUCCAAUGAUGAUUAAAAUAAAAUAAAUAAAAAAUCAAUACUAAUAGAACAAUGUAAAUAAUAACAAUGAUAAUAACUUCACUUUUUAUUUAUAAUAACGAAAUUAAGAUAAUCAAAAUGACAUAAAAAUUAGUCGGGAAGAACCAAACUAGGAACACCAUAUGAACAAGAAUUAUUGGAGCAAAGAACUACCACCAUUGUUAUAACUAAAACAAGCACAAUCUGUGAAACCCACUCAAUAUAAUUAAAUCUAACUACCAAUGAAAUGUUAAUCACAUAAGGUAGUCUAUAAAUUUACCAAUUUAAAAUCUACAAACUUAAAUAAAAGACAGAGAAUGACACAAAAAGGGAAGAACGGUCAAAUAUUUAGAUCCCACCUAACAUCACAUUUCAUGUAAUCAAAAAUAUAACACCAAUCAUCUAUUCGUUAAUAAUCUAAGCAAUAUAUCACUUCACAGUUAGUAAUUAAAAUAGAAUUGAUAGAAAAUAAUCAAAACAUUAGCAAACAAAAGCAACAGCAAAAUAUGGUUAAAAACAAAUAUGAGAAGUGCAAAUAAUUGUUCAAAAUUAUAAUACAGACAGAAAAAAAACAAAGGAAAAUAAAAAGUCAAAAAAGGAUAGUGAUAUUACCCUCGCCGGAGAUAGAGUGCUUCGACCGGUUUCGGCCGUUUCUGGCCUGCAACUGCUUCUAAAUCACCGAACUCGUUGUUGGGUUGCUAUUGUUGAUGUGCGAGCUUCGAAGCUUGUUGUUCACCAGAGCUUAAAAGCUCACUGGUUCACUGGUGGUCUCCGCUGGUCGGAGUUUGAAACUGCUGGCUGCUUUGUGGUAUUGUCUUUCAUCGGAGUUUGAUGCUCUGAUUCGACUGGAUACCUGCAAAAAUGGAGGAAAAGUCGUGAAAGGGGGAGAGGAAAGGGGUUGAUUUCCUUUUUAUGUUGCUCUGGUUCAUCGGAGCUUUGAGGUCCUCGCCGGAGCUGCUUGUUGGAAAAAGGGAAAGAAACAAAGGGGUUUUGGGGUGGUGUGGUGGUUUAAUUCGCUGUUGUUUGGAGGUUUUGGUUGCUGUUGGUUUUGAUGUGGUGGUGCAGUAGAUUCGCUGGUGGGUUUUGAGCUCGAGUGGUGGUGCGAACUAGCCAGGGAUGAGGGUUUUUUGGGUGGUGGUUUUGUUUGGUCGUCUGUCUCGUUUUGCCGGAAAAUGUGGGCUAGUGGUGUCAAAGAAAGGGGGAAGAAGAAGGGCCAGCUGGUUGUUGCCUUGUGGUUGUCAAAUUCCGAUUAAAAAAAAUCGUUUGAGGGUGGUGGCGGUUUAGAGAAUGUGUCAGUAAAGAAUUCUUAGGGAUUUUACCCUAUCAAAUUGAAAAAUUAUUUCCACCCCUCUUAUUUUUUAGGGCAAAUUACAAAAAUCAGUUACCUUUAAGGCAAAAUUACAAUCUAUCUUUUAAAAGUUUAUAAUUACAAAAAUCUUUUAAAUGGAUACAAUAAUAUAAGCGUUGAUACAUUAAUAUGAUGCGCGGGAUAAGUAAGAUACAUUACAUUUUAUACAUGAUACACUAAUCUGAUGUACAUUUUACACAUGAUAUACUAAUCUGAUGCGCGAGAUGCAAUAAUAUAAGCGUUGAUACAUUAAUAUGAUGCGCGGGAUAAGUAAGAUACAUUACAUUUUAUACAUGAUACACUAAUCUGAUGUACAUUUUACACAUGAUAUACUAAUCUGAUGCGCGAGAUGCAAUAAUAUAAGCGUUGAUACAUUAAUCUGAUACGCGAGAUACACUAAUCUGAUGCGCGAUAAUCAAAAUUUAUAUAGGAAAUAAUUUUAUAAUGGGCUCAAAUUGUGGGCUUGAUAUUAUGACCCAAAAUUGUUGGUUAAAUAAAAUAUCUGUAUUUAAAUGAAUUUCUAGACUGUGCAAAAUAUCAAAAUGAAUAUUAACAAAUGUAACAAAUAAAAUGAAUAUUAAAAAAAAUAUAAUGAACUUAACUAAUGACAUGUAAAAAUGCAAUUUUAAAAUUAACUGAAUAAAAAAAUCCUAAAUUUUGAUAAAUAAGGAUAGUUAUCGAUAAACUUUUUAAAAUUAUAAAAAAAUAUUUUGAACUAUUAAAUAAAUAAAACUUAAAAGUUACGAAUUUUGAAAAUGUUAGGCCAAAUUAAAAUUGGGUGUCAACAUCCAUAAUUCGGCAUGAACCCUAUUUUAAGAAGUCUUUUUACAAAUUGACUUGAGCACUGAAUUGAGAAAGAGUAGAGUUGAGUUCAUUUUCUUUAAAAUGAUCUAUGAGAACUAAGUAUUCCCAAGAGUAAAUGUUUUUAUAUUGAAGAUGAGUGGAAAUUGAGAUUUCCAAAAGAGUUUUGAGCAGUUUGAGUACUAUCUCUUUUAAGAAAAAGAUGAGUUUUGAGAAAGAGUUUUCUAAAACAUGAUUAGAAUCAGGGCCGUCUUAACUAAUAGGCCACUAAAACCAUCGCUUGGGGCCCCCAUUUUUAAAAAAAAAUACUUAUACAUAUUAUUAAAAAAAUUACAUUAAUUUUUUGAAAAAAAAAAAAUGUUGUAAGAGGUUUUUAUAGUUUUUUCUUGAAAAAUUGUUAUUUUUGAUAUUCUUAGUUCAUAAGUAUAUGUAAAUUGUUUUAAUUUUUAUAAAGAAUUUAUUCAGUUUUAAUAUGUCAAACUAGAAAACAUGAUUCCGAUUUUGAAAAAAAGAGAAAAAACUUGAAGAAUUAGAUAAAUCUUAAAAAAGAGCUCUUGAUAGAUUUUUAACAAAUAAUAAAAUUUUUGAAUAAAAAAUAUUGGAGGAUGUUCUUCAAAUGAUCAAGUAACUCAAUUAUAUAAUUGAGUUAGAUGAUAAUAAUAUCCAAGAAGAAAAUCUAGAAGAAGUUGGUGAAAAAUGUGAUAUUGUUCCCGAUAUCAAGAACUCUUAAAUAAUUUUAAAUAGUUGCAUCCCUAAAAAUAUAUAUGAUCCAAGUCAAUGGAAUAAUGUAGUUACAAAAUUAAGAGAUCUAUUAGUAGAAAAGGGAUCAUUUAGAGUGACUGAUAUAAAUUUCCACAAGAUAAAUGCGUACGACAUUUUUCUACAACACAUUAUAUUCAAAAAUUUGUAAACGGAGAAAAGCAUGAAAGAAAAUGAUUAAUCUACUCUACAGAUUUGGAUAAAAAUAUUUGUUUUUGUUGUAAAUUAUUUAGCACAACUGCUAUUAUUUGUAAUAAUAAACUAGCUAGUGAAGGUAGUAAUGAGUGGAGAAAUCUUAGUGUUAAGCUCAAAGUCCAUGAAGUAAAGAAUGAACAUAUUAUUAAUAAUAUGAGGUUCUGUAUUGAUUUAGAAAUGAGAUUGCAUUAAAAAACAAUUGAUAAAGCUGUGCAAGAACAAAUUGACAGAGAUAAAAUGUAAUGAAAAAAUGUAUUGUACAAGAAUUAAUUGACGUGAUCAAAACUCUAGGGAAAAAUAUUUAGCAAUUUAGGGGAACAAAAUGGAAAGAUCUAUCAAGAAAAGUAACGGUAAUUUUUAAAGCCUAAUUGAAAUGAUUAAUAAAUUUGAUUAUGCUAUGCAAGUACAUAUUCGAAGAAUAAGCAUGACGAUAUUCAUAGUCAUUACCUUGGACAUACUAUACAAAGUGAAUUAUUAAACUUAUUGGCAAGUGAAGUCAAGAAUAAUAUUAUUAAAGAGAUUAAAGAAACAAAAUACUUCUCAAAAUAUUAGGGCCUCUCUUUAAGAUUUGGCUUUAGGCCCUCGAUCUUGUUGAGUCAGCCCUGAUUAGUAUGACUAUCAAGUAUGUCAUCAAUGUUUAAGCAGUAUGGUAUUUUUUUUUUUUAAUUACACCCAAACCAAGUGGGAGUUAUUUAUUCCAUCAAAAGAGUGCAUAUAGGCAAACCCAGGUACAAGAAGGCCUUUUGGCAGCCAACAGAAAAGGCCUCAGCUUACAAAAAAAAUUGAUUUGUCAUACCUAAUUCUAAUACUAGGCAUUUGCAUUUUGUCUAAUUGAUAUGAGCCCACUUCUAGCUUAAGGAUAUCCCUCCAAUCGUGAUACAUAUGAGCUUCAUUAGAAAGAACAACAUGUUUAGCUAAUGCAUCUGUAACUUGAUUAGCUUCCCUAUAACAAUGAUUUACUUCACAAUUCAUCUUAGCAACAACUUGUAUGAUGUCUUCCACAACACCUUUGAUUUUCAAGUUGGUGGCUUGUCCAUUCCUUACCAUAUCAACCACCAUUUUUUAGUCGAAUUCAAGAUAACAAUUGUGAAAUCCUUGUUGCAAACACCAUAGGAUUCCGAAUCUAGCCGCCAAAGCUUCUGCAAGAUUGUUACUAGAGCAUGAAGAAGGAAUGGAGAAGGCCAUAAUCAUCCUUCAUGUAUGAUCUCUAACGAUCCCUCUUAAACCUGCAUUGCCAGAAGAGAAACUUUCAUCAGUAUUUAUUUUAACACAAUUAAUAUUGGGUGUGUUCCAGUGGACAGUCUUCCACUUCAGAUAUGGUUUUAAGCUUUCCACCUUGUUUAGAAGAUCUCUCCAAAAAUUAACAAUCUCAAAAGAGGGAAAAGUCAUUCUCAAAGACAUUUUCAAAUUCCACCAUACAUGAUUUUCCAUGGUUCUAUACCACAUCUUCUUUUGAUCCCCAUAUUUACUAGCACAUCUAUGUUUCCAGAUUUCCCAGAAAAUCAAGAUAGGUAGAGUAUGGAUAAUCACAUUAUGUAUGGAAUCAUGAGUAUGUACAUUCCACCAAGUCUAUAGAAGAUUAAUAGUAGAUGAGGCCCUCGUAUCAAUGGCCAAAGGACAGAGGCGUAUCCAGGAUUUCGGCUAGAUGGGUGCACGAUUACGAAAAAAUAUUUUUUAAAGAUAAAUUUGAUUAAUUUGACUUUUAGUUCGUAUAUGAACCAUUAAAUUUUAAAAAUUAUAGGUUCAAAAUGUAUAAUACUACUAGUUUUAAAUUUUAACAUACACAUUUGAUUUAAUUAUAUAAAAAAAUUACAAUGUUAAAUUUUUUAGGAAUUUUCAAUAUAACACAUUUGAAAAUUUUGAAAGAUUAAAGGAAAAAUAAAAGCAAAAUUAGCUGAAACGUCAAAAGUGUAACCGAUAACCACUUGGAAAGGUGUUACUCAUAGAGACAAGAUAUAUAUAAGAUUUAAAAUUAUAUCCUCACUUAGAAAGGUGCACCCAAUCAUCAUCGCAUUAUUAUAUGAUAUACUUUGAACAUGGGUUCACACAUCUAUAUUUAAAUAUUUUUUAAAAAAUAUAACACUACUAUACAUGAUCUAGAGAGGGGAGCAUGGGUUCACGUGAACCCACAGCACCCCCUCUAGAAACGCCUCUGCCAAAGGGCCUCCAAUUUUUUUCCAUAAGUAGCUAGCAACAUCACUAUCCAAGAAUACAUGAUUAAUGGUCUCAGUUUUCAUAUUCUUACAACAAACACAAUGAUCAUAUUAUUGUAUCUAGAUAUACCAUCAAUGUUUAUGCAAUAUGACUUUUCGAGUCAUCAAUGAUCAUAUUAAAAUUAAAUAUGAUUUUGAUAUGUUUUUGAGAAAGAGUUUUCAAGAGUAGUACCUCUUUUAAGAGGGUAGUUUGAGCAAUUAUCUAAAAUCAGAGAAAGAGUUAUGUUUUUAAACAUAUGAGUUAAGUAUAUUUUGGGAGUAGUAUUGAGCACCGAUAUGGGAACGCGAGUUCAUAAUAACUCAAGUCUCCAUAAACCAUGUAGCCAUCAUGGGUAGAAAUGGUCAUACUUUUAGAUGACACCUAAGUGCUUUUUAGCAUAGAAUAGUGGAUCCACUUAGUUAAGGCGUUCUAUAUGACGGCAAAGUAUAUGAUAGUUUUGGCAGCGUGGGCAAGACAUCUAUCAUCACUUAGGCUCAUAGUGGUGGUUGUCGGUUUGAGAAACUCCCACAAAGUUAUAUUGUAUUUUUAUCUACACACUGAGUAUUAUUGUAUUUUUCAAUACAUUGAGUUGUUAUCUACAGUUUUACAACUUUUCAUAUAUUGCAUCUUUUAUUGUUGCUUUAUUCUUGAGUAUCUUGAGUUGAACUGUGCUUCAUCGAAUCGAGUACCUUAUUGUUGAGUUGAGCCUUAUUUCACUGAGUUGAAUAUUUUAUCCUUUGAGUUGAGUAUCAUAUUCUUGAGUUGAUUCGAGUAAGUGAGUUGAGAAGAGGUAAGUAUGUUUCAUUUUAUUAAGUUCAAGCUUGUGUUUAUGCUUUAGAAUUCCUCUUACAUGCUCGUACAUUCCACGUACUAAGCCAUUUGGCCUGCAUCCUUUCAUGAUGCAGACACAUGUAUAUUCAGGGUCAUCAACAGGAGUUUAGUUGAUACCACAUGGAGUUCAAGUUAGCUAUGGUGAGCCUUCUUGCUUUCGGAGGAUUUCAUUUACUUAUCAGUUGUUAGGAUGUCGUGGGUCUUGUCCUGACUUCCAUCUUUGUCAUUUAGAUGCUUCAUAGAUAGACAAUAAAGUUUCACAAGUCUGUUCAUUUAUUUUGUUAAACGUUUUAAAGACUGACGUUGCUUAUUUUGGGGCGAGUUGAAUAUAUUAUAUUAUUCAGAGUUUUGUUUUGAUUUAAAGCUUUGUAUUUAAGUUUCAUGAAUUUUUAUUCAGUUUUUAAGCUUUUGCAUGCUUAACGUCUUCCGCUUGUAGUCAACCAAGGAUGAGGGUUCGCUUGGGGACCAACAAUGGUUCUUGAGUGCCGGUCACGUCCAGAGUGUAGGCUUGGAUCGUGACACCAAAACCGAACUAAAAUAAAUUUGGUUCAGUUCAAUUCAAUUUUUCGAUUUGAAUAUAAUCGGGCCCUUUUCUUAUCAUCAUUCAUUAGUUAACUUUUCUAAUACUAGGCAUUUGCAUUUGGUCUAAUUGAUAUGAGCCGACUGUUAGCUUAGGAAUAUCCCUCCAGUCAUGAUACAUAUGAGCUUCAUUAGAAAUAACGUGUUUAGCUAAUGCAUCUGCAAUUUGAUUUACUUCUCUAUGACAAUGAUUUACUUCAAAAUUCAUCUUCGCAACAACUUGUAAGAUGUCUUCCACAACACCUUUGAUCUUCAAUUGACGCUUGUCCAUUCCUUACCAUAUCAACCACCAUUUUUUAGUCUAAUUCAAGAUAGCAAUCGUGAAAUCCUUGUUGUGGAUGAUGAUAUCUAAAUAUAGAUACCCUUAAUUACAUCAAGCACGUUGCCAUAAAAUAAACAUAAAGUAAGUAUUGUACACCAAAUAAAAAUAUAUUCAGCGCAAGUAGAAUCCAAAAUGGCUUAUUUUGGCUUGACACGGAGUUUAAAAAAAUAUUUGAAUCAUGUGAUCUAAAAAAAAGAUAUGUCGAAUCAUGAAUGUAUCAAAAUGACCUUUUAAUUUUGUGGUCUUAAAAUGUCAUGUAGAAAGUUGAAAUUAAAGAAUUGCUAAAAAGGAAAAAGGUCAUGUUUAUUUUAAAUGAAUUAAAAAAGAAAAUAGCUCAAAUAAAUUGAAACAUAGAGAAUAUAAAAUUUUGACGGAUUGUUGUAAUUUGUUGUGUAAAAAUUUAACCAAUACGUUUUUUUUUUUCCAAGUUGGUCCAAAUCAACUUCGAAUUGCUCCAAAAUUUGAUAUGCAACCUUCUCAUAUAAAUCACAACAACUCUUCAAUUAUUAGAUUCAAUCUAAAUCUUCAAAAAUACAUAAAUGUCUUCAAUAUUCAACAAAACAAAUUGUUAGAGUUAUCUUAUCAAUAAUAUAAUUCAUUACUAUUUAGUAUCUAAACUCUUAGCUCGUCUCAUCCCAAUAUUACUUUGGGCAGAUCAUUUUCCUACUCGAUCAUCUAAACUCCUAGGUUUUUUUCCCUUAUAUAUAUGAUGAUGCGAUCUCCUUUUGUAUUACUAUUAAUUUUGUAACAAGUAACUAUAUCGAGACGAUUGGUUAACAACAAAAACAAAAGUAACCCAAACUUAAAAAGAAACCACAAACUGAAGAAAUUUAUGUAUUUUUGAAUGAAGAAGGUAAGGUAAGGUAAUAGGCUAAUUGCUAGCUUGUUUAUUUAUUGAUAAGCAUACAUUAAUUUACAUGGAGCGAUAGAAGGAUAUAUCCACUUUAUUUAGAAAGCUGCAAGCUAGCCAGCUAAUUAGCAUUCUACGCCUUGAUGAACACAAAUGGAAUAAAGUCCUUAUCGUCAUCGACAGUCGCCAGACGAGGAUAUCCAUUUUUAAAGUUGCCGCCGAUAUUUUUGCACUGAAGAUGAGAGGGACAAUGCAGUAACUUGUAUACAUUUUUGGAACUUCCUGGUGUCACCAAGUCAAUUUUCCUAAUCUUGAAGAUGUCGUUUUCAUUUCCUACCUUACCACCAGUUACCACCAACUGUUCAUCAUCAACUUUCCAAACAGUUUGGUCAACACACAACUUUGUUGUUUUAACAAAGAACUUGAUAUAAACAGCAGUCAUUUGACGCACCACAUCACCAUAAUCCGACUCCGACUUACGAACGAAUACGACGGGCGUGCCUUUUCCCAAAAAUUGGGGAAUUGACAUGUGCUGCAACACGGCGUUUGGGCAUUGAAGGUUUCCAAUAUUGUACAAGUAUACGGCUCCGGCCCCGAUGAGAGGAUUGUUAAUAAUGUACCUCUCGCCAAUCCUCAGCGGAUCGCCGUCUUGGUCAUAAACUUCAGGGAGUACAAGAUUAUCAUCAUCAUGACUAGUUGUGGGGAGGACAAUUGGAUUCUCAGAAGUGAAAGAUCGAGCAAAGGCAACCAAAGAGAGGGUACUUGAAAGCAAGAGGAAACUCAAAAUAUUAAUCGACUUC
rnacentral:lncRNA from 1 species